UCGUCACUGAUGAUGUUGGAGAAAAAACACAGAUUCAAUUCCGAUACAAACACACAGAUACAAAUCAGACCCAGGCCGUGUGGCUCCAACAACAAGAAUCAAUCAAAACUAUAGAAAACAUUUCAGAUCUAAGCACUAAGACCAGUUCGGAGUAAGUGUGCUUGAACACCUUUGGAUCUAGAAAAAAAAAGAAUAAAAGAAGAGAGGAGUUGCAGCCGCCCUCCUCUCCAUGCCAGCGGCGGCGCGGACUGGACAUGGAGGUGAAGCCAGCGAGUUGCAGCCGCCCUCCCACCUGCAAGUGGCGUUGUCCUUCUCUCCUCGCUCGUCUGCAACGGAGUUAAGAGAGGGAGGGUGUGUGAGAGGGAGAGAGAACUCACCAGGAUCCGCGGCGCCAGGACCAAGAAACGCCGGAUCCAGAGGCGGCGGGGCCGAGCGCAGCCAGACCCAGCCCCAUUCGGCCAUGGCACAAGAGGAGGGGAGACCUCGGGAGCGCCAUAGCAGCAGCCACGCGCGUCGGCGGAGUCGGGGGUGGGGGCCUUGUCGGCGAAGUCCACCUGCCGCGGGGAGUAGGGAGGAGGGCGGCGGCCGAGUGCGCCGAGGAGCUAAGGAGGAGGGCGGCGGCGUGGAUCUGCAGAGGGCAGAGGAUGAGGGAGGCCGCUGGGAGCAGAGAGAGAAAAGGGAGAGAGGCCCACGUUUGGAAAAAGAGAGCAGAUAAGAGAGAGGCUCACGUGUUGGAAUAAGAGAGGAAGGGGAUCAGGCUGUUCGAUGGGUUGUGACAAGAAAACGAGCGGCCGAGCGAGAUAUACGUCACCGAUCCAUGGCACACCAGCUCCACCCAUCGUACGCAAGCACACGUAUUCCGUGUUUUUCAAUUCCAUGGCGAGCGAGAUACAAAACCGGUGGCGGACUGGCGGGUAGUACUACGAACCGGCCACUGGUGCUGAGCUAGAGUUUUCCAAAAUUCCUCUCCAGCACCAGUGGCGGACUCUACUGAACUAUCCGCCACUGGUGCUGAUUUUUGAAAAUGGUAUUAAAUUCAUAUUAUAUUUUAUGAGUAUUAAAAAAUUACAAAACCUGUACUUUUGAAUGUAUACCAAGGAUACUUAUUUGAAAGUGAAGUUUAAACUAUAAAUUGAAAAACUUUGUACACUAAUUUGGAUAAUUAUGUGUGAUUAUGUGUGGCUUUUGUGUACUAAAAAAUCUAUCAAAUUCAUUUUUACUCAGAAUCUUCCCAAAUUUGGUUUGGACACUUCCCUAAUGAUAAGAAACGCACAUACAAAAAUUCAAGUUCAAACUAAAAAUUCAAGUCACAUUUGGUUGAUUGGGUUAGAUGGUUUCAGAGAGUUCUACCUCGAUGGCCCCAAAAUGAAGAAUUUUUGUGGUCAAUUUGGAGUUUUGUCUUCAAAAAUUAUAUGUAAGCUUCUUGUUGUAUACUAAGUUUCCAUGCAAAAAUUCAGAUCAUUUUGAGCAAAAUUGAAUUUUCUAGCAAUUAAUAACUUGAAUAUGAACAACAUAAUCAUAUAAAUGGUUGUUGAUAAUUUUUUAUUUAGGUUUCAAACUUCGAAUGGGACAAGAUAUUAUCAAUUUACACUCAAAAGGACAGGUGGUUUAAUUUUUUGAAAAACACAGAAUAUAAUAUGAAUUUAAAACCCCAUCCAAAAUUACUACCAAUUGCGGGUUCCUUGUGCGGACCGGCCACUAGUGCUGUUUUGUGAUAUUGGUAAUCCUUUGUUGAGUAGCAGUGGCUGUUUUGAACUCAGAACGACCACUGAAGGUGGGGCGUUACCAGUGGCGGUUUUGAACUUAGAACAGCCACUGGUAACCAUUGGGGGAAUCCCCAUUGAACCCCAGUGGUCGUGGACGGGCACCGCCACCGGUGGUGGAGCACCGGUGGCAGUGGUUUUCUUGUCACCAUCUUCACCGCCACUGGUGCUAGAUCACCAGUGGCUGUGGCUGGCCACCGCCACCAGUGGAGCACCAGUGGCCGUGAUUUUCUUGCCCCGCUCGAACAGCCACUAAAGGUCAUGCGCCAAAGCCACAUUCUGGCGUAGUGUAUGUUUGUAUGUGACCUACAUUUUUCUAAGUGGGUGUGUUGCACUAUGUGUGUAUGAGUUUGGUUUCGGAGCCGGAGUGUCACAUACAUUUUUCUAAGUCCUUGUGUUGGAAUAUGUGUAUGAAUUUGGUUACGAUUGAACUCGUAAUGAGCUAGGACCGAUGUGACUUUUUCUAGGCGAUGGAGUGUGACAUGUACAUUUUGUCUAAGUGGGUGUGUUAGGACAUAUGAUGAAUUUGGUUAUACAUGGACUUGUAAUCGACACGGGUGGGUUAACCACAUGUGAGCUUUUCUAGGAGGCGAAGUGUGACAUACAUUUUUCUAAGUGAGUGUGUUGAAUUAUGUGUAUAUGAGUUUGGUUACACUUGGACUCGUAGUCAACUCAGGUGAUGGGGUUGACUCCAUGUGAGAUUUUAUGUGAGUUGGAGUGUGACAUACAUUAUGUUAGUCUGUGUGUUGUAAUAUGUGUAUGAGUUCGGUUUCAAUUUGACUCUCUUAAUAGGUAGGGAACCCCAUUUGACAUUUUUUUGGGAGUCGUGGAGCUAGUGUGGCGAACAAUUUUCUAAGUGGGUAUGUUGAAAUAUGUGUACGUAUGAGUUUGGUUACAGUUGGAAACCUAGUUUUUUUAGUUGGGAAACCCCAUUUUCCAUUCAAAACAGAACGGAAAAAAAAUAGCUGUUCUCACGCUUAUAGAGAGACAGCAGAAGAGAAAGUUUGAAGCGGAUCCGGCCACUGGCAGGAAACCUAGUGUGUUUCAGCGGCCGAAACACUAUGGGGGCCAAAACCUGCUGUCACCCAAGUUCAGUUCAUCUAGCCCUAUCCAGUUAACCAUAGCGAAGUAUCGAAUCAACAUUUCUCCUUACAGAGCCACAAGGGAGCCGGAUAGCAAAAUGCCCAAACCUAGUAAUAUGUAAAGUCAUGGUGCAUGGGAUAAAUAAUCAUCAAACUCCCCUAACCAAAUAGAUCGAGGUUUGAGGAUCAGUAGUUUUCUGGACGCCAUUGCUCUUUGUUAAUUCGAUGGGUCGUCGUCGCGCCAAAAUCGGAGCAAGGUUUGUUGUUCCGAGAUUGGCUUGCGAGUACGUCCUUGGGCAGAUUGGAUCCGGGACCAGGAGCGCUAGCGCGGCUCGCAGGCCAAGAAGGAAGCACGCAAUGAGAGCUGGACAAAUGGUCCAGCUACGCGCUGCGCGUGUGACUUGGGCUUAGGCCUCAUGUGGUGGGUACCGCGGCCCAGGUGUGCGGGAGAAGCCUGAUCGAACUUCGAACAGACCAAAGAGACGUCCCGCUCAAAAAAAAAAACAAAGAGACGUUCCUCUAAAAAAAACAGACAUUGUCAGAGUUCGACCGAUGGAGAAAACAUCGUUAUCAUGUACCGAACCAACACGUUUUUUUCAAAUUACAUGCAUGUAUACAAUUUUCAAACUUGACAUGCAUCAGGGACGUUGCAUAUUACAAGAUGCAUAAUAAUUCUGUCUUUAAUUAGAACUCGUUCCAGAUGCAGAAAUUACACGCCCCUGCACCGUCUUUCUCAGCGUUCCAGACGGUGAUUGUACCCUAACCAGCAGUUGCUUGUCACCCAGGUAGCUGAUCUGGUAAGGUAAAAUCAAUUCCAAUGCAACGGAAUGUGAUUGAAUCUGAAUCUGUGACAUUUGUCUCGUUAAUGUUGGAUUGCUCUCUGCUCCGUCGGUUCAGCAUGGUUCAGCAUGGAUAACAAACUAGCUGUAUGUUACAAAAAAACUAGCUGUCACCUCACUAAAUAAAACUAGUACUUUGUUGGACGGAGGGAGUAACAAAGCUGCAAAUACAAGCAAACUAUAAUUGCACCUCAAAACUCACUAUUCGAAGAACACUACAAAUUAACUUCAGUUGGCACAAAAUUUACCUGAAGUGGAGUCGAUUCACUCCUACCACUAUUGUGAGCCACAGCGAUGGCACGAUGUCUUGCUAUAUUGUUUGAAUUGGAGAGAACUAAACGUAGCUAUGAUAUCCAAAAUCCAAUCUUGGUCUGUUCUAAGCCUUGGCACCAUAAUGCAUCAGUUUGCUCCAACGUCCUAAGAUUGGAUUCAAGGAGAAAAGAAUGGUACAGCGUACAUUGUGGCUUUGUUUCCUUCCUAUCUCAAGGUGCUCAUUUAUGCCGGGCCUCAUGUUGAUCAUGGCAACUGUGCUGCCAAAUGUGAUCCAUUACUUUCACAUGACUAGUGUGUUCAUCGAAUGGCGAAGUAAUGUGCUUCAUGUUGCAUGCUUUCUUUCUAAGACGAACUGAAAAAUGCUAUUCGUGUGAACCAAUGAACAUAGAAAAACUAGGCUUGUUGGCCACGCACCAAGAACAGCUCUAUGCAAGAGCAACAACAGUGAUAAAAUGUAUUCCCGUAUAAAAAGAACAAAGUAAUUGGGGCAAAUCAAUAUAAUGAAGAACAACUGAGUUCAGGCAAAAAUAGAAAAACUGGGAGGACAUCUCGCUGUAGAACGGAGGUGGGCUCUCCGAAUAUCAAAUCGAACAAGCGGCUCCGUACAAUUACAGAGUAAAAUAUACAGUCUCCGCUUCUCGACAGCUUAUAUAUAAACUGUAAGCUUAUAGGUCGGGUUUGUCCGACGUGUCACCUGACAGAUGGACCCGGUCUGUAAUGAAAAGUGUCAAAUUGUCUAAACACUUCAUUUCGGGCUUGUUGCUACAUCGUGACCGGAGGACUGUGGUUUUCCGGACAAAUUAGCAAAAGUAGAGGCUGCGUGAAAACAAUGCCCCGAAAUGUAUGGUUCUGCGAAAUUUACUCUAAUAAAUUAGUCGUCGUGAAACUACGCCGCUGCUUCUGUUUUGUUGUGGAAGGUAUGAGAAGUUAGUUCUCUUGGCAGCUAAGUAAAACACAAACGUGUCCUUCAACUUGGACCAGCCAUGUCCAUUUCUCAGUUUCCUCCCACAUCUUAAAAUUGGACAACGGGCGAGGGAAGCAUGGUUCCUUUUUAUCUCUAUGAUCGCCCCGUUCACCUUAGGGAUAGGGAUUGAUCACGAGGGAUGUGCCUUUGCGUGAUUCGCAUUUCUCAUGACUAGAUCAUACCCGCGGCUUGUUUUCUUUACGUCUUUUCUUGCCGAAUUGGAGCAUGAUAUUCGUAUACAGGGGCUUAUCCAAGGCCCGCCGGUCGAUUCCUUGGCGGCCUGGUUCAGCACGCUAGCUAAACGGUAAACAGUAGCAACGUUGGGCCCUUGGCGUUGGGCUUGGAGCAAAGAGGUACCAGCGAUCAUGUUGAUUAAAAUUAAUGUUUCUUCCCACAAAAACACCAUCCCAGCCCAAUACUGUUUGGGCCUCUCUCGGUCGAGUUUUUAGCCCAAUACAUGCAUUCAACCAAUAUAUACAUCCAGUUAAUUCAGCCCAUACCACAUUCAGUCCAACAAUGCAAUACAAUACACAGAGACAGAGCACAGUAGAUGAGACAUAGAACUCGAAUGGUCUUGGCAAAUAUAAAUUAGUGUACGUUGGUAGCAAGCCUUGCAAGGAUGGCUAGCCUAAGUAUGACGCUGCGCUUCUUAAUGAUCGAUCACAACAAAGCAUUUUGGCGCCUGCAUCUUGCAUGCACUACAUUCCUCCUGCAUAAUGUUGGCAUUAGUGUUAGUUGUGUAUCUGCACAAUAAUAAAUUUACAAAGCAUGAAGCUCGGGUGGACUAAGUGUAAAUGUAAAUAAAUCUCAUCACCAUAUGAGCUGACAGUAUAGUAAAUGAAAUAAUUAUUGACAGGCAGACAAACAAAAAUGACAAAAAACAUCUCUAAGCAUACUCAAUCCACAGACUAGACCGCCACACAUUGUGGAUAAAAAGUCCCUGGCCACAAGCUUCAAACUGCUACAAGUCAUCAAAGCCAGUUGGCGAUCCACGGUUUGAGAAGAGUAGACUAAGUACGGAGCCAAUGAGUGCGUGAAUAUAAAACCUGCAUAUUAGAGAAGAGUUCUUUCUGCUUAAAACCAUGUCAUUCUUGCAAAGCCAAAUUGCCAACAUAAAGCAGCCGCCCCAACCAUAAGAAGCGCACUCAAUCUUUUAUUACACCCCGUAACCAAGACCCAAACAUAUGAGAGACACCACGAAGGGAAAAAGAUUAGAAGUUAUUUAGACCAUUGACCACAUAGAACAUGUGACAUGACACCCAAAAAAAUGUGUACAGUAGUGUCAUCUUCAAUACAAAAACCACUUAGAACACUUAAAACUUCCAUUCCAAUUCCGCUUUAGCAGGUUGUCUUUAGUCAAGGUGACACCCCGUCGCAAGAACCAAAGGAUUUUUUUUGGAGGAAGCUUAAUUUUCCAAACCUCCUAUUUUUUUGCAAUCGGUACAUCCAGAAUGAACGAGCCUGGUACAUUGAUGUGACCCAAAAUACGCCAUUGAGAUGGAGAUUCAUGGAAACUCAUCUCGCCCAGGAAAAAGAUUCACAUUAACAAGACGAUUCAGGAGUUCAGUCCAAGCCACCAAUUUGUGUCGCCUGAAGGACAAGAAAGAAGCAAGAACAUGUGCCAAAGUGUCACGCUUAUUACGUACACUGAGAAAUAAAGACGGAUAUUGCUCUCCGAGAGAGCAACCUCUGAGCCAAGAAUACUCUCAAAAUCUCACUUUGGUAUCCGUCCUUGAUAGAGAAAGAACCGAAACGGAGAAAAUGCCGUUUGGCUAAUCAUGAUAGUUGUGCAGAAUGCUAAUUGGAUUUCUACAAGUCGGCAUCGUCCACUGCGCUUCCCUACUAUUCGUCCCUGGCCUGAGCUCUCUUGUGGCACUUACGAAAGCACAGCCAUGUUUUUUUUUCCGUGACCAAUGUCGUAGUGCCAACAGGAUGACCAUUCAGAAAUAUAUCGUAUACAACUUUGCAAGUAAGUUCAAAGUAACAUAUUUUCGCGAUCGAAACAGCUCACGGAAAAAUGUCCUCACACCAAGAACAACUCUAAACAAGAGCAACAAGAAUGAUAAAAUUUAAACUGCUGUAGAAAAAGAACUACUCAGGUCAAGCAAACAUAGGAGAACUCGAUGACACCUCGCUGUAAAACGGUACCGAUAAGGCUCUCCAAGUAGCAAACUGGAUAAAACGAAACAGCUUAGGAUAAAAAUGGACUGUACUGUACACUUACAAAUUAAAGCAAAAUAUACAAUCUCUUAGGAUCUCGACAACUUAUCUACGAACUGUAAACUGAUAGAUAAAUCCGUCGCGAUGAAACCCUCCCGCUGAUCAAAGUUCUUGUUUCUUUGGCUCCCAAGAUAUGAGAAGUUAGUUCCCUUCACAGGUAAUAAAAAUACAAAAUUCUCGUUCAACAUCGAUCAUCCUUGCCAUUUCUCAGUUUCCUCCCACAUCUUAAAAUUAGAGAACGAGGGUGAGCCGGUUAGAAGGACGGUUCCUUUUUAUCUCCAGUUUCCAUGUUCACCUUAGUAGGUGACUCGCAUUUCUCAUGACUAGAUCACACCUUUUUAUCUCCAGUUUCCUUGUUGCUUCUUUUUUCUUCUUUUUUUUAGGGGACCAUGUUGCUUCUUCUUGUUCUUCUGUUUGCGACGAGCCGAUCCAUUGUCCACCGAUCGAUUCCUUUGUCGGCCUGGCCCAGCAACAAGCUAGCUACUCAAUAAACGUAGCAGCAUGGGCCCAUAGUUGUUGGGCUUGGAACAAACAGCAAAUUCUGGCCCAGGAGCCUUCAAGCACUUGUGCUUGUCGAACUUUUCCUUUUUCGGUCCAGAAGGCAUCGGUUGAUUCAGAAAUCAGAAAAUAUUGUCCAUGUGUUAACCUUCGUGCAAAUUAAAAAAAAAAUCCCUAAAAGAAGCCCCGUGCGAGGAAGAAUCAAGUUGCACUGUAGCUGUGAUUCCUGAGCAUGUAUAUAUGCACGAAGCUGUACGUUAGAUCGGAUCUAAUGUCAUAUUGUCAACGGGCGAACGAUUACACUAGUACUUUCACCAAGAAAAUUCCAAAUCUGAAUCUCAACUCGAAUGAGUACUACAGGCCACGAGGCUUCUUGAUCCCUACUCCGUUCAGGUAAUUAAGUAGCUUGAGUAAUUAAUUGUCUGUCCAGCACCCUGUCAAAAAAAAGUAGGAACACAAUGGCCUUGUUUUCUUUCUUUUUGCUACUUUCAGAAAUCAGCCAAAAGCUGGUUUGUGUGCAAGCUAGCCUGAAUGGAUCAUUCGGAAAGUUUGUAUGUAUCCAAGAAAAACAUGGUUUAAUGCCAACAUAUCUAGUGAUCAUGUUCAAAAAAAAUAUGAACCAUUGCUGUGUGGUACGCAAAAAAAUAAAUAGACAUGUACGAUAAUCGAUAAGCAUUAUUAAAACAGUUUCCAUUUGCCAACAUUCAUGAUCAUAAGCAUAAUUAAGGUCCAUGUCCUGGUCCACAACAAUGUAGCACAAGCACAAAUUUAUAUCAAAGGAACAGGGGUGUCCCCAUGUUAAGAAUCUAUAAUUAGACAAUCUAGUGAAAGUAGGUGCACAAUUUGUUCCUUCUACACAAAUGGCCGGGAGGUAAAAGAGAACAAAGCUAGCCAUACAUAUUUUUUUUCCAGCAUGUCGCAAAAUCGGUGGUUCAAUCAUUAAUAUCUUCGCAUAUAUAUCUGCAUUUUUGUUUCACGUGCACGCCACGCCUCCUAAUCCUACUCUUAUUGUUCAAUGAUUAUACUAAUCCGGUAUAAUUAGUACCCCACAAGCUUUUGAUUUGGGGCAAAGCUAGUAGCUACAAGGCAAACCGAAACUGGAAAUCAUGACGUGCACAAGGUCGAGUACAAGUUAAAGAAAGAGCCAACAACUUGCUUGCAUCAACAAGCGAACGUACGUACGGCUCACAAAUUUCAACGUACUGUUAUGUCAUCCUGAAAUGGUUUGCAGAUUUUGGACGGAUAAUAUCAUCCUGUUAGAAAUAUAUAGAGUAUUGAUAUUUACUUCCUCCGUUUCUAAAUUUUUGUUGUUGUUUUAGUUCAAAUUUGUACUAAAACAACGACAAAAAUUUAGAAACAGAGCAAGUAUCAUUCAUGUGAGGAUACCAAAGAAUCUGAAGCCUCAUCAUGCAACGUGUCGUGUCAACGUUCUUGAUUUCCAAUUUCCAAAAUACAAGAUAUAUAGAUCGGUAAAAUGCUAAAAUUGUUCAGAAUGAAGAAGCUUCAUAACAACUUGAUCACAAAGAAGAAGAUUUGUUUUUACAAAUCACUGUAUUUACAUCCUUAUCAUCGUUCUCAGGCAUGAGAAACCUACUGAUCCGUUAGCUGUUCAUGGGAUACAUGUGUGCAUUGAAUCGUUGAUGCAUCAUCAUAUUGUCAGCAAUAAAAUGGGAAAAAUUCAUCUAUAGGAAAAAGGCCUUUGGAUGCUUGAAGAGACACAUCCUUGAAGUGAUUGGAUCGAAAACCUUGGCUCAGCUUCUUAUAUUUUCCUUUAGUUUGCUAAUAAUUUUUCUUUGCCAUGCACAUCGAUUUCUUUUCUUUUUAAUUAAGCAUGCAUAUCCCCAUGGAUAUUGAUCAUCGAGAGACUCCCCUAGAUACAACCUAAUAAGAGAUCGCACCAAGAUUUCACAAACUAUUGUUUUUCUUCUUUUGUCUAUAUAUCCUUGUUAGAUGCUGAAACAACUUUUGCUUAUUGUGGUUGCUAUGAUCAACUCUAACCAUAUAUAUUUUAGUACAAGGAAGCAACAUUCUUUAGUACAAUGACAAUGCUGACACGGGUUUCUCUGUUUACAAGAAACACACGUCAGCAAUGACAAGUGCAACUCAAAUAUUACUUCUUCCGUCCCGAAUUAACUGACAUGGAUUAUACAAAUUCGGGACGGAGGGAGUAUUACUUUAGAGCCUGUACUGGUCAAAUAUUUUUACCUUUGCUUUAGCCAUCAACAUAGAAAAUGUACCAGCAUCGAAGUACUAAUUAUAAAAACACAAUGUUUAAGGUACUCCUGUGUCAGAAGGAACGAACAGAAAGUAAUAAACCAAUCUACAACAACGUGAUCACAAAGAUAGGACACGUGCCUGGAUUUGUCUUAUACCUAAAAUGGACACGGACAGGGACGCAUCACCAUGCCGUCUCGAUCUAAAGGGUAGUAAACAAACACUUCUUCUUCUCAUGCGACUUGGACUAAACAUAACCAAGUUGUCCAUCACGUCUAUAGUAUCAGGACUGUGGAUUAAUAAAUAUUAGCAAAAAGCUCCGUGCGUUGCUACGGAAGAAAAUAAAUUGAAAAACAUGCUAGCUUAAGUUUUUAAAAGUGGUGUCUUUUGCACGUAACUACGUAUUGAGAGCAACUCUAGCAGUUACCGAAAUUUCUGAUGAAAAAACGUUAAUUCAGUCUACCGAAAACGUCUUUUCCGAUAUAAUUUCAUAUUUUAUAAUUUUUAGCCCAUAUGAAAAUUAUGUUAGCCCCGACGAGAUGCUGCUCUCCCUUCGCUCCAUCACGCAUCUAUGCGAUGCCAUGCCACAUAUAUUGGGCCUGUUUCAACCAUCAUCGAUUGGUCAAAUGAUCAAGUCCAAUCGGGUCAAAAAAAUAGAUCCAGGAAAAUGGUAAAACUAAAAUCAUAUACGGAGGGAAAUUAAAUCAAUAAAUUUUUCAGAGCAGAUCCAUGUCCUAAUUAUAUUUAGAAAGCAUGGUUUGCAUGUACCAUCAAUUAGGCCAAGAUUUCAGCAAAAAUAAAGAAAAAAUAGAGAAAAGCGUUGGUAGUAGCAACGUAGAACGCCCGCUCGGGAGCAGCUGCUGCUGCGCCGUCACUGGAGGAAGGCGCCCGCGCUACCGCCAUGCCCAUCUCCACCCUCGCGCAUCGGAUCUGCGGCUGCGACGCGCCGACGACCAACUAAGGAGGCGCCCGAUCGACCCGCCGAGGAGUGGGCGCCGCGGAGGAUCUUGACGACGCAGGCCGGACGAAGGAGCGACACUGUUGUCUUCCCCACGCGGAUCCUCGUCACUGGGAUCUGGCCGUCAACGGGACCCGGGCGCUUCGCAACUGGCAACGUGUCGUCCUACGCCUCCACCUAGUCGUCGAACGCCACCCGGCCUCUCCCGAUCUUCUGCAGCACUACCGUCGCGCCUCCGUCUUCAGACUGCAGCGCCGCUGCCGAGCUCCGCCUACCUCGCUCGUGGCUCGCCCCGCCUCUGCCAGAACACACUGUCGAUCUCCUCCACAGACUACAGCCACCCGUCCAGAUAGAUGAAGAGGGAAGGGGGCAGGGGCUCAGCGUCCUUGGUCCAGAUCGGGAGCACUGGAGGAGCGAAGAGGGCAUGGGGCGCUGGGCCGCCAGAUGCCCAGAUCGAGUCUCCUCGGGACUCGGGAGGAGGAGACGGGGCAGGGGAUGAGGAGACGGGAGUGGCCGCGCGGGCCAGAUCGGUAGUAGAGAGACCAGAGAAGGACUGGAGAGAGGGCGGCGCGGCGGGGGAGAGUAGUGGCGGCGGUGGCAUGGAGAACGAGCGAGGAUGGCGAUGAAGGGAGGAGUCGGACUUCAUGGAGGAGGCGGAUCGAGCGGUGCGAGGAAGAAGAGUUCAGGGGGGAUGAAUCGAGGGGAUAGGUGCGAGAGGGAAGGGGACAAGGGUCGGGCCACGUGCCCGCAUGAGAGGGAAGGGAGGAGUCGGACUUCGUGGAGGCGGAUCGAGCGGUGCGAGGAAGAAGAGUUUGGGGGGGAUGAAUCGAGGGGAUAGGUGCAAGAGGGAAGGGGGUAGGGGUCGGGCCGCGUGCCCCCGUGCCCGCGUGAGAGGGUCGUGCAGAAAGUAUCGAGGACGUACGUCGGUGGUUAAAAUCAAUCGGAUAAAAAAACGCUUCGGGAUUAAAAGUGGUGACAGCAGUGGCAAACUGGUAAUUUUGGUCUAGCAGGUGUUGUGCCAGUGCGUUGCUACGGGUCAACAAAAUCACAAACUAUUUAUUUUUAUUUUCCAUGUAGCCAACUCAUGGCGCCGUCGAGGUCGGCAUGUGGGUGUGGUGGCGUCGGUUGUAAGACGGGGUAGUAGAGAAAUCGUGAAAAAACUGGAGGAAAAGAAAAUAACAGACAAUGACAUAUUGGUUGUAAUUUUAACGAAGUUAACUUACGGUGACGACGACCGUACCAUCACCGCCAACUCCAAUUUAAUAGAUACGAAGAGAACUGUCAACUAACCAGUGGAGUACUCACCUAGCAGCAAUUUAAUUGUGUGGGGAGCAGCAUGUGGGUAAGUAUACUUACGUAGCAUAUCUAAUCCAACGGCCACAGCCUAAAGCAGAGUCUCUCUGUAGAAAGACCACUUUCAACUUGACGAGCAAUAACAUUUGAACAAAAAAUUUGCCCAACCUUCGACCAGACUCUCAUCACAGAUAUGGAAACGUGGAACAUGUAUAUAUGGAGGAAGAAACGUCAUUUUUGGGGGGAGUUGUAGCUUUGCGUGAGAGCGCUCGAUUGGCGCCAAAAAAGAUGAGCCGAACGUUCCAACGCUGAGAGGCUGGGUUUGUUUGAGUGCCAAUGAAUGCCGCUUUUGGAAUCUUGCUUGUGUGCACCGCUCAGGCUAAAGCACAAAGAACCUAUUUUGCCUACGUGCCUUGGUGGCUGGUGUAUAUCUCUAGCCCACGCUAGUCAUCUUCAGAGAAGAAAAGAUUGUAGUACCUUUCUUUAACAAAACAGAGUAAUUAAAGAAAAACAGAGUCAAAGCAUUCUAACUCAUGGCAGUGUAUGGUAUCAUGGUGUAGCAUGAGAGAAACAAAAUGCUACAUAAGUAGUACUACUUUUUCCGUCCAACAAAAUAUGUCUCAACUUUGUCAUAAUUUAGAUGUACGUAGACCUGACUUAGUGUAUAAAUGCAUUCAAAUUUAAUUAAAGUUAAGACAUACUUUGUUGGAAGGAAGAAUAGUAAAUUUCACUAUUUCAGUUGAAUGAAGUUGGGAGCAGAAAUGAGUUGCACAGUGGCGCGGGUAACCAAAGAACGGUGAUAACCCUCCUUGAGUUCCUAAAACGUUGUUCAAAGCUCUUUAGUGAAGGUUCAAGGUUGUGCAAAUUUUUAGGACAAAAACGAUGACGACUUGUGUCAUCGUCAUGGGUUGAUGAAACGGUUGCACGGGUAAUCAAAGAACGGUGGUCUUGUCGUUACAUGUAUGAGAGUUUUUAAUGUCUUGUUUAAAGUCUUUUGGAGACGACUCAAUCCUAUGUAAAUUUUCUAGUCCUUGCUCAUUAAUAUCAAAUAUGUUUAGUAAAAAAAAGCUGGAUCCUUAAAAAAGAAAACUCCCACAUUAGUUAUUUUCCGUCAACAUGCGAAUAACGAGGUCUCAAGCACUGAAUAACGCGUGGAUGUAAAAUAAAAAAAAUAGACAUGCGAAGAUAAAUUAGCAGCUCCCGAAGUCCAAAAAUUCAAAAUCUGGAUCUCUAGAUAUAAACAAGAAUAAUACGUGUCAGCAACAGACUGGCAAAUUCUCUCGCUAAUUAAUUGUGGAGAGUUGGUCCCUGCUGAGAGACCCCAAACCAGAAAAGGAAAAGAUCAAUUAAUCUAGCUAGGUGAGCAGCAAAGCAAUUACAAUACCAGCAGCUAGCUGACAGCAAGCAGGACCAGCAAGCAAGCAAGCAAGCCUUGCUGGCUCAGCACUCAGCAGGCAGCUGGGGCCUCGCCGCUGUGGGGACUAAAAUGUCUGCAAGGUUCCAAAAGAAAAGAAGUUGAUAUACGCUUGAUUUAGCUGGGGGGAGCUCUUUUGGUUUGUUGUAUUCAUCGGCAUUUGGCAUUUUAGUACUGCAUCUUGUCCUUGUGUAUAAAUAUGUUUUGAUUAGGCUGUCUCGUGCCAUAAUAAAGGAACACAAAAGGAAAAACUGAGUUGCCACUGUGGACCUCAUUUUUCCUUCAGAAUACCCAAUCAGCCCUUGAACCGUAUGACUACGAAGGAUGAACAAAAUCCGUACUUCUCCAGUAGCCAAUAGUGAAAAAGAGUUUGUUUAACAGGGUAAUAGAGUCAUUUCCACUAGUCAACGGUGGUCAUUGUUGGAACAAAAAAUUGACUGCGUGACACCAAUUCUGAACAAAUUUCAGUUUCAGAGUUUCUUCUCAGUCAGAAUUUUUUGGUCAGCGUGUUCUCUCGAUCUAUGCUACGGUUAAAAUUGGAAACUUCCAAUUCCCGAAGAGAGAAAUUAAUUCUAGUUCCAAUUUGUGGGCUCCUCACCAACCUCUCUCAUGACUCAUGAGGCUAGAGCCUCCAGCAUAUGCUCUUCCUGCAACCCCUCCCUCUCUCGCUCCCCCCUUCUCUCUCUCUGCACCAUGAAUAAUUUCGCCUCACUCUCUUCUGUCUAGAUUUCUGCGCCUUUGCCAAUUGGUGGGCGGCCCACCUCGGUGCUCGUGCUCCCGGCGCCCACUCUGGUGGCGGACAGCAUCGAAGCUUGAUAGUGUUGCCGAGGUUUUGAGAGGCGAAAGAUUGGGUUUUUGGUUGGGUUUUCCUGGUUCUGGGAAUCGCCCUCUCGGUUAAUCUCUCUUGCGGGGGAGUCUUUGGGUCUGGUUGGAGCAAGGAGUUGCUAGCCCAACUCUGCCGAAUCCCCGCUCCUUGGCUCCGAUUUGGAGAUUUCUUGCUGCGGUUCUUCUUCCUCCCAUUUUCGGUUCUUGCCGUGAACAGAGAGGGGGGGAGUUCGCUCUAGGGAUUUGAAGUGGCAUUCUGAUUUGGAUGAUUCUUCUCCCUUUUCUUGGCCCUUCUUCAAAGGUUGCCGUUUGCACAAGGCCAAGGCGACGCUCGUAGAUUUGAGAGAGAUCGGGGAUUCUGGAGUUCAGUCUGGGAAGUUGAAAGCUUGCUUUUUUUUUACUGUUACAAAGAUCGAUUUCGGUCAUUUGGGGAAAUCCUGGUGUGAGCUUUUGAGGCUGAAGGGAGCUAAUGGCGUCGAUAUCAGAUAGCGAGACGACCAACCAUGGGAGCAUGUGGGAGUUGGAUCAGGAUCUUGAUGAGCCCAUGGAUGAGGAGGCUAGCCGGCUGAAGAACAUGUACAGAGAGAAGGUUUGCAUAUGAAUAGUUAUCCUUGCUUGCUGAAUUUUAUAGUAUUUCUGUCUACUUUCCUAAGCAAUGAGUAUCUCAUCUGUCUUUUUGUAUCUAUCUGAAACAAAGUUGAGUGCCACUAUUUUAAUAUAGAUAGAAUCUGGAAAUAUAUGAGUGGUGAUCUUAUUCUUAGUAUAAAUACUGUUUUGCUCUAUAUCUCUGGCAUGUUCUUGUCUUUCUGAAACUCAUAUGUCCCUUCUUUUUGUUUGCAGAAGUUUUCUUCAGUUUUGUUACUGCGGCUUGCAUUUCAGAGCCUUGGUGUAGUCUUUGGUGACUUAGGUACAUCACCAUUGUAUGUUUUCUUCAAUAUCUUUCCGCAUGGGGUCGACAAUGAUGAGGAUGUUAUCGGAGCUCUUUCGUUGAUCAUUUACACCCUCACGCUCAUUCCUCUGAUGAAGUAUGUUUUUGUAGUAUUGCGGGCAAAUGAUAAUGGUCAAGGUGAGAUGUUACAUCCUUGCAAGUUUACCAAAUUUGUUGCUUUUUAAUGAGUUUUUUUUUGGUAUUUGCAAGAAUAUCGGUCCAAUUGUCAAAAAAGACUGAUUUUGGCAUUUGCAGAUGUAUUUAGUAGGAUUGUAUUUGACAGUGUUGUUAGAAUGUUAGUAAGAGUUUAGUACGGGCAAUUUCAAAUGCUCUGUAUUUUAUUAUUUUGUUAGGUUGGCGCUGGCAGUAUCUUGCAUGGUCACACCAGCAAUACUGGUGAUGUAGUUUUUCAACAGGGUUACAUGAUUCAACGUUGUAGGGCUUUAGUCUUGGCAAAUGCAAAUUUUCUGCAAUUUUACCAUUUGAUUUGAUUGACUCUGGUAGAAUCUCGCUACAUGGCAACAUUCAAGUGAUACAAUUCGAUCAAUUGGAUUUGAAUAUUAGAUGCCACAAUCGCUAGAUAGUACUCUAUUAAUCAUGAAUAUCUGUAGAGGGUGAAGUCAAAAGUGGAUUUAUUUUGUGCUCAGGCAAGAGUUAUUUAACUAUCCUUAGAUCCCAUAGUUUGUUUGCACAAUUUCAGCUAACUACUUUAUCAUUAUUUACAGGUGGAACCUUUGCCCUUUAUUCUCUACUUUGCCGGCAUGCGAAGGUCAGCACUAUACCCAACCAACAUAAGACCGAUGAAGAACUAACAACAUAUAGCCGACAGACUUAUGAGGAGAAUUCACUUGCAGCAAAAGUAAAGGGAUGGCUAGAGAGGCAUGCAUAUACAAAGAACUGUCUUCUUAUUCUCGUUCUCAUUGGUACCUGUACUGCCAUUGGAGAUGGGAUCCUUACUCCUGCUAUAUCAGGUAUUCAGCUACAUAGGUUUGUAAGUAAAACCAAUGCAAUUUAGAUCGUAACUUGUAUGUUUGUGUUCUGCAGUUCUCUCUGCAACAGGUGGGAUCAGAGUUCAGAAUCCAAAGAUGAGUACAGGUAAUUCUGCUCUUUUGUAUGGUUUAUCUUUGGGGCUGGUGUUGUGUGAAGAAUUCUUAAGUGGAGUUAGUAUACAAGAAUGUGAGCUUGACCAUAAUGAAAGAAAGAAAUCGGUGUCUGACUGUCUGUUAUAUAUCCAAAACAGUGCAUAUACAAAAAAUUUUAUCUCUGGUAGCUGGGCUGCACCGACCAUUUUUCUUGUGAUCUAGUUAGGUUCUUUAAGCAUGUUGUUCUAGUAUUGUCAUAAAAUCUUUUGAUAUUUGUUUUCUUACAUAUCCAACAGAUGUGGUUGUAGUUGUUGCGGUGAUCAUAUUAAUAGGCUUAUUCAGCAUGCAACACUACGGUACAGAUAAAGUUGGAUGGCUCUUUGCACCGUUAGUGCUCCUUUGGUUUAUUCUAAUUGGGAGUGUUGGGGCAUUCAACAUACACAAGUACAACAGUUCAGUUCUGAAGGCAUAUAACCCAGUCUAUAUCUACCGGUUUCUCCAGCGAGGAAAGUCGAUCUCGACCUCCCUUGGAGGAGUCAUGCUUAGCAUCACAGGUCAUUGGCAACUCUCUUGUAAAUUCCAUUGAUUGAUGUCAUUUUGCGUUGAUCAUAUGGUGCAGCAGAAUUACUUAUAUGACUUUUCUUUUCAGGGACCGAAGCAUUAUUUGCUGAUCUAUGUCAUUUUCCUGUAUUAGCUAUUCAGGUAUUGAACAUGAACACAUUCAGUUAAUCGAUUAUGAUCGAUACAUUUGCUUUGAUAUUAAUAUUAUCUAUGCGCAGAUUGCUUUCACUGUAGUGGUGUUUCCUUGCCUUCUCCUGGCGUACACUGGGCAGGCUGCUUAUAUUAUUGCCAACAAGGACCAUGUAGCCGAUGCCUUCUAUCGCUCCAUUCCAGGUCCAAAAACAAAAAAUGCUGUCUUACAAGAUUAUAUCAAUGCAUCAUGCCCACUAUGUGCAAAUUGGCAUAGUGCUUUACUAGUGCUGUAUGCACUAUGAUAUACUCAUGGUAACAUGUUUGAUCACUCACUGCAGAUGCCAUAUACUGGCCAGCCUUCAUUAUUGCAACUCUUGCAGCAAUAGUUGCGAGCCAAGCCACCAUAUCUGCAACUUACUCAAUUAUAAAGCAGGCUCUUGCGCUGGGCUGUUUUCCCCGUGUGAAUGUUGUACACACCUCAAAAAAGUUCCUUGGUCAGAUUUACAUCCCUGACAUCAAUUGGGUACUUAUGAUUCUUUGCAUUGCUGUGACCACUGGUUUCAAGAACCAAAGCCAGAUAGGAAAUGCAUACGGUAAGCUUUACAUUUCAAAAAUUCCUUGAGUCUACGAAUUCAUGAUUGAAUAGGGAGAAAUUGGUUUUGGUAUUUCUACUUUAUAUGCAACUGACUUAAAUUUGUAAGCUAAUUAAGUUUCACAUUGCUGCAAAAUAGAGGAUAGCUGUGGUACCUGUGGUUCAUUUCACCACUAACUACAGAGUCAGCAUUUUGUUAUCAAUAUUUUUGUACUUUAUGACAUAAUAUGACCCAGUGAGUCCGAUUCUAGAAUACCUGAACAGAAGAUAUAAUUCGCACAAGAACUAAUAGCUAGAGAAUACUAGAUGUACUUCUCUGUUUCUCCUCGUUACUAUUUGGGCCUUUGAACUUUUGUUUCUCCUCUGUUACAUCGGUAACCCCAACAUGGCGUGUCAUUUUUUGCCUUUCUAAUGAUGUGGGUCAUGGCCCUUUGGCCUAAAUGAUGUUACCUUUCUAAAAAGUGAACUAAGUCAGCAUCAUCUAGUGAGUAGUUAGCCAAAACAAAAAAACUGAAAGCGUUAAGGACACUUCGUAAAUUGACAACUAAAGUUCUAAAAGCAACUGCAACUGAACCUUCAUGAUGAACUCUGCAUUCCAUAUAUUACGCCCUACUUACUUGCAUGUGCAUGCUAUAUGAACAGGCACUGCAGUUGUGAUAGUUAUGCUGGUAACAACAUUCCUCAUGGUCCCAAUAAUGCUGCUGGUAUGGAAGAGCCACUGGAUCAUUGUUGUCACCUUCCUCGUGCUAUCGUUGAUGGUGGAGUUCCCAUACUUCACAGCCUGCAUUAACAAGGUAGACCAAGGUGGUUGGGUCCCACUUGUCGUUGCAAUCACUUUCUUCAUCAUCAUGUAUGUGUGGCAUUUCUGCACCGUAAAGCGGUAUGAAUUUGAGUUGCACAGCAAGGUCUCCAUGGCCUGGAUUCUCGGACUCGGGCCGAGCCUUGGCCUUGUUAGGGUCCCUGGGAUCGGCUUUGUUUACACCGAGCUGGCAAGUGGUGUUCCGCAUAUCUUCUCCCAUUUCAUCACCAACCUCCCUGCCAUCCACUCAGUUGUCGUCUUCGUGUGUGUAAAGUAUCUUCCAGUGUACACUGUCCCAGUCGAAGAGCGGUUUGUCAUGAAGAGGAUUGGGCCAAAGAAUUUCCACAUGUUUCGUUGUGUCACGAGGUAUGGGUACAAGGACGUCCACAAGAAAAAUGACGACUUUGAGAAGAUGCUUCUUGACAGGCUCAUGGUCUUUGUCAGACUGGAGAGCAUGAUGGAUGGCUAUUCUGAUUCUGAGGACUUCACCAUGACGGAGCACAAAACUGAGAGAUCCACCAAUGCAUUGCAGCUGACUGAAAAGGCUGGGAGCAACACAAUGUGUUCCGCUGCUGACCUGAGCUACUCUUCACAGGAUUCCAUUGUACCGGCCAAGUCACCCCUCACGGGGAACAGCUUGACAGGGUACUCGAUCCAGACAUUCGACGAUGAACUGGAGUUCCUGAACAGCUGCAAGGAUGCGGGCGUUGUGCACAUCCUCGGCAACACCAUCGUCCGAGCGCGGAGGGAUUCAGGGAUUAUCAAGAAGAUUGUUGUGGAUCAUCUAUAUGCCUUCCUUAGGAAGGUAUGCAGAGAGCACAGUGUGAUAUUCAAUGUUCCCCAUGAAAGCCUUCUCAAUGUAGGCCAGAUAUACUAUAUAUGAGACCAUCUUUUUGUUUCCUUAUGUUCGAAGUGAGCAGUUAACUGUGUAGGGCCGCUGAAAGUUGUACUGAUCAGCUCUGGAGUUAGCUUUGUUCGUCAUUUUGUUCUCGUCACAAACCAUUUAUUUUGCAGAUGGCAUGCUCUACAUAAUCUUCUUAAAUUGACGUAUUAGACAGAAAAAAGUUGUUGCAAAAUCCGAAUGCUCGUUUACCAUCCAUAUACAUUAUGCCAUAGAAUAGGCCUGGAAAAAAAGUAAUGUCCUGAAUCAUCAGGAAGAAAACCAGAAAAAACAUGAAAAACAAAAUUCUGACAGAUCCACAAAGCAGGAAAAAAUCCUGAGUCCAAGAGAGACAUGAAGAACUUUUGAGCAUCCAAGCGCCUCAUACUUAUUUCUUGCUAUCAGUUUCACUGACGAGGUUUGUUGUGUCAGCCGACAAAUUGCUGAUAAUAUUCAACCAAAGCUUCAAACCAACACAUUAAUUCACUACUCCCUCCGUUUCAAAUUAUGGGACGUUGUAUCUUUGUACUAAGUCAAAAUUUUCUAAACUUGAUUAAGGUUAUAGAAGAAUAUAUACUAACAUUUACAAUAUCUAAUAAGUAUACUAUAUAGGUAUAUAUCAUGAUGGAUUUAGUAAAACUAAUUUAAAGUUGUAGACAUUGGUAGAUUAUUCUAUAAGCUUAUUUGACAGGAAGUCAAACAUUAAGAAGUUAAACUUACGACAAAGCUAGACCAUUUUAUAAUUUUGAACAAAGUAAGUAGGUCUGUUAAAAAAAUAUGCAGGGACCUGACACCAACAGAUAUUCAUGUCGACAGCUGAUGAGGUUUGCAUCAAAAGGACGGUCUUUUUAGACCUACUAUCACAAACAGAACGAGAAGAGUCAAUCACACUUAAAAAAUUCCAGCCAAAUCACACCAGAAUGUUAACUAAGUACAAACUCUGUAGAUAUCUGUAAAAAAGCUAUGCCACUGCAAGACCUGAGACUAACAGAGACAUUCAUGUCAAAGCCUGAUGAAGUUUACAUCAAAAGGUAGCUCAGUUUACCUACUAUCAGAAACAAAAGACAGUUUAAAUAAGCACAAAUAGUCACUUUCACCAAUGUUCCAGCCAAAGCACCCCAGAAUGGUAACUAUAACAUACAAAUGCGCCGAGUCAACCACAUUAGGACACUAAUCGCACGGCUUGAUUCUCCCGCUUUCAUCAGCUACACUCAUACGUCUUGUCCACCGUUGUAAGGCGGCUCCUCCUCCUCCUCCUCCUCCUCCUCCUGCUGCUGCUCACCAUUGUAAGGGGGCUGCUGCUCCGGCUGCGGCCAAGCGAAAGCAGUUGGCAGCUGGUUUCCAUACAUUCCAAAGGGAAUGCCCAUUCCUGGGACCAUGGUCUGCAAGGUCACAGGUGGCAACACCGCGCCAUUCUCCUGCAUGACGUCCACCAGGAAAUCAAAGUCGUCAUUCCUGGAGACCACAGUGGCGAUAUCAUUUUUCUGCAGUGUAUUCCUAUUGUUCUCUCUGGUUUGGAGCCACGACCUCAGCGUCAGCUCCAGAAUGAACAUCUCGCAGGCCUUCGCGAAGACCGCUGGCGCCUCACCAGCGAUCAUCUGGACGUCCUCAUCAGCCUUCAUUAUCUUCUUGAUCCUCGCGAGGGGUAGGCUGUGGGUCUUGCAGUCGGUUAUCUGCUCGAUCUCAGUCUUUCGGUCGGCCCAGAAGGUCUGAAGCUGUUGCUGAACCUCCUGCUUCUGUUGGAGUGGAAGUUGCUGCUGUAGUGGGGCGGCCGCAUAAACGACUGGACCACCAUUGGAGCCUGCAGGAAAGGCAGUGCCUGCUGAUGGAGCUCCAGAUACCAUCACUACAUCCUCUACCUUUGUCUGUGAGUGUUGAUCCAUCGCCAAGAUGCACUUCAGUCUGAACCUGCUAUAGAACGUCAAAACUUGUCAUUUACAGGAGCUUACAUGCACAAUUCAGUUGAAUGAUGUUGGUAAUUUAACCAAGAGCUACAUAAAUUACAUAAAUUACAUUAAGCUAGGUAUCCUUCAAAAGUAGGUAAGCUCCAUUCUUUUUUCUAAUGAAAAGCAUGAAGAAAAUAUUGCAGCAAAAGAAACAAAUGUAUAAACAUGGCCAAUGAAAAAGCUGUGAAUUUGCCUUAGUAAGUAAACCUGAAAAUAGUAAUUUCAUAAUUAAAAAAUUAAAAAUAUUUCUGCAAGGUGUGGAAACCCUGCAGGCAGUUUUAUUAUGAGUCUAAUUUUAAGUUAUAUAUCUACUCUAACUUCGAAGGUAAAUCGACACCCACGCCCUUCCAAAAGAAAAAUCGAUACCCACAGACACAACUUGUGCUGGGGACGCCCAGGCUGCAAAUGUUACACCAAAAGUUGGCCAGAAUACACAAUUGGCCCAACAGAGCAGUUGCACAAUUCAUGGGACACAACUAUAUAACUUUCUUAAACAAAAGAAAAUAUUAGACACGUCACUUUCCUAAAAAAAACCUAGACACAACCAAUGUACUGAUAUCCACUCGCACCUGAGGUUUAUCCUCAAAGGUAUAGGUAAACACAUACUGAUUUUUAGCUCACUUCUGCUUAGAUAAAAUUCAAUCUACAAUUCUAAAGAAAAGAAAAACAUUUACAUGUACUUUUGUCUACAUGGAAAAUGCUUUCUACUGCCGCGGUGCUAGCUGGGUAACCAACAAAUAAAACCAAACAUGUGCCAACAUACUAUAGACUAUGAACAUUGGCUCUUCGUGAACCCACAUAAAAAUAAAAAUAAAAACUGCAGGGCCACAUGCCUAAAUUCACAUCUCAAAGCAAGGCAAAAAUACCCACAUUUCUGGUUCCAUCCAAACUCAAUUUGCUAGUGUUCUGACCUGGACCGCUGUGGUUUAAGUAGCACACGGCGAGACAACGGCGAUCGGCCGACCGACCAACCCGCGGGCGCCGAAAGAAUUGGAAACGAGACGCACGAGACAAUUACCUACCCAUCCAUAUCCAGCAUCUACACGGCCCCGAUCUCGCCCGAAUAACAGUAAAAACCACACAGCAUCUAGCAUCGCUCCACGCGCCCAAGCGGCGGCCGGAUGAAGGAACCGAUUAUCGGUAGCUCGGGGCAGAGCGCACGAUCAGGAAUCGGGAGGGAGGUCGAUGCUUACCAAGGUGGUCGGGGCGGCGGAGGACAGGGAUGGCGGCGGCGCCGGCGUGCGAUCGCCGAUGGAGCCCUAGCUAGGAAUUGCAGGUGGUGGCGACGGCCGGGAGAAGAGAGGAAGACCUAGGCUUGACCCCUGCUGGACUUGGGAUUGGGACCGAGCGCCUGGGAGACAUCUGGGCCCGGUGGCAUCGCGGCCUGUAAGCCCGCCAGCCGGCAGGUGGGCCCUGCGAGAUUUGGUGGGGCCUUUGGGACACACGUGCCCACCAAAAGCCAAGAACGAGGAACCAGGGAGGUUCUUCUCUUCGAGCUUUUUAUUUAUUUAUUAUUAUUAGCUGAAAGCGCUAUCCGUUGUUUAUAAUUGUUUUUUAAACAACGGGGUCGAAGCAUCCGAAUAAAAAAUUAUAGAAUAACUAGUACUAUGUUCAUGCGUUGCUACGGAAAAAAAAAUUAGUUAAACCAUCUUCCUACAUUUUUAUCUGCGGAGAGAUUCACACAUGACCGGAUGGCCCCUCCCCAAAAGAGGAUGCCAUUUAAACAUUAUUUGAUCAAAAUGUCUACAUUUUAGAAGGUAGAACGAACUGCAAAGUGCUCGAUUGGUGCAAAAAUUUACUUCAUAAUUUAUUGAUGUUGUGGUAUGAUGAUGUUACUGGAACUUCGUUAGGGUGACAAGCGCAGGUGCGACUCCUUGUUGGUUGCUGCUGCAAGGGUAGACUAUCACCGAAAAGAUUGGUAGCAGCUUUGCCACCAGUGCAAAUGGGAACCGUCCAGGAGCAAAAUCACACAAGGAGCACUCAGAAUCAAGACGCAUAUAUCAAGGAGUACGUAGAAGAUAACAGUUCGAACAAGCCAGAGCUUCUUCUACUUCUUUCUCUUGCCCCAAUCAAAUCAAACAGGCAAAUUAAGAUGCCAUGUCCCUUGGACGCAGCUCUCUCCACAUCCAUCCCUCCUCGCUAUCUAAAACCUGCAGACGAAAAUGGUGGUGGGCGCAGUAGCUCACGUGCGUCAGAGACGGACGGCGUGGUUUUCUUUCGGACGGACGACGGAAGCGAUCAGAUUGCGCAUGGGCUCGUGCUAUACACUGCUGCCGUGUGCGAGGAGCGAGGAGGAGGUGACGAUGGAGAAGAGAGAGAUGUUCGGAUCGGGGCGGGCUGUGUACCAGGUGGAGGUGUUCGGGGUGGAAGGAGGGCGAGGGGGUAGGAUCGGGCGGCCAUGAUGGUAUCGUUGUAAUUUUUAUGAAAAAAUCUACCGACGUCUGCCAUCACCACCGUUUGUAAUUUAAUCUAUCUAGCCCUUAUUUUUUUUAAUAACUUCGUUGUCGUCCGUCGGUUAGUUUUACAAUUGAACGCCAUAGUACAUCCAGCAAGGAGUAGGGGAACGCGGUCUAUUUCCUUCGUCCGCCGGGCAUCCAGAAAACGAGCGUCCUCUCUCCACCUCCGAAGUCCCUCUGCCGCCCCUCUACCGGCCCGGCAAUCGCAUCCUCGCCGCCCCGACCUCUUCCGUCCGUCCCGAUCUCCGUCGUCCGGCCUCGGUUCCAGCUUCACUGAUGUAGGUAGGGCUGGGCGAGAAAGGGUCCCCUCUUGCCUAUUAGUAAGCGGGCCUUCAAUUCCACCGGGGUCUUACGGUCUCAUAGAGGGGGGAGAACUACCUAACUAAAGAAGAAUAGUGCUCUUUAUAAAUAAGAGUAGGCGCGGAGAUUGAGCUUUUUGCGGGGAAACUUGCAAGUCAAGUUUGGGGGGAGGCGGGCGUCGACCCAACCUUAUGAGUAUUCGGACUAUAAUAGUUCUGAUGAACAGUCACUCACUUUUGACAGUUAUACGAUUCCAGAAGAUGAUCCAGAAUUGGGUCAAUCACGUUUAUUAGAAGUUGACCCUUCGAGACUUGGACUCGAGAAGGGUAAGACACCCGAAGGGACUUCGGUUUCUGGUUCGGAGACAGACAGUGACUUCGGUUUCAGGUUAGGAAACAGACAGUUUCGGCCUCAUAGGGAGCGCCCGGGUUCCGGUUCGGAGACAGACAGCUUCGGCCCGAUAGGGACUUCGCCAAUCAACAAGGAAAGCCUGUCAAGCAAGGAAGCCACCAAGCAAACCUUUAAUAAGCAUCUCUAGCGCAGUCACUUCUCUAUAAAAGUUAUUUUCCAACCACUGCUCCAGAAAACCCCUCUAGCGGCGGUCAAACAAUGGGGUUGGUGGCGGUGAUCACGCCCGCCAUCAACUCUGCGUCACUGGAGAUUUUGGCACCGGUGGCGGGUGAAAUACCCGCCACUGCUGCUCCGAGAUCACCAAUGGCGGGUAAAAUACCCGCCACCGAAGACACACAAACCGCCACUGUAAAUCCCUCCGGCACCAACCGAAAAGUGCGUGGAGCACAUCAGUGGCGGGCGAAGAACCCGCCACUGGACAUUUUCGAGUGGCGGUCUAUGGCCACCGCCACUAGAACCUUUUCCAGUGGCGGUAGUGUCUAACCGUCACUGCUAUGUGUUCAGUGGCGGUGGCUUUUAACCACCAUUGGUACUAUUUUUUUCUGAAAAUAAAUAAAUGAAUUCUUUAUAAAAAUAAAUAUUCCUAUAGCACAGAAAUAGCAGGAAUACAGCACAGCACAGAUAAUACCAGGAAUACAGCAGCACAAUAUACAACACCAAAGAAACAGAAAUAGCAGCAAAUAUAUUACAAAGUUUCACAUGAGUUAAACAUUCAAGUCACAUGCAUGUGUAUACAAAGUGUUUGAAAGAAUGAGCCAAAAAUAAAAGUAUUCCACACAAUUUAGCCACUUUUGGCGACAAUCCCGCCACCGUAGUAAUCCCCGCUCGAUUUGAGGACCUCCUUGUUGAGGAUUUCGCCGAUGUCCUUCUGGAUCUCGUACACGAGAAUUUUUGAGUUGUGCCCUAACUCGGCGUUGGCCAGAAACCAAUUUCUCACUUCUUCGAAGGUCUUCUUCCCCUUCGGCUGGAAGUCGUUGAUGAACUGCUGAAUAGUGUGUGCGCAGUAGUAACCGCAGUAGACGGAUCCUUCAGGCUGUUGCUCGCAGGGGAAGUUGAAAUUGUGCCUGAGGGGAGCGUCAGGAUUGCGGCUGAAGUCAGUCAUCCCGUACCAUUUCACCGCGUCGCGAUAGGUUGAGUCGAUGACAUAUUUGAUCGGCCCAAAGUCACAUUGUGGUUCAUUCUCCUUGCGUCUUAGUGGAUCAAGAUAUGUGACCCCUCUCAUAUCGAGGCAGAUGGCGAUUGUCAUCCGAUGGCCGCUGUUUCACAAAAAGACGCACAUUGUAUUAGCCAAAUAAUAUAACAAGCAAGUCUUCUGACGGAAAAACAUUUAUGUAUUCAGACGAAUUGAAAACAACUUACUGUAGAUGGUACAAUCAUUAUGAAAUGGCGGUCUCUGUGCUUCGAGAUGAAUUGAGUGAGGUAUUCAAUCGCCAACCUUCUACUUUCGGCCAUCCCAUAUUGCUUCACCCUAUAGACCUCCCUCGUGUAGUGUACACACCACAGUCUUAAUAUGGCGUUGUCGAGGCACUUGCGGUUGAAGAGGUGAAACAAGUCGAGGAAGUCAAUGCCGAAGGUAACGUCGUUUUCCUUCUGGAUUUCCCCCGUAUUGGAGUCGAAAAAGCCAUAAUACUUUGGCACUCGAACCCUGAUUUCCAGAUUCUGGAGGUCUGUGCCUGAUGAUGUCACAUUCAUGUAUUUAUCAUGGAGCUCUUGCAUCUCCCGUGGCAGGCGAUACAGGUCAUCCUGGGUCACCAUCGGUUGUCCGGGGUGGAACAACAAAAAUUGGGAGAAUCGCCUAUCCACGAAAUAAGACCCAUGAGGCAAUCUAUCUCCAACACGGGGGUGGGUGGGCAUCUUCAGAAUGUCUGGCUGCUCUUCCCUAAUCCCUUCUAUCUGUGGCACGGUCUUUGGUUGUCUUCCCGUAGAAGACGACUCUUUCGCCUCCUUGGAGGAGCCCUUGCUUGCCUUGCCGCCUGUCCCCCUUUUGUUUUUCCUGCGUCUCAGGAAAUCGGAACUGUCCGGUUUCUGGGGGACCUGCAUCCCAGCAGGGGCACUUGGACGGCUCUCCAACGGGGCCGAUUGUGCUGCGGCUCUCCGAGGGACGGGUCUUGGUGCGGAUGGCUUCGGGGCUUCGGGUUUGGGCGGCGAUGGAGGAUUUUCGCCUGCAUUGUCGUCGCUGCACUCCGCCGCAGGGGAGAAGUCUCGUUCCGUGGGCUCGUAGUCGAAAGGACCGGGUGAGGCGCCAAGCGGCGAUGGAGAUGUCAUGCGCCGGGCGGGAGGUGACGGACCGAGGCGGGGGGACGGAGAUGGAGACGGUUCCGUAGUGAGGACCACCAACCUCCUAGGCCAGAUGAGGUAGGAGUUGAUGCAAUCCCUUAGGGUCAUCGCCUCUUCGUGCGGAGGAUAAGGGACCGGUUCGUCCUCAAAGCCCCUGAGCACGGAGUCCACCUGCACCCUGACCAUGUCGUCACGUGGUGCACCACGGCCGUACGCGGCAUCAGCAACCCGCGCGUGCCCAGAGGGUUCCCCACCGUCGGCGUGUGUAGCCGGCAUUUGACGCCCUUCUGCGCAUGACAAACAUGGCAACAUCAUUAAUGGAUUGGAGCAUGAUAGUGGUAUUUCACAAUUUUUCUGAGCGCGCGAAGACACUUACCGUGAGGUUCUUGUCGAGUGGCCCAAGCGGGUCAAGCUGGCACUCGGUGCCGGAGCAUCAGGUGCUCUUAUUCUACAGCGGGGACGGAUCCGAUGCGGGUGGGGUUGGUUGGAUGGGCGCCUCCGGGAAAACACCGUGAUCGAUGAAGUUGUCGACGUCACGCUGGUCCCUUGCAAGCCGCAUGAACUUCCUGAGCUCCUCCCUCGCCAACACCCGGAUCUUCUCAUCUAGUUCCUCUGAGCUCUGUUCUUUGCUGGACGCCCUUCUGCAUUUGCGGGAACCUUGCUCUUUCGCCAUCUGCCUGCGAAAGGGCCCGGAAUCGACACCUCGCAUAUGGCCCCCGUGCUCAUUUCGUUGUAGAGCGUAGCUGAUGGCAUCAUCCCACUAUUGGUUGAUAGACGAGUGGGAGCCAUCCGACUCCCACUCUGCCAUUGCACCCUGUAUACAAAAAACAACAUGCUCGGUGUUAAUGUUAUAUGUGAGUAUAAGAAGCCCAACCGAUAAAAGAAGAUGUCAGGACGAGGCCUUACGAGUGCAGCCUCUUGCUUCUCUGACAUAGGCUCCAGGCCCGCCCACCGCGAAGCAAAGUUGGGACCCUCACAGAUUUGCGGUCAUGGACGACCACAUCCAUUUGCUGGAGCGCUCACCGCGAAGCAAAGUUGGGACCCUCGGCUGUAUACCGGCUUGGUCCAAUGCGGCGUCCUCCUUCGCCCACACCUUCUCCUUUCCGGGGCCUCCACGACUGCCGAGGCGGUGGUCGAAGGGCCUUUUCUCACGAAGUUCCUUGCACCAUUUUUGGCUGGCCUUGAAUUCAUCUAACCUGACCCACUCCUUGAACCUCUCCCAGUCCUCCUCUGAGAUCCCCUUCCAGUGCUUGUUCACCUCUGUCUUCCAGUCUUUGCCGAUGAGCUUCCGACAGUUAUAUUGCCACGUGCUCUGGCCCUUCCUCAUGAUUUGGUGCAUCCGCCACUCCAACCGUCUCCUGAUCUCAUCAUUGGCAGGCACGAACCACUAACUUCAAAUUUCAAAAAUUAUAAACCCUAACACUAAUUAACAGCAAGGGAGAGAGAGGCCAUACCGUCGCUGGAGUUGGGGCGGCGACAGCGGGGGUCGGGGCGACGGAGACGGUCGGGGUCGUGGACGGGGUUGGGGUGGCCGGGGCGGAGGGGGCGGGGGCGGGAGCGGCCGGGGCUGAGGGGGCCGGGGCGGAGGUGGCCGGCGCGGGGGCGGCCGGUGGAGGUGGCGGCGUCGAGGCGGCCCGGCGGGGGGCCUGCGGGACGAGGGGCUUCCCGCUCCUCGUCGUUCGCUGCGACCCCCCGGCCCCAGAUUUGUCGUUCUGUGACAUGGCGGCGGCGGGGAAGGGUGGCGGUGGCGGAAUUGGGCAGGGCUUUGCCUAGGGUUUCGGGGAUGAGCGCUGCUGGUCUGUGAGAAAGACGCGCGUCUCGGAUACAAAAAUUUCGCGAAGUCUCGCCCUGUAAUAUAUAUAGGAAGGGUCUCCAAUGGCGGGUAUUCCGCGGAUGCCGGCCACUGGAGACCCUUCCUAGGGUUACCGGUGCUGGAGACCACCGGUGGCGGGUAUCUCCGGAUACCCGCCAUUGGUGAACUACGAGUGGCGGGUAUGUGGAAACCCCGCCACUGGUAAUUUGAACAGGAGUGAGGGUUAACCACAUCCCUGUUCCACGCACCAGUGGCGGUGGUGUUGCAUAUACCCGCCACUAGUUAUUAUUUUGGCUCUAGUAUUAUAUUGUUAUUAUAUUUUGUGUCUCUCUGAAAAUUAUGGCACCUGUACUUUCAAGUGUAUAAUAAUUAUUUCUUGUCUCACUAAAGAUUUCAAUGCUAAAUACAUUGCUGAAAUUCAAAUACUUAUGCUUUUGUAGUGUUUACUAUGGUUAAAAAUUGUUAUAAAUUACAAAAUUGCUCAGAAUGGUCUGAUAUUUGGCAUGGAGGCUGCUCACACAACAAUAUGCCUGUAUAUGAAGUUUGGUGUCAAAAUUCCAAAUGAAGCACAUAAGAAUAACAUAUUGGGAUCAUCUAGGUAGAUAUCUCUGAUACCUUCUAAGCCAACAUCCAAAUGGUAACAUUAUAACAACUUUGGGCUUGAUUUUUUCCACGUGGCUUCAUUGGACUGAGAGGUGUUCUCAUGCUAAGUUUCAGCUCAUUUUGAUGAAAAUUGAAUUUUAUGGAAUUAAAUUAGCACCAAAGCCACACAUAAUCACAGAAAUUUGUAUGAAAUACUAUGAAUUAAUGUCUAAAACUUGUAUUGGGAACAAAGAAUAUUACUAUACACUUAAAAGUACAACUGCUAUAUUUUUUGGAAACGCAGAGAAUAUAAUAGGAUUAUAAUAGUGCAUUCUGAAAUCAUUACCAGUGGCGGGUUUCAUGAAAAUAACCGCCACUGGUGAUUUGGAGAAGAUGUGGGGAAUCCCAAGUCCUGUAGCACUCACCAGUGGCGGGUUUCAGUGAAAUCACCGCCACUGGUGGUUGCUUCCGGUGGCGGGUUUACCUGUAAUCACCGCCACUGGUACCCCUUGUGCGGCCUCGCUAGUUUACGAGCGAUUCGACCAGCAUAAAUAGCUUCCUCCCCUCCCUUUGCAGAUUCCAAAUAAAAUCAAAUGCCGCUCUCGCCUCUACUCCCGUUCGCCUGGCCUGUGGGCUCGGUACUCUCUGUGUGCACUGGUGGGCUCGGAUUAUAGCCCUGUGGGCCCGUGCUCUUCUAGCCUAGUAGGUAGUAGGCAGCUCCCAUGUUCUCGUCUGGCUGGGCUCGAACCUGAAACAGCCUAGUUGAUCGGGUGGGCUAAUUUUUUUUUUGCCUCCUUUUCUGGUAGCACGCAACAAUGGCGGGUUUCACGGAAAUCACCGCCACUGCUGUCCAUUCCAGUGGCAGUGUUCCUGGUAAUAAUCGCCACUGGUACCCUUCCAGUGGCGGUUUUCCUUGUAAUAACCGCCACUGGUGUCCUUCUGCGGGCUCCGUGCGAGGCGAGGUGGGAGUUUAGUCCCACCUCGCUAGUUUACGAGCGGUUCGACCAGCAUAUAAGGCUUUCCUCCCUUCUCUCAUCAGCUUCCGAUGAAUCCUCUCGCCUGUCUCCUGUGCUCCUCGCCUGGCCCGUGGGCCCGGUGCUUGUACUGUUCUUUGUGGGCUCGGAUAAGAGUCCCGUGGGCCCGGGUCCGCUCCGGCCUAGUAGGUAGUAGGCUGCUCCCGGGUUCGCCUGCCUGGGCCCGAACCUGAACAGCCUAGUUGACCCGGGUGGGCUUUAAAACUUUUUUUUUCUCCUUUAUAAUGAUGAAAGAAGCAAAUAAAAUAUGCAUUCACAGUAGAAAAUUAUUGCGAACAAAUUUACGGCAUUUGUUUUCAAAUUUGAACAAGUUAAAAGAUUCGAACCUCGUUAGAAUUUAAAUUAAAUUGAAAAUAAUCAACGAGCAUAAUUGAUCAAAAUUACACAAAUAGUGAACUAUUGGACAAUCUUGUCUUUCUUCUUUGGUGUCUUCUGUUUCCUCUUAUACGUUUGGACCUCAUCGUGGCUGCUUCUGGCGUAGUUUUUCGCUAUCGGGUCUUCUACGAAGAAGACUUGUUUGCAUAUGGAAGCAAACUUCCAUGGUUCAUGCAGUGCCAACAUUCUUUUGACGUUCACCUGAUGACGGGGAAUCUCUUUUGGCAGAAUCAUUGUUGUGAACCUAUGAUCUUCAUGCGUGACAUCGUGUGCCCUCUGAUGCGAAACAUGACGAUAGUUGUGAAGGUGUAGUCAAGCUCCCAGAUCUCUUCGACCACGCUGUAGUACGCUUCAGUCUGGCCUUCGCUGGCGGUCCCCGUCUCAGCUACGAGCACUAUACCGCUGUUUUGGUACGUACUCUUACGGUCUUGAGCCUUGGUGUAAUACGUAUACCCAUUCAUUGCGUACGACUGGCAUGUCACGACGUUGCGGUCGGGAAGCCGUGACAACUUCUGGACAAUCUUCUCAUCUUCAUUCGCCGCAGCCCUCAGAUACCAAAGAUCCUUGAGCCACAUGGCGAAUGUAGAAUUGUGUUUUCGCUGGAUCCAAUCAUCAUUACUGUUAGGGUUGAGGUUUCGAAGUUCUUCGAUGUGCAUGUCGAUGAACGGCUCGACCUCUGGCGUGAGUUGCAGCACCAUUGUGUGUGCUCUUAUAAAGUCGUCCGUUCUUUGGCGGGCAUGCACAUCAAGCUCCUUCCGGCCAAGACCACCUUCACCUUCUAGCUUCCCCUUAUGUCGUGAUUCGGGGACCCCUAUGGGUUUGCGGUCCGCCAACCAAUCAGUGCAGAACUGAACACACUCUUCUGCAUGAUAGCCUUCCAUGAUGCUUCGUUCGGGACGCCCUCUGUUAUGAACAUAUCGCUUCAGCACCCCGUUGUAUCGUUCGGGCGCAAACAUGUUGUGCAGGAACGAUGGCCCUAACAACAAGAUCUCAUCAGCGAUGUGGACCAUCAGAUGGACCAUAAUGUCAAAGAACGUUGGGGGAAAGAACAUCUCACAUUCGCACAAUAUCUGUAUCAUUGCAUCCCUCGGUUGCAGGCAACGGUCCACCGUGAUGGACUUCUGGCCGAUCGUGUCGAAGAAGUCACAUAGCUUCAUGAUCGUCUCUCUCACCCAUGGCUCCAUGCAGCCUUUUAUUGCAACCGGAAGUAGCUGCGUGAGAAUCACAUGGAAGUCAUGAGACUUCAUGCCAACCAGCUUAUGGCUCUUCAUGUCAACGAGUUUCUUGAUACUGGAUGAGUAGUUUGAUGGAACUUUGAUGCCAUGGAGACACUCGCACAUUCUAUGCAGCUCGGCUUUGCUCAGACUAUAACACGCAGGUUUGCAUCGCGUAUAUAUCGUGCGUUCACCAUUCUUGUUUUCCUGCGGCACCUCUUCCUCUAUCGGCCACAGCUUCUCCUUUAUCCCCAUCCACUGCAGGUCCUUCCGUGCCUUUGGUCCAUCUUUUGACUUGUCCGCGUGGUGCAUCAUCAAGCCCAACAGGCUGUCGCACACGUUCUUCUCGACAUGCAUGACGUCUAUGGUGUGACGGCUCUGUAAGAACCUCCAGUAAGGCAGGUCCCAGAACACGGACCUCCUCUUGUACGUAAGGCCGCCACCAUCUGGACCUGCAGCCGGCUGUGCUUUCCCGGCCACGACUUCGAGGUUCCUGACAAUUUCGUAUACUUCGUGUCCAGUCAGCUCCCUCGGUUUGUGCCGCCUCUCUGCCCUCCCGUUGAAGUUUUUCUUAUCAUCCCUCCACGGGUCCUUCAUCUCCAGCCACUUACGGUGUCCCAUGUACACAAUCUUUUUUGAUUCUGGCAGGAACAACCCGUCUGUCUCGUCCCCGCACUUUGUGCACGCUUUGUACCCAUGCGUUGACUGGCAUGAUGAAUUCCCGUUCGCCGGGUAGUCAUGCACACAUGUCAGGAGAGCUGCUCGAAGGGUGAAGUCCUCCUUAUGAGCGUCUCAAACCUUUCGACCCUUCUCCCAAAGCUCCUUGAGCUCAUCCUUCAGCAGUUCCAGAUACACGUUCAGAUCAGCUCCAGGCUGCUUAGGGCCCUGUAUGAGCAUUGAUAGGUGGAUGUACUUCCUCUUCAUGACAAGCCACGGGGGAGGUUGUAUAUGAACAGGAUCACCGGUCAUGUGCUGUGUUUGCUGCUCAAGUUUCCGAACGGAUUGAUCACGUCCGUACUCAUCUGAACCUAAUGUUCCUAGGCUCUACGCCGAACUCGGGGAAUUCGUCGUCCAGAGUCCUCCAUUGAUCCGCAUCUGCGGGGUGUCUGAGGACACCAUCAUCGUUGCGGUACACGCCCUCAGGAUCGAUAUCCGCCUGAGUCGCGUCGUGGUAGAUGAACCACCUGGUCUCCUUCUCGUUCUGGAACCAACGCUCCAGCCUAGUGCCACAGGGGAGAUACCAGACCGUCUUUGCCGCCGCACCACGCUUCAAUUCUUCCUCCUCGUCGCCGUCAGGAUUGGGGUCUUUCUUCCUGUAUCGGGCUGUUUUGCAUACUAGACAGUUGUGCAUGUCUUUGUAGUCGCCCUUAUAUAUGAUGCAGUUCAGCGGACAAGCAUGGUAUCUGAUGACCUCUAACCUGAGUGGGCAUGUAACUUUCUUUGCCUCGUACGUGCUCUUAGCCAACUUGUUGCCCGGAGGAAGUACCGUACGUAGGUAACUCAGAAUCUUCGUGAAUCCCGAGUCCACGAUGUUGUAUUUUGCCUUUAUACGCAAAAGUUCGAGCGUUACUUCUAGCAAACUCUUAUCCAUGCCGGCAUUUUCAUAUAACGGUGUCUCGGCAUCCUCCCUCAGCUUCUCUAACUUAUGGGAACCCUCUCAUCCUUGGGGUCAUCCAACUGAUUAUGCAGAUGCUGAUCGUCCAGCAUUUCAACCAUCCUACCGGUUGGAACGUCCUAUACUGGAUCCAGGCCACGGUAUGCUUCUUCACCAGGCUGGUCGUCAGACUCCAUGUUUUCCAUCUCAAUGCCGCCAUUGGCUUCAAUGCCAUCCUCCCCGUGAGAAGUCCACCUUGAAUAACCUGACACAAAUCUCCGCAUGAGCAAGUGCAUCUCCACAUCCUCUGCCUCGUACAGCUUGCUGUUCCGACAUCUCACACAGGGACAACACAUCUUAUCACCCCCUUUCCUAUGCAUAUCUUCCACACCGGCAUCGACAAAAGUCUUCAGCCGCUCUAUCCACUCAACACAUAACCUGUCCUCGUACAUCCAAGCACGGCCCAUCGAGCUACAACACAAUUUUUUUAAAAAAAUUAACAAAUCAGCUUGCUCGACAAAAAUAAAGAAUUUCGGCAUGACCUUUGCUUAAAAAAUAGCAUUUUGCACUACGAAAUUCGAUGCCUGCAUCAAAAAAAAAUUACCCCCACCCACAUCGGCACGACGGCCGGUAUCACAUCGCAUAAGAAAUACACGGCACGAAGGCCGGUGUCAACACACAUUUAAUAUGUUUGAACAUGCACGUACACCGGUCCCGAGGUUAAGCUUAACCCUAGGGCUAACCCCCAGGGGCUAAGCUCCCCCAUAAGCAGCUAUAUAGAGAGAGAGCCGCAGAGAGAGAGAGCUAGAAAGAGAGCUGCAGAGAGAGAGAGAGAGCUAGAGAGAGAGAGGGAGCUCAUCCGAGCAAAAUUAAAGCGCGCGAGAGAGGGAGGAUCAUCACUAGGGUGAGGGGGAGCUCCAGAGACAGCGGGGGCAGCCCGGGAGAGCCGCCGGAGAGAGAUCGGGGCCCGAUUUCCCGCCGGCGGCCAAGGCACCAUUAAUGGCCAUUUUACAAAAUUGGAGAAGAAUAGGAGGAGGAAGAAGGGAGAGGAAGAGGGAGGAGAAGGAGGGAGAGCUACCUUCCUGCCGCCGCCAUCAAAUUUUGACAAGGCUUCGCCGCCGGUGAGAAGCAGAGCCGCAGCUGGUUCCAGACAGACGCGCGAGCUCGAACAGCUUCGGGCUCGCACAGGGGUUAUAUACAGGGAGGUCUCCAGUGGCGGGCAAAUAGAAUAACCGCCACUGACGACCUCCAGUGGCGGGCGGAGAAGUAGACCGCCACUGGAAGAUCACCAGUGGCGGGUAAGUUUAGACCCGCCACUGGUGAUCUUCCACCAGUUCCCCAACUUUAGUCCCACCUCGCUAGUUUAGAGGAGUUUCGACCAGCAUAAAUAAGAUUCAGCCGUCCCACCUACCGGUGGUUACUACUCAGUGCUCAGUGCGUUCUCCGUUCCGGUUGAGUUCUAAACGAGUGAUUGGGCGGUGCUUAAGGGGUUCAGGGAAGGGCACUGAGACUGAGUAGUACCAUCAUGUAUCAGGUGGUCUACCAGUGGCGGGUAUUUUUUAUGGCCGCCACUGGUGGUUGUUAGGGUUUCCAUGGCCAUUACCAGUGGCGGUGACAAACACCGCCACUGGUGAUGGAUCACCAGUGGCGGUGACUUGUUUCGGGACAAUAUUCACCGCCACUGGUGGUGGGGCAGCAGUGGCGGUGAUUAUCACCGCCACUGGUGGCGCUCGUGGAUGCCUCGGGAGGCCUCCAGUGGCGGUGUGUUUUUUGGUCCGUUUUAACCGCCACUGGAGGGGGAUCACGGAUGGGGUUUUCUGUAGUAGUGCUUGCGUCACGUCUCCUAUCUUCUAUGUCAUCAUCAAUGGCCAUCCUUUUGGCAAUUCCACGGCAGCAACGGAGGAAUAUGACAAGGAUGUCCUCUCUCUCCGUAUAUUUUUGCCCGAGAGUGGAUUUGUUACUCUCGAGAGCACAUUGCAUGCCCCUAUCCUAGCUGCACAUUUCCGUGGAUCCGGACCGUCCUCCCACCCUUCUUCUAUCUCUCCAGCGUGCCCCACACUCCGUCCUCCCUUCUCUCCCAACGCCGACACCCCUGUUUCUCUGCAUGCGUCGCCUCUCUCUCUCCAUCCGUCACCGCCCCACCCCUCUCUCCUGCCUCCAUGCGCCGCCUGCCGUCUCCAUCCCAUGGCCAGGCACAUCGGGCAGUGGCAUCGCCCCUCCCCUCUCUCUCUACCCCAUGUGGCAACGACGUCUCCCCUCCCUCCCUCUCUCUCUCCUCCAUAUGGAAGCAACAGGAAUCUCUCUCUUCCAUAUGGCAGCGGCUUGGAUUCUCUCUCCUCGAUAUGGCAGCGGCAGCGAAAACAUGGUGGGCGCGUCGGGCGAGCGGUAUGGCGCAAGUGCGGCGGUGCAUGCCCCUGUGCUCUAAGCUCCUCCAUAUGUUGGGCACGAAUCUCCAAGUAAUCAAGGGUGGGGAUAGAUGGCGCAAAAAGCUCGGGAGUACGUACCUAAAUCUUUCCUUUUUGCCCUUGACAACAACGAGCUUUCUAUCAGUCUGCAAGAGGCUAUAUAUAUGCUGAAUCACCACCUUCAAGGUAUUACUCUUCAGCCCCACUAUCUGCACAUUCACUCUGUCACGUACGCUGGCGAGCUGCUUAAUUAUCUUCAGGCACGUUAGCACCGUUGAAGCCAAUGCUAUUUUUGUUAUCAACUCUGGGAAAAACUCACUACUACAAAAUACCCCUUCCGUGAACCCCCUCCAGUGGCGGUUAGAAUGGGCCCAAAAAAUCACCGUCACUGGUGGUCGUUCCGGGCAUCCAGGAACAGUACCAGUGGCGGUGGCAAAUCACCGCCAUUGGUUGACCACCAAUGGCGGUGAUUCCCAUUUCAAAAUAAUCACCGCCACUGGCGGUCAUUAGGACAGCCAUUGGUGACCUCUUAGAACAGCCACUGAUGACCCCCCACCUACCAGUGGCGGUUCUAAUCUCAAACCCGCCACUGGUGAUCCCCCGAGACAGGCGAAACUUGCAAAAAUCAUAACUAAUUCAAAACAAAUUGAAACGAUGUGAUUCUUUUUGCUUAAGUCCUCAUUUUUAUUGAUUAACACGUUGGAACAAUAAUAUCACAUGGUCUUUCUCAUAAAAAUAUGAUUUUCCAUUUUUUCAAUGCAAAAAAUAAAGUAUUUAGUGAAGCAAGUACAAUUUUUAUGGUUCAAAAUGACACCUAUACAAUUUUCACACAAACUAGAACAUAUUUAAAUGUCAGUGUCCAAAGGCUUUGAAUUUUCUAGCUAUAUUUAUACUUUUCCUCAUAUAGAUGAAUUUCCAGCGCUUUCCCAAAAGUAAUUCAAAUUUGAACUACAAGUGUGUGAUAGUUUGUUCCUAAAAAAUUCAGAAAAACAUUUUAAGCUACCCAAGUAAGAAUUAUGCAAGAUUCAUAUAGGGAGUUGAAAUAUUCAACAUUUUUCUAUGGAAACAUGUGCCGACAAUUUUCACCCCAUCUUGUGAAAAUUCAAAUAAUAUGAAAAAAUUGUCAAAAAAGUCAAUUCUUCGGCAUGGAGUCCUUCUAUGUGUACUAGUUGACAUGAAAAAUGAUAAACUUGUAUUUUGACAAAUGUUCAAAAAAAAUCCUUCACAAAAUGGACUAUCAAGUAUCAAUGUUUAUGAGUUUCAAGCCAAAUGACCAAAACUACGGCCAUUUCUAUGUCAUAGUUUGUGAGAAUGAAUCCAAUUUUUGCACAGAGGUGCGUCUUCGCCUGCCGAACAAUGUUGUCAAAGAGUUUAGAAAUUUUUAGUUUUAGAAAAUGUUGUUUUCAUUUUCUAAACACAAUAAGCGAGGUAUUUUGUGAAGCAAGUACUUUAAAUAUAUCUCAAAAUGGCGCCUAACCAAUUGUAACACAAAGUAGAGCAUAUGUGUAAACUUAUAAACCAAUUUAGUGACAUUAAAUACAUGUAUAUUAUACUGAAAAUGAAAAAAAUAUUUUUUUGUAAACUCAGUAGUGGCUGUUUUUUUUUUGCAAAACCCGCCACUGGUGCUACGGCAUGGCCCAGGAACAAAAUUACAUAAGUCACCUGUGGCGGUUUUAGGGUUGUACCCGCCACUGGUACUUUAUUUGAGCCCAACAAUUUAACUGGGCCGGCCCGGUUAGACCUAGGGUUUUCACGGAUGGUAUAAAAUACCCCAUCCCCACCCUCCCUUCUCUCCGGUCUCCCCCCGAUCUCCUUUCUCCCAUCCCCUCCCCGAUCUCUUCCACGAACAUGUGCUGCUCCCCUCCAUCCCUCCCCCUUCCCUCAUGAUCUCCUCCUCCUCCUCCUCCUCUCCUCUCCAAUCGACGCCCUCCUCCCGUCCUCCGCCACGAUUACGGCCGCGGCCCCUCAUCCCCGCACGACAAGGCCCCGCCUCCGCCCUUCACGACUGGCCCCGAGCAACCCCGGUGCCGGCAGAUCUGGCCGCCACGGCCCCGAGGACGGCGGAUCCGGCCCCGACGCCGCUGGAUCCGGCCCCGCCACCACGGUACGUCCUUCCCCUCUCUCCUUCUUUCUCGGUUCUCUCUGCGUUCUCACUCUCUUUCUCCUCUCCCGCAGAAGAGGAGGACGCCGCAGUGGAGAGCUUGCCGCCGGAUCUAGCCGUCCCCGGCCUCUCCACCGCCGGAUCGGACAUGCUGUAUGCUUUGAUGAUGUGUAUGCCCUCUGUAAUUUAUUUGGUUUCUCGAUUAAUCGAUGUGUAUGCUUUCUAUUCUCUGUAAUGCUCCAGAUUUCUUUGUUAGUAUGUAUGGAUUUGUGCCUGUGUAAUUUGAUCGACCAUCGUCGACGUUCUAGUGCAAUCCAGGCCCGUGUUUUUGUGUUCAUGGCAUUUGUUGUUGAUUUUAAUGAAGAAUUAUUUCUGUGCAAUCCAGGCUACACGGGUGCUUUUUGAAAAAAACUCCUGAAAUUCGUACCAGUGGUGGUCAUAUCUACCCACCAAUACUAGUGGUAAGCACCGGUGGUGGGUUACAGCACCGCCACUGGUGCUAAUAUCACCAGUGAUGCGUGGUUGGUGGCGGGUCUUUUACCCGCCACCAACAUUGAUUUUCAACCGCCACUAGUAGCUGUUUUUGUAGCAGUGACUCCUGCUACCUGAAUAAAUAUACCAUUCCUUUUCAGCAAGCAUGUUGACCACGACUCUACCUCUCAAAUCAAAUCCAUUUUCCCCAUCCGGCCGGCCAGCAGAACCUCAAUAACAGUACUGUCUAGGACACCCCUUGAGCCUCCCUAAUAAGGAUAGAUUCUCUGCUUAAACUUCAUCAUCGAUAAAUGAUAAAAUCAGGCAUAAACUCAAUUGCUUCAUGAUGAUGUUGGAAGACUCUAAUUAUUAACUCGGCUUUUCCUCCAUCCCUACUGACUAUAUGUCUCGGUGUCAUCCUUGAUCGUGCAUCCGCCGAAUUUCGCAACACUUACUACUAUUAUUGUGAACUUUUGGUGGACACAAGUGUCAGGGAAGGAUAGGGAAAAAAAACACUUUGUCUUAAUGAUGAUGACAUAGCAUCCGGGUAUAGUCUCAAGGAGGAAAAACUCGGCCCAUGGAGUAGAGGGUCUGCCAGGUCAUCUAUAUGGAGUCUGACUGCUACACCUGGGCGCCUCAUUGACUUGGAGUGCAAGAUAGGGAAACUCUACUACCCAAAAUACCACUUGAGAUAUGAUUCUAACCGAUUAAAUAAUCUAUUCCGUAUAAACCGACUCAGGGUCUUGUAACCUGAUACGUCCAAAACAUACUAUUCCUUUUUAAGUUUCCAUCUUUGUGUUCUAUUGCUUUUAUCGAUUUUCAUUAAAGCUUUGAGCUUAAAUGUAGUUAACAGUCAUUAGGAAGUUUCUUCUUUCUUUGUUUUGUUAAUUUCAGGUAUAUAACGCAAGAGGAGAGCCCCUAGAAAAUUAGGAGGAUCAUAUAUCGGAGUCCAAUGCAGUAUACAAAAUGAGGGAUCGACAAAGGCCCCCACGGAGGUCCCGGUCAGCCAAGGGUAGGUGCCCCGGGCCGAGGGCUGCUUGCCUGGGGCUUGGGAGACUGUUGCUUUUCGAUGUACUCUUCCAUAACACUUUGGGACCCCCUAAAAAUUCAUGCACAAGAAGAUGACGAGAACGAGGCAAAGCAGCACAGAAAGUAAAACUACCAGAAAUUAUGCUUCGAGAUGGUGUAAAUCAAGGGGAGACACGUACCGCCAGAAUUGCCUCUGGUGCUUCAUCAAUCACCCCCAAAUUGCAACUCUGUAUGAGUAGGGAGUAGUUCUCCUGUCACUACAAGUAAUACGCUGAUUUUACCCCCCGCCCCCUCCCAUUUUUGUCACUAAAUUGUCACUUUUUACAUUUAUGAUGUUUUCAUGAUGAAAAAUGGACGAUAAAAAACUGACCGUCACUAAUAAGGACACCUAAUGACCUUUUUGGAGAAAUGAUCAUAAACUGUUAUGAACGAUUAGGAUCGUUAUAAAUUUUAUGAUCAAUUUUUUGGUCGCUAGUCCACCCUGGACACAUAGGAUCCGAUGUGGCAACCUUAGUGAUGAAAUUAAAUGGCCGCAAACCAAAUUUGGCCCGGUCUAGGUUGUUUGUCCAUAUAUGUCGGCCAAGCCCAAAAAAUCAAUCCAUUUUAUCAGUCCUGUCUGGUCUUCUAAAUGGGCCAUGACCAUCAUUUUGGCCCACGUUUUGUGACCCAUUUGUUCAAUUACAACCAUUUUUAUUUACUUUUUCCCAAUUCAAGUCCAAUAUUAAUUGGGCCAAGGCCUUUUUAUAAUUUAUAGUCCAGUCUAUUACUAUUUUAAGUACAUUGCUCUUAUGUCGAAUAUUGUUUGGUCCGUUGGUCACUAUGUAAAGUAUAUUUUUGGCCCAUAUGUCCAAAGUUCAUUCUUUGGACAAUUUUGCUAACAAAGCAGCAAUCACAGGACAUCUCCCUGCAACCCUAGCCAUCAAGAGAAGACCUAGCCGUCCUUUGUUGAAGGAAAUUUCAUCUCCAGCGGUUCCCCUCGUCUCUGACUGCCGUUUCAGCGUUGAGAGACGGGGGGGACCACGGAUCAACGUCUGGCAUCAGUUUUGCAGUUUCCUGAUUAGGUUUGUGUGUUCUUCACAGUGGCAUCUUGACGGUGGAGAUGACGUUGUCUAGAAGAUUUAUGUGCUGGCUCCGUCCUUGUCCUGGCGUAGGCGUCGCGUCCUACUCCAUGGAGUCAGUGGUUCUCGCAACUCUUCUUUUGGUGUUUUUGGUUUUUUUCCUUGUCAAUUCAUCAACAGAGAAGCAGUUUCACAGCUUGCCUUGUAAGGGGUGUGUCCCCGGCCGUGGUGCGUUCGACGAUCUUAGGUUCCCAUUGUUUGAGGUGGGCGACUCAAGUGGCUUUUUAAAACCUAUAAGGUUAGUCCAGCUUGUGCAAGCAUGAUGUUCUGCAAUUCCGUUACCGGUUACACGGAGAAAUGUCAAGAUGCGGAAGAUAGAUCUAGAGAUGUUGAUCUCGGAAGACCAUGAUGGAGCUUUUAGUUCUAUAGUGGAUUUUUGUUCCUUAUGUUCGUUUAGCUUGUUUCGAUCUAUUGUACUUUCUUCUAUGAAUCAAUAAAGCCAGAAGGUUCUCAAAAAAAAAAAGCAGCAAUCACAGAGAAAAUCAACACUCACACAGGAAAACAACACAUGAUUAUAAACAAUUGCAGCAUUUAAUGCUUGUAAUUUCAGCACAUUACAUUUUAUUUUUACUUAAUAUAUCAGACUACAUGACAGAGAUACAACUCAAAGUAUAAGUAAACACUUGCAACGAAUAGAGGCAACAAUUGGCUCAAGAUUGGGAGUGACAACCUAAGAAAUUAAAAGACAUUACAGAGAGAAAAAACAAUAAACAUGAAACUAAGCCCCCGAGGGUCGAGUCGGCGCGAUUCGAGCAAGCUCGGGACUUCUUUUCUUGAUAAACAAAAUGAUUGUAAUCCCCGAGGGUUGAGUCGGCUUAUCUGAAAUGUCCCCAAGAAUCAAUCUGAUUUUACUCGUCUCUGUUUCUCAGAGUCAAAAUCACCUAUAUAGAUAGGGAAAAAAAAUCUAUCCGGCGCCCGCACAUCCAGCGCAUCCAGCGCCCGCGCGGCCGCACAUGAAGCUAUCCGGCGCCUUGCCCAACGGCUGCGUCUUCUUCGCCUUCGCUCACGACGCGGCUGACGGCGGCCGGUCGUCCGCGAGGAGCAACCGCGUUGUCCUCGUCCUCGUCAACCCCAUCACCGGCGCGGCCCAGAGCGUCGAGGUGUACACGCCCGAGAGCCUGUCUGGGUUGAUCCAUGCAUGGCCAAGGUGUUGUUUGUGGCCGUGAGUGUUGAUCCAUGGCCAAGGUGCACUUCGUCAGUAUGAACCGGCUUGCUGCAGAAUGUCAGAACUUGUCAUAUGUUGGUAAUUAAAUGGAGGUUACUUCAAUUACUCGAAGCUAUUGAUAUCUUCCAAAAGUAUGUAAACCCCAUUUUUAUCUAUGACAAGCAGGGGAAAAAAAUGUUAAACACACAAUUAAAAGAACUAACUUCCCUAAUAAUUUUUUUAAUUGUGGUUUUAACAUUUCUUUUUAUAUACCAGCUUCUCAUAAUAUCUUCCAAAGGGAAUUCCCAUUCCUAACCAUGGUCUGCAUGGUGGCAGGCGGAAACCUAGGGUCAUUCUCCUGCAUGAUGUCCACCAGGAAAUCAAACGUAUCAUUCCUGGAGACCAUAGCGGCGAUGUCAUUCUUCUGCAGCGUCCUCCUAUUGUCACUCCACGAUGGUAACUAGGUACGGUACAACAUACAAAUAAGCACAGUCAACCACAAUAAGACAUUAAUCGCCCGGCUUGAUGAUUAUUCCGCCUCAGCUACGCUCAUUCAUCUUGUCCACCACUGGAAGGCGGCUGUUGCUGCUCACCAUUGUAAGGCGGCUGAUGCUGCUGCUCACCGUUGUGAGGCGACUGCUGCUGCUGCGGCUGCGGCCACGCGAAAGGAACUGGUUGCUGGUUUCCACAGUACAUUUCAAAGGUGCCCAUUCCUGGGACCAUGGUCUGCAUGGUCCCAGUCGGCAACCCCGCACCAUUGUCCUGCAUGAUGUCCACAAGGAAAUCAAAGGCCUCGUUCCUGGAGACCGCAGCGGCGAUGUCAUUCUUCUGCAGCGUCCUCCUAUUAUUUUCUCUGGUUUGGAGCCACGAUCUCAGCGUCAGCUCCUGGAUGAAGAUCUCACACGCCUUAGCUAGGAGCCCAUGCGCCUCCCCCGCGAUCAUCUGGACAUUCUCCCCGCUAGCCUUCAUGAUCUUCUUGAUCCUCGCAAGGGGAAGGCUGUGGGUCUUGAAGUCGCUCAUGUGCUCGAUCUCAUCCAGCCGGUCGCUCCAGAAGGCCUGAAGCUGUUGCUGGUGCUGGUCCUCCUGCUGCAUUGGGAGGGCUGCAUAGACUGGACCACCAUAGGGUCCUACAUGAAAGACGGUACCUGCGGGAAAGACGACGCCUGCUGGCGCAGGUCCAGAUUCCGUCCCUGCCAAAUAUGCUACAGAUGUGUCGUUUGUGGCAUCCGCCUCUGUCCUUGGCUGCGAGUGUUGAUCCAUGGCCAAAAGAUACAUGCACUUAUGUCUUAACCUGGAACAUAACGGGAGAACUUGUCAUAUGUUGGUAAUUUAAACAGGGUUCCGUAAAACAUGAUGCUAAGUAUAUCUUUCAACGAGUAGAUAAACUCCUUAAUUUUUUUCUAUGAGAAGCACGAAGAAAAUAUUAAAACCACAAUUAAAAGAACUAACUUUCCUAAAAAACAGACACAAUUAACUUCCCUGAAAAUUCAAAUAACUAGACACAAUUACACAACUAAUGUAUUAUCAUAUCCAUUUGCACCUGGAGUAGUUAUAUGUAAAUACAUAUCAAUUUUUUUUUGCUUUUGCUUACACAUAAUUACAGCGUCCUCCUAUUUUUUUCUCUGGUUUGGAGCCAUGAUCUCAGCGUCAGCUCCUGGAUGAAGAUCUCACACGCCUUAGGUAGGACCCCAGGCGCCUCCCCCGCGAUCAUGUGGACAUUCUCCCCGCUAGCCUUCAUGAUCUUCUUGAUCCUCGCAAGGGGAAGGCUGUGGAUCUUAAAGUCGCUCAUGUGCUCGAUCUCAUCCAGCCGGUCGGUCCAGAAGGCCUGAAGCUGCUGCUGGUGCUGGUCCUCCUGUUUCACUGGGGUGGCCGCAUAGAUUGGACCACCACGGGGUCCUACAUGAAAGACGGUACCUGCAGGAAAGAUGACUCCUACUGGCGCAACUCCAUAUACUGUCCCUGCCACAUAUGCUACAGGUGUGUCGUUUGUGGCAUCCGCCUCUGUCCUUGGCUGCGAGUGUUGAUUCAUGGCCAAAAGAUGCACUUAUGUCCUUCGGGGUUGGCUCCUAUUUUUCUCUCUGGGUUGGAGCUACGAUCUCAGCGUCUCUAGGAUGAAGAUCUCACACCCCUUAAUUAGCCAAGACCCCAGGCACCUCCCUUGCGACCAUCAGGACUUCUCUGGGGCAGCCUUCAUGAUCUUCUUGAUCCGCGGCCUCGCGAGAGGAACGUUGUGGGUCUUGAACUCCGAUAUCUGCUCGAUCUCAGCCAUCCGGUCGGUCCAGAAGUCCUGAAGCUGUUGCCGGGGGGUUGGUCCUCCUGCUGGAGUGGGGUGGUCGCGAUUGGGACACCCUCGGAGCCUAUAGGGUGAGUAAAUUAUGGAUUAGCCAUACUACGUUGAGUAAAGAAAUUGUAUAUGUAUAUUUAUUUAGUUCGUUUUUGCUUAGAUUAAGGUUUACCCUUUCAAAGAAAAAUGUCCUCUUUCUGGAUUAUGCAAGACAUGGCUUGUGUCAUAUGCACAUUGGGUUAGCCAGGAUGUGUCAUUCCCACAUUGGAUUAGCCAGGAUGUGUUAUACACACAUUGGGCUAGCCAUUGUGUCCUACACACAUUGGGUUAGCCAUUGUGUCCUACACACAUUGGGUUAGCCAUGAUGUGUCAUACACACAUUGGGUUAGCCACACUGUGUCAUACAUAAAUUUCCUUUCCCACGCAGCCAUUUCAAGGUGAUGUAAAAGGGUCUAGGUAUUUGAAAAAGAUGUCGAUGUUGGUUCCUGGAGUCCAAAGAUCUAUCGUUCGUUUGAAGAAGAGAAAUGAGUUGAGAGAUCAAUUCUUCAUGCUUUAGGAAUUAGGAUGUAGCAUGCAGGUUCGAAUCAUAGUGUUGUAGCACACUAAAUAUAAAACUUCUGUUUGUCGAUCCGUGGCAAUGCAUGUGCAUUUUACUAGUAGAUACUAGUAAUUAAUAGAUAAUGGGAGAGACUAAUUGGCGGUCGACCGCCAAAACCUACCUCGGCAGCCUAAUCCCAAUGGUUUUUCUUUUGCUAUUUUUGGCAACUUCAUAUUUUUUUUGACUUUUUAUUUUAAAAUAGCUUUAAUUUUAUUUUAUUUUACUUUUCAUUUUUUGAUUUCGAGCUUUUAAUCUUUCAACCUUUUAUUUUAAAAAUUAAAUUUUACAUGAUUUUGACUUUUUAUUUUUUGUUGUCGGGCUUUUAAUCUUUGUGGUUUUUAUUUUUUGAGCUUUCUACUUUUUUCCUUUUCAUGAUAAAUUUGCAAAAAAAAAACUCACCUGGGUCUACCUCCCGGGCGGUGGCGGCCUUCGGGCGGCACAACAUCGUGCGCAGCCAGAUCUGGCACGGUGGAAGGGUCGGCGGGGGGAGGGGGCAGGUGCACCAUGGCCGUCGCGGCCGAGCGCGAGGGGGGGGGGGGGGGGGCGGCGCCGACGGCCCAGCGCGAGGGGCAGGAGGGGGCCGGCGCGUGUGAGACUAAGGAGCCGGGCGUGGGAACUGGGAGCGCGUCAGGAGUCUCUUAGACUCACUACUGCAAAACAGUGUAUAUGUGACGAGUCAUCAGUGACGGGCCUCUCGCACCAGUCACUGAUGACCCCGUAUCAGUGACGGGCGCAUAAAACCCGCCACUAAUGACCCCUCAUCAGUGGCGGGCGUACCACGCCCGUCACUGAUGAACCCUCACCAGUAACGGGCGGGAAAGCCCGUCACCAAUAUCCACGUCUGAAAAAUUGCAAAAUUCACCAAAACACACAUCAGUAGCGAGCUUUUCAUCUAGGCACGCCACUGAUGACUGUUCGAGGCCAGCUUUUUUAAUGGGCCGGCCCAGCAUUUUAGGGUUUGAGGGGGAGGUAUAAAAUACCCCCUCCCCCAGCUCUUCUCUCUCCCUCUAUUUCCUCCCUCAGCCCCGCCGUCACCCAACUCCCUCUGCUCUCCUCUAGAUCUCCCUCACUUCUCUCUCUUUUCUCCACUGCCAAGCAACCCUCUCCUCUCCCCCUUCUUCUCCACUCCCGAGCAACCCCCUCCUCUCCCCCUUAUCUUCUACACGAGCCGCUUCCUCUACUCCCCUAGGUCAGGCCGCGGGCAUCGAGGGCCACUCCGGCACCGCAGGUUUUCUCUCUCUCCCUUUGUUCUCUCGUUCCCUCUUGAUUUCUUCUCUCCCUCGAUCUCUUUAACUUGCAGAUCCCCGUCGGCGGCCCAUGGGGAUGAGAUGGCAGGGUGGCACCUCCUCCACCGCAGGAAUCGUCGUCACUACCCCGGCCACCGCCAGAUCCGGUGUCCCCGACCUCGUCUCCGCCACCGCCUCUGUGCAGGUACCCUCCCUCACUCUCUUUCUCUCACGCACUUUCUCCAUCUCUCGGUUGCUUUCUCUUUCUCUCCAUUGCAGAUCGAGCCCGUCGCCGGAGUUUGAGCUUCACUGCGGAGGAGGCCGUUUGUCACUAGAUCCGGCAUUUGCGCUGCCCUCUCCACGUCUGGUGUCUGCCGCCGCCAUGGAGACGGCAAGACGAUAGGAUUUGGGCUGCAAUGGGCUGCGAUGGGUUUGGUAGGUUUUUUUUUUUGUUUUUGCGAAAAGACAUCGGUGUCGGGUGGGUAUUUGUGACCGCCACUAAUGAUGGUAUCAUCACUAACGGUCGCUCACUGGCAGGAAGUUAGUGAUGGGCGGGGAUGCGAUUUCUUGACCGUUACUAAAGACCUUUUCUGUAGUAGUGACUCUCUUUUCAUCCGCCAGGAGUGGGAUGGGCGAUCGUUUGCCAAAGAGGAAUCUCCAAUAAGAAGUGGAAAUAAUUCUUUGGUCAUGCUUUCUUGGUUAAAGUUGAUAUCGCCAAAGAUUUUGGGAGGCUAGAAAUGGCACUUCCUCUAGCAAGGACUUCUACGUAAUUGGUUGCAUGCAUGGUCAUUUUAUUAAUUCAGGUCUGGAUCUGACUCGUUAAGGCAACCAUCCACUCAUGACGUGUCAAAGAAAACGGGUCCACUACAAAAAUUAUGUUGAUCCAUAUGACGUUCACAUAUCAUCACGGGCACACUCAGGAACGUCAUCGUGGUGUAUCUGUGACGUUUCCUAGGACAAACAAGAACGUCAUGAACCUCACGUCAUAUAUUGAGUCCAAAACUUUUCUCAUAUAAUUUAUGAGGAAAUUCCCUAAUUUGCCACGAGCCAUAGGUCCAAAGUCAUUGACAAAACGCCCCAUUUCGUCAUAGGCCAUGAGCUCAAAUGCAUCGGCCCAACCCAUGCCCAAAUGUUAGUGACAACUUUUUUGAUCCCUAGCUAUCUCAAGUCUCUCCACCCUCUCCCCCCGAUUCCUCCCAUUUUUUCCAACGGCGUUGCCUCCAAGCUCCUCUGCCGAUGACGUGUGUGUCCCCCAGCUCCAUCUCUCUCGAUUAAUUACAGCUAGCAAUCAGUUCCUCGGCCCGCAGGUGGAACAAAGCUCUCCCUGUCCCACCUGCUUUGUCCUGGCUGGGGUUUUUUGGACAGACGUGCGAGGAAUGGGGAAAGGAAUUAUUUUCCGAUAAAGGGAGCUUUUAUUAAACUUAAAAUUCGCAUGAAGAAGAUACGUACAACAAACAAGUUCGCACCGGCAAUAGGGAAGGAACUAGUUAGGGUGAUUCCACUGCGCCGGCCACCGGUUCUUAGGCGUCCGCGUAGGCAUCGGAAACGGACAGCUUUGGUGCGCUGCAGAUGAGAGGGAUGGGUGGCGCGCGGGCCCAGGGCGUUCGACGAUGGAGCCCUGCUGGGCCCGGUGCCGAGUCUGGGCCCGGUGGGCUGUCAGCCUGGCACUACUCCAUCUGGCAGGCGUUGUUUACUUGUUUUCGUACAAUCGCUCAAAAAAAGAAGCUUGUUUUCGUACAGCACUGCUGAAGCAUCGGAAUAAGAAAGUUGGCUAGCUGAGCCAACGUUUACCAUCACAUCUAUAUGAAUACUACGGAAACAAAUUUCUUGGUUAAAAGGGGCAUUAUGAAAGAGAGGGGAUUUUCUAUAUGGUCAGCAAGAUGUAUACAAUGAGAGGAAAUAAUUCUAUGGUCUUAGUUCCUGGAAUCAGCAUGGAUGUUAAAAUCAAUCUCGCGCCUAAGCUUUUUGAAAGGCUAGAGUGACACUUGUCUAACGACAAGCGCUUCUACGUAAAGGGCUGCAUGGUCAUUUAAUUAUUUUAGUUAUUUUUUGCGUCAUGUCGCCUAUCUUCUUUAACUUGUCGCUAUCAAUGGCCGCCCAUUUAGCAAAUUCCAUAGCUGUCGAGGAAUACGACGAUGAUACCCUCUCUCCUGGUAUCUUUUUGUCCUUGCCGCUAACUCCUGGAGGCUGCCGCCAUCCGAAGCGAGGAGGGCGUCCGCGUCACCGCUGGCUGCCCACCACCACUCGAUUUUGUCUCCUUAUGCUCAAGGACCAUGGGCUGGAGUAAUUCAGACGAUUGGGCGCAGUGCGUCGGAGCAGGGGGUCGGGUGGCGAGCCGGAUUAGGAGGAUGGGGCGGCACCGGAUUAAAAGGACAGGGCGACGGUGCCGCAGCAGAAGGGGUGCGUGUGAUCCAAGGAGAAACAGUAGAGCUUUUUUUGAUAAUUAUGAGGGCCACAAUGCUACUUUACGAAUCUACGGGAAACCAUGCAUGUGCUUUUCUACCUGUGUGAGGACAAGGGCGUGAUAGUGACGUACCACGGGAUGAGACAUACAAGACGCAAACUGUAAACUAAGAAAUUGUUAAGAUAUGGUAAAAAUAAUUAGUCCCUUUGAUGAAAUGUGUCCUAUAAAAAACUAGGAUCAGGACGUGUAAAAAGCAUUCUAAUCCAAAAGAAGUACAUGCCAGUCUCUAAAAAAGACUUGAUGAAGAUAAAUGGACGUAGAUGAAAAAAAAAAUCCUGCAAAAUCCAAAUGCUCGUUUAGUUAUUACCACCCAAUCACCCAUAUACAUAAGCCCGCAAAAGAUAAAGAUAAGUCUGAAAUCAUCAGGAAAGCCAGAAAAAACAUCAUGACAGAUGUACAAGAUCAGGAAAAAAAAUCCCUUAGUCCAACAUAGAUACCCUUGCGCAUCCAAGAUCCAAGCGCGCACUACUGCGUUACAAGAUGUAUUUAUUGAUAUCAGUGUCUCUGACGAGGUUCCAUUGCGUCACCCGACAACUGCGGAUAAUAUUCAACCAAAGAUUUAAACCAAUAAGUUAAUGGCGCUACACAAAACCCUGUAGUGGCAAUUCCAAUAGCCGUAGAAAAGACGAUGCCCCCUGCAAAGACGUGAGAGUCGGGGACUACCAAAGAUUAAUGUCGAAGACAGAUGAAGUUUCACAUCAAAAGGUAGUUCAGUUUAGACUUUAGACAAACAACCACAAACAAGCACAAACAUUCACUUUCGCCAAGUUCCAGCCAAAUCACCCCAUAACGGUAACUAGGUACGGUACAAGAUACAAAUAUGAAAUAAGCACAAUGUAGUCAACCACAACAGGACAUUAAUCGUGAGGCUUGAUUAUCCCCACCUCUCAGGUACCCUCAUUCAUCUUGUCCAUCACUGGAAGGCGGCGGCGGCUGCUGCUGCUGCUCACCAUUGUAAGGUGGCGGCUGAUGCUCCGGCUGCAGCCACGCGAAAGGAACUGGCUGCUGCUGGUUUCCAUAGUACAUUCCAAAGGUGCUCAUUCCCAGGACCGCGGUCUGUACGGUCGCAGACGGAAACCCCACGCCAUUGUCCUGCAUGACAUCCACCAGGAAAUCAAAGGUCUCAUUUCUGGAGACCGCAGCGCCGAUGUCGUUCUUUUGCAGCGUCCUCCUAUUGUUAUCUCUGGUUUCGAGCCAUGACCUCAGCGUCAGCUCCUGGAUGAAGAUCUCAGAGGCCUUAGCCAAGAGCCCAGGCGCCUCGCUGGCGAUCAUCCGAAUGUCCUCCCCGCUAGCCUUCAUGAUCUUCUUUAUCCUCGCGAGGGGAAGGCUGUGAGGCUUGAUCUCGCUCAUGUGCUCUAUCUCAGCCAGCGUUUCGGUCCAGAAGUCUUGCAGCUUUUGCUGGUGCUGGUCCUCCUGCUGGAGGGGAUGACGCACCUGCUGCAGCGGGGUUGCCGCAUAGACGACUGGACCGCCACUGGAGCCUGCAGCAAAGACUGUACCUGCCGGAAAGGCGGCCGCGCCUGCUGGCGCAGCUCCAGAUACCGUCCCAGGUGCCACAUAUGCUACAGGUGUACUGUUGACGUUUGUGGCAUCCGCCUCUGCCCAUGGCUGCGAGUGUCCAUCCAUGGCUAAGUCUGACCUUCUACAUAAUGGGAGAACUUGUGUCAUAUAUAUGUUGUUAAUUUAAACAGGGGUACACAUAAAACAUGAUACUAACUGCUAACUAACAAAAGUAGGUAAACUCCUUUUUUUUUUCUAUGAGAAGCACGAAGAAAAUGUUACGAUCACCCUAAAAGAAUUAACUUUCCUAAAUAAGAACUAAUGUGCCAACGGUUCCAUGCAUCUAAACUCAAUUGCUAGUGUAUUGCCUAAUCUGUCGCGUGGUUCCGUAUGAAAACACAAAAAUAGUUACGAGGCCACCUAACGCUGGCAGAUUUCUCGGCCCCUCCUUGCGUGUCAGCAAACGCUCCUGUAUCCUCCCUUGUCUGGUGCCCUUAAAUUUCAGGCUUAAUUUCUAAAAUGCCACUGUGCUACAGUCCCCCGAAGUCCCAAUUGGCAUCCUUGCGUGCCAGCAAACCAAGACUGCUGUCAUGGCCGCCGCGCCGCCCACCGGGGAUCGAGAUAGAAAGAGACAGAGGGGGAGGAAUAACCCCGUCCGGAUCUCGAUCUCAGCAGCGAUGGCACUCUCUCCAACCUCGAUCUCCCAACGAGAAGAUCAGGAUGCUAGCUAGGGUUUGGCUGCUGCCGCCGCCCCUAGUAAGUACUCAUGUGUUAGAGUUCACAGAGCGAGACAACGCCGAUCGAUCCAUCGAUCGACAUCUGAAUGAGCACGCGCGGCGAGACUUAACAGGGAUCUCGCAAAAGAACAUGGCGCCGACAGAAUCGGAGACGAUAACACAGCAGAAUUUCAGAAUUACCGACCUAUCUAUCUACACGCCCUUUCCUAGAUCUCGCACGAACAAUUAGUACACACUCCAAUUGAAGUACAACAUGUACAGAAGCUAGCAUAACACGGAUCUCGCAAAUAGAACAUGGCCGGCGCCGACAGAAUUGGAGACACGGCAAGACAACACAGCAGAAUUUGAGAAACGGCCUAUCUAUCUAUUGUUCUACACACGCCCUUUCCUAGAUCUCGCACGAACAAUAGUACAUAUACACAACACAGCAGCUAGCAUAAAUUGGAGGAGAUGCGAGAAUAGAUGCGAUGUUGAAGCUUACCGGGGCUUGGGCAGCGGAGAGAGACGGGACUGGAGCACCGGCCUGGAGAUGGAAUCCUAGGAGGAGGAAGAUGGCGACGGCAAGGAGAGGGACUGAUGAGGGAGACCUUGGCUUGACCCUUGUACUAUAUAUCCGCCCACUGAUGGACUGCGAUCCAGUGCCUGCCUACUGGACUGGGUGUCAGGCAGAAUGUCUGAACUGGGAGACUUUUUGUCCAUGCCUUCCUUAUUUGGGAUAUACUAUGUACUUCGAGGCCCAGUGGGCGGCGGGCCGGGGCCUGUGUGAGUGUGAUUCGGUGGGCGCUUUGGGACACACGUGCGACGGAAAGGGAAGGAACUAGCUAGGGUGAUUCUGUCUGACAGAGACAUUCUCGAGAGCAAUUUUUUAUCUGAAGACUCUAUAUAAUUUUUGUCAACUGACAAAAAAAAACUGCGGGGUCAGAGAGCACCACCCUAGCUAAAGCCCCAGCACCGAUUACCGCUAUAAAUAUCCUAUUAAGAUGUUCCUCUCCAUGAUCAAACAUUACUCAUUGACAGUAUGUGUAGUUCUCUGCAACGAAAUAUAACUUCUUCCUAUGUAACACCUCCAAAUGGACCUUUUUUUUUACUGUACACAUUAAAUAAAGUCGACAAGUCACAUAUUUUAGAAAGAAACCCCAGAAGACACAUAAUCAAAUUAAAAUGUUAAGAUAUCUUGUAAGUUGUAACAUGAAUUAUAUUAUGAUCUAAGAUGUUAUGACCAGUAAAAUAAAAAACGGGCAUUAUUUCACUGACUUUGCUGAGAUUGUUAGGAUGUACUCUUUGUUGGUAGGAGUAUAGAACAAGAAGUAAUUCUUUUGGUCUUAGUGCCCCGAAUCAGCAUACUUUCAUGGUUAAAAUUGAUCUGACUAAAUCUUUUGAUAGGCACUUCAUCAGACAAGAGCUCGUACGUAAAGGGUUGCAUGGCCAUUUCAUUAAUUUAGUCACUUGCGUCACGUCUCCUAUCUUCUCUGUCAUCAUCAAUGGCCACCUUUGGCGCGGAGACUUAAGCAGGUGAUUGCUGGAGCAUACGCGGCGCGGCAUAUGGAUCGCUUCUACGUAAAGGGUUGCAUGGUCAUUUCAUUAGUUUAGUUAUUGCUAGCGUCACUUCGUCUAUCUUGUAUGUCUUCAUCAAUGGCCACCCUUUUGGCAAAUUCCAGAAAAGUAGAGGAAUACGACAAGGAUGCCCUCUCGCUUGGCAUCUUUUGUCCUUGCCGUUAACUCCUGGAGGCUGCCUUUGUUCGCGGCGAGGAGGGCGUCGAAGGUGUCACCGCCGGCUGCCCACCAUGAGUCUAUCUAAUCCCCUUAUGCAGUUAUGCUCAAGGAUCGUGAGCUGGAGUAAUUGAGGCAAUGGGGCCGUGUGUCAGAGCAGGGGGUCGGGCGGCGAGCCGGAUUAGGAGGAUGAGGCGGCAAGGAAGGAGAAACAGUGGAGUUUGUCUUAACAAUUAUGAGGGCCAAAAUAUUUUUUACAAAUCUACAUGAAACCGUAUAUGCGUUUUUCUUCAUAUGUGACAAGGGUGCGGUAGUGACGUACCACGGGAUGAGACAUAUACAAAUGCAAACUGUAAACAAAGAUGUGGUUUAGAUAUGUUUUUAGUCCAUUUGAUGAAAACGUGUCCUAUAGAAAGCUAGGAUCAGGACGUGUAAAGCAUUCAUAUCCAAAAGAAGUACAUGCCCGCGGUCUCUAAAAAAGACUUGAAGAUACGUAGAUGAAAAAAGUUGCUGCAAAAUCCAAAUGCUCAUUUAGUUACCACCAAAUCGACCCUAUGCAUAGGACCAGAAAGAUAAAUAUAAGUACCAAAAAUCAUCAGGAAAAAACCAAAAAAUCAUGAAAAAACAUCGUGAUAGAUCCACAAGAUCAGGAAAAAUUCCCGAGUCCAACAGAGAUAUGAAGAACUUUCGAGCAGCCAAGCGCACUGCGUCAACAAGGUUCCAUUGUGUCAGCCGACAAUUGCAGAUAAUAUUCAACCAAAGAUUUAAAGCAACAAGUUAAUGGCUACACAAAACCCUGUAGUGAGAAUUCAAUAAAACUGUAGAAGAAAAAUACCCCUGCAAACACGCGAGAGUCUGAGACUAACAAAGAUUCAUCUCGAAGACCGAUGAAGUUACACAUCAAAAGGUAGUUCAGUUUAGACCAUCUCUACAACAAACAAAAUACAACAAACAAGCACAACUUUCACCGAAGUUCCAGCCAAAUCACCCCAUAAUGUAACUAGGUACGGUACAACAUACGGAUAACCACAGCCAACCACAAUAUAAGACAGUAAUAACCCGGCUUGAUUAUCCGCCUCAGCUCCGCUCAUUCAUCUUGUGCACCACUGGAAGGCGGCUCCUGCUCCUCAGCGUCGUUGUAAGGUGGCUGAUACUGCUCCUCACCAUUCUAAGGCGGUUGCUGUUGCUCCGUCUGCGGCCACACGAAAUGAACUGGCUGCAGGUAUCCAUAGUACAUUCCGAAGUUGCCCAUUCCCGGUACCGUGGUCUGCAUGGUCCUAGUCGGCAACCCCACGCCAUUGUCCUGCAUGACGUCCACAAGGAAAUCAAAUGCCUCAUUCCGGGAGACCGCAGCGGCGAUGUCAUUCUUCUGCAGCGUCCUCCUAUUAUUUUCUCUGGUUUGGAGCCACGAUCUCAGCGUCAGCUCCUGGAUGAAGAUCUCACACGCCUUAGCUAGGAGCCCAUGCGCCUCCCCCGCGAUCAUCUGGACAUUCUCCCCGCUAGCCUUCAUGAUCUUCUUGAUCCUCGCAAGGGGAAGGCUGUGGGUCUUGAAGUCGCUCAUGUGCUCGAUCUCAUCCAGCCGGUCGCUCCAGAAGGCCUGAAGCUGUUGCUGGUGCUGGUCCUCCUGCUGCAUUGGGAGGGCUGCAUAGACUGGACCACCAUAGGGUCCUACAUGAAAGACGGUACUUGCGGGAAAGACGACGCCUGCUGGCGCAGGUCCAGAUUCCGUCCCUGCCACAUAUGCUACAGAUGUGUCGUUUGUGGCAUCCGCCUCUGUCCUUGGCUGCGAGUGUUGAUCCAUGGCCAAAAGAUACAUGCACUUAUGUCUUAACCUGGAACAUAACGGGAGAACUUGUCAUAUGUUGGUAAUUUAAACAGGGGUUCCGUAAAACAUGAUGCUAAGUAUAUCUUUCAACAGUAGAUAAGCUCCUUAAAAAAAUUUUAUGAGAAGCACGAAGAAAAUAUUAAAACCACAAUUAAAAGAACUAACUUUCCUAAAAAACAGACACAAUUAACUUCCCUGAAAAUUCAAAUAACUAGACACAAUUACACAACUAAUGUAUUAUCAUAUCCAUUUGCACCUGGAGUAGUUACAUGUAAAUACAUAUCAAUUUUUUUUUGCUUUUGCUUACACAUAAUUACAAUUUCAAAGAAAAAGAAAACAUGUUUGUACUUUUGUCUACAUGGAAACUGCAAUCUACUCGUGCCGAGCAAACAAUCCCCAUAAAACAAGGAAGUAAACAUAUAUACCGGAGUAUAGACUACGAAUAUGGGCUAUAGACUACGAACAUGGGCUCUCUUGUGAACCCACGCGGAAAUGGAAGAAAAAUAACCAUGGUAUACGCGGCCAGAGGAUAGCCCCUCCUAGAUUUGCAUCUAAAGAACAAAUCUUACAGCAAAUUAAAAUACCCCACGACCUUUUCAUCUAAACUCGAUUGCUAGUGUUCUCUAAUCUGUCGUGGUUUCCUAAAUAAGAACUAAUGUGCUAACGGUUCCAUGCAUCGAAACUCAAUUAUUGCUAGUGUAUGUAUUGCCUAAUCUGUCGUGUGGUUCCGUAUGAAAAAACAAAAAUAGUCACGAGACCUAACGCUGGCAGAUUUCUCGGCCCCGGCCCUCCUUUCGUGCCAGCAAACGCACCUGUAUCCUCCUUUUUGUCUGGUGCCCUUAUAUUUCUAGCUUAACAUAAUUAUUUCUAAAUGUCACUGUGCUACUAUACCGAAGUCCCAAACCAAGACUGGUGACAUGGCCGCCCCCCAGCAGCGAGAGAGAAAGAGACAGAGGGGGAGGAACAACCCCGGCCGGAUCUCGAUCUCAGCGGCGAUGGCGCCCUCUCUCCUCAACCUCUCCUGCUAGGAAGAACCUAGUAUAAACUAACGAAUCCAUUGUUAGAGUUCACACUUCACAGAUCGAUAACAUGUAAAAGGGCACGAGCAAGCGCAGCCGACGCGGCGAGACAAACGCCGAUCCAUCGAUCGACAUCUGAAACAUGGCGAGACAGCACGGAUCUAGCAAAAAAUCAUGGCACCGACAGAAUCGGAGAUGACAAAACAGCAGAAUUGGAGAACUGGCCCUAUCUAUCUACAUGCCUCUUCCUAGAUCUCGCACAAAUAAUACUACUCCGUACUACAUACAUACCAAGACAGCAGCUAGCAUAAAUUGGAGGUGAUGCGAGAUGAGGCCUGAGGGUGGAGGUUGUUGAUUCUUACCAAACCAGGGGCCGGGCGCUGGAGAUGGAACCCUAGGAGGAAGAUGGCGACGGCGAGGAGAGGGACUGAUGAGGGAGACCUCGGCUUGGCCCCUAUAUAUUUGCCUACUGCUGGACUGGGAUCCAGUGCCUACUGGACUGGGAGUCAGUGUCUGAACUGAAAGACUUUUUGUCUAUGCCUUAUUUGGGAUAUACUAUGUCGAUCGAGGCCCAGUGGGCGGCGGGGCCUGUGAGUGAUAUUCGGUGGGCGCUUUGGGACACACGUGCGACGAAAAGGGAAGGACAGGGAAGGAACCAGGGUGAUUCUGUCUGACAGACAUUCUUGAGAGCAUUUUUUUUAAUCUGAAAACGCUAUUUGGUGAACUGAAAAAAUCUACGGGAGAGAGGACCCUUAAAGCCCCAACAACGAACACUGAUAUAAAUAUCCUCCGAAGAUGUUCUUCUUGAUGGCCAAACCUUACUCGUUUCGUUGUCAUUUUGACAGUAGUUCUCUGAAAGGAAAUAUAACUUGUACACUAUAUUUAAUGUGCUCUUCUUUGCUACGUAAGACCUCCAAACGGACCAUUUUUUACUGUACAAAUUAAGAAAGUCGACAAGUCACAUUUCUUAGAAAAAAAACUCCACAAGACAUAAUCAAAAUUAAAAAUGUUAAGAUAUCUUGUAAGUUGUAAAAUGAACUGUAAUCUAAGAUGUUAUGACCAGUCAAAUACAAAACGUGCAUUAUUUGACUGGAUUUGCUAAGAUUGUUAGGAUGUACUCUUUGUCCGUAGGAGUAUAGAACAAGAAGAAAUAAUUCUGUGUGUCUUAGUUUCCCUGAAUCAGCAUGCUUUCAUGGUUAAAAUUGGUCUGGCUAAAGCUUUUGAUAGGCUAGAAUGACACUUCAUCACACGUAAAGGGUUGCAUGGCCAUUUAAUUUCAUUAAUUUAGUCGCUUGCGUCACGUCUCCUAUCUUCUAUGUCAUCGUCAAUGGCCAGCCUUUUGGCAAAUUCCACGGCAGCAACGGAGGAAUAUGACAAGAAUGUCCUCUCUCUCCGUAUAUUUUUGCCCGACAGUGGAUUUGUUACUCCCGAGAGCACAUUGCAUGCCCCUAUCAUAGCCGCACAUUUCCAUGGCAUCCUCCCACCCUUCUUCUAUCUUCUCUGUCAUCAUCAAUAGCCAGCCUUCUGGCUAAUUCCACGGCCAGCAACAGAGGAAUAUGACAUGGAUGUCCUCUCUCUCCGUAUAUUUUUGUCCUUGACAAGAACGAGCUUUCUAUCAAUCUGCAAGAGGCUAUAUCUAUGCUGAAUCACCACCUUCAAGGUAUUACUCUUCAGCCCCACUGUCUGCACAUUCACUUUCUCACGUACGCUGGCGAUCGAGCUGCUUAAUUAUCUGCAGGCAUGUUACCACCGUUGAAGCCAAUGCUAUUUUUGUUAUCAACUUAACUUUUUUUUCAAUCUGGGAAAACUCCUGCUACCUGAAUAAAUCUACCAUUCCUUUUCAGCAAGCAUGUUGACCACGACUCUACCUCUCAAAUCAAAUCCAUUUUUCCCAUCCGGCCGGCCAGCAGAACCUCAAUAACAGUACUCUAUCUCGGACAUCCCUUGAUCCUCCCUAAUAAGGAUAGAUUCUCUGCUUAAACUUCAUCAUCGAUACGAUAAAUGAUAAAAUCAGGCAUAAACUCAAUUAUAUUGCUUCAUGAUGAUGUUGGAAGACUCACGCUUAUUAACUCGGCUUUUCCUCCAUCCCUAUUGACUAUAUGCCUCGGUGUCAUCCUUGAUCGUGCAUCCGCCGAAUUUCGUAACACUUGAUGGAAAUAUGAGCAAUUUACCACAAGAUUUAAUAGAUAAAAACAGUAAAUAAAACAUGUGUAAUAUUGCAACCAUGAAUAAUUCGGCACAAGAAUUGAUCAACAUAAAUAGUGGGUAAAACAUGACUAGACCAAACACAGUAGUCAUGCAAGCAUAUGAACAAAACACAUCUAAAUCAAGAACUAAACAUACGAAUUGCAGCAUGAUAUCAAGUAUGGGAAAUAAUGACACGUGCGGUGCAGAGGCGGAACCGCUCGUGUUCCCGUUGCUAGACAUGUUGAUGUCGAGGAUGUCUUCAACCUCCGGGAAGAAGUCGUCGUCGGGGAAGGAGUCGUCGGAGUCCAGUGCGUUCGCGGCGAAGAGGAAGAAGACAGUAGUCGCGCGUAGCGCUCCCCAAAAACCUUAUUGCCCUUCUCUCGUACAGGACUCGUAGAGGCGGGGUUCCGGAGGCCUACUAUCCCGACCUGCGGUGCACGCCACGAGACGAGAUGGGGAAGAACGGAGCGGCAGUGCAAUGCUCUGGAACGAGAGGAGGCAGGAAUGCUGUUUCGGUGUGCUUUCUGGAGAGGAGCAGGCAACAGAGGGAGGCAAAACGAAGAGGACAAAUUCGUUUCAGCUUCUGUGCAACCAUUCAGAUUAUUUUCCAUUCACGCGUGUACAGGACUCGAAGAGGCGGGGUUCCGGAGGCCUACUAUCCCGACCUGCGGUGCACGCCGCCAGACGAGAUGGGGAAGAACGGAGCGGCAGUGCAAUGCUCUGGAACGAGAGGAGGUAGGAGUGUUGUUUCGGUGUGCUUUCUGGAGAGAAGCGGGCAACAGAGGGAGGCGAAACGAAGAGGACAAAUUCGUUUCAGCUUCUGUGCAACCGUUCAGAUUAUUUUCCAUUCAUGCGUGGCAAAAAGAUAGAGAAGCUCUCGGCUCGAGGCAUUCCCGCAACCCGCGGCGCGUGCGCGUCGUGACAAGACGAGGCGGGGGGCGGAGGAGCGCGUAGAAGCUCUCUUCUUCUCAUGCUCACACAACAGGUGGAAGAGCCCCCCCCUUAUAAGGUGGUGCAAACUCUCUUCAACUAGCAAUGUGGGACUAAACUUUUGUCCCACCUCUUGCCAUGCAUGAAUGGGCCGAAUGGGCCUUUGGGAUUUUCAGGAAUUUAUUGGACUAUAAAUUAAAUAGUGGGCUGGGCCACAUAAAUUCCAACAACACUUACUACUAUUAUUGUGAACUUUUGGUGGACACAAGUGUCAGGGAAGGAUAGGAAAAAAAACACUUUGUCUUAAUGAUGAUGACAUAGCAUCCGGGUAUAGUCUCAAGGAGGAAAAACUCGGCCCAAGGAGUAGAGGGUCUGCCAGGUCAUCUAUAUGGAGUCUGACUGCUACACCUGGGCGCCUCAUUGACUUGGAGUGCAAGAUAGGGAAACUCUACUACCCAAAAUACCACUUGAGAUAUGAUUCUAACCGAUUAAAUAAUCUAUUCCGUAUAAACCGACUCAGGCUCUUGUAAUCUGAUACGUCGAAAACAUACUAUUCCUUUUUAAGUUUCCAUCUUUGUGUUCUAUUGCUUUUUAUCGAUUUUCAUUAAAGCUUUGAGCUUAAAUGUAGUUAACAGCCAUUAGGAAGUUUCUUCUUUCUUUGUUUUGUUAAUUUCAGAUAUAUAACGCGAGAGGAGAGCCCCUAGAAAAUUAGGAGGAUCAUAUAUCGGAGUCCAAUGCAGUAUACAAAAGGAGGGAUCGACAAAGGCCCCCACGGAGGUCCCAGUCGGCCAAGGGUAGGCACCCUGGGCCCAGGGCUGCUUGCCUGGGGCUUGGGAGACUCUGCUCUUUUCGAUGUACUCUUUCAUACUCCCUCCGUUCCAAAACACAAAUCAUAAAGAUUUGUGCACUUGGACCAAGGCAGCUCUCAUUUCUAGUGCUUGACCACUCAUAUUGGAUUAAUAAUAAAUGGAUGUGAGUAGUUAUUUGCCGGGUGCGGGUACCAAGAGAAAAUAAGGUGUGUUUUGGAACAAAUGAGAAAAACCUAUAUGAGUUGUGUUUUGGAUAGGAGGGAGUAACACUUUGGGACCCCCUGAAAAUUCAGACACAAGAAGAUAUCGAUUACGAGGCAAAGCAGCACAGAAAGUAAAACUACCAGAAAUUAUGCUGCGAGAUCACUGCUUCGGAAAAGGUUAGCAGCAGCGGUCCGAAUUACACACCGGUGGCGGUAACCCGGACCGCCACUAAGCCUGCGCCACGGUAAUACCCGCCACCGGUGCUAGCCAGCACCGGUGGCGGUUUGCACAACCGCCGCUGGUAAUCCGUAGGGAGGUUAAGAAAGUGCACCGGUGACCGUGGGAAGAACUGCCACUGUUCUUUUCCGGUUUAAAAAAAAUAUUUUUUAUAUUAGAACAUUCCUGUAACAGCAAUAUAUCACAUCACAGCAAUAGAUAACAGCAUGAUAGAUAACAGCAAUAUAUAUGAGAAAAUCACACAUCCAUGAUAGAUAACAGCAUCCGUUCACAAAACUUAUUACAAAAACACAGAUAUUCAAUAUUUAACAUUGUCCAUCAAAGUUUCAAUACAUCGGCACAACCCCGCCUUCAUAAAAAUCACCGUUCUCCUUCAGGACCUCUUUGUUGAGAAUGGUGGCUAUCUUCCUCUGAAUAUCGAACACAAGAACAGCUGGGUUGUGUUCAUAUUCUGAUUCCGUCUUGAAGUAAUCCACCAUCUGCUGGUAGGUCGUCUUUGUCUUGGGCUUGAAAUUGGUGACCCAAUUGCGGAUGAUGUACGCGUAGUAGUAUCCACAGAAGACCGUACCUUGCGGCUGUUGUAUACAUGCGAAGUUUCUGUGAUAGGUUAUUUUCUUCCAGCCGUAACUUGGCAACUCAUAGUCAGUCACUGCCUUUUUCCACGCCUCUUCGAAGAGUGUUCCGACGGUUUAGAAGUCGCGCGGCUCAUAGCCUUACUUCCGGCGGAGUGGAUCAAGAUACGUCACCGACCCUUCUUCGAAAGAGAAGGCCACCACCACCCAAUGUUCGUUGUUUACAAAAAGAACACACAUUUAUAACCGAAAUGAGAACAACUUAGUGGAACGAGAAAGAAAGCAAUGGUCUUGAGAACAACUUACUCUAAAUGGUAGAGUGUAAGAACAUAACGGCGUUGCUUGUGCAUUGCGAAGAACUUAGCCAAGUAUGAGCCUUCUCUCUCGAACCCCGUUUCCAUUCCUCUAGACCGAUGGUUGCUUUGCUGAAUAAGAGAGGAUCGGCGAUGGCAACGUGUGGUUCUUUCAGGCGGAAGGACUCCCUAGUGAAGUAUACACACCAGAGUCUUAACAUGUUGUUGUCUAAGUACUUCUGGUUGAAGACGUGAAACAAGUCAAGGAAGUCCACGCCGAAGGUAAGUUCCUUCGUCUGCAGGUCCCCCGUUUCGGCAUUGUAGAAGCCAUAAUACUCUGGCACCUUCACAUUCAUCUGUUGGCCAUGUUGUGUAGAAUUAGCUGAUGCUGCCAUGUAGUAGCCAUGUAGCUCUUGCAUCUCUUGCGGCAGGCUCCUUAGGUCCUUAAGGCUGACCAUCGGUUGUCCAGGGUAGAACAUCAGCACUUUAUCGAAUUUCCUGGCCACGAAGUAGGCUCCGCCGACUAAAUCACAAGCUAUAGGGGGGCUUCAUAUUCAAAAUAUCUAGCCGGUUUUCCCAAUUCCCUUCGAUUAUUGGCGGAUUGCUGGGUUGCUCGCCCGUUGAGUCCAACUCUUUACUCUUCGAGUCACUGGAUCUCUUGCUGAUUUUGGACCCCUGUUAUUGGUGCGCCGGCGUUUCAAAACCUCGGCCUCCUCUUGAUCCUUGAAGGUCUGGGAGACCUGCUUGCCAGACGUGUACUCCAGCGCGCCCGCCACAGAUUUCCGUGGCACGGGUGCAGGUCGUGGUGGUUGUGAGGGUUGGCUGUCUUUACGGUGGGGCGGCGAUGGAUUAGGCAGCAGCACAUGAGCCGGUGCAGCGUCAUCAUCGCUGCAGUCUUGCGUUGGUCCGAAAUCGAAGCCUCCUUGCCCCGACGUUGGUGAAUCCGGACGUGCUGGCUUAUUGGGGGAUGGGCCAAGGGGCGAUGGAGAGGGAAGUCAUCGAGCGGAAGCCGGUGGAGACGCUCCGGGACACGACAAAGAGGGAGAAGGUUGGGUAGCGAGGGCAACCAACCUCCUGGGCCACUGGAUGUACGUGCCCCGGCAUUGCCCUAGAGUCACUGAUUCCUCCUCUAGAGGAUAAGGGACCGGCGUCUUGUCAAAUUCCGGGAGCACGGAGUCCACCUGCACCCUGACAUGAUCCGGGGCCAUGGGCGUGUUGUGCACGACCGGCAUUCUUCGCAUCAGCAGACCACGUGCGCCUAAGGGAUUCCCGGUGGAUGGCAUCAAUAUCCGGCACUUAAUACUCUUCUGUGCGUGACAAACAAAUUAACAUACGUACGUUAGUGUUAUGGUGUGAAGAAUGACGUAAUUGAGUGUAUAUAUACUAUGGUACCAGUAAGGAGCUUACCAGGAUGUUAUCAGAUGGGCCAUCAGGGUCAUCCGAAGUUCGGUGCCGGAGCCAGCACUGCUCUUAUAAGGUGGCGGCGAAGGAUUCGGAGUCGACUGAUGAACAUGCGGAGUCAUAGGCCUCGGUGUCACGCCCCGGUUGCCCUAAUAUGUAGCAACGAACUCCUCCAUAGUCUGGCCAGAGUCCCUUGCUUUUUUCAAGCAAGCGAAAAACUCCUCCCUCGCCGCCCUUUUCGCCACCUCUACAAUUUCUUCGUGCUUCUCAGCCUUUCUUUUACGGCUCCGGGCUUCUUUCUCUUGAGGAAAGACUUUGCGGCAAAGGGCCCCGGUUCCUAAGGCUCGAAUAUGGGCCCCGUGCUUAUUUCUUCCUAGAGCAUAGCUUAGUGGUGAAUCCCACUGUGCACGGAGCUCGUCGUGGGAGCCUUCCGACUCGAACUCGGCGACCUUGUCCUGAAAUAAGACAAAGUCGGUGUCAAUUUAUAAGUGAGUGUGUUAGAAGCUAAACUGAAAAGGAAGUGGCGGUUGAGGCCUUACGAUUAAAACUUUCUGGUCAUCGCGGAUAGGCUUCAGGCCUGCCCACUGUUCUUUUGUCAUGGUACUCCGCACAAAGGUUGUGAACCGGUCAUGACGGAGCAUUGUUGGGACAGGAGGGACUAUCCCUCUUGCCGCAAGCUUGGCGUCCUCCUUCUCCCACACCGGCUUCUUUCCCUCGAUACCACGACUACCAAGGCGGUGGUUAAAUUUCCUCUUGGCACGUAGCGCCGCGUACCACUCUUGGGUUGCUUUGAAAUUUUGAUCCUUUUCCUUCUCCUUGAACUCCUCCCAUUCCUCCUCUGUGAUCCUCGGCCAUUUCUUAUGAAUCACCAUCUUCCAAUCUUCGUUCAAAAAAGCACUGGCCAUGGUACCCCAAUUGCUGUGACCCCUACGCAUUGUGGUCUUCAUCGCUCCGAAUACUUCUUCACGGAGCACGGGAUCAGGCACCUCGAACCUCUCCCAUCCCUUGGCGUAACAAUCUUGCUUUACGCUCUCCGGCACCUCGGUCCAUCUUUGAUUGAUGUUCGUGAACUCGCGAACGAUUGCAUUGCAAGUGUUGGCGAAACACGACGCGGCCCUCUUUGGUGAUUUGGGUUCCCCCACGUCGUCAGUCCUGGUGACGAUGAAUUUCUCCUUCGUCGGCUUGUUAGACCCACGCGGCGCCUUCUUCUUCUUCUUCUUAGAAGUAGCCUGCGACGUGGUAGCCUCAGAGCCUGCAUUGAAGCCUGAAGGAUCACCGCCGCCGUGUUCAGGCUCGUCGUCUUGGCUAUGUGCUAUUGGUGUGCCCGACGAUGAAGAACCCUGAGGGGAGUCCUCAGGGUGUUCUCCAUCGCGACCCUGAGCUUCCUAUACAAUGCCCUUACAUGGAUUACUUUAAAAAUUUGAAAAAUUCGACAUGACCCGUAAUGUAAAUCUAGAAAAAUUCGGCAUGACCCGUGCUAUAAAGCUAGCGAAUUGGUCUACCCGACAAUGAUACCUGCAUAAAAAUUACCCACCCACAUAUACCCCCUCGGCGCGAUGGCCACCCCCCUAAAUUUCAACGGCCUCGGCACGAUGGCCGGGCCCACAUCAUGCAUAUGCCACAAAAUGCAUAUUUAAGACAUUUGAUAUUUGCUACUCAAGGAUAUUUGCUCAAGGAUAUUUAAGACAAAAUGCAUACCUAAGACGAAAUGCAUAGUCUAUUAAUAUAUAAUUAUAUGACAUAGAUUCAUAUUCAUUAUAUUCCUAGUCAAGGAUAUUUGCUCAUGGAUAUGAUUUUGAUCACAUUAGUCACAUAUUUGCUACUCAAGGAUAUUUGCUUGACACUUUACCCAUCGCCAAAGCAAGGAAAAAAAAUCCUAACCCUAGAACAUGGAUCACUAAACCCUAGAACAGUAAACUUAAAAAAACAAUCCUAACCCUAGCACUGACCUUGUCGCCGGCAGGCUCUCCCUCGACGCCGGCGGCCGGGGACCCCGGCGGUUUGUCGUCGCGGGGGAGCUUGGUCUCCAGAUUUUGGACCUCGUCCACAAAAUCCGGCGGGCCCGAAUCAGCCGUGCGGCGGGGCGGCAGGUUUGCCGUGGCUGACGCCGUGGAGAAGCCACGGCAGCGGCCCGUGCCGCGUGUGCGCACCAUGGCGGCAGCGGCGGUGGCGGCGGCUCGGGGACAGCGGGUCGGGGAGGAGAAGGCCGGGGAAAAGGAACGGGGUCGGGGAGGAGAAGGAACGGCUUCGGGUCGGGGUCGGCGACGCGGGUGGGGGAGGGGAACGGCGGCGGCGGCGAGUCGGCGGCGGGGCAGGGCUUCGCCCGCGUUAGUGUUCGAUGUGCCGCUGCUGGUCUGUGAGACGCGCGGGCGAAUGGUUCGAAAUUUCGCUAAGUCCAGUCGCUAUCUAUUGGCCAAGGGGAUUUUUGCACCAGCACUCGUGGCGGUUCACCAAGUAAAAUAGCCACCGGUGCUAAGCACCCGUGGCCGGUUGGUGCUUUGGACCGCCACCCGUGCUUCUCAGUGGCUAUAGCACUGGAGCGAGCACUGGUGACGGUCUAUUUGCAAAACCGGCCACUUGUGCUGCAGUGGCCGGUUUUGCAAAUAGACUGUCACCAGUGCUCGCCACCAGUGCUCCUCAGUGCCUAUAGCAAUGGAGCGAGCACUGGUGACGGUCUAUUUGCAAAACCGGCCACUGGUGCUCCACCUGUGCUCCUGCAUCUAGCACUAGUGGCGGUUUGACCGCAAAACCGCCACUGAUACUAAUUUCUGAAUCAAGUUUUAAAUUCAUAUUAAAUUAUGUGUACAUCCAAAAAUUAAAGAACCUGUCCUUUUGAGUGUAAACUACUAAUAUCAUGUCCCAUGCAAAGUUUCAAACCUAAAUACAGAAAUAUCAUCAACCAUUUAUAUGAUUAUGUUGUUCAUAUUAAAGUUAUUAAUUGCUAUAAAAUUGAAUUUUGCUCAAAAUGACCUGAAAUUUUGCAUGGAACAUUUCUAUCAAUAAACAAUCUUACAUAUAAAUUGUGGUCCAAAAAUUUAAAAGGAUGCACUUUGGUUCUUCAUUUUUUUCACAUUGCUUCUUCAUUUUGGAACCAUCUAGGUAAAUCUCUCAGAAACCAUCCAACCCCAUGAACAAAAUGUGACAUGUUUUUUUUGAUUGAACUUGAAUUUUUUUUAUGGGUGUUCUAUAGCAAUAGGGAAGUGUCCACACCAAAUUUGACAAUGUUUUGAGAAAAAUUGAAUUUUAUAGAAUUUUUAUAGCACAAAAGCCACACAUAAUGACACUUAACCAUAGAAAUUAGGGUAUAUAACAUUUGAAUUUAUGCUUCAAAACUUUAUUGAGAAUAAACACUCUUAUUAUACACAUAAAAGAACAGGUGGUGUAUUUAUUUAAAACCCAGAGAAUAUAUUAUGAAUUUAAUAGCUUAUUGGAAAUUCGUCACCAAUGGCGGUUUUUGUCGUGAGAACCGCCACUGAUAUGCGGUACACAAACUUAGGUUCUCCAAUGCUCCUGCGUAUCAUACUAGUGGCCGGUUUCUUUGCGAGCACCGCCACUAGUGCUCCAUGCUAGUGGCGGUUCCCAGCGUAGUCACCGUCACUUGUGCUCCUGCGCGUGAGGCGAAGUUUUGCGCCAACACUAGUGGCGGUUUGCUGCGUUUUAACGGCCACUAGUGCUUCAUGCUAGUGGCGGUUCGUGCGUUUUCACCGCCACUAGUGCUCCUCAGAGCGAGCUUUCGCGCAGUGGGUUGGGAGUUUUAGUCCCACCUCGCUAGUUUACAGAGAAUCUGACCAGCAUAAAUAGCCUUCUCCACCUGCACUCUCACUUCCGAAUCACAUCUCUUCCUGGCCGGUGGGCCCGGUUGUCCUCUCUUCCUGGCCUGUGGGCCCGGUUGUCGUUCCGAAACUUGGUGGGCUCGAUAAAAGCCCUGUGGGCCCGGUCAAACCUGCCCUAGUAGGUAGUAGGCAAUUCCCUGGUUCGCCGGGCUCGGCCCGAACCCGAAAAGCUGUGUUGACUGGGUGGGCUAAUUUUUUUCCAUGAAAUUUGAUAAAGUUAUUUUGAAAUUCAGAACAUAUCUAAGACAUUUGAUUUGAAAUUUGAACAAGUUAUUUAAUACAACUGAUUUCAAAUUUGAUCAAGUUUCUUCAAAUUCAGAACAUAUUUAAGACAUUUUAUUUGAAAUUUGAACAAGUUAUUUAAAACAUUAUGAUUUCAAAUUUGAACAAGUUAUUUCAAAUUCAGAACAUAUUUUUUAUUUCAAAUUUGAACAAGUAAUUAUUUAAUACAGUUGAUUUGAAAUUUGAACAAGUUGUUUAAUACAAUUGAUUUCAAAAAUCGAUCAAGUUACUUCAAAAUCAGAACAUAUUUAAAACAUUUUAUUUGAAAUUUGAACAAGUUAUUUCAAAUUCAGAACAUAUUUAAGACUUUUGGUUUCAAAUUUGACAUGAUACAAGUUACAAUUUUCAUUCAAAAGCAUCGUGAAACAUCAACUACGAAAAGAUACACAAAUAUUUAACUAUUCCACAAUCUUGUCCUUCAUCUUCUUUCUAGUCUUCUCCUUCCUCUUAUAUGUUAGGGUCUCUCUAUGGCCGCUUCUAGCGUAUGCCUCCUCUCUUGCCUCAGGUCUUGACUUCUUCCUUGUCUGAAUUGUCCGUUAUGCUUCUUCUUCUUCUUGGUUUGACGUUGGAUCAGGAAAACCUUCAUAGUCUUGUUGUGAAGUAACUCCGUCGACGCCAACUAUGCUUCUUUUCCCUCUCCUUACGACAACACGGUUCUUGCUUGUCGGGUCGUCGAUGAACAAAACUUGUUUGCAUUUUGAAACAAACUGCCAUGGUUCCCAUCUUGCCGGGAUUUUCUUCACGUCCACUUUAUGACGAGGAACCUCACGAGGCAGGGUCAUUGUUGUGAAUCUAUGAUCUUCUUUUCUGACAUCACGUGCCCAUCUAACACGGAACAUGGGGAUGGUGGUGAAGGUGUAGUCAAGCUCCCAGAUCUCUUUAAUCACGCCAUAGUACGCUUCUGUAGUGCCUUAGUUUUCAGAACUAGUCUCAGCAACCAGUACUAUACCGCUAUUUUGGUAACUGCUCUUACGAUCUUGAUCCUUGGUGUAGUACGUAUACCUGUUCAUUACGUACGACUGGUAAGUCACUAUGCAGCCGUCGGGUAGGCGCGAGAACUUUUGAGCGGUCCUUUCUUCUUCAUUUGCCGCCACCCUGGCAUAGCAAAAACUCUUGAGCCACAUGGCGAAUGUUGCAUUGUGGGUCUUGUGUAUCCAAUCAGCACUCCUGUUAGGGUACCGGUUUUCAAGUUCUUCCAUAUGCAUGUCGAUGAAAGGCUGGACCUCGUACAUAUGUUGCAGCACCAUUGUAUGUGUUCUCAUAUAGUCGUCCUCUCUCCCCAAUGAAUACACAUCUAGAACCUUCCGGCCAAGCCCACCUUCACCUUCUAGUUUGACCUUAUGUCGUGAUUCGGGUACUCCUAUGGGUUUGUGAUCCGCCAACCAAUCAGUGGCGUACUCCACACACUCUUCUACAUGGUAGCCUUGCAUGAUGCUACCUUCCGGAUGCCCUCUGAUACGAACAUACCGCUUCAGCACCGCGUUGUAUCGUUCGGGCCCAUACAUGUUGUGCAGAAAGGAGGGCCCUAGUAGGAUUAUCUCGUCGGUGAUAUGGACCAUCAGAUGUACCAUGAUAUCAAAGAAUGUUGGAGGGAAGAACAUCUCACAUUCACACAAAAUUUAUAUCAUUGAAUCCUUCAGCUGGAGGCAGCGUUCCACCGUGAUGGACUUUUGCCCGAUUGUGUCAAAGAAGUCACAAAGCUUCAUGACCGUCUCUCUGAUCCAUGGCUCCAUGGCACCUCUUAUUGCAACUGGAAGUAACUGCGUGAUAAUCACGUGGCAGUCAUGAGACUUCAUGCCAACAAGCUUGUGACUCUUCAUGUCAACGAGUCUCUUGAUGAUGGACGAGUAGUUGGAUGGAACUUUUAUGCUGUGGAGACACUGGCACAUUCUGUGUAACUCGGCUUUGCUCAAGGUGUAACACACAGGUUUACAUCGUGUCGUUAUCGUGACUUCACCAUUGUGGUCUUCCGGUGACUCUUCCUCUACCGCCCACAGCUUCUUCCUUAUGCCCAAGAACUCCAGGUCCUUCCGUGCCUUUGGCCCAUCUUUUGUCUUGUCUGCAUUGUUCAUUAGCAAGCCCAACAAGGUGUCGCACACGUUCUUCUCGACGUGCAUGACAUCUAUGGUGUGACGGCUUUGUAAGAAUUUCCAGUAAGGCAGGUCCCAAAACACCGACCUUCUUUUCCACACAGGUCCAUCGCCAUCCUUCUCUUUCGCUUGCGGAUUUGCUUUCCCGGCAACAACUUCCAAGUUCCUAAAAAUUUCAUAGAUUUUGCGCUCAGUCUUUUCCCUGGGCUUCGGGCGAGGCUCUGUCCUCCCAUUGAAGUUUUUCUUGUCCUUCCUCCAUGGGUCAUCGCGUUGCAACCACUUUCGGUGUCCCAUGUACACAAUCUUCCGUGAAACUGGCAGCCUCUGUGAGUUCGUUUCAUCCCGCACUUUGUACACGCUUUGUACCCAUGUGUGCGUUGGCAAGAUGCGUUCCCGUUCGCAGGGUAGUCAUGCACACAUGUCAGCAGAGCUGCCCAAAGGGUGAACUCCUCCUUCUUGUGAGCGUCCCAAACCUUUCGGCCCGUACUCCAAAGUUCCGCAAGUUCAUCUUUCAGUAGCUCCAGAUACACGUUCAGAUCAGCUCCCGGUUGCUUAGGGCCUUGUAUGAGCAUGGAUAGGUGGAUGUACUUCCUCUUCAUGAUAAGCCACGGAGGAAGGUUGUAUAUGAACAGGAUCGCCGGCCAUGUGCUGUGUUUGCUGCUCAUGUUUCCGAACGGAUUAAUUCCGCCCGUACUCAUCCCGAACCUGAUGUUCCUGGGCUCUGCGCCGAAGUCUGGAAACUUCUUGUCCAGGGUCCUCCAUCGAGCCACAUCGGCGGGGUGUCUAAGUACACCAUCGUCGAUACGGUACACCCCAUCAAGAUCGAUAUCCUUAUGAGUCGAGUCGUGGAAGAUGAACAAUCUGGCCUCCUUCUCGUUUUGAAACCAACGCUCCAGCCGCCUACCACACGGGAGGUACCAUACCGUCUUCGCUGCUGGACCACAAGUCACUUCUUCCUUUGGGAGGCCCUCAGGAUUGGGGUCUUUCUUCCUGUACCAGGAUGUUUCGCAUACUGGACAGCUGUGCAUGUCUUUGUAGUCACCCUUGUAUAUGAUGCAGUCCAACGGACAAACAUGGUAUCUGACAACCUCUAACCCGAGGGGACAUGCAACCUUCUUCGCUUCGUACGUGCUCUUAUGCAACAUGUUGCCCGCGGGAAGAACUGUAGAAAGGUAACUCAAAAUAUCCGUGAAUCCCGAGUCCACGAUGUUAUAUUUUGCCUUCAUUCGGAGAAGUUCGAGCGUUACUUCCAGCACACUUUUGUCCGGCCCUGCAUUUCCAUAAAAUGGUGUCUCUGCGUCCUCCCUCAGCUUUUGGAAUUUACGGGACACUAUCUCAUCGUCAACGUCAUCUAACUGUUUACGCAGGUGCACAUCAUCUAGCAUUUCGGCCACCCUGCCUUGCGGAACUUCUUGAUCUUCGCCACGGCAUGGUUCGUCAGGUGGAUCAUCAUGCUCCAUGUUCUCCAUUUCUGGGUCGCUUUCAACUUCAAUGGCAUCCUCGCCGUGACAAGUCCAACGUGAAUAACCCAACAAAAAACCGUGUAGGGGCAAGUGCAACUCCACAUUGCUUGGCAGAAGCAUCAUUGUGUUACGACAAUUGCUACAUGGACAACAUGUCAUGCCGUCCCCUUUUCUCAGCAUAUGUUCCGUGCCGACAUCAGUGAAGUCUUUCAGUUUUCUUAUCCACUCUUCGCAAUUUCUUGUCUCAUCGUACAUCCAAGCACGGCUCAUCGAGCUAAAACACGAUAAACAAACAUAAAUCAAGUUACAUAUAGUAUCACACAAAAUUUCGGCAUGACCUUUGCUAUAAAAUUUACAAAUUUUGCAAAAAAAUUGUCAAAUAAACACCCACCCACACCCACAUGUGAACACAAAUGGCACGAUGGCCGCGGAACAUGCACAUUCAACUCAUAUUUUAUUGAGAGAGAGCUUAAUUAAUCACAGAGAGAGGGGAGCAGAGAGAGAAAGGGGACCAGAGAGACAGAGGGGAGGUGGCGCACGCAGCAACCAGAGAGACGAUAGAGGGGAGGGAGAAACGGAGCUAGGGGAAGAGUGGGGGCCUCCCAAGCAAGGGGGCCGGCCGGGAUAGCUCCUGGAGAGAGAUCGAGCUCUCCCGGCCGCCGGCGCCAUUUCAGCCACAUCGAGGAAGAAGAGAAGAGAGGAAGGAGCUAGAGGAAAGGAGAGGGAGAGGAGGAGGAAGGAGAGGGAAAGGGAGCAACCUUCCAACCUCCAGUGCCAUGGAAUUUUGGCAGAGCUUCGCCGUCGCCUGUGUUGAGGAGCCGCAGCUGGUCCAGAGACGCGCGAGCUGAGGAAGAUAAGGCCACAGUGACUUUGCUUUAUAGAUAACUUACCAGUGGCGGUUCAAAAGAAUCAGCCCGCCACUGGUAACCGGGAUGGGAAUCUCUGAGGAGCACUAGUGGCGGUUAACUGAUGCGGCCACUGGUACUAGGAGCACUAGUGGCGGUGAAAGCCGCAUGAGUGCUGGCACUACCACUAGUGCUCCACUAACAGCGGCGGUGGAAGCUAACCGCCACUGGUACUCGUUUCAGAUUCUUCCAGCUAAAGCACCGGUGGCGGUGCUGCUCGUGCGAGUGCUUUCACCGCCACCGGUGCUCCACUAGCAGUGGCGGUGGUUGCUCAUCACCACUGGUAUUCGUUUUGGAUUCCUCCAACGACGUCCAGUGGCGGUGAAUUUUUUGGACCAGCUGUACCGCCACUGGAGCUCGUGCGCCAGUAACCCAUUAUGGCGUAGUGGUCACUAACGACACCUAAUGACCUUUUUGGAGAAAUGGUCAUAAACUGUUAUGAACGAUUAGGAUCGUUAUAAAUUUUAUGAUCAAUUUUUUGGUUGCUAGUCCACCCUAGACACAUAGGAUCCGAUGUGGCAACCUUAGUGACGAAAUUAAAUGGCCGUAAACCAAAUUUGGCCCGGUCUAGGUUGUUUGUCCAUAUAUGUGGGCCAAGCCCAAAAAAUCAUUCUAUUUUAUCAGUCCACUCUGGUCUGCUAAAUGGGCCAUGACCAUCAUUUUGGCCCACGUUUUAUGACCCAUUUGUUCAAUUCCAACCAUUUUUAUUUACUUUUUCCCAAUUCAAGUCCAAUAUUAAUUUGGCCAAGGCCUUUUUAUAAUUUAUAGUCCAGUCUAUUACUAUUUUAAUAAAUAUACUGCUCUUAUGUCGAAUAUUGUUUGGUUCGUUGGUUUCUAAGCAAAGUAUAUUUUUGGCCCAUAUGUCCAAAGUUCAUUCUUUGGACAAUUUUGCUAACAAAGCAGCAAUCACUGAGAAAAUCAACACUCACACAGGAAAACAACACAUGAUUAUAAACAUUUGCAGCAUUUCAUGCUUGUAACUUCAGCACAUUACAUUUUAUUUCAACUUAAUAUAUCAGACUACAUGAAAGAGAUACAACUCAAAGUAUAAUUAAUUAAACACUUGCAAAGAGUAGAGGCAACACUUGGCUCAAGAUAGGCAGCGACAACCUAAGAAAAUAAAAGACAAUGCAGAGAGAAAAAACUAUAAACAUGAAACUAAGCCCCCGAGGGUCAAGUCGGCGCGAUUCGAGCUAGCUCGGGGCUUCUUUUCUUGAUAAACAAAAUGAUUGUAACCCCCGAGGGUUGAGUCGGCUUAUCUGAAAUGGCCCCAAGAAUCAAUCUGAUUUUACUCGUCUCUAUUUCUCAGAGUCAAAUCACCUAUAUAGAUAGGAAAAAAAAUCUUUGCACACAUGAAACUUCAUCAGGUUGCGAGAAAUAUCGAAUAAAUUGAUAUGUAUCUGUUGUGAUUGUUACUCAUCUAUGUGACUCGUGGCAAUUUUCGCACUUUUGGCUAUGUCUUGUGACAAGCUUUAUACUUUUUCUCUUUGUGCCAUGCUGUAAUAUAUAGUUGUGCUUUGACACUCUGCAGCAAGUCUGCAUUUUUCUGUGCCUCUUGGAUUAACCACAAUGUGUCAUACACACACAAUGGAUUAACCACAAUGUGUCAUACAUACACAAUGGAUUAACCACAAUGUGUCGUACACAUUUUUUUUUACGAAAUGUUGUACACAUAGUAGCUAGCCGAUAGUUGGAGAUAAUAAUCAACAACUAACACUUAAACCAGCAAAUUAAUGGCUACACAAAACCCUGUAACGACAAUUCACUAUAUCUGAAAAAUUCCCCUAAAAAAAUUGUAUUCUGUGAAAAAUAAUAAAAAUGAUGCCACUGCAAUAUCUGGGACUUAAAUAGACAUUCAUCUCACAGGCUAAUAAAGUUUACAUCAAAAGGUAGUUCAGGUUUAGACCUACUGUUACAUACAUAAUACAGCAAAUAAGCACAAAAUAGUCACUUUCAGAAAAGUUCCAGCCAAAUUACCCUAAUUAAAAUAUUUAACUAGGUACAGCAACAAAAGAGCAGUAGAUCACACUAGGUACACUCAUCUCAUCGCCAGGGCUUGAUUCUCCCGCUUUCAACUUUGCUCAAUUUCUCUUGUCCACCAUUCUAAGGUGGCUGCUGCUGCUGCUCCGGCUGCGGCCAAGUGAAAGGGAAUGUCUAUCCCCGGCCGGGACAAUAGUCUGCAUGGUCGCUGGUGACAACCCAAUACCACUUUCCUGCAUGAGAUGUCCACCAAGAAAUCAAAUUAAGGCGUCAUUACUGCAGACUGCAGCGACGAUGUCAUUCUUCUGCAGUGUUCUACUUUUUUUUUUGGAACAUGCAGUGUUCUCCUACUGUUCUUUGGUUUGGAGCAACGAGGCUCGGCCUGGACGCCCGAGCUGAGCUUUUGGGCUCGGGCUUGGCCCGCAUAUCCCCAAAGCCCGAGCCGACCAUGCGAAAUGGGCGACGCCCGAGCUGAGCUUUUGGGCUCGGGCUCGGCCCGCAUAUCCCCAAAGCCCGAGCCGACCAUGCGAAAUGGGCCUGUUUUUAAUUUCGCGUCAAGCCCAGCUCGGCUUGGGAUGCUCGCAAGAGUCUGAAAAAGAAUCAGCCUGGUCCUUUUCCCAACGGUGGCCCAGCCCAGUGCGCACCCCGCACUCCUCCUCUGCCCGAAUCCGCCGCCGCCGCACAGCGCGCAGACGCGCACCCACCUCGCGCCGCCCUCCGCCGCUCGCAUCCCUCUGCUCGCCCGAUGAAGAAGGAUGGCGAAGCCGCCGCCACAGAUCGAGCUCCGCCGCCGCCUCCGCACAUCCAGCGCCCGCGCGGCCGCACAUGAAGCUAUCCGGCGCCUUGCCCAACGGCUGCGUCUUCUUCGCCUGCGCCCCCACGAUGCGGCUGACGGCGGCCGGUCGUCCGCGAGGAGCAACCGCGUUGUCCUCGUCCUCGUCAACCCCGUCACCGGCGCGGCCCAGAGCGUCGAGGUGUACACGCCCGAGAGCCUGUAUGGGUUGAUCCAUGGCCAAGGUGUUGUUUGUGGCCGUGAGUGUUGAUCCAUGGCCAAGGUGCACUUCUUCAGUAUGAACCGGCUUGCUGCAGAAUGUCAGAACUUGUCAUAUGUUGGUAAUUAAAUGGAGGUUACUUAAAUUACUCGAAGCUAUUGAUAUCUUCCAAAAGUAUGUAAACUCCAUUUUUAUCAAUGAGAAGCAGGGAAAAAAAUGUUAAACACACAAUUAAAAGAACUAACUUCUCAUUCUCCUGCAUGAUGUCCAUCAGGAAAUCAAAAGUAUCAUUCCUCGAGACCGUAGCCGCGAUGUCAUUCUUCUGCAGCGUCCUCCUAUUGUGAUUCCAUGAUGGUAACUAGGUACGGUACAACAUACAAAUAAGCUCAGUCAACCACAAUAAGACAUUAAUCGCCCGGCUUGAUGAUUAUUCCGCCUCAGCUACGCUCAUUCAUCUUGUCCACCACUAGAAGGCGGCUGUUGCUGCUCACCAUUGUAAGGCAGCUGAUGCUGCUGCUCACCGUUGUGAGGCGACUGCUGCUGCUCCGGCUGCGGCCACGCGAAAGGAACUGGUUGCUGGUUAGGUUUUCAUAGUACAUUCCGAAGGUGCCCAUUCCCGGGAUCAUGGUCUGCAUGGUCCCAGUCGGCAACCCCACGCCAUUGUCCUGCAUGAUGUCCACAAGGAAAUCAAAGGCCUCGUUCCUGGAGACCGCAGCGGCGAUGUCAUUCUUUUGCAGCGUCCUCCUAUUUUUUUCUCUGGUUUGGAGCCACGAUCUCAGCGUCAGCUCUUGGAUGAAGAUCUCACACGCCUUAGUUAGGACCCCAGGCGCCUCCCCCGCGAUCACCUGGACAUUCUCCCCGCUAGCCUUCAUGAUCUUCUUGAUCCUCUCAAGGGGAAGGCUGUGGAUCUUAAAGUCGCUCAUGUGCUCGAUCUCAUCCAGCCGGUCGGUCCAGAAGGCCUGAAGUCGCUGCUAGUGCUGGUCCUCCUGUUGCACUGGGGUGGCAGCGUAGAUUGGACCACCAUGGGGUCCUACAUGAAAGACGGUACCUGCAGGAAAGACGACGCCUACUGGCGCAACUCCAGAUACCGUCCUGCCACAUAUGCUACAGGUGUGUCGUUUGUGGCAUCCGCCUCUGUCACUUGGCUGCGAGUGUUGAUUCAUGGCCAAAAGAUGCACUUAUGUCCUUGGGGGUUGGCUCCUAUUUUUCUCUCUGGUUUGGAGCUACGAUCUCAGCGGUCUCUAGGAUGAAGAUCUCCCACGCCUUAAUUAGCCAAGACCUCAGGCACCUCGCGACCAUCAGGAGGACUUCUCUGUGGCAGCCUUCAUGAUCUUCUUGAUCCGCGGCCUCGCGAGAGGAAGGCUGUGGGUCUUGAACUCCGAUAUCUGCUCGAUCUCAGCCAUCCGGUUGAUCCAGAAGUCCUGAAGCUGUUGCCGGGGUUGGUCCUUCUGCUGGAGUGGGGUGGUCGCGAUUGGGACACCCUUGGAGCCUAUAGGGUGAGUAAAUUAUGGAUUAGCCAUACUAGGUUGAGUAAAGAAAUUGUAUAUGUAUUUAUUUUUUAGUUCGUUUUUGCUUAGAUCAAGGUUUACCCUUUGAAAGAAAAAAUGUCUUCUUUCUGGAUUAUGCAAGACACGGCUUGUGUCAUUCCCACAUUGGGUUAGCCAGGAUGUGUCAUUCCCACAUUGGGUUAGCCAUUGUGUCAGACACACAUUGGGUUAUCCCUGUGUCAGACACACAUUGGGUUAGCCACACUGUGUCAUACAGACAUUGCCUUUAGCACAAAUUGAUGCAAGACACGGCCACGCAGGACCUACAUCGACCAAGUCAUGUACGCUCAAAUUGGAAGCACUGUAUAAUUUCCCACAUGUACAUGUCAAGAUAAAAACAAUGGAAUGAAGGUGUAAUUUCAUUUCCCACGCAGCCGUUUCAAAGGAGAUGUAAAAGGGUCUAGGUAUUUGAAAAGAAAAACUGCGAAGCCUCCUCCGCGUGCGCAUCACCGGCCGCCUCGCGAACUUCAACAUAAAACGAGUAAACAAGCAAAAACACACCCGAUUACAAAACAGUCAACAUAAAACCCUAACCCCCAUGAUUGAACAAGCAGAUCAGCACAGCUUAGCAUAAUAUACAGCAACGGUCAUUACUCGUACAACUGUGCAUGAGAGAGCAUAACCCCCAUGAUUGUACAACGGUCAUUACUAAACCUCGUUCCUCGUAGUCCCGAACUCGUCGAUGUAGUCAGCGUGUCCGUCCUGGUCCUGGGUGUUGGUGUCAUCGAGGCCCAAGGGGAGCUGGACCUCGGCGAGCACGAGAUAGUUGGGUGCCUGGAGCAGCAUCUUCUGCAAUUUGAGCAUGUGGGAGACGACGAGGUCGUAGAGGAACGUCGCAUUAUUCUUCCAGAUCCUGAAUUCCUCAUUGAUCAGCCGCCGCUGACCCCCAACAGUUGGCUCAGCGUCGCCGUCCCCCUGUCCAUGGUAGGCUUAGGGUUUGGUUUGGGGGGACUACGGGAGCGCAGGGGGAAUUGGAAGACGGGAAUUGGCAAGCUGUGCGGAGGCCACACUUCUCGAUCAGAAGUAUAAGGUAGUACUGUAAGUUGUACUUCUCAGGUAUUUUUAUUAUGAUCGAACCAAUGCAAGGCACAAAAUUGUCUCAUCGCAAAAGAUAUAAGAAAAUCCACGGUUACCACGGAAUGAAUGUUGAGGAAUCAAUAUAUGUCCAACACACAUAGGACAAAGAAAUAAGUCCAGAAGCAUGCAUACACGUAUUGAAAGCGUCGAGUCUCCAAUCUCGUCCGAAACUAGAUUAUGUACCGCGCUGCAAAGGAGUGAUUAACGAAAAGAACUUUUGUCGUUCAGUUGGAACGCAAGGAAUUUCCAUCGAACCAAAUAUUGCCGGCCAACAGUUGAUUGGGCCACGUGUGGUGAAAUAUUUUAGGGCCAAGCCCACAAAUAAUGCCUCCUUCUUUCCCUCGCUCCCCAAAAUCCUUUGAGCGCCCUCACGAGACAGGACACCACACACGCCGGAUCCCUAUCCUUUAUCGGGCCAGCCCACGAAUAACCCUAAGCCCGCUUGGUGCCAGCCCAACUACAUGCCGAAAGCGACACAAUCGCGCCACAACCUCUCUUUUUUAUCUCUGAAAAUCUUGUCUUCCAUUGGCUCUCCAGCCUAGUUUUUAAAACCAGAUCGGUGAUCGAAUCGGCGAGGCUCUCGAUUCAGGUUUUUCCGGUCGAACCGUCGGUUCACGGGUUGAACCUGUAUGGUUUUUUAGAUACAAAAUAAUAUAUAUAUAUAUAUAUAUAUAUAUAUAUGUGUGUGUGUGUGUGUGUGUGUGUUUUUUAAUAAACAGAUCUUUCUUUUAGAAUCUCCCGUAACUUUAUUCAAACUCGAAAACCAUUACAGGUAUAGACACAAGAAACUACAAAGUAACCCCUAUGACUAAGAAUUACAAUGAAAUUUUUCGAAAACAUAUUCUCCGUGGCAUCAAUUUUUGCAACACGAAAUACUCGACAGACUUCAACAAAAGAACUGCAAUUAGACUGGAGCGACAACAUCGCCACUUGUACCCCUGCACGAACUUGAUUACCUUCAAAGGUUUCAGAAAGCCCCUUGAGUCGCCCAUCUAAAAAGAUGAGAAGCCGUGAGCGUUGACGUAGUUAGGUCGGGGAUGAUCCCCUAGAGGUGCAGGUCGUCGAACCACAUGAUUUUCACGAAAACGCCAGAGAAAGACUCCAAAGUCACAAAAGAUCAGACCAACAAAAGCAUCAUGACACACUGACAAAAACUCAUAAAAUCCGUAUGAAUAGAUCUGCGAGGACAUAAACUCAAAAUCCGCUUGAUCGGACACAUCGAAUCCACGGUGAGUAAAACUCUUUGGCCUCGUGGCACUGCGCAUUAAGACACCGCCACAGCAGAGGAAGAACCAGAAUACCUUUAUUCUCGACGCAUCGCACCCUCCGCUGUUAAUAAACAGAUAAAAUCCUUUAAAAGAAAGGCCUUGUACUCCUCCCCCAGCCCACCAUGAGAGCCCAUCCAAGGGCCACAGCCCACCUUUCCUUCCUUAUCCUCUCGCUAGAGCCCAGGCCUGCGCGACGGGUCGGCCUCGGCCAGGGCCCAGGAACGACGGGAGAUACCGCCCAUCGAUCCCUCCUCGCGCGAGCGCCGCCACCCCUCCCUCCUUCUCUCCACUCUCCAAGCAGAAAGCAAAAAGGAGACAGAAAAGAAUACCACCCUAAAGUGCCGGAAUUUACGAGGAUGCCACUUUAUCUCGUCUCCUCCUCUCCCGCCGCCGCCAAGCUCGCCGCCGGCGCCCGGGCGUCCCUUCACGGCCGCCACCUCGUCCGCGCCCCCCACGGCCCGGUACUCUCUCGUCUGGCCGCUCUUCUCCGGUUUUCUAGUCAAGCUCUCUUUCUCGGUUGGCUGCUUGGUGAGCGUAGCACGUUCGGUUUUGGUUUUGGUUUCCUGCAGAGCCGCCGCGUCUCCUUGUCGUCGGAGGCAGCCGCGGGGCGUGCGGCGGGUCCAGCCAUGGCGGCGGCGCAGCCUGGCGCGUCGACGGCACCGCAAGCGAACUCCAGCGGUGAGUGUCUCUGCGCUCCUUUGGUUUGGUUUAGGGGAUUUUUAAGUGUAAAAGAUUGGGCUUUUAUUAUUUUGUGAAGUUGCGACAGGAGUAAAGUGUUCCUACUUCAACCUCCAAGCAAUUUUACUUCCAUGAUGUUGGUCUGAGUUGAUUUUGCAUAAGUUUUUGUAGUACGCAGGAGUUGAUUAAUCACUUAAACCCUCUCAAAACCCGGACUAAUGUGGAUGUGUCGGGAAAGGAUAAGUAGCAGUUUAUACCAUCACAAUAGCUAGGAGUCUGACGGAAAAAAAAGCUAGGCAACUUAUUCCCAGGUUUUUUAAGAGUGGGUUGUUGAUUCUUGACGGUUGUGCAAUUUAUGAAAAUUUUCCUUCCGGAGCUAAGAGAACUUGGCAAUUAGAUAUGUGUUUUGUUGAUAAAAGCCACAUGACCUUACAGCCUAAUUGUUGCCUGGAAAAAGGCUGCUUCAAUUGUCAUGUUCCAAUCGGUUGUUUAGUAUAUGGAUAUACUUGAUUUGUUGAUAUGUGCUAAUUGAGUAAUCUUGUUAGGGUUCAUUUGUUUGAACAAUUAUUCGAGUAACAUGGGUCCAUUGUACAUUUAUGCCCGAGAAUUUCAUAUUCUCUUCAUUUACUUUAUCUUCUUCAUAUCUUCAUUUACUUUAUCUUCUUCGUAACUUACGGACAUGUUUUAAGCAAUGAACUGAUGAAAGUUCCAACAGCAACAGGAGUCAAGCAAGCACUGAUAUCAUUGUCGGAUAAAACAGACUUGGCCCAUCUUGGAAACGGUCUUCAAAGCUUGGGGUAAUAAUGUAGCGCUUUCAUCUUGUGGGAUGUUAGCGCCAGAUUGUGUUAGUCUUGCUGUAUUUAUAGCUUGUCCAUGGAUCACCAUCAUGAAUUAUGUGCCACAUCGAUGCCUACUUCUUGAAGUGCUAAUUUAUCACAUAUAGUGCAUUUUCUCAAAGUUAGGAAUUGCUCGCCGUAGGCAUCUUAUUAACUAGUUUUUCUCACCUAGCUGGGUGUAUUUUAUAUGCUGAUAGUUUGGUCAGGGUUUGGAUUUGGUGAAAUAUUUAUCAAGCUUAGUUUUGUACAGGAAGAAAUAUUAUUCAGCUUAGAUUUUCCUAUGUUGUUGUUUUUCCUCCAUUCUAGCUAUGAACGAUCUUAUGAAGAGUUUGCUCCUGUAGGUUUUCCAUCAUAUCCACUGGUGGUACUGCAUCAAGUCUGGAAGCAGCUGGAGUGACUGUUACAAAAGUUGAACAGAUUACACAUUUUCCUGAAAUGGUAAAACCUAAUUCUUAUGUUUACGUGCCGCAGCAUUUCUUGAUAUAUUUUUCAAGCAUUGUGUAUCAUAGUCAGUAAAGUAUUCCUGAAUCAAGUUUGCCGGAAGUUUUGUAAGAUUGCAAUUCAUUAAGUGUUUCCAUGUGCAUUGCCCAUUCAUAUAAAAAAUGGCAUGCUCUGUUGGUGUAAGAAUCAAGUUUGCCCACCAUAUAAGGUGUAAGAACCAUUCUGCAAAUUUCUUCUGUUCCAUAUCUCCUGAAACCUCAUAAUAGUUAUUUUAACUUUGAAUGAUAGAUGGAUGAGACCUUCUGUUCUGCCUCUGUCUGACCACUUAAUGGUAUUGCAUAUUGAGUGUAAAUCUUUAUUGGCAUCUCCAUUUAAUUUCUGUUUUCGUGAUUUCAGCUUGAUGGAAGAGUAAAGACACUGCACCCCAGUAUACAUGGUGGUAUUCUUGCCCGAAGAGACCAGGAACAUCAUCUGAAAGCAUUGAACGAGCAUGGCAUUGGUGAGUUUGUUAGUCCAUUUGUAUUAUCUUCUUGUAACUAACCAUCGUAAAAAAAUUCGAGGUGUCAUGCUAGCAGAUAACAAUCGUUGUCACCCUAUGAGAUAACAAUCGUAUUGUCAGCUUACUUGGACAUUUGUUUGGGCACAGGGACAUUUGAUGUGGUUGUGGUGAACUUGUAUCCAUUCUAUAAUAAGGUUACCUCCGGUGCAAUUUCUUUUGAGGAUGGUAUCGAAAAUAUUGAUAUCGGUGGGCCUACAUUGAUCCGGGCUGCAGCGAAGGUAACCUACAACUGUUGUUUGGACUUAUAUACUCAUCAUUUAUCAAGGCUUGUUGCAGUUUUGCAAACUAAUUUCGAUAUUGAGUUUAGUAAACAUAUCUAAUACUUGAUAUCUAUUAUAAUGUGCUUACCAUUAGUUUAUACUAGGUGAUUCCCCGCGCCUUGCCGUGGAUAAUUUUAUAUGCACGUCUGAAUAUGAUUUUAGAAACAAAUGAUAAUAAUAUGAUUUAAUGUAAAAUAAAUACGAAUAUUGUAGGACAAAACGAUUUUAUCAUUCAUAACACCUAUGCAACAAAACAAUAGGUGUAAUUUUGAUGUGCAUGAACAUUAACAAUUUCGAAGAAACCGAAAAGUGAAGUUUCGUCAACCUGAAUUUGCAGAUCUUAGUAAAAUUGACAUAUGUAUCAUGAAAAUAUGUGUGUUUGCUGAAAUAUUUAUAUGCAACGUGAAGAUGAAAAAUCUUAGGUAUCAAAAUAUUAAAUUCAAAUGGACCACCAAAAUGGAUUCCUGGUGUAUAAUAACACAUGAUGUGGAUGGUGAUGUAGAGCCUUUGAAUGCCCAUAAUGUGCAUGAUGUGGAUGAUGAUGUGGACACCUUGCAUGUCAAGCUUGCAAAUAUUAAUUGUAGUUAAUGGGGAUCAACUUUAUAGGUUAUAUAGAUUUGUGGAAUUUAUGUAGUACUUUAGUUGGAGCCUGUACACUUUUGGUUGAUUGCUGUCUUUGUUAUACCUGACAGAAUCAUAAGGAUGUUCUUGUCGUUGUGGAUCAUAAUGAUUACCCUGCUCUAUUGGAAUAUCUACAAGGAAAGCAACAUGACCAGCAGUUCCGUAAGAUGCUGGCAUGGAAAGCUUUCCAGCAUGUUGCUUCUUACGAUUCAGCCGUCUCAGAAUGGUUGUGGAAGCAGUCAAACAAAGGUAUCACUCUACUUUUGGUGCAUGAUCUGAUGCUUACUUAAUAGUUUUGCCAACAAAUUUUCAGAUAUCACAUUGUCAUGUUCUAAUUUAUGUAGGAGAUAUAUUUCCCCCAAGCCUUACUGUGCCCCUUUCGCUAAACUCUACACUUCGUUAUGGUGAAAACCCUCAUCAAAAGGCUGCUUUUUAUGUUGACAAGAGUCUUUCUGUAUUUAAUGCUGGCGGUAUUGCAACAGCAAUUCAGCACCAUGGAAAGGUGAGAAGAUAAUGCUUUUUUUCAGUUCUUCAACUAAAUGCUGCACAAAUUGUUGGUUUCUGUGACCUGAGUAUUUGAUUUACUCUUAUUUCUGGAUGUUUCUUCUUUUUUGUUGCUAAACGCCACAAAUUGUUGGAACUUAGGCUCCCUUUGUUUAGGUGGAAUAGAGCAAGUCAGGACACACUUCAUACAACUUGUUUCUGAGUAUUGCCUAGUCAUGCUGCUCAGUGCUCACAAACACAGAUGUUUCUUCAUGGUUUUUUACAAAUGUUAUCCUUCCUCUUUGCAGGAAAUGUCAUAUAACAACUACUUGGACGCCGAUGCUGCAUGGAACUGUGUGUCAGAGUUUGAGAAUCCUACUUGUGUUGUGGUCAAGCACACGAAUCCGUGUGGUGUUGCGUCCCGGGCGGAUGUUCUUGAGGCCUACAGGUUGGCUGUAAAGGCAGAUCCUGUGAGUGCAUUUGGUGGGAUUGUCGCCUUCAACACCACAAUCGAUGAGGUAUCCACUAAACUCUGAACAUACUUAUGUUUUGCAAGUUCGUUUUCUUUUCCUACUUCUGUCGCUGGCUAUGCCACAUUUAAGCAUUUGUUAUUGCCAAAUUCCCGAUUAGUCAUGAGGUGGAGAAUGGCAAAUAAUCAUUUUCCCCCUGUGUAGGAUCUCGCCAGGGAAAUUCGCGAGUUUAGAAGUCCUACAGACGGCGAGACGCGGAUGUUCUAUGAGAUUGUGGUUGCACCUGGGUACACGGAGAAGGGCCUCGAGGUCCUGAAAGGGAAAUCGAAGACGCUGAGGAUACUAGAGGCGAAGAGAAGCGGGAAAGGGAUGCUGUCGCUCAGACAGGUCGGCGGCGGCUGGCUAGCUCAGGAGUCGGACGAUCUAACGCCUGAAGACAUCGCCUUCACAAAGGUUUCCGAGAGGGCUCCGACCGACAGCGAGCUCUCGGACGCCAAGUUCGCCUGGCUCUGCGUGAAGCACGUCAAGAGCAACUCCAUUGUGAUCGCCAAGGUUAGUAGUGCUUUUCUCACGUUGUGCCAGGGAAAAGAAUUAUCACCAGCGAAUUGUAGUUUGCACCAACAAAAUUUGGUUCCUUGAAUUGAAUUUUAACAUGUUAUUGGCCACCAUUGAUGAUUUUUCAUGAGUGCAGAACAACUGCAUGCUGGGCAUGGGUAGCGGGCAGCCAAACAGGGUGGACAGCCUGAGGAUCGCCUUCAGGAAAGCAGGGGAAGAGGCCAAGGGCGCUGCCCUAGCUAGCGACGCCUUCUUCCCAUUCGGUGAGAAGAAAAGAAGGAUCGUCCUAAGGGUUCUAUUUUCCUUUCUCCGUGCUUGUCGAUCUCAAUCUGACCUGUGAAAUUUUGCAAACAGCCUGGAAGGACGCUGUGGAGGAGGCGUGCGAGAAGGGCAUCGGCGUGAUCGCAGAGCCCGGCGGCAGCAUGAGGGACAAGGACGCCGUCGACUGCUGCGACAAGUACGGCGUCGCCCUCCUCUUCACCGGCGUCCGACACUUCAGGCACUGAAACCUGAAAGAGAGAACUAACCAAUUGGUCGACACUCGCGCCCACCAUUAUUGGAUCAGUAUGGUGGCUAGAAGAACAUGUCUGAGCUUUUUCUGUUUGCAAUAAAACGCACGCAAGCAGGGUUGAUCAUCUUGUCUCUGCACCAAGAGCUAAAGCCCAGCUGCCCCAGCAGAAACAACAACGAUAAUGUGCCAUUGAAAGCAGCUAGAAGCUCGCUCACAGUGUAAACCAACUGUUUGAGAGAAUCUCAAUGUACGGUAACAUGUCUGAGCUUUUGUGUUGUUGGUGUGCGAUCUCUGGUCUUUUUAGUUUGCAAUAAAACGCACGCUGGUGUCCAUCGUUGUCUUGCACGAAGAGCUGGAGCCCAAGUAGAAAUUAAGAACAACGAUGAUGUUGCCAUUGGGAAGCAAAGCUUGCGUUAUACGUACAGGCAUGAUUAUGCUUACAUUACACGGGUGACUAUCGUCACGCUUUUAUUACAUCGAGUGGGAUGCGUGGUGGUUAAGGUGUAUCUAGGGGCUUGUACCGCCGGCGUCGAUGACCGGCCGGGCCGGCCGACAGACGGCGGUGGGCGGCCGGAGCUUGUACCGCCUGCGGGCCGGGGGGGUAGGGGUUCUAGCAGGCCUUCUGGCAGGUGCAGACCCUCCAGUGGCAGUAGCCGGCGGUCCAGCCGCCGUUGUACUCGCGGACGCAGUCGCUGGUGCAGUGCUUGUCCGAGACGCACGGGAAGGAGUGGUGCUGGCUCUUCCCCGUGCACAGCCGCGCCUCCACCACGCCCCCAUGCUUGUCAUCUGAAAGUAACCACAUGUCACGAGUCAAAUUUUAUACUCCAUUAGCUGCUGCAAUAGGCUUGAACAUUUGAGUGUUUGUUGCGAGUACUGAUGUGGCGAUUGAGCUUACAGGAAGAAAGCAAUAGCAGCAGCAGCAGCGCCGCGCACACGGCCACCUUGGGCUUGACCAACUCCAUCUUGUUUCUCUUCUCGAUCUGGGCAGCUAAGUUUGAUCAGGCCUGUAUAUAUGUUGUUUGUGCUCGUGGUGAAGAAGGGAAUGGGAAUGGGAAUCAUGAAUCAUCCCAUGCGUAUCUGCUUACUUAUAGGAAUGUUUUGGGCUAGAGCAGCACCAAGAGCCGGCCGGGUGCAGUAGUACACGUGGCAAUCUGCAUGCGUAGCUUGUGACAGCCGUGCAGUGGCCGGGGCUGAGAUCAGGUCGUGUCCAUCCGCUAGCUCUUGCCUUCGUAUCACAAGACGAGUAAAAACCUUAACUAAAACAACGACAACAAUUUAGAAUCGAACUAAGACACGUACUCUUUUCGUCUAACAUGUCUUGGGUUUGUGAAAAUUUGAAUGUAUCUAGAUAUGACUUAAUGUAUAGAAUAUAUAUGCAUUCAAAUUUGAUUAAAAUUGAGAUAUUUUUUGUGUUUUUUCAAAACAGACAUCUUUUGUUGGAUGAUGAGAGUAUUAAUGUUCGCUUGCGCGGUCAAUAAAUUCUGCAUGUGAAAUUCUACUGAGAUCAUAAGACGAGAUCUCACAGGCAAUUAAGGUAGCCGCUUGUACCCCCGGACCGGCCGACAGGCAGCACCAUGCAUCGUCGAGACCUUUCAAAGGGCAUGCAUGCGCUGCCGCCGAUGCAUGGUCGGAGACACGAGUCCACGACAGGUCCUGCUGGGUCUAUUCAAAGGUAGCCCCACUCCUGCCCAUAUCCCCCUACCUGGGGUAACCUGGCAUGCAUGCACCCAUGGAUCCAAAAGCGAGCGAAUAUUUGCGCUGCAUGCAUCGUGGCAUCCCGUGCCACGUGUACCCGUGGUCGCCACGUGUCCUAGACAGCUUUCCACGUACACUCGGACGAUUCUAGUCGAUAUCCACGGGCCAGGGCGCCCGGCGCGUUUGUGUAUAAAAGCUGCCGGCCGGCUGGGGGAAUAUAGCACCUUAAUUAUAACGCCACGGUAAGAGCUAGCCAUCGGUCCUUCGUUACUACUCCUCGAUCCAGCUAUUAUAUUAGCCCUUAACACUCGCUCUCAGUAGCUAAGUCGUUAAUUAAGCAAGCCAUGUGGACGAAGAAGAAUGUGGCCCUCGUGCUGAUGCUCCUGAUCAUCCUCGCCGCACGUACGUAUAUACAUACAUGCAUGCAUAUGCCUGAUCGAAGAAGCAGUCAAGGAGUACUCCAUCCGUUUCAUAAUUUUUGUCGAAAUAUUACAUGUAUCUAAAUGUUAUUUUUAAUAAAUACAUUUAGUUUUGGCAAAUUUGAGACAAGAACUAUGAAACGAAGAGAGUACAUUCAUAUUACUUUCUCCGUCCAACAAAGAGUUUGUCAAAAUUUGAAUGUAUCUAAACAUGACUUAGUGUAUAGAUGUAUUUAAAUUUAGUCAAACUUAGCUAAUUUUGACAGCUUUAAGUAUAUUAUUAUUAGCACAUGCAUGCAUAUAUACGGCCGGUCAUUAAGUUAUUUUGACCGACGGCUUUUGUUGUGUGUUGGGGAAUAUAUGCAGAGGAGGAGGGUGGUUCGAACGUGGCGGAGGCGAAGAUCUGCCGCAAGAGGAGCGCGGGGUACCACGGGAUGUGCAUGUCGGACCGCAACUGCGCGCAGGUGUGCCAGGCCGAAGGAUGGGGCGGCGGCAACUGCGACGGCGCGGUCCGCCGCUGCAAGUGCUCCAGGGAAUGCUAGCUACUUCUUAAUUCUCUAUCGUAUAUCUACUCCACCUUGCUAGCUACGGAGUAAACACGUACGCCGUACGUACAUGUAUGUAUACAAGCACGCGUGUACGUAUGUGUGCGUGCAUGGUCUACGUAUGUCAUGUGUACUCGUGUUGCUACGUACAGAGCUAGCUCUGGCCGUGGCCGGGCUAGCAAAAGAUGAGAAAUAAAAAAGGUACUGCCUGCGUAACUGCGUUAUAUGUGAAGUAAGUUCAAUAGAAGAAAUAACGCCUUAAAAAGAACAAGUACGUGAAGAUUGGUACACGCCGGUAUGUACGUUAACAGCCUUCUGAAUACGUACGUACGUACACGUACGCCGGUAUGUUUAACAGCCCGAAUGUCUAAUUGGUGGCGCUUUAUACUCCAAUUACAACCAAGCUCCCAAACAUUUUAAGAGGAUUUAAGAGGAACACAUGGUAUUGUUUUUUUUUUUUUGAGAGGAGAGGAUAUUGUUUUUCUUGAGAGUGAUGACCAACACAAGAUCAGCAGCAAUAACUAGCCAGCCCGGUCCGGAGCCUUCAGCAUCCAGGAUGGGCCUAGUUUUUGUCUUUUGGGCGGGCCCAAGUUAUAGAGGACCAGCAGCAACAUAGCCCUACCACGGUCCAGACACUACGGGAGAAACUGGCCCCCGGCAAAGGCACAUUUGCUUCCGGCAAAAUACUCUUUGCCGGUGGCUUUCUCAAGAACCCGUCGGCAAAGCCUUUGCCGGCGGCCGAAGCGACGGCCUCGGCAAAGAAAAGGAGAUCACGGCAUGCGGUGCUGUUAACGGCUGGCACGUGGCAAAGGCCCGACACGUGGCACCCCCGGCUCACGUGGCACACCGCGAGCCGGCGGGGUGGGCACGUGGCACGAUCUGGUGCGUGCCCGCGCUCAGCCUUUGCCGGUGGCAGGCCUUUGGCCACCGGCAUAGGGUAUUUUUUUUAUCGCAGCAAUUUAAAAUAUUUUCACAACACACAUAUAUAUACAGACAUAUAUUCAUCCACAUCACAGCAAUACAUCCACACAAAAUCAUCGACGCAUUCACAUCACAAGCAUAUAUAUAAACAUCUCAUGAAAGUCCGAAAACAUCACAUAUCUCACAACAAAAGUAUUACAAGUGUUCAUCACAUGCAUGGUAGCAACAUAUUACAAGCUAGCUAGUGUUCAUACACGACAAACUGGUGACUCGGGCACCUUCAACAUCUACCUCGACAUACUUAGAGAAAUUGCACUUGGGACAAUGCUUGGCAUCCACGUAUUCUCUGUCAAACACCGUGCAUCCAUUUUUACAUGAAUGUAGGCACUGAGUCGGCAAGUUAAGUACACUAAGCAUUUUGUUCGUCUCGUACAUGCUUUUAGGCAAAAGGUGGCCUUCUGGGAGGAGACUAUCGAUAACUGCCAUCAUCACAUCGAACCAUUCUCUGCUCAAGUUGAACUGGGUCUUCACAACCAUUAUUCUAGCAACGGCAUCCAGCUUACUAGACUUUGUGUGAGCAUGCAGAUCUGUGCUUGCCUCCGCCAGCAUAUCAAGAUAAGCCUUAGAGGUUGCCUCCGGUUCUUCCUCCAUUGGAACGCGUGCUUCCUCCAAGUCAUCUAGCAUGUCCUGGAACCCUGUAUCAUAGUCGUCCGUGCGCCUUCGCACGACCUCCUCUCUUCCUCUAUCCUCUUGGUCACCAUGGUAGCCCCAUCGGGUAUAGUUUGGCGUGUACCCGUACAACACCAAGGGAUUGCCCAUCUCAUCCUUUGUGUGUCGUGUCUUGUUAUUGCAACGACUGCAAGGGCACCAAGCACGCUCUUCUCCUCUAGCAAAUGCAACCUCCAAGAAAUCUACCGUGUUUUUCAUCCAAUCAUCAUCCCGGUCUGUCCGACUACGGCGGCCACUGUACAUCCACCGACGAUCAGCCAUUCUCUGCUAUUUUCGGAUACCACAUGACACCAAAGGGAUACACGGUUUUAUAACGCAACUAGCAACACAAGUAAUUAGUUUCGUCAAAUUAAUACGUCACAUAUUUUAUUUGUUCACUGAAAAGGGCAUGUGCUGAACUAUUCCACUAAUAGGUAAGGAUAGGUCCUAAUCCCACCUGACGGUGUGUAGAUUGGGCCAUUUCCGUGCUCCAGUCCGGUCCGAGACGAAAUUUCGGCAGCACCUCCCCGCUGUUCUCCAAAUACACGUAUCGACAACAAGCCAAGAGAAUGUGCAUCCGGAGAACAAUGGGGAGAUGCUGCCGAAAUCACGUCUCAGACCGGACUAGAGCACGGAAACGAACCCAAUCUACACACCCUCGGGCUGUCCAAAAAACGUGGACAAUCCGAAAGAGUUACGCUUAUAGAUAUGCAAAGACUUGCAUAUCUAUAUACGUAACCCUUUCGUAUGGGAGACGCAUAGGGUUACGCGACUUUGACAUUUAAACUACAAGUGUCAUCGGCUCGAUGGCCGGGACAGAGCAAAAGGGGAAGGCGAGAUAGAGGGAGAUGCUCACCAAGCUACACCGUAGACGAAGUAGUCGAGGUCGAGGUCAAGGUCGAUGGCACCUACAUGAGCAUGAAUAUUUUAUAAGCAUACAAGCAUACUUGCAUGCACAUUCGCAAAGAAGCAUACAUGCAUGAGCAUGAACAUUUUAUAAACAUACAAGCAUACAUGCAUGCACAUUUUCAUCCAAGCAUAUAUGCAUACAAGCUAUAGUUAUGCAUACAAACUAUACAAAUUAAGCUACUAUACAUAUGCAUCCAAACUAUAGUUAUGCAUACACAAAUUAAGCUACUAUAUAUAUGCAUCCAAACUAUAGCUUUGCAUACAAACUAUACAAAUAAGCUACUAUAUAUAUGCAUACAAACUAUAGCUUCGUAUAUAUGCAUACAAACUACAAACUAUAGCUUCGUAUAUAUGCAUACAAACUAUACAAACUAUACAAACUAAAAUAAAAGGGGGAUGCUGGAAGAUAGUAUGCCAAAAUUCUAAUCAAGCAUGGUACAAACACUAGCUCUAUACCGUCGACAUUUUUAUAGCAGUCUGGAAAAAAAAACACUGACCUGAUUCCUUGAGCGAUGUUGCUCACUUCGUUUGAUGAGUCACCAAACUCAAUGCUGAUUUCUCUUGGAACCUAAACUUCCAAGGAAGUGUAUCCAGAAGUCAGAACAAAAGGUUUGAAAACAACAAAGCAUUGUUUCAGAUGACAAUAUAGAUAUGCAGAUAAAGGAUGAAGAAAAUAACACUACGAAGGAACAAUAGUUUUUUUUUCAGAUAAGACCUGCAGUAGAUCUAGCUGUACAGAGCAUCAGGUUACAAACAAGAAAAUUAAAAUGCCAUAUGGACAUGCAUUAACAGUCAAGUUGCUUCAGAUUAAACAAAUUGGAAAAGGACAAGCUGCAUUCUCGGAGCAGACAAUUCCGAGUCAUAUAUUUAGAGGAUAGAAUCUACCGAGAAUGAUAUCAUGUGGGUGCAGAAUACUAGACAUGAGAAGGGAUUUCAACCAAUGUUUGUUCCAGCAUAAAGCACCUUAGGUUCAAACCAAGAAACCGUUUGCAUAGAACUAACCACCAAGGCUUAAAUUAUCAACAAUGCACCAUUGUUUAUGUGAUACAAAAUUCACAUAGCACAGCUUACAAAUAGCACAACACUUGCAGAAAGCUAAGCAUCAAAAUUCACUACAACAUAGCACAGGGAAAACAUCAGAAUACCCAUCACAAAAGCCAAGAACCUAGGAGAGAUAGAGGAAAGUCACCUGCAGUCACCGGCGUUGAGAUGGGACGCGAUGUAGAGGGAGGUGGAAGGAGACGAUGUGGAGCGCCGAAAUCAAGAGGAGGAGGUCCAAAGCAGGUGUGGUGCGGGAAGCCGGUGGGUAGCGGCGGGAGGGUGGAGGCCGGGGAGGAGGCGCCGGCGGGGAGGAGGGAGGAGGGGCCGGCGGUGGGGGUGGAGAGGAGAGGGGGGCCGCGGGGAGGAGAGGUGGUCGGGGUGGGGGAGGGGAGGCGGGGCGGCCAGGGAGGCUGCGGGGUGGGGGAGGGGAGGCGGGGUGGGGCGGGGUGCCGGGAGGCGGGGGAGGGAGGCGAGGCGGCCGACGGGGAGAUGGGGGGAGUCGGGGGCGGCGGAGAGGGAGGGGGCAGCCGGAUCCGGGCGGAUCCGGCCGGGGGGCGAGGGGCGGGGGCGAGAGAGAGAGUCAGGGGCGAAAGAGAGAGAGAAAGAGGGGGGGGGCGUUUUUUUUAAACACCCUUUGCCGGCAGCCCGACGAAAAGCCGUCGGCAAAGAAACAUUUGCCAGCGGCCCCGCAAAAAGCCGCCGGCAAAGAAUUUUUUCAUUUUUUUUCCAGUUUUUUUUUUAGAAACACAGUACAAACGCAAACGCUUUUCGAGCACAACCAUUUCGAGCACAACUAAUAUAUAUUAGAACCCCCUUUACUUGCCGGAGCACUUUUUGGAUCUGUCAAUUAUGUUAUGGUCGGAGUCCUACUCAUACUGAUCUGGUCGAAUUGGGAGAAGCCGUAGGUAUUAUUGCGGGUCAAUCAAUUGGGGAGCCUGGGACACAACUAACAUUAAGAACUUUUCAUACGGGCGGAGUAUUCACGGGGGUACUGCCGACCUUGUACGAUCCCCUUCGAAUGGAAAAAUCCAAUUCAAUGAGAAUUUGGUACGCAGACGUUCACAACACGUGCGUACACUCACCCCUAUGAACGCACACACGCACACCCUACCCCUAUGAGCACCUCCGAAAGACUGGGCCGGCAGAUCUUGAGAGAUUGAUGAAGUCACCGCAGGCGUCUCGCUGUUGACGGGUACAUCACCCACCACUGAAACAAUAGCGCCGGUUAAAUCAUGGAAUAAUCCAGAGACAUGUGACACCCAUGUCAAGUCUAGGACUUGAACCUGGGUGCUGGUUCCACCACAAGGAACCAGACCACCUGAGUUAGGCCCAGUUCACUUUUUUUUCCAGUUUUUACUUUAAGUGUCACACAGAACCUUGUGGUUUUCCUGUCAGUUUAGACUUCCUUUUUGUUCUAUUAGGACAUUUGAACAUGAAAAACCAAAAAUUUACCCAAUUUCUUAAAGAAUUCUGCUCCGUCCGUCCGAAUUGCGACUUUUCCCCCCUAAGUCCGGAACUUCAGUGCGGGUUAGUCUAAUUUGUGAACGAAGUGCAACCUCAGAUACUUGGAUUGUGUUUUACUCUUAACACCAUAUUUAUGAACCCAUCUGAUGACAUUAUCCAAGAUUUCAAACUCUCUGGAUCAUUCGUCGUGUGAUUUCAGGCAUCGCCCUCUCCUGCGGGCCUCGUGGCGUCUCCGGGCUAGCUUUUCACCAAAACUUGUGUUCUCAAGUCACUUUACUCUAUACCUUUGUGUUGUACUAGCACAUGGGGACAUGAAAAACCAAAAGGCUACCCAAGUCCUCAAAGGAUUCUGCUCCGUCCGUCCGAAUUGCAACUUUCCCCCCAUAAGUCCGGAACGUUUGUGCGGGUUAGUCUAGUUUGUGAAGAAAGUGCAACCUCAGAUCCUUCGAUUGUGUUUUCCUAUUAACACCAUAUCUAUGUACCCAUUUGAUGACAUCAUCCAAGAUUUCAAGUUCUCUAGACCAUCCGUCAUGUGAUUUGAGGCAUCGCCCCCUCCUGUGAGUCUCGUGGAGUCUACGGGGUAGCUUUUCACCAAAACAUUGGUUUUCCUGAUGUUUUUCUAUUACUUAGUGUUCUAUUGCUACAUGGGCACAUGUAAAACAAAAAAUAUACCCCAAGCCCUCAUAGAAUUCUUCUCCCUCGGUCCGAAAUGCGUGUUUUCCUCACUCUAGGGCUUGGGUUUGAAUGUUCCUUACUGUUUUGUUACUAGCUUUUCACCAAAACUUGGGUUUCCAUGUCACUUUACUAUAUCAUAGUGUUGUAUUAGGUCAUGUCGACAUGAAAAAGCAAACAUCUAUCCAAGUCCUCAACGGAUUCGGCUCCGUCCGUUCGAAUUGUGACUUUUCCCUCUCUAAUUCCAGAACGCUCGUGCGCGUUAGUCUAGUUUGUGAAGGAUGUGCAACAUCAGAUACUUGGAUUGUGUUUUCCUCUUAACACCAUCUUUAUGUACCCAUUUGAUUACAUCAUACAAGAUUUCAAGUUCUCUAGACCAUUCGUCGUGUGAUUUGAGGCAUCGCCCCCUCCUGCGAGCCUCGUGGCGUCUACAGGGUAGCUUUUCACCAAAACUUAUGUUCUCAAGUAACUUUACUCUACGUUUGUGUUGUACUAGAACAUGGGCACAUGAAAAACGAAAAAGCUACCCAAGUUAUCAAAUGAUUCUGCUCCGUCCGUCCGAAUUGCGACUUUUCCCCCUAAGUCCGGAAGUUCCGUGCGGGUUCGUCUAGUUUGUGAAGGAAGUGCAACCUCAGAUACUUGGAUUGUGUUUUCCUAUUAACACCAUCUUUAUGUACACAUUUGAUGACAUCAUCCAAGAUUCCAAGUUCUCUAGACCAUCCGUCGUGUGAUUUGAGGCAUCGCCCCCUCCUGCGGGCCUCAUGGCGUCUACGGGGUAGCUUUUCACCAAAACUUGUGUUCUCAAGUCACUUUACUCUACGUUUGUGUUGUACUAGCACAUGGGGACAUGCAAAACCAAAAAGCUACCCAAGUCGUCAAAGGAUUCUUCUCACUCGGUCCGAAUUACGUGUUUUCCUCACUCUAGGGCUUGUGUUUGAAUGUUCCUUAGUGUUUUGUUACUUGCUUUUCACCAAAACGGCCGCCGGCAAUGAGUAAUUAAUUUUCUUUAUUUUAUAAGUGAAAAUUGGGUUCAAUCUAAACAACAAUAUAUAUACGCUCUAUGUGUUUACAAUAUGGUUGAUUUACAUCACAAAACAAACAAAAAAGAAAAAAAAAGCUUUGCCGACGGCUAUUAUGUUGGCCUUCCGCAAAGCCACCUUUGCCGGUGGCUAUUUUACGGGGCCGCCGGCAAAGGGUUAAUUUCUUUUUUUUUCUUCGGUUCAAUUCGAACGGGGGACAUUUGUGAAAAAAUAAAAAAAAAGACCUUUGCCGGCGGCCUUUUCUCGGGGCCGCCCGCAAAGGGUUAUUAUUAUUUUUUCUUUCCGGUUCAAUUUGAAGGGGGGACAUUUGGGAAAAAAUAAAUAAAUAAAUAAAAGAAGGCCUUUGCCGGCGGCCUUUCCUCGGGGCCGCCGGCAAAGGGUUAUUUCUUUUUUAAAAAAAAAUCGUGCGCGCGCGUCCAAAUUUAAACGGAUUGUCGCGGGAAAAACGAAUCUCUUUGCCGGCGGCUUUUUUUUGUGGUCGCCGGCAAAGGUAGUUUUUUUUCUCCCCCCACCAGCCGUUUUGCCCGCCGUUAACCUCGCACACGGGCCCACGUGCAGGGUGUCUUUGCCGGCUGCCGCCCUUUGCCGACGGCGUUUCGGAAAAUUUGCCGACGGUCGACCCUAUGCCGUGGGCUUUUCUGCCGGCCCACAGCAUAGGGCCUCUUUGCUGGCGGCCCGAUAGAAAGCCGCCGGCAAAGGCCAUUGCCGCCGACACAGGCCGGUUUUCCCGUAGUGAGAGUUUCCUGUAAGAUGCAUGCGUCUCUUGCGCCGCCUGAAUCCAAGGCCUCUUUGGUUGGUUAAGGGUAUUUUGAAACUACUACAGCAAUAAAACUAAGUCCCUUUCAAAAGAAUGUGUAAACAAAGAAAAACUAGACUAUUUUUUUAGAACACACGCUCACAAUACGCGCAUACACUCACCCCUAUGAACGCACAGACGCACACCCUACCCCUAUGAGCACCUCCGAAAGACCGAGCCGGCAAUUCUUGAGACUAUGAGCACCUCCGAAAGACCGAGCCCGCAGUUCUUGAGAGAUUGACGAAGUCACCACUGGUGCCUCGCUGUUGACGGGUACGUCACCUACCACCGAAAAAAUAGCGCCGGUUAAAUCCUGAAAUAAUCCAGGGAAAUGUGACACCCAUGUCAAGUUCAGGACUUGAACCUGGGUGAGUUGAUUCCACCACAAGGAAUCAGACCACCUGAGCUAGGUUCAGUUCACGAAACUAUACCGUUUUUGAUAGUUUGAUUCAUAUCCUCAUAGUUGAAAAGGCAAGAGUGUAUUUCUGGUGCCACUUGAGGCGAUUAUAGGGCCCCAUGGAGCCUAAAGCUACCACAAUUAGUAAGGCUUGUCUAAGUCAAUGCAAGAGAAUCUUUGGUUUGAAGCCCCUAAAACAAGACUCCUAAACAAUAUUUGGGAGUUUCUCUCAAAUUUUAGUGUCCCAAAAGAUACAAACAUCUUUAGCUAUUCUACAACACUUUUUUUUAGUACAAAGCUGUAACUCCAUGUGCAUGCGCGGUGCCAGUCCAUGUGUACAUUUGCCACCAUUCACUUUUGCUUGUUGUCCAAUGACCGCAGCCGGUUCAUUCUUGCCGGCACCAUUUUCUUCGCCUAUUCAAACAACAAACAGAUUGAAAAGAAAAUCAGAAAGCGUGAUUAAUUAGUGAGCUAAACCAAGGGAUGACGUAGAAGCACCAUAAUGCAUACCUUUGCUUUAAACCCAGUUAUGUCGCGGUCAAUCGGGGGGCACCACGAUUUAAAUUUCCUUCCACAUUUGAUUGAAAUUGAAUUUGAGAUCCAAAGUUGCCAUUGUUUGCGGGCGGAAAGAAGAGGAAAUGAUACAUAUGGUGGCCAGAAACUAGAGAUCAUGCCCUAUAUAAAGAAUAAGACAACGUGGCCGCAAAAGUUUCAUUCCCUCCAAUUAAUUCUCCUCAGAAGUAUGAGAAUUAUAAAUUUGAUUUCUCUUCGAAUCGCAAAUUCAAUUUCAAUCAAAUGUGGAAGGAAAUUUUGGUGCGCGAGAUCACCGAUGCAUGGAGGCUAGCAUACGUAUGGGGUGGACGUGCAUGGGGCAUGCAAAGUGUGAGGUGGACGUCCGUUUCGCGGUGGGGAAGGAAACCAAUUCGCAAGCGAAGUGAGAUAGACGUGCAUGUCCCUGUAUGUUGCACUAAAUAUCGCCUUAAUUGUGUACAUAGCGAACAAGUACAUAUUGUGUAGUGAUCGACAACCCUAUUUAAUGUGCACUAAAAUUAUACGGUUAGGAACUUCAAAUGUUAAUGAUAUAAUUUUUAAGAUAUAAUAAUCACGUUACAUUAUUACAUUACUUAGAUCUUCAACCUAGGGAUGCAUUGGGGCCCCUUAUACCGAAACGGAGGGAGUACCGAAUCUUUUAUUUUGACACAAAAAAACUACCGAAUCUUUUUUUACAGCAAAAAAUAUUACCGAAUCUUAUAGGUACACAGUGCGUAUUUUUCUCGACACUCUUGCUCUUGUGGGUUGAUUUGCAAAACGAUAAGACACUCCGGAAUGAUCGUCAUCCUCUGAAUAUAUACGCCGGUAUGUUAACAGCCCGAAUGUCUAAUCCCUUGCGAUUUUUACUCUCAACUCCGAACAAAUACCGAAGCAUCCACUCCCUCCAAUUCUAAAUUCUUGUCGUUUUUUUAUUGCAAACCUGCACUGAAACAACGAUAAAAUUUAUUGCAAAUUUGCACUGAAACAACGACAAAAAUUUAGAACCGGAGGAAGUAAUUAAUAGGAUUUUAUCUCAAGAAUCAGGUACAAGCGAAGAUUAAGAUUAAUAGGAGGAAGAGAGGAAUAGAAUAAUUUUUUUUUUGAGAAACAUGUUUUUUUAGAGAGAGGAGGAACAGAAUAUGAGCAGCAACUGGCCGGUCCGGAGCCUUCGGGUUCCAGGAUGGGCCUAGUUGUUUGUAGCCUCCCGUGUCUUUGAGCGGGCCCAAGUUCAAGAGCCACAUCCAUUCCAGCCCAGUUGUAGAGGAGCAGUGUGAGUUAACACAACCUACCACGGUCCAAAGCUCCCUGUAACAAAAUCGGUUCAGUCCAUAGCUCCCUAUAAAAAAGAACGGGGGACACUCCCAAGAUUCAUGCGCGUUUUAACUUUAAAAAAAAAAGAUUCAUGCGUGUUUUAACUCUUGAGACGAAUCUAAGCCCUCUUCGGUUCACAAUAUUUUGAAAGUGUAAACACCCUUUUAAAAAAAAAGUGUAAACAAAGAAAAACAUUGAAUAUGAUACUUUGAAAGUUUACUUCACAGAAUUUUGUAAACCUAAGUUUUUUUAGGAAACACACAGAAGUAUGAAAGGCAAAAGAGAGGAUUUUGAUUCGUAGAAAUAAGAAAUAGAAAAAAAUAGAAAUAUUAAUAAUCUUUGCUAAAUUGAGUAGAAACAAAGUAAAGUUGUGAUUGCUUUCAUCAUGUCCUAUGUGGCACCUCACUUUUUUUUUCUCCUUUUAAAACACUCGUUUCCCACAUACUUAACUAGUGGAUGGGUUUAAACCGGUCUAGGAUAAUGCCUCGCAAGAUAUCUUUACUCCUAUAAUUCAAUUGGUGGCGACAGUCCGUCACUGGACCUUGGGAACACGUCAUUGUUUUUUUCUCUUUUGUUUGCAUCAGUUGUUGACUGGGCACAAACUACCUGAAAUGGGAAUGAAUAAUGUUAUUCUAAACUUUUCUUUUGUCCGUAGCCACGCUGUGCUAGUAUAUGAUUUUUUUUUCUAUAUCCACUUGUUUCCCGCUGCAACCUUUUCAUCCAGUUUGUGAAGCAUUUGGUCUACCGUGUCAUGUGUCCACUCAUCCUCACCUUCAUCGGCCAUCGUCGAUGCUGUUUGGCACCACAACCACUGACGCUUCCUCUUGAUUGGUAUGAGCACUAUAGACAUUCUCAUGUUCCUACCUCGACAAACAACGAUUCCUCCAGUGUAGGAUUGACACAUAAAAUACAUGGUGCGGAUCUUAAUUCCUGGUUCAUUCUUGUCGGCACCAUCUUCUUUGCCUUUUCCAUCAAUAAAUAUUGAAAAUGAGAGAGCGUGAUUAAUUAAUAGUGAGCUAAACCAAGGGACAACGUAGGAGCACCACAGUACAUACCUUUGUCCUUUGACCCAAAUUGUGUCGUGGUCGAUCCUUGAGACAUUUAGAUUUUUUGGGUGAAAGAAAGAAAAGUAAAAGAGACAUAUGGUGGCUGAAAAUUAGAAGUACGUCAUGCCCUAUAUAAAGAAUUCGUAUAAAGAAUUGCAAAUUUGAUUUCCCUCCAAAUCUCCAAUUCAAUUUCAAUCAAACGUGUGUGGAAGGAAAAUUUGGUGCUUGAGAAUUACCAAUGCAUGGAGUUUGGCACACGUACGGGACGUGCAUGGGCAUGCAAGCUGUGAAGUCAACGUCCAUCUGAUGGUGGGAAGGAAACCAAUUCGUGAGCCGAGUGACGUAGGCGUGCGUGCUCUUGUCUGCCGCGUUUGAUAUCGCCUUAAUUAAUUUCAUGCAUAACGAACAAGCGGACAUACAUAGUGCAGUGGUCGGCAACCCUCUUUAACGUGGAUCAUUCAUGUUAAGCCGAGUAGCUAGGAAAAAUGCUCCCGCACUAUACCUACUAGGUACGUCGAAAAAAAAAAACCUAACCACAUUUAAAUUAGAUACGAAGGGAGUUCGUUGCAAUUAAGCCAAGCAAGCCAAAACCUAUGCAUCGCCACAUCAACAUUAUCUGCAGGCAAGGCUAGCUAAAUUCGGCAUUGCCAUCUUGAUUCGAGGGAAACAAUUCGCUUCCCUUAAGCUAAUUAAUCUAUGACAAGUGAUAUGCGUGUAACAUGCAGGAUUUCUCGCUCUCUUGGCUCCAUCUUUUGCUUACAGAAACAGUAACAGUGUCCUUGCAGCAUUGGUCAGCGUGACCUACCAAAAAUACCUUGCAAUUUUGGUCAGCUCGACGAAGGGGAUAUUAUCGUACGGAGUUACUUAUUACUUUUACUUUUCACCGUCCGGAAGGGGAAACUGCAACCAAAUGCGGCGGCGGCGACUUGUUGAGUCAAGCAAGCGUGCGUCCUGUGUGGCGGCGUCUAGCCCAGUGAGCCGAGCACCCCCAACACACCUCGCCCCUCGUUCAUCUCGUCGUCUUCAACGGACGAGUCUCUUUCUCCCCUCCUCCUCGCCCAACCAACGGCGCUAACCCUAGUCAGUUCCGGCCUUCUCGUCCUCACCAGAGCGGCGAGGCCCGCGGCUUCCGCUGCCGCCGGAAGGACGGUACGUUGGUUCUCCACUCAUCCUCGAUUUCGUGCUGUGUGAUUCGGGAGGGUGGUCUGGGGGUGGUCGGGAGUACUUGGGCGGAGACGCUUGCUGGUGGUUGGCGACGGUAGGUGGCCUCCGGGAACGUUCAAUUCGGUGAUUCGUGUGUGGGGAUUUCGUGGUUGGUGAUUCGUUUCUGCUGGCUGGGGGUAGGGUUGCUGUGGCCGGAGUAGAGCGGGGGCUUGGGUUGCGGGAGAGAUGAUAGGUUGUGGUGCUGGAGUGUGAUCUGGUCCAGUAAUCCGAGUGAACCUGUGACUGUGAGUGGAUUGAUUUGUAGAGCGGGGGAGGGAUGAUAGGUUGUAGUGCUACCUGGAACGCGAUGUGCUCUAGUAAUCCGAGCGAACUAUCUGCUGGGCCGAUGGCUGUCUGAUCCUGUGAUUUACCUUCUCUCAUGUCACUAGCUGUGCCACAAGUUCCAUAUGAACUUUUUUUUGCCUUGAACCCAUAGAAAGUUUGUUUAUGGAGGACGGUUAGUGUCCGGAAUGAAGGUCGUACACGGGCUCAUUUUUACAAAUUUUAUCAGAAUGUUCAUGGAGGACGGUUAGUGUCCGGAAUGAAGGUCGUGCACGGGCUCAGCGGUGUAGGUAUACCGAACUGGCGAGACUCACUUGGUUGUUUCCUCAGACUUAAUUACAGCCUGGCCUGACUGUUUGGUGUCUUUUGCUGAUGCAUAUAUAGCAACUUAUCUAGGAGUUUCUUAAUUACAGCCUUGCCUGACUGUUUCGUGUGAUUUCAAGGUUGACAUGGUCAUCUUAUUGGCGGUGUACUGUAUGGAUUGAUGGGAAUGGGAUUGACAGGGGUGUAAGGUGUUGAUUAUAGAUAGAAACUUAACGUACGGUGUGUCAUUUCAUGGUGUCUCCAUAAAGAGUUGUCACGUCUGGGUGCGUACGUGCUUAAUAUGAUUUCAUAGCUCUAGUUGGAUUAUUGUGUUGUGCAAUAGUAACAUUUUAGUCAUUUCUCAUGUAUGUUCUAUUGUUUCUGUUAGAUGGGCUCUUUGAACAAUAUAUAAAUUUACGUAAACAUCUCUAGGGAGGUAUACUGAUUGGCAUCCAUCCAAAAAUUGUUGCUAUAACUUCUUACAUACUCCAUUGAAAGUAUCACUUACAGGUUUUCCUUGCCGGCGGUAGAUUCUUAGCUAGUUAGAGACAUGAACACAUUUUACCUGUUUAGUGUUUGGUGGAGAAAGCAAACAUAGUGUGGUUAUUGACAACUGUACAUCUUAUUCCAUUACUAGUAAAGAUAUAUACAUGAGAGUUGUGGGCCACAUUAGCCUAGCCAUCAUGGAGGCUCAUAUUUGCCAAGUAAUCCUGUAUACUCUCUCCAUUCCUAAUUAGAGGACACACUCCCCUCUGACCCGCAGACCAGGGACGGAAGAAACAAGUGCUACAAUCCCUAAUGACGGAUCAACUCCCACAGCCUCGUUCGCCCAUGUUGGCCAACUAAGCAGGAUUGCAUGCAUGCAUAGCCAAUCGCCCGUGUAAAGUGUCUUGCAUGCAUGCAGAGCCAAAUCUCUAGAGUAAAUGCAGGGGAGCUGAAAGGAGCCAGCUGAAUGGUAAUUGCUUUUCAGGAGAAGCACACGCCUUAGGUUUUGGAUCGAAGCAAAAGAAACUUGCAUGCCCUUUUUUAGGGAAUGGAUGGAGUAUAACGUGCCAUUCUUAACAGUAUUAAGGAGUGAUUGAGAAGAAUAAAGUAUAUUUUGAUGAUCUCUUUAUGACUUCCCUUUUCCAGAGAAAUGAGUGGAGUUAUAAAAGGUCGCAAACAUGUUUCCUGGAUAGGUUACAGAAAGCUGGAAAGAGUGGCGGUAACAAGGUUAGACUGCUGAAGAAUAAAACAAUUUGAACUGCCCCCUGUUAAUCAGAUAAAGUUAACUUAUGUACCCUUUAGCUUUUCAAAUUACUUUAAUACGUCAGAAACAAUCUGGUAACGUUAUCACAAUUGUCGCAACCAUUUUAAUGAAUAAGAUUUUGUGUUUCAGUAAGAGGAAUAAGUUUUUGUACUUUAUUAGAUAUAGUCAUGCAACAUCUUAUCUGUUUCUCAUACAUGUCUGUUUGUUUUGGCAACAUUGUUGCAGGACGAGUUCAGCAUGUCCUUAUGCGGCUACAGCAGAAUUUAUGCUUUUGUUUUCUUUCUGUGGUUGGACAGAUCUUUGUGAACUGAAGUAACAUCAGUAUGUAUUCCGGCGGGAGGACUCGGAGUGGGCUUGUCAGACGAAAUGGCAUUAUGGAUUCCAGCAACAAUUCAUGUUCUAGAACAAGAAGUGGGCUUGUCAGAGUAAACAACAUGAUGGAUCCUAACAAAGAAUCAUGUUCUAAAACACGGAGUGGGCUUGUUAGGGUGAACAAUAUUGUGGAAUCCAGCGAUAGUUCUUCUACUAAACCACAAAGUGGGCUUGUUAUGGAUGCUAUGGUUAACAAAGUGGUGGAUUCCAACGAUGGUUCAUCCUCUAGAACACGAAGUGGGCUUGUUAGGGUGAACAACAUCAUGGAUUCCAGCGAGGCUUCAUACUCUAAAACUCGCAGUGGGCUUGUCAGAGGAAACAUUGUUAUGAAUUCCAAUGAUGGUUUGUGUUCCAAAACACGAAGUGGACUUGUUAGAGAAAACAUUGUGAUGGAUUUGAGUGAAGAUUUGUGUUCCGAAACACAAAGUGGAAUUGCUAGAGGAAACAUUGUUAUGAAUUUCAAUGAAGAUUCAUCUUCUAGAACACGAAGUGGGCUUGUUAGAGGACACACUGCUGUGGAUUCUAACAAGGACUCAUGUUCUAGAACACGAAGUGGGCAUGUUAGAAGAAGCCUCUCUGUCAAGGUAUACAAAUCUAACUUCUUUUGCUAUGCAUUUAUUUUGGGUGCAACCUGACAAGUACAAAAUUCUUCUCUUUUUGUUACUAGGUAGAAAACAAGGUUGGACCAGUCAUUAAGGGCCUACCUGAUGGAUGCAGCGAACCGGCAAGUCCAGUAAAUUAUGGAUCAGGUCACAGGAGUGAUCUGGUAUGUUGUAGUGACCCUUUAUUGUCUUGUGUUGCAUCUAACACUAUAUCUAAGUAACUAUAGUCUCGCCAGGUCCAAAUCAAGGAUGACCCAGUCAUUAAGGGGUCAGAUGAAUGCUGGAAAGAAGACACACCACCUUUGAUGAACCUAGUAAAUCACAAGAGUGAUCAGGUAUGAGACAACUGUUCCUUCUUCCCCUGCCCUGCUCUAUCUAAAACACCAUGGGCCGCUUUGAUUCAAAGGAUUUUCAAAUGAUUUUUAGGAGGAUUCAAAUCGUUAGAGAAAUUUCUGAUCUGAGUUGUUUGGUUUUUAGGAUUGCAAACCAUAGGGUUUUUUCCUAAGAAUUCUUCUGCACUACAUUUCAUAGGAAAAUUCCACUGGGUCCGAAAUGUUGAUAUGUUUCUUUAGGUGCAAACAGACAUAGUUUAAAUCCUGCAGGAUUCAAGAUGGUAUAACAAUGUAGGAUCAUAUGUUUUUCCUAUCCUGUGUUUUUGGAAUCUUGCGAAUCAAAGAGGCCCUAUGACCCUGUGUUUUUCAUAAAGUUAAUAACUAUUCUGUUACUAGGGUCAAAGCAAGGAUGAACCAGUCAUGAAGGGGCCUGAUGGAUGGUGGAAAGAAGACAUUUCCAGAAAGAACAAGUCAAGUCAGAAGAGUGAUCUGGUAAGCUUUUCUUAUCUUUUUCUUUUUGCUCCUUUCUGUCUACGACAGCAUGUCUAAAACCAUUAUAAUUUUUCACUACUAGGUUAAAAACAAGGAUGAGCACAUUAAAAGGCAGUUGCCUGAUGGAUGGCGGAGAGAAGACAGGCCAAGAAGGAAUGGAUCAACUAACAAGACUGAUCCGGUAUGCCACCAAGAUAUCUUUGAGUCUUUUCUAUUUAAAAAACAUAGGGAUCUGCAAGUCAUUUUAACCAACCUAAUUUUUGUUUUGAACUGCGAUAAAUAUGUCCCCAGCAUCCAUAUCAAAAUAUCUUGCCCAGCAUUGUACUACUAGCACUAGUCCAUGGUAAUACUCCGCGGUGCUUCAUUUUCAUCAAACGAAUUUCACAAGUCACCCUUCUGAAGUCAUAGUUCAGCUCUUAAGUUGAGAAUCUGUCUUUCUUUCAUGCCUCAUAGCUUGCUUUUACUUGGAUCUACAUGAUUUUAAGUGGUACUGUAAAAUAAGCUAUUAACUGAUUAUACUUGCAGUGCAAUUGUUGUCGAGGAUUCCCUAGAAGUUGAGGAUCUAAAUUUGUUAUUAGUCUGUAUUUGAGGCGAUAACAAGAAGCUUUAACCAAUUAUCGAGCUUUCCACGUACUUUUAUUAGAUAAACUUGAGUUUGCCAUGUUAUAGAAUGCCUCCCUAAAUCUAAUUAUCUUCACAUCAUUUUCUUUAUUUUUAUCGGAAGCCUUGAUCUGCCUCCUAUUCUUUUGAUCUCUGCAGUACUACAUUGAUCCAGUAAAUGGUUAUGAAUUUCGCUCUAUGAAGGAUGUGCACCGUUAUAUUAAAUCAGGAGACAUAAAGCAAUGCAGUUUUAGGCCAAAGAAGAGAACUAUCCAAGAUGUCUGUAUUACAGACAACCAAGCUCAUGUGAGUUCCUUGUAGCACCUCUUGUUUUCACCUGAUUUAGCUUGCAUAUUUGUUCCAUUAUAACAUAGAAGGAUACAAAUGCUAGGUAGGCAUAAUUAUCAUCCACACCUCAAGUCGAAUCUUUCUGUUCUUGAUGAAUAUAGGCAAGUUUGUCCCUUGUCAGUCGCUCUUAUCCUUCUUGUCUUCUUGUAGAGAAAAAAAAUGCAAAUGCACCUUCUUUUGUUUUGCUUAUGCAGAGAAUCAGAGUUCUUGCACCCUGGGUUGUAUAACUGUAGAUCAUCACAAAACCCCAUAGCUUUCUAGAUUUUAGUUUCAGUAGAUAGAUCAUAUAUGAAACUUUCGGAGAUGGGCUAAACAAUGAUCAUUUUGUGGAAAUGAAAAUCAGCCGAGAACAUCAUAAGAAAACACAUGAGCUUUGAUACACAGACCAUAAAUUUAUUACUUUCUGAAUUGUACUUUCGUUAGAUAGAUCAUGCAUGAUAAUUUAGGAGAUAGCUUAAACAAGAAAAAAAAGUUAUAUAUGGUAUUUUGCCUUCUUUUUCCUGAUGAUUACAACUUAUUAGAUCAUUUUCUAAAAAUCAGACAAGCACAUCAUCAGGAUACACAAGGCCAGGUACCGCCGACAAAGCUAUCCAAUGUGAAUUACUGACUUCAGAAGGUAUCAUGCUACCAUGGGGUGGACUGUUGAGCCCACAUACUGAAAAUAUGAUGUUACCGGAGUCUGAUGGCAUGAAACCAGUGGAAAGACAUGCUAACAAGGUUGAUCCUUUGGAACACAAGAGUGCACGACCGGUCUCUGCAAAGUGUCGUGAAGGGGAAAAGAAAUCUAUUAAACGAAAAGAACAAAAUACGGAGGCGAAACCCAAGAGGCGUAAAACCAGGCGUGAAAUAAAGAUUGCUGCACCUCCCCAAGCAUCACCCCGCUUAGCUGCACUCAAGGUUAAUCCUGAAGGGAACACUGAGCCUGAUGAUGAACUGACCAGUGUAAAUUUUGUGAAUGAGGUACAGCCUAUUCAAGAAAAAAUUGUGUAUCAGUCACUGAGCCGCGCUGACACUGUCAUCCAAUCACAGAACAAUCAGGAGAGCACUGCCGAUAAGUUACAGUUGACCCAAGGAGUUACUGUCGUUCCCAUGCAGACUAAUCAUGAGGGCACUGUUAAUCAGUUACAGUUAAGCCGAGCUGAUACUGUCAUUCCAAUUCAGACCAAUCAUGAGGGCACUGUCAAUCAGUUACAGUUAAACCGAGGAGACACUGUCAUUCACAUACAGACCAAUCAGUUACAGGCGAGCCAACCUCAAAGUGCCUAUCACUUGCAGGAAUACACUACCAAUUACUCGCAGAUGAGUGAAGCAGAUAAUGUGAAUAAAAAACAGACUGAUCAGGAAAUUUUUGCCAAUCAGUUACAGUCGAGCCAAGAAAAGCCUUUCAUUCAAAUGCAGACUAUACAGAAUAAAAAACAGACUAAUCAGGAAAAUUCUGCUGAUCAGUUACAGUCGGGCCAAGAAAAACCAUUUAUUCAAAUGCAGACUAUACAGAAUAAAAAACAGACUAAUCAGGAAAAUUCAGCCAAUCAGUUGCAGUCGAGCCAAGGAAAGCCAUUCAUUAAAAUGCAGAGUAUACAGGAAUACAUUACCAAUUACUCACAGUUGCAUCAGAGUCAUGCAGACACUGUGAAUGAAUUACAGACUUAUCAGGAAAAUGCUGCCAAUCAGUUACAGUCGAGCCAUUCAGACACCGUCAUUCAACUACAUACUACACAGGAAUACUUUGCCAAUCACUCAGCGCUGAGCCGAGCAAAUGCUGUGAAGCACAUGCAGAUCAACCAGGAAAACACUGCUGUUCAGUUACAGUUGGGUCAAGCUGAUAGUGUCAAUCAAAUGGAAACUCUGCAGGAAAACAGCACCAACCAGUUACAAAAUCUCCAAGGUUUAACUGUUAAUCAAGUAGAAACUACACAUGAUUACAUCACCAAUCACUCUCUGCCGAGCCCAGGAGAUACUUUCAAUCACAUGAAGAUUAACCAGGAGAACACUGCCAAUCCACGACAGUUGAGCCAACCUGACUCUGUCAAUCAAAUGCAAACUAUGCAGGAAAAUACUGCUACUCGGUCAGAGCUGAUCCAAGGAUUAACUGUCAAUCAAAUACAGGCUAUUCGGGAAAACAAUACCAGAUACUUGCAGCCACGUUGUACUGAAAAUCCUAUCCGGUGGUCUGGUUUUUCUUCGUCUCCUGAGAGGGGACAUGUAGAACCUAUCCCAUGCUUUUGGAGAAAUGUUGAAAAUCAGAAGUCAUCGGUUCCCGUGCAAAUAGAUGGAACACUUAUUGCAACCUCCUCAGCAAAUAUUCAAUGCCAAGAUGCCCCUGCCCCAGAACCAGCUUUGCCAACACCGCCUGCAGUGCCUGGAACCGCCGGCCUAUCUGGGUUUACCCUGCCGUUAUUUGGAAAUUCCUGGUCAGAUCCAUGCAUCGAGUUUGCAUUGAAGACUCUUACAGGUGACAUUCCUGUUGUGGAUGACAGUCCAGCUGUUGCAGACUACUUCCCUCUGCAACAUGACCUGAAUAAAAUCGCACCACCAGAUAAUUCUUCUCCCUUCAGUGAGGAUACUAGAAACUAUACACAAGUCGACCAUGCCAACCACCGGCCAGCGCCAAGGCCAUCAGACAGGUUCUACAAUGGUGGUUGGUUCCCUCCACAGUGAGACCACCCACCGGAUAGGUUCUACAAUGGUGGGAGGAAAAACAGAAGAACUGUUUGUGCCUGCGAAAGGCUAAUGGUUAGAGGAAUGAUCGAGUGACCAAAGCUUGAACCAAAUGGUCUGGCGAGCGUCUCUUUGUGUUUUCAUGACCCCUCUGUAAAAAGGCCUGUGACUUGUUCUAACUUUGUUAGAAACAACAUGUACAUCUUACUGGAUGGGUGUCAGCUUGCUUUAGGGAUCUAGGGAUCGGAAUGACAGUUUUAUUUUCUCUUUUGCUUUUUGUGCAGUUGCCUGGUAAAUUUCAUUUGCUCUAUCAUCAGGGUUGACCCAGUUUGGCGUCGUCGCUAGCAGUGUUGUUUAUUUAUUUUUGCAAGUGAGUCUUGUGCGCAUGAGACGAUCAGCAUCUUUGGGCUCACUUUAACUGUAAUAAUUCUUAAUAGUUGAUGUAGCAUUGGCUGCCCUUGGUUUUGUGGUUCUGCUGGGCUUGUCGUGAUGCUCUGUUGCUUUUAUGUUUUCAGCUAUACAAACCAGUACUAACUCCGUCGAGGCAAUAUUAGGAUUCGGUUGAUCAAGCCUUUGAUCACAAAUUAUUUCAUGAAUGUGUAAUUAAUGUGAUCAAAAUCAUAACCAUAAGCAAAUAUCCUUGAGUAAGAACAUAAUGCAAAUUACUUCAUGAAUGUGUAAUUAAUGUGAUCAAAAUCAUAACUAUAAGCAAAUAUUCUUGAAUAGGAAUAUAAUGCAUAUAAAUCUAUAUCAUAUAAUUAUAUAUUAAUAGAGUAAUUUGUGGUCAAAGCAUUGGUCAAAGAAAACUAAUGUUGAGUAACACAUUAGUGGAUUUGAAGCAUAUUUUCGGUUGUCAAGUAACAACCUUGAAACUCCGUUGUCUAAGAUCUGAAAAGCAGUUCAAGCCAGGGGGCAGUGUGGUUCCCGUUACCACGGUAGUUUUCUAAACGGGGAGCAGAUCUUGCUUUUACCCCCGUCGUGGGAAUAAAGAAGAGGGGAAUUAUAUUAUGGCAGAGAUGAGAUGCAACAGCAGCGCGCUGACAGACAAAAACAAAACACGCGGCUGACGAUCCAAUCGGAACACCAUCAUCAUCAUCCAUCACACCCCAGCCCAGCUGGGCUCGAGAUCGGAUCGCUGCCCAGUCCGUCGCAGAUCUCCUCUCCCGCGCGGCCCUGAUCCGCAAGUUCCUUCUUUGGCGGAAGAUACAUGGCGGAGCUGGUGGUGGCAGCGGCUGCGCCGGCGCCGGCGGGGAGGUGGGGCGCCGCGCCGCCGCAGGAGCUGCUCGAGAGGCUCAAGGACUACGGCCAGGAGGGCGCCUUCGCGCUCUGGGACGAGCUCGCGCCCGAGGAGCGCGACUUCCUCGUCCGGGACAUCCAGGUACCCAAACUCUUGUUCCACUCCUCGUUCGGAAAAUUUGUUAGGGAGGGCUCAAACCCGUGUAAGGAUUCCAGACAUCCUGUGUUGCGGAAAGAUUUGUGCGCUCUGUGUUGCGCUUGUGCCAGAAUUCUGAAAUCCAACUCAUCUCACUUGAACUGGAAGUAGGGAAACAAAGCAGUACUCCGUACUAGAAAUACAUGUUACUAGUUGGUUGGUUCGUUGGUGAUGCCAUUUGAGUACUAGUCACAUUUGUAACUGAGCAGCUGCUGUCUUUAGACGUUGAGCUAGCCUGUCAUCUCACAUGCAAAGUGAAUUGGUGGCGUCAAUGCAUUUCUAUCUCUAAUAACUUAGCUGAUCCACGGUACCGCUAACUGAAGUUGAUAAACUGCAUUUCAGAGCAUAGAUCUUGCCAGGAUCGACCGGAUCGUUCGAUGUUCACUCAGAUCGCAAGGUGAGGGGCCUUUUCUCCAUACACAUUUCCCAUGCUUUGUGGGUUUCUGUGAGGUUUUGCUCACAUGAAUUUGUGUCGAUGCUUGGAAGCACAGGUGGUCCUGUGCCGGUUGUUCAGCCUGUGCCGGAGUCAAGUGUGGCGACAGUGGAUGAUAGAAGCCCUGAGGACAAAGAAAGGUGGUGGAGGAGGGGUUUGAAAGCCAUUGCAGAGGGAAAGUUGGCUGUCGUACUUUUGGCUGGUGGUCAGGUACUCGGAAGCACGGUUUCCCCUAGCUUGCCUAGGUUGUUUAGUGAUUAUACACAGUACACUGUACAAAAUUUCUCUUGUAGUAAUAUCAUAUAUUUUUUAAUUGUGAACAGGGAACACGCCUUGGCAGUUCUGAUCCUAAGGGAUGUUUCAGUAAGUCUCUCCACUCCAAGUUCUUGCAUGUUGCUUUCACUGUAUGACACAAAUGUUGUUUAAAUCUGAAUAUGUAUUCCGUUUUUAUUACUUUUUGUUUGGCAGAACUCUUUAUUUUCCUGAUUGCAUAUUUCCAAAUGAAAGUUUAUGUUACCCUACUUUUCUAUGUUUCCCCCCACAGUAAAUAUGAACGGAAACAUUUGCAAAUUUUAUGUAUUGCAUUUAUGUUCAUGCCUUGGUACUUUCUUAGUGAUGCCCAAGUUCUAGUUUUCUCUUAAUCUCAAAUUGGUCUUAAGAAUAAUCUCUGAUUUAUGUUCAGGUAUUGGGCUUCCAUCUGGAAAGUCACUUUUCCAACUUCAAGCUGAACGAAUUUUGUGUGUUCAAAAGCUGGCUGCUCAAUCCACUGAUGGUAAUUUUGUCUAGAGCGCCUGUUAACUAUUUGUGGUGUUGUUUGCUAAAAAUUCCCAUGCUCAAAUUAUUUAUAUUUUGCAGCUCCAGGCAACACUCCGCAGAUCCACUGGUAUAUAAUGACCAGUCCCUUCACUGAUGAAACCACCCGCAAAUUCUUUGAAAGCCGUCGAUAUUUUGGCUUAGAGCCUGACCAAGUAAGUAUUAGAUGGCUUUUUAUGGUGAAAAUGACGACAUGACUUCCUGUACAACUCCUAAAAAUUAUCUUUGGCUGGAUUUUUUAUUUGUAGGUGACCUUUUUCCAGCAAGGCACACUCCCGUGUGUUUCUCCUGAUGGAAGGUUUAUCAUGGAGACACCAUAUAAGGUACCCUUUGUUUUAAAUUAGAAUUUCAUAUUCCUCAUUAAAGUCGAUGCAUUUCUUCAUUACAAGUUCGCAACUAAAUAUAGGUUUGACUAGCAGAAUCAAAAUCAAGUACUAUUUGUUUUCUGUGGUAGUGAUAUCAUUUGCAACGUUCUUAACAAAACCAGGUGGCAAGAGCCCCGGAUGGCAAUGGGGGAGUAUAUGCUGGUAAUUUUAUCCCAAUGCAUCAUUCAUUCAGUUUUAUAUAUUGGUAUUUGCCACAAUCUUGUUGCUUAUUUUUCUUUCUUUUUUCUUUCACCGUGUCUCAGCUCUAAAAUCUAAAAGGUUGCUCGAUGAUAUGUCUGCAAGAGGUGUGAAAUAUAUUGAUUGCUAUGGAGUUGAUAAUGUGUUGGUGAGUACAUCUUUUAUUGGAAAAAAUCUCUGAUGGAAUUAUAGUCUCCUUUUUUAAUCUGUUAAUUAACAGUCUAUCUCUAUGGUACCAGGUCCGUGUUGCAGAUCCAACAUUCCUAGGAUACUUCAUUGACAAGGGUGUGUCUGCUGCUGCGAAGGUUGUAAGGAAGGUAUAUCAAGAUAAACCCAAUUCCUAGCAGAUUGAUAAGUUACUCUUUAAAUCCAAUUAUGCGCCUUCUUGAUUGUUUAUGGUUAUGUGUUCUUUAGGCAUACCCACAGGAGAAAGUUGGGGUAUUUGUUCAGCGUGGUAGGGGUGGACCUCUCUCUGUGGUUGAGUACAGUGAAAUGGAUGCAUCUAUGACUACUGAAAUCAAUCAAACAACAGGACGCCUUCGUUAUUGUUGGAGCAAUGUAUGCUUCUUCUAUCCCCUUUCCCCUGGUAUCUCCUCUUUCUGCACUAAUAACGGUGUAUUCCUUUUAUUUUGGCAGGUGUGCUUGCAUAUGUUCAGUUUGGAAUUUCUCAAUCAAGUAACCAAUAGUCUUGAGAAGGAUAGCGUGUAAGUAUUUGUAUCAAAGCACUUUUCUGUUCUUGCACUUUAUGAAUUCAUGAGGUUUGCUUUUGUUCCGAGAUAUUUUUAUGCACACAAAAGCAUGCUUGCAGUCCAUAUCAAUAUGUAAUCACCAUAGUUUAUGUAAAUUUACGGUUGUCGGUGCAAUUACAGAGAAAAACUUUUCUAUGAGUUCACCAGUGUUAUUGGCUUUAUUUAUUUUGUACUGAAAAUGUAAUAAACUUAGUUACUUCGAAAAAUCAUUUUCUACUAACUUCUGAUAAAUCAGCUGUUUCUAUCUUUCUGUUUUACCAUGUAAUUCCUGCAUAUCAUAAACCAGCAAUUACCAAUUUAGUAUCAACUUAUGGUUUGUUCCAUCCCUGUUUGUGCUUAAUUGGAAAACCUUGUGCCAGUUAUCAUCUAGCAGACAAGAAGAUUCCUUCAAUUCAUGGGUACACAGCAGGCCUAAAGCUUGAACAGUUUAUAUUCGACGUGUUCACCUAUUCUCCAUCGACAGCUCUUUUUGAGGUUUGAUUCUAUUCACUAAUGCCUGAAUGAAGCUGACUUGUUCUUCCAUUUCAUUCCCAUAAAAGCAAACAUUAGUGUGAGGUACUUGUUGACACCAUACAAUUCAGGUCAUGAGGGAAGAGGAAUUUGCACCAGUAAAGAAUGCUAACGGUGCGACCUACGACACUCCUGAUAGCGCCAGAUUAAUGCUACUUCGCCUUCACAGCCGAUGGGUUGUUGCUGCAGGUGGCUUUUUGACGCAUUCCGUGCCCUUGUAUAUGACAGGUAACUUUCCUUCUGUUUAUGUGCUUGGAACGUUCGAAGACUGUCCACAGCCAAAGAUUUUCGUAUACAAACUCACUGAUUGCCGUGAUAACUUGGCUUGUACUUUUAGGUGUUGAAGUUUCUCCCAUGUGCUCUUAUGCUGGAGAAAACCUAGAAGCCAUAUGCCGUGGACGAACAUUCCAUGCACCAAGUGAGAUCUCACUCUAGGCGGAGGUUGUUCCAAGGAGCAGUUGCAUACAAGAACGGCAAAGUCUGUGAAUUUUUGUUAGGACAUGGGAUCAAGAUGGCAGGACCUGAGCACUUUCAAUUAGAGUGUCAAUAUUAGUCAGCCUGUUGUAUGCUGUGUGAGUACAGAGUAUUGUAAUGCAACACUUGAGGCUAUCUUUUCCCCCCUUUUGGUGAUAUUUAUCAUUUGUUGCUCAAAAUGUAGAUUGAUCAGAGGGCACAAUUCAAUCUUUAUCAAAAUCAAUGUAUUUCUGAAAUUUUGAAUACUGUUCUUUGCACAAUUGAUUUAAUGUGAGAAAAUCCAAAGAAUGGAUUCUACUAGUUUCCUCCUUUUUUUCUGUUACACGAUGUUGGAUAACUGUAGACUGAGCAUCUAUGAUUUCUUUUCUUCAAGCAGAUAUCAGUGAGUCACAGUAUGGUUUCAGCCAUCGGUCUCCGUCGAUGUAAGAUGUGUUCAAGUAAGGCAAUGCUUGCUCAUCACUGAGCUUCAAAGAAUAUGGCACUCUACCUGCCAGGUUUGCACCAUCACCUGUACACUUGUACUCUCCAUAAAAUACACUCCUGUCAAUGCAAAUAAAACAAAAGCUGAUGUUAGUAAGCUUUCUGCAAUAAUCUCAAUAAUUAACACCGACAGUGAAGGAGGCAUACUGAUCUCUUGAAGGAUCAUUCCAAUCAUUCCAUCCUUCAGAGGCGAUGAUGUCUGACAUCAAAGUGUAUGCAAAGACGACACGGGAGUAAGGUCUCCAUGCUCGCCCAAGCCAUAUCCUACCUGUGCCGCCGAUGCUACAGUUGACAAAUGAGUAACCGGUGUUGUCACCAUCAGAUUCUCGGGCAUGCGCUGUAAUUGCACCGGUGAUGGUUCUCACCCCUGCAGGCACAGGGUCUGCUAUGGAAAUCAAUCUGCAAUUCUGACAAGUACAAAAGUGGAAGCAGUUAGUGAACUCAGCACUUUUCGGUUUUGCGUUCCCGUCCUUGAGAUAUUAUAGUGUCUUUUACUCACUUCAUACAGUGACCUGGCAUCUCCAAAGAUGAAAUCAAUGGAGCCCUGAAUGAAACAUUCCUUGAAGUAAUGCCGGCCUCGAUCAUCGUGAAGCGUAUCUUGCGCACCGAAAAAGCCGCAGCCCCAGAAUGCUGCCUGGUCACCACCGAUCCUGAGAGCGACUGCCUGAGCAUCAACAGCGCCAGGUCUUGGGAUAGGUGCUACAUUCUGUUGUCAAAAUGGUUAAGAGAGUUACAUUGGUACUCAAGGUUCACCUGUGUGACUUAACAGAAACUUGAUGUGCAGCGUCCAUGAUUACAAUGAAGCUAAUGUUCUUUGCGACAAACCCUGCCGCGAAGACAGUGACCGAAGCGCUAUAGAAGGUGCCAUGCGACGAGUUGGCGGUGUCAUUCCACGCAAUCGCCGUCAGGUCAAAUCCCUGCCCCUGAAAUGUGAUGUUGGGCUUGGUUGCAGGGACUGUCACCUUCUCGCUGUAACAAUGCAGCUUCAGUAACCACACUAUUAUUACUUCUGUACUUUUGGCAACUGGGUACUGGAAGCCUGAUCAAAGCAAGAUUUCUUACAAGUAGAUGCCCUUGUUGAUCCACACAACAUUCCUCUUGUGGCUGGAUCUUGGGACAGCAUCUACCGCAUCCUGCACCUUGGUGAAAUCGCAGCAGCCGUUGGGGUCGACGCAGAAGAUUGAUGUCUCCGCCAUGUCAGGAGGUGGGAAGUCCGGCGGGAAAUCGUCACAAAGCGGGUUGUAUUCAUCGGGGAGGCAAUGAUCAUUGGAGAAAUAGCCAACUGUGAGCAAAUGAAAUGGAAGGGAAGGUGUUGCAAGAUCAAGCAAGGCUCUCAGGAACGAAGUGUGUGGGUUAUUCAGAUGAGCAAACAAUAGCAGAACGACAGGUAUCAGGCCAGAGAGGGAAAUGACUUUGGGGCUCAUUUGUAUUGCGGAAAAGCUUUCACUGUUUCAUGGGGAAUAUGAGAUGACUUUGGUGCCUUUUAACAGGAUAAAAUGCACUUUAAGAAGACGCUUAACUUGCUUCCCUUGCAAACAACCAAUCUCGUUUCUUCAAGCUUGAGACGCGGCGCAAGUCAGCAGUCUGCCAGAGGCAAUCAUGCAAAACAAUGAAACACCCGUGAAUGAAAAGAGUAUUCACGUCAUUGUCAGAAUCCAGAUAUGAUAUAAUAAAGAUCUAAUAAAGUAGUUGCUUCAAAGAUAGGUUCACCACGGCAAUUGGCAACCAUCCGUACAGGGAAACCCAUGGGAUCAUGUGAAAGCGAUGCGUGUUGUUAUACAAGAAAAUAACCAUUAUACAAAGACUAGAAACGGUUACGAACAGAGAGUAUCUAAUUACCUUUAAAAGUCGGUAACAUGGGUGAAUAUUUAAUUCCCUUGACCCCCAACAAGAGAUAAGCAAAGAGAAAGCACAUCCACCAAAAUAAGAUAAGAAAACAAGCUGCUGAUGCCAUUGCUUCAAAUAAGGUGCAUAUGGUACACCAUCCGACCAGCCAACCAGUGGGCAACAGCUACCACAAUUUGCAUGACCAGUGAUAUCUAAACAAAACUUGCACGGAUAGAUUUCAUGAACAUGUUCAGAAGAAUGAACUUUUAUCUAUAACUACUUCUAGACUAGACAAUUUCGGUAAGCUCAAGCAGCGGUGAAUGCCUUCUUCCCAGUGCCACCUGUGGAUCCCGCUGGAAUGACUUUAAGGAUGUUGAACCUCACAGUUUUUGACAAAGGCCUGCACCAUAUACAGAAAAAGAAAAAAAGAAACAAAUCAGCAUCCAAUAAAAGUAAAGCCCUGCAGUUCAAGAAACCAAAACCAACAGGGGAUAGGUAAAAUCCGAUACAGUUCCUGGAAUCACAGUAAGGGGGGCAAUGGCUAACCAAGGAAAACCUAUUUUUUUUCCAUAGAAGGUGAAGUAUAGAUUAAAUGUUUUUGAAGAGUUCGUGUGCUGCUUUAGUUGCAAAACCAUUUUAAAGUAAGCGGAAGACUGGCAUAACUCGGGUUGUAAUUUUUAAGCCUCGCAUUCCCAAGAGGUCAAGACCCAAGUAAAGUAACAGAACUGAAACCAUGAACUAAAUAUACAAUUAUAAAUAACACACCAGUUAGAGAGAAUUACCUGCACUGACCAAUGAUGACAUGGUCUCCUUCCUUGACCCGGAAGCAAGGAUAAAUGUGAGCUGGAAUGUUGGAGUGCCUCUUCUCGUACCUGCAGGAUGAAGGAGGUCACUCAGAAGCAGCAUGAGUCUAUAUUCCUAAACUCCUCCAGUGCUUUACUUACCUCUGAUACUUCUUCACAAAGUGUAGGUAGUUCCUGCAGAUGAUGAUAGUCCUGUUCAUCUUGGCACUGUGGCAUGUUCCAGCAAUAAUUCUGCCUCUGAUAGAAACAGUUCCAGUGAAUGGGCACUUCUUGUCGAUGUAGGCCCCUGAAAUCAAAUAAGUUCAUGACUUAAUUCCAUUUCCCUGGAAUGGAGCAAGUUAAUAAUUUGAUUACAUCUUUAUAAGUAGCUAUUCUUACCCAGUAGCUAAACAACAUAAGCCACAUGCAGUGCCAAAUAAAUAUCACAUGCUAGAUAAAGGAAGAUUUUAUAUAAGUUAUUUCUUUAUCUACUCACUUCAAAUUACUGCCUUAGCCAGGAAGAAUAUCUACUUUCAUCAAGUUUAUGAAUUGCAGAGACACUAGCUAACAAAGCAUACUGCUGAGUAGGCCUGGCUAACGAGCAUGCUCGGCUCGUUAAGAACUCGGCUCGUUAAGAGCUCGGCUCGUUAUGCUCGUUAACCUUAACGAACAUCAAAGCCUGUUCGGCUCGGUUCGUUUACUGCUCGCGAGCGCUCGUUAGGGGUGAAAAAAAUGGGCAGCAUGUAUGCAGAAAAAAUGACAAGCAAAGCAUGUGUACAACAUUAUAUAAUAAGUCCAUAACAAAUAAGACUAAUAACCAUUACAGGCUACAACACAAAUACUCAUAAGACCAGCAGCCAUUACAGCUUCGGUGUCCUCAUACAGUACAAUACAAAAGCACUAAUAAGACUAAUAUUAGUUUGACGAGAGUACGAAACGAGGAGGAGACUGGAGGCCCGACUGACCUAAUAACGAGUCUUGGGCUUGGGCCGCAUUCAGGCAGUUGGGCUGUUCGGGAGGGUGUGCUGGGCGCCUGGGCCUAACAAGUCGUGGGUUACUGUGUUUAGUUCGACCGCCAGACGUCAGAUAACGAGCUAACGAGCAUGCUCGCGAGUCUCGCUAGCUCGGCUCGUUAAGCUCUUUAGUAUUAACGAGUUUCAGGAGGUGCUCUACUCUGCUCUUUAGUCUAACGAGCCAGGUACCAAACGAGUCGAGCUACUCUCCGAGUACCGAGUAAAAUGUCCAGGCCUACUGCUGAGAUAAACAACUUCAGGAAGAGAACUUGAGCACAUUAAAGCUACCUUGAAAUCAGAAACUCAUCUGACUAGUCAUUCAAGAGGCAUCUAGUUUCAUAUCAGGCAACCACAGUUCAUGGUGUUGGGUAAAGGAAACAUGAAUAAGGGGUCAGAAUAGAAUGAUCAAUAGUAUUGUCUUUAAUCAUUUGAUCUAAUUUUUUUACAGUAAUACCUCAAAAACUAAUCAUACAUGGGAAACUUGAAAGGCGCAUGGAUUGCAUAAUGACAGGCAAUAUAUUAUUUAUACCUUCAAUCGCUUCCUUGGGGGUCUUGAAGCCGAGGCCAACAUUCUUCCAGAAGCGAUUACCUGCCUUGCCAGGUCUCUUCCCCUUGUCAGAUUUCUUUGGGCUGAAAUCAAACAUAAGAGUUGUUAAACAUACACAUGCUGUAUGCAAAGAGUACCACUAAGAGGUAGAUGCAGAGCCCUCACCAAAGGAAGACCUUUGGCUGCUUCAAGAAAGCCUUCUCAGUCUGCACAAAACAGAGGAUAUCGUACAUCAAAACUUGGAAGCCAGUGUCAGACAUUUACAUUCUGCAAUGCUGAAAAUCAUGCCCAAAAGAUGCCCUAGAGGCAAACUUCCAAGCAACACAAGUACAGCAGCACAACACAGUUCUACUCGUAGACCAAAAUUAAGGCUCAUAUACCAUGAUAUACAUUGACCGGCUACAGGCAUCUAGUGACCUUAGAGUGCGAAACAUCACUGCUCGCUAGGCACGGUACUAUAUGCAUUUUUUUACUUUCUAUGUAUAUGCAGGUUACGUCAACACAUACAUUCAUCACGCAGCGAUAACCAAGAAAGGGAUCACAAAACACAAAGUAUGGCGACAAAGACCAUCACUUGAGAUUUGGAGACUGCUAAGUUGCAACCAAAAAUUACAGAUGGUCACCAAAUUACAUUAAGAAAAACAACGCAACAUAGAGAAAAUCACAAAAUCGCCACUUUAUGAUUUGGAGUGUCCCAAUUUUGAAAUCAACCGCUCGUCGCCGAUUCAUUUCACCCUAAUCCAAAUCACAUAUGGACAUAACCCCGCCAGUUAUAAAUAGGAGAAAGACGGUCCACGAAAUCUAUCAAUCUUUCCUAGCCAUUUCCUAACAAUCUACUACAAGUGAGAAUGCUAUAGAUCCAAGACUCGGACACGAGUAGGAACCUGUGCUACACUGGAUCAGACCGGGAGAUGUGCCAAUUGAACACCUGUUCCUGCAGGUGCGGCACGAAAGAGGAGGCGGAACAGAGAUCGAUUGGAAGAGCGCGAGACGGGGAUUUACCUGCUCCGCCAUUGGAGACCGGGAGGUGUCCGGCGGCGAAGGGCAGAGCUGGGGCGGGGCGGUGACGGCUCAAACCAGGCGAACCCUAACGCCAAAGGUGUGAUGAACGAACUUCAACAGAAACAAGAAGUUUUGGAAUUUAGAACGUUCUUUCUGUUUUGUUUAACAAAAUACUCCCCUGUUCCUAAAUGCAAGACAUUUUGGUAUUUAAUUAACUGUGUAACCUUUUUUCAGGGUGAUUCUCUCAACCUUCUAUUGGCAAUAAAUAGCUCGUUACGGCUGUUUCGUCAAAAAAAAGAGACAUUUUGAUAUAGCUCAAAAGGUACUCUCCCUGUUUUACUCCAUGACAAGAUGUUCUAACUUUACGCUAAAAUCAGGGAUGAAUUGAUCAAGGUUGUAGAAAAAUGCACUAAUACCUACAGUAUCAAAUAAGUACACCAUCAAUGUAAAUCAUGACGGAUUCUAUAAAACUAAUUUAUAAUAGUAGAUAUAAGUAAAAGAAAUUGAGAAAAACAUCAAUAGAUUUUUUUUCUACUUGUAUAAAUUUUCGUCAAAUUUACAUAGGACAAAAACGGAACAUCUCAUAAUUUAGAGCUAAGGAAAUAUAAUAAGUCAGUGAACACAAAUCACAUGAAAGAUGUCUGACCUGCCCUGACAUCUGCUUUGGCCUCACCACGGAACAUCUCAUCACUCCUUCCCUGCAGCUGCAAUCAGUGAAAAAACAAAAGAACCGUGGACCAAGGAAUCGUGAAAUAGUACGAGACAACGGCCGGCCCCUACAGCCGAGCGACCUGCUGCCGUGGAUCACGAGCCGGAGCAGAGUUGUUUGUCUCGUACGUACAAGUCCAAGACACGAAGAAAACGUGUGACCUUUGGUGUCUGCUUACUGUAACUGAACACUGCACUUACGGCCGGAGCACUCCACUGCUGAAUGCAUCGUGCGAUCUUGAAUGAAUUUUGUCCAUCACAACAGGUUACGUGGCUACAUCGUCCGGCAAAUCGAGCCAGAUCGAUGAGCUUGGUAAAUCAAAAAUAUUGAAAGCGUCGUGCAAUCAAUUCAAAGCCACUUAAAGACAAGAUAUCCUAGGAAUCUUAGAUUUAUAAAAUAGUUAUGGGAAUAACACCAACAUUCUUAUAGAGUUUCAAUCGGAUUAAAACGGAUAAGGUAAACCAAAGUCGGAUACAACCACAUUCGAAUAAAGAGGGAAAUAGAUAACUAAAUAGAUAAUCUCAUAUUAUUGGACGGGGAAAAUGUUGAUUUCAGCAUGCUCAGUUGCUUCUUCGCCAUGGCAAUCACAUGUUGCUUAAAAUGCGAGGAAGAGAAUUCAGGCUGACAGGUUUCACAAUGCAAUCCUUUGCGCCUGCGUCCAACAAUCUGACAUGUGUAGAUAAUAGUAGAUGAGUACACUAGAAUAAUCAUAUAUAUCCAGUUAUCUUUUGGCAAGUUUUAGCAAUUAAAUAAGUAAGGAAAUAAAUAUGUAAAUAUUACCCAUCUCUACUCACUUUUGAAUCUCUUCUGGGAUGUUGUCUAGUGAUGUAAUCAGAAAUGGAAGGUGUGCCAGCUGAGUUGAUUUCUAGAUGAGAAAAGGAGAAUACUAGUUGAUAUUUUUUUAAAUAAUUAGACAAAUCUGAAUAAAAUGUAUGACAUAUAUAUAUCAUAUGACUGCUUUACCUUCACUUCCACAAGGAAGUCAUAGCAACUCAUCUCUGGCAAAUGAUCAUCACAGAUAAUCAUAGCAACAUCAUUUCCCUGUUGAAACAAUGACAAAGUAUUCAUGCAUCUUAGAAAUUCAAAUAAUUAACCACAAAACCGCAAAAAAAUAAACCUAGCUCUAGUAGAAUAAAGAUGUGAAAAAUUGAUCAAAACUACUAAUUUACCGAGUCCAAGAACUUCAAAGCUUCCUCAGCACUUUCUAUUGCAGUCACUGCAUAAGUGAGGCAUGCAAACAUUAGUGUCGAAAUUAUAAUCUAUGUGUUUUUGGGCAAAUAUUUGAUCAUCAUACACUCUAAAAGGACAUCAAUUUGGAAAUGAUGGUAUAGCAUCAUAUUCUCAAAAAGAAUUGUUUGGAAUAUGUAUGUGAUAAUGCAUUGUAAACUGAUAACAAAAGCAGGAAUUUGUGCACCGCUGAAAGUACCUCGAAGGUUGCCACGCUUUAAGACUUCAAAAAGAAUACGACGUUGUAUACGUUCAUUCUCGAUUGCAAGAACGUGAGGAAGGUCACUAUUGGAAGCAUUUGCAAUCAGAGGUGUCGACAUCGAAAACUACGUACAAGCACUACUAUGCGAAGUUGUUGGGAUACUAGCUCACAAAAAAUUUCAGGCUACCGGCUUACUGUGUUGAGGAAGGUAAGGCAUCACCCAAAUUUAUAUUGUUUCAUCCAACCUCAUUUUCGAUGUGCUAAUAAAUGAAUAUAUUUUGAAAAUUUAUUGUAUAAUCUCAAUCAGUAAAUAGUGCAUGCAUCUCUCAUAAAUUUUGCUUCGAUAUAGAUUUCUCCAUGAUCUAUAAUAGAUACACAUUUAUGUAUAUUCAUUUGUUAAAAAAUCAAUACACAUUUAUGUAUAUUUGAUUUCUUUAACACAAUUUGUCUAGUUGCGGGUGCGUGUUGCACUAUGACGUCAGAUGGUCAUGAACAUAUCUAUUUCUUUUAUGCGUAGUAAUGUCUCUUCAUGAAUAUCUCAUCACCGUGGAUUUUUUUAGUGGUUACUAAUGUCCUGACAAUAAUUGUCAUUGAAUGUAUAUAAAGACAACAUAAAAAGAAAAUCUUGCGGAUUCGAGAUUGUUUCAGAGGUGGGUGUAACAUGGAAGUAUAUCGACAAUUUGGGGAUGUGUAGGCCUUGUCCACUAAACACUGUUUAUCCUAGGUCCCUCAUGUGCCAUGCCUCGACCUACGACACGGUAAUUAUACUUGGGCAUGGGCAGCUCGGCCCAAAAAACCGAGUCGAGCCAGGCUUCCUUCCGGCUCGGGCCUUGAUUGCAGUCCGCACAAUUUUUGGGGCCAGGCUCAGGCCUUUCCUUUACAGUUUCUUUGUUUAUUUUUUAGAAAGUUUAUUCAUCGAGAAAAUAAAAAUAAAAAUUCAAAAGAUUGAUUCUUUUUUGCCACUAGGCACUAGCUGGGCAAAAAAAAAGUGAGCCUCCUGAUAUCUCCAUGAUGUUGUUGUGCCUUCUCUUAAGUUCUGAUGGUUGGCAUCGCCUCAGAAAGACUAGAGAAUUUAGUUGAGUUGAGUGUAUCAUAUAUGCUUGCGCAUAGUAGUUGGUAUUUGGCACACAUCACAAUCAAAUAUAAAGACCAAGGGAAUCCGAGAAAAGGAAAAAAGGUGAGUGAUUUUAUUUACGCAUGCCACUUAACUACAACAAAACAUGCCUGUAGAGACGCUGAAUUAGCAGGCUAAAGACAUGAUAUUUCAUCUCUAGUGGAUUAUAGAGUCGCUUUCACAAAGCGUCCUUGGAGUGUCUCCUCUGGAACCGUGUCAAGUUACGUAGAGACGCUAGCUAAGCGUGAUUACAGGAUAUGAGACGUUUCAUAGAGACGUUCAAAUUCGUGUCUAUACAUGUAAGGACGUUUUAUUUGACAUGCUUCAAUCACGUCUCUAUCAACAUUUUGACACGCUCAAUUUGCGUGACAACAAAGAUAGAGACGCUUUUACAAAUUUGGCCUAGCCCAUCUUAUGAGUCAGUAUUGGGUUAGGUUGGGCUGUAGUUUGGCCCACCUUUCUGUCGGCCCAUCAUAAUUGAAAACUCAUGGCACAUGCCAAGCCCAUUUCUGUAAAAAUAUGUUCGGAUAGCCUAUUUUAAAAUUUUGAAUUUUCUAGGAAAAUAAUGUUUUCUUAAAUUUGACGGAUAAUCACACAAUCAGUUGUACGAGGACACACGAUCAAUUGUAAAUAUAAUCUGCAUCUUCCUUUCAUAUAUAUGACCAUAUUCUCAUAACAAGACUAGAAAAUACUGUAGCCUUCGAUUGACUGCAACAACAAAUAUGAUACAUUAAUAGAGCCCACAAAACACAGCUGAAUCAAACAUCCAUGCAGAUGAAGGUGCAAUACAUCAAGAAAAGAUCAUAUAUGUACAUUUUCUUUCUAAAUAGUUGUACUAUCUAUAAGCUUUUGCUGAACUAAAACUUUUUUGUUCAUCCAUCUUUCCAUGCCUCUUGGCCCCAACAGUCCUGUAAAUUAGGCAUAUAAAAUGAAUAAACUACAUAAAAGUAUAAGCUCUUUUGGGAGUGUAGAAUGACAUGUUUAAUUUUGUGAUGAAAUUAAAAUACCUUGUUGUUUGUUGGCUGGCUUGAAGUCAUUCUCUUACGAACUCUUUUGACCUAUAACAUAACAAUACCCUAUCAGAUAUGUCAAUACUAAGUUGUUUCAUGCUUGAAUUAAAAUAGACUUACGUGUGACCAAGGCCAAAAAAUAACACAACCAAUAGCAUCUUGUAGCAUUUGACAAUUUUCAUAUGGUCUAGGCAAUCUUUUGUUUCGAAUUUUUGUAACAGCACCUGCAUAAUAUUUGGUUGAGCAUGAGGAUUGCGAUAUAAUUCUUCAACUUCAUGUUUCUUUAAACACUAAAGAUCCGGCGUUGAAAGACUACAAACAACACAGCCUAAAAAUAGACUACAAACAGCACCUGCAUAAUAUUUGGUGGAGCAUGAGGAUUGCGAUAUGAUUCUUAAACUUCAUGCUCUGAUUCAUAUGGGAUGUCACUGCCAUCACCUCUUUCAUAGAGACAUUCUGAAAUGAGAACAUGAUCAGAGUAUACUGAUAAAGAACAAAUUAUAUUUGCAGAAUUAGAGAUGGAGUUCAAAUACUAACUUCAUUAUUUUCUGUAGUUACAGCUGCAUUUCUCCAAUCUUAGAAAAUCUCUGGAGUGCCUUGUAAAUUUCCACCAUCUGAUUUCACAUUUUCUGCAUUCUCUAAUGGAAUAUUCAAGUUUUGUAGCCAUCUAGGUAGCCUUGCCAUAAUAUCUUCACUACAGCAAUGCAAAGAACAUAUGUCAGACAACAAUCUAAUGACAGGUAAUUAUGUGCAUAACCAAAGACCUAUGAUCUGCAUUUGUUUAGAACUCUUUGCAUUACUGCAAUUUCAAGUUAAAGAAUAAUAGUCAGGCCGUUACUUCUAAGCACAAGAUCCUAGAGUGUAGUGCAUUAUCUAAUAUACAAUUAACCCAUGUGAGAUCCAACAGGAACAUAAUAUCAAGCAGUAGAAAAUGGUUGAUGACCAAAGAGGUAAACCAUACUCACAUGUCAGUUGGCCGCUUAAUUAAAAUCAGAGUACAAAGGUUAGGAUAGUGGUGACUACGGCAAUCAGAAAAAAAUGAAACACAUGUGCAGCAAUUAGAGAAAUUUUAUCUAAAUUGCUGGCCAUGACCAUUGGUGCGAUUGAGGUGUCAGAUCUACAGAUGCAAUUGAUGGAUUAGUUAUUCUCUGUGCAGAUUGAAUCGGAAAGGGAAGGGAGGGAGAGAUGCUGCAUAAAUGCAGAGUGCCAACGGAAUCACAGGGGAAGCGGAUAUAUACGAGGGUAUUUUCUUCAAAAAAAUGCGGAGAGUUCAUCUUAGCUGCAAACUUAUCAAAAAAAAGAAAAACGAGGGCGGCAAACAUAAAAAGGUGGGAGCGGCAAAGAGAUUUAGUUACUUCCAAUAGAAAGAUUAAGACUCAUCUCUUAUAUAGCUUCUCAAAUGUCAUCUUUGCCUUAAACAUAAAUAUAAUUGUUUAAUUAAUUGCUAAUAAAAAUUAAGAGUCGUUUUAUAUAGCGUCUCAAAUAUCGUCUCUAUGUUAAACAUGAAUAUGAUUUUUUUAAUCAAUUCUUGGUUUGUAAGAGUCUGUUGUGACAUUAUGUAAAACGUUUCAAAAAGCGUCUUUAUGUGGCGUUCAUCGUUGAGGGUUGAGACGAAGUACAUUGGCGACUUUAGAAAAACGACUACUCCAACAAUGACAGAAAAAUCAGAUUCUGAAAAUAAAACCUCCAACAACACAAACCAACACAUGCACGCACGCAGCUGAUUCAUGGCCUAACACUAACUGUGUGGUAGGAUUUCCACAAUGGGCGUGGCGCUCGUUGGUGAUGAGGAACUUCUCCCCCGCUCUGCUGCUUAAAUAUGAGAUGCUCCUAGGCAGUCAUACUAAAUCUGAAAUUUAUUUAUCUGUGGACCGGCCGGGUGAUUAUGGCCCUGUUUGUUUGGGUUUCUGCUUCAGCUUGUGGUGCUUCUAGCAAUUUCAAAAGCACUUCUCCCGUUUGCACAUGAAGACGAGAAGCACCUCCAAUUCCAGAAAAUACACGAGUUUUCAAACAAAUACUAGCUUGCCAAACGACCCCUAUCCAAUUCCCGACAAGUACAAUACUACGAAGUGGAGGAACAAGAAUGCUACGUCAGACGUGUCACAUGGCAUUAAAAGAACAAGUGUUGCAUUUUAUGAUGGUAUCGUCCUGAUGACGAACAAUAUUUUUUUACACCAGUUUAAUCUCGUUUUAGCGAGGUUGUUUUUAGUUGAAUCAUCGAAUCACGCCAGGACACUUUCCUUUGUUUAUUUUUCAGAAUGUUUAUUCAUCGAGGAAAUAAAAGGAUUCUUGUAGAACUAAAAUUUCGAAAGAGCGAUUUCUUUUUGCCACUAGGCACUGGCUGGGCAAAAAUUGAGACUCCUGAUGUCUCCGUGAUGCUUUUGUGCCUUCGAUGUUCCGAUGGUUGGCGUUGCCUCAGAAAGGCGAGAUAAUUUAGUUGAGCGUAUCAUAUAUGAUUGCGCACAUUAAUUGGUACUUGGCACACAUCACAAUCAAACUUGAAGAUGAAGAGAAUCCGAGAAAUGGAAAAAAGUUGCACGAUUUCACGUGGGCCGCUUGGACUGUGAAAGACAAUUGCACUCUGAGUCCGAUCUAGCGAAAAGAGAAUUGCACAUUGGAAAGGCGAAUAUAAAAUGCUUUUUAAAAAUCUAGAGAAAAGCAUUAACAGUCACAUGUAUAAUUCCUGAGAGAAUCCGACUCUGCAAACACUAGCGCCUGUAUCCACGUGCCAAAAUAGAGUAAAGUUCAUAUUAAACCUUGACUUAGUAGAGCAAGUCUGGAAUGAGCUCUAACUUUCUAGUCCCUGAAAUCAGCACUAUGUACUUGUUAAUCCCGUCUAAUUUCAACCUUUGGUAAUCAAACACCGUUUCGGAGAAUGGGAUUGCUGACAUAGCGGUUAAAAUUUGGAAUUUGUUGACAAAUUCAGUUCGGUUUAUUGCUACCCAGAUUCGCCACCCAUAUUUAGACUAAUUAUAUAAUUAUUGUAAUAUAAUAAAAUCCUUACAUGGGUCGGGCCGUAAUCCUACGUGACGACGACCAAGUCAAUAAAUCCGAAAGACCGGUCAAAUCGCCGACAAGGCGUAGCCAUGCCAACUAAGCGCCGGUCAAACGAGUCAAAGGGUCAAGCCUCACAUGCCAUGGUCAAAGGAGGUAGAGUAGGGACCAAGAAAGCUCUAGCGAUGAAUUUACCACUUUACCCUCACUUUCCCUCUCCCUCAAGGGUAGCCAUGGUCUUUUGUCAUGCACCCCUAGGCUAUAAAUUAUCCCCCCCACGGAGCAUGUGUCAUACAUUCUUCAUUGGAAUAAGAUCAAAGGGAGAGGGCUAGAGCAACCUCAGGAGCCUGCUCUCGAGUGCUUGGGUCGAGCUUAGUCUCGACUCAACGACGUGGUGGCAAGGAUCGGCGAGCUACCUGCGGUUACCGCACCCGCAAGGGACGCGGAACUUGCUAUGCCUCGUUCGAUGGGCUUCGCACCACUUCCCCUGCAACCGGUGGUAACCUUGUCUUCGGAACCUACAAGGGGAAACAAUGUGGCAUCAGGAGGAUCCGCGCCAGAAAACCAAGAAGUCUCGGCUUACGACCCCUCCAACCCUGGAAUACCUCCAUUAGCGCUCGUCACGAUCGCCCAUGGAGCUCCUUGGUACCACCCAUAUUGGGGACUUCCGCCGCAUGGCGCUCUCCAAGUCGCGCACGCUCCGAACCAACCUCGCUUUGCGAGCGCACCGCAAGCGCCCCUUGCUCCCCCCGCCGGGGCCGAACAAGGUGGCAACCAAGCUCCGCCUCAAGGUGUGCCCCGCGGAGAAUGAGAUCCCAGCGUACACGGAAACGAGCAAGUGGCGGAGUCCGGAGCUCUCGCCGGCGGUGAAAUAAAUCCUCGCCGACGCUCCGAGCCCCCAAGAAGACGCCGAGAUCCCUCUCUGAGUGAUCCUUCUAGCGAUGAGAGCGACCCCGACGAAGGAGGAUCUCGUCGCUGGAAAAAACAGAAGAGCCGACCAUCUUGUAACCCGCUCACGCGGGAGAUCCAAGACGCGGCUUUCCCGCCAAGGUUCAAGACGCCGACGAUACGGCCAUACGAUGGAGAGUCCAACCCUCUUCAGUUCCUGGACGUUUACUCCACCGCCAUACGAGCGGCGGGUGGAGGCCCCACCGAGAUGUGGAACCUUUUCCCGCUCGCGCUCACCGGGAUGGCGCAAACUUGGUUUUAUAACCUUCGGAAAAAUUCCGUGCAUUCAUGGGAGCGUCUUCAAGAGGUCUUCAUCGCAAACUUCCAGGGAAAUUUCAAAGAACCCGUGCAAGCUCACGAGCUUUACGCCAUGAAACAAAGGCCGGGAGAGUCUCUCCGAAGCUUCUUUCAUCGCUUUGCAAAGGUCCGAAGCCAAAUCGCCAACCCACCGUCGAUGACCGUGAUCGACGCUUGCAAGCAAGGCCUUCUCCAAGAAGUGAAUCGCGCUCUAAGUCGCAACCUCCAAAGAUGACCGAAGAGCUCUACCGGAUCUUGCAAGAAUACGCACGGGGCGAAGAUGGAGACAUCACCAAGAAGGACACACCACGCGGCGCGCCCGAAGGGACUCCUUCAUCAGAUCAGCCCCAAGCAUCCGCACCAUCUUCCAAGAGGAAGAGGAGGCGGGGGAAGAAGGUGCCCGGUGAUCAAGCUCGAAAGAUCUUCACCGUGAAGGGCAAAAGUCCCAAAAGACUUGGCAGCCCAAGAAGCCUCCCCGCCCCGCUGAGGGAGGUGCCGGAAGAUGCCUUAUCCACAACUCGGUGAGCCACAGCACCGAAGAGUGUAAUACCCUCAUCGCAGCUCGUGAAGAGUUCCAAGAACGAAUGCAAGCCCGACGCAGGGACGAGAAGGCGCCCGAGGCUCCGCGCCCCGCCAACGUCCUCCUUGCCGACCCUGCGCCCAAGGAAGAGAACCUCCCGUUUCAAGAACCCGCUCACCAUGUCGGGGUGAUACUCGAGGGCUCCGCCACAGGCCGAGGGUCAAAGAGGCAACGCAAGGAGUACGCACGCGAAGUCAACGUCGUUGGAGCCUUCACCCCAACACCAACACCCAAGUGGGCGAGUGUACCCAUUUCCUUCACCGAAGAAAACGCUAAGGGGAUACGCUUCCUGCACGACGACGCCCUCUUCGUGACAGCCAUCGUCUCAAAUUGAGAGCUCAAAAAAAUACUCGUGGAUGGCGGAAGCUCCGCCGACAUCUUGUACCUGAGCACGCUAAAGAAACUGAUGGAGCCACAAGGAGGAUACAAGAACGGUUCCUUGCAGCCGUCGCUUUACCCCCUAACCGGCUUUGUCCCGGGCAAGUCCAUCCAGCCGCUCGGCCAAAUCGAGCUCCUCAUGACCUUCGGAGAUGCCACUAAUCACCGGACCGAGCUCGUGCGUUUCGACGUGGUGGACAUGGAGGCCUCCUUCAACGCCAUCCUUGGCAGAACGACCUUGAACCGCCUCUGCGCUGCCGUCCACCACAACUUCCUGUGCAUGAAAAUCCCAGGCCCGAAAGGCGUGAUCACGGUCCGUGGUAAGCAAUCCUCCGAUAGGAAGAUGCUAUAUCGCCACGAGACUAAGUGCGCCGAGAAGGGAGAAUAGUCCAAAAGUGUCCACAUGCUCUCGGGCACGGGGGAGUCCAAGGCCGGUCACCCAGAGCGCUACGUCCCUAAGCCCCUUCCCAAGAGAGAGCUUAAGGAGAUACGCCUCUCCGGCAAUGACGCCACGCACAUCGUGAAAAUCGGGGUCGACCUCUCGAUCAAACUCGAGAAGAAGCUCAUCGACCUACUCCGGGAGAACUCCGACCAUUUCGCUUGGUCUCCCUCUGACAUGGGAGGAGUCUCACGUGAUGUCAUGGAACAUCGACUCGCGUAAGGCCCGACAAGACGCCCGUGAAGCAAAAACUCCGGAAACUCUCCACGGAGCGAAGCGAGGUCAUCAAGCAAGAAAUUGCAAAGCUCUUCGAGGCCGAACUCAUCCGAGAAGUUUGGCACCCCGAGUGGUUGGCCAAUCCGGUCUUGGUGAAGAAAGCCAACAGCAAGUGGCGGAUGUGUGUCGACUUCAUCGACUUGAACAAGGUGCGUCCCAAGGACGACUAUCCUCUCCCGUGGAUCGACCAACUAGUCGACUCCACGGCGGGAUGUGAGAGGUUGAGCUUCUUGGAUGCCUAUUCGGGGUAUCACCAAGUCCACAUGGCCAAGAAAGACGAAGAGAAGACCAGCUUCAUCACUCCCAUUAGCAUCUUCUGCUAUCGCAGAAUGCCUUUUGGUUUGAGGAACGCCGGUGCGACAUUCCAACGCCUCGUCAGUCUCAUCCUCAAAGAGCAAUUGGGGAGAAACGCCGAAGUCUACGUUGAUGACGCCGUCAUCAAAAGUCAAGUGGCGAAUACCCAUCCCGAAGACUUGCAAGAAACCUUCAACAACCUCCGCAAAUACGGCGUGAAGCUCAGUCCCGAGAAGUGCGCGUUUGGAGUUCGAGGAGGAAAACUCUUGGGUUUCCUCGUCUCCCAACGGGGGAUUGAGGACAACCCGGAAAAAAUCCAGGCCAUCCUAGAGAUGGAGCCUCCUCGCUCCGUCAAAGACGUGCAGCGCCUAGCAGGGAGGAUGGCGGCAUUAGGACGAUUCGUCGCCCGAUCAGCCGAGAAGGGUCUUCCUUUUUUCAAAAUCCUAAAGGGCCUUAACAACUUUGAGUGGACCAAUGAAGCUCAAAGGGCCUUCGAGGAACUCAAAACCUAUUUGUCGACUCCUCCACUCCUCACAAGCCCGAAGCAGGGAGAACCUUUACUCAUGUACCUCGCCGCGACUCCGGUCGCCGUGAGUGCAGCCCUCGUGAAGGAAGAAGAUGGGUCGCAACACCUGGUGUACUACGUGACCGAAGCUUUGGGAGGAGCAAAGGGUCGAUACACCCAGAUCAAAAAGAUCGCGUAUGCCCUCCUCAUGGCCUCUCGGAAGCUCCAUCAUUACUUCAUGUGCCACACCAUCAUGGUGCUGACAGCAUUCCCACUCAAAGAAGUCUUCGGCAACAAGGAGGCCACCGGGAGAAUCGCCAAAUGGGCAACGGAACUAGCUCCCUUCUCGCUAGAGCUCACUGCGAGAACGGCUAUAAAAUCCAGUUCCUCGCCGACUUCGUGGCCGAAUGGCAUGCACCACUAACCUCUCCCAAAGAGACGUCGCCCAAGGGCGGGCCCCCGAACCACAUUGGAUAAUGAGGUUCGAUGGCUCCAAGCGGCUCAACGGUGCCGAGGUGGGAGUUGUACUCAUCAACCCUGAAGGGAAAACCUUGGAGUACGCCGCCCACCUCGAUUUCAACGCGAGCAAUAACAUAGCGGAGUACGAAGCACUCAUUCUCGGACUCCAGUUGGCUAAGGCCAUGGGUGUUCGACGCCUUCUCAUCCAAGGUGACUCCCAGCUGGUGACAAACCAAAUGGACAAGUCAUAUCAAUGCCUUGAUGAAAGGAUGAAGAAAGUAUAUUGAAGAAGUUCGCAAGAUGGAGCCGUACUUCCUGGGCAUGGAGGCGCGACGCAUCCCACGAGGAGAAAAUCACCUCGCCGACAGAUUGGCCCGAACGGCCGGUUCCAAGGAACCGCUGCCACCCAGUGCAUUCUUCAAGGUGAUCCGUGUCCCGUCCAUAGGAGAAGAAGCCGAUGACCCUGACGAAACUUCGAAGACCAGCAUGGUCAUCGACAAUCCACCCUCUUGAAUGAUGCCAAUCAUCCACGCCUUGAAAGGAGAGGUGGAUGAGAAGGCGGAAGGCCCAAGCGCUAAAACUUUGCUUGCAAAAGCAAAGAUGUACAUCCUCCUUGACGGCAUCCUUUACAAGAAGGGUGCGGCCGCGCUACUCAAGUGCAUAACCCCCGACAAGGGGGCUGAGCUCCUCCAGGAGAUCCACUCCGGAGUGUGCGUCCAUCAUCUUGUGCCAAGAGCCACCACGGCGAAGGCUUUACGACAGGAAUUCUAUUGGCCCACCAUGGUGCAAGACGCAAUCACAAUAUUGCGAAGAUGCGAAGCUUGCCAAAAAAUGGCCAAGUCAAUCCACGCGCCGGUGAUGACACUGAAGAAUAUCCCAAUAACUUGGCCAUUUGCACGCUGGGGAAUGGACCUUCUCAGGCCUUUCCCCGCAUGCAUCGGGGGCUGCAAAUAUCUUGUGGUGACGAUUGAUUACUUCUUAAAAUGGAUAGAAGCUGUGCCACUCGGCAAGAUCACGUCACAGGCCAUCCAAAAACAUUUCUGGGAAAACAUCAUAUGUCGAUAUGGUGUCCCACGAGAUCUAACCGUGGACAAUGGCAAACAGUUCGAUUGUGCGGAAUUCAUUAAAUUCUACGAAUUCCUCGAGAUCAAGCUGCACUUUGGAUCCAUGGCCUACCCCAAGAGCAACGGCGCAUGCGAAAGAGCCAAUGGACUAAUCCUCCAAGGACUUCGCCGAAGGGUAGAACACACGGCCAGCAAGGCAAGAGGAGCAGGGGGGGACGAACUCGCCAGCGUGGUUUGAGGCAUACGCACCUCUGUAAGCCGCUCCACAGGCUGAACACCAUUCUCUUUGAUGUAUGGCGCCGAAGCAGUUCUUCCCGCCGAGGUAGAGUUCCGCUCACCUCGUGUCGAAAGACUCCAAGAAGCUACUCCACUCGCCUUCAUCGAAAAUGAAGAGCAUCACAAGACGGCCAUCGAUCUUGUGGAAGAAGCUCGUGACAAAGCCCUCAUGAGGCACGCCAUCUACGAGCAGAGCGCCGCACGCUUCUACAACACGAGGGUGCGGGAAAGAGCUUUCUCCCAAGGAGACCUCGUGCUGAAAAAGAACGUCGACCCAAAACUCCAGCGCAAGCUCGACCCCAAAUGGGAAGGACCAUACCGCAUCGCCACGGUAUUGGGCAAUGGUGCAUACCACCUCGAGAACAGGGAAGGCAAAAAACCUCGUCCAUGCCUGGAACGGCGACAAACUCCGACGUUUCUACGCCUAAAGAGGAACCUCAAGGAUGACCCUCGCCGCUCCCAAAAGAAGACUAUCAGCGCUCAACCGGCCACUUCCCUACGAAACUUCGAGGGAUCGUAAGCGCCAAAGAGGCCACGUCUACAUAAGACUUGUAAGUGCCCAACGGGCCAUACCUAAAGACAGGCAAGCGAGGGAUCAAUAAAAACGAAUCCUUGAUGAGAGUGACACGAGACACUCAUACGACCCACCGUCGUAAAGGGAACCCCGUCGAACGGUUAUGUCGCAAAGGGGCAAUCCCCGAAACUGAGUCGCUGCCCUAGUGCCGCUCACCAAGGGACGCCGAAAGGCCUACGUUGGCCCAGGCAUCACCUAGAAAUGCCUUCGGACAUAAGUCGCCACCCGUAACCCGUUCCUUGGUGGAUCCUAGCGUGCCUCGAGGCCAUCCGCCAAGUAGAACCAAGUCCCCCGAGGGCCAGAAGCUCCUUAAAACGCAUUUAAGGAGAACCGCAAAUAAGCGAGCUAUGCAUGAGCUUACUUACCUCGGAGAACCAUGCUACCCGCGUGCGAGACGUCGCGCACGGGCCUGCAUGAUACUAACCGAGUUAAGGCUCUAUAAUAAUCGUGGGAAAGCAUAGCUUCCUGAAGUCCGAAGAGGAGAAAUUCCGCAUGAAUUUCCCUGAACUACAGGUCGAAAUGUCCGGAUCACUACCGGCAUAUCGAUAGCGACCCCCACCAGGGUACUAGGAUCCAUGGCUGGUAACCAUGGCCUAAGGCACCGAAGCCAAGUCGUAUCCCAACGGCGACAGCAAUUGAUUACGCAAAAAGUGUGAUCAUAGCGAACGAUCGCGAGUUGUAUAAACUGAGGAAAUAUAGUACUUCGCCAAGAAGGAAAUAUAGUAAUCCAAAGAACACAUGUUGAGCCAAGUUAACAUUUCCGAUAAUGUUGACUACAUGGUGAAAACAUAAGAAAAUACAUGCCGAGCUAAGUCGACAUUUCCGACAAUGUUGACUACAUAGCAAAGCAUGAAACACAUCAAAAAAGAUGCCUUACAACCUCUAUGUCUAAGCCUAGAGCAUGCAAGUCAUGAGGCUAUGUCAUAAGUGGAUAUGCAACAUCGCAUAAGUAAGCAGCUGGGGUACCUUGUCGCCUCAAAAGGCAACAAGACUCAAGCCCCACCAUCGCUCUCCUGAAGAGCGGGCUCAAGGCAACGCACGAAGCGUCGAGCCAGAGCGCGAAGAGGAGCUCCCUGAUCCGCCAGAAACUUCUUCGCCCCGUGAGUCAUCUCACCCUCAAGUCCACUCGUCCCGGCACCGCCGUCCAGGACGGCCGCGACUGCCGACGAAACAAGUCAGGCACCCGUACUCAGAAGGCACCUCUUCACGGCAGGCUCAAGGAGCUCCACCUGUGAAGUGAGCACCCUACUCGCCUCGUCCGUCGUGCGACACGAGGGAAGAUCCGGCUGAGGGGAGCCCUUCAAACAGAGUAUCAUCUCUCGAAUCUCCGAAGCCUGGGCGAGCAUAAGCGAGACCACCUCCGGACGGCUGUCCGAGGGGGCGCGGACACGAGGGGCGAACACCGGUCCGAACCUGGCGUCCUCCAACUCCGCCUUGAGGGAGGCGACCUCCGCUCGAGCGUGCUCCACGUUGAGGCUGGCCACCACCAAGUCCUCCUCGGCACGACGGGUCUUCGCGAUCACAUCCUUCUGGCCCUCCUCAACAAGGUGAGCCCUCGCCUCCAUGGCCGCAAGCUCCGCCGACACCCGAGAAAGCUCCGUCUCAACGGCCUCCCGCCGCGCCCUCUCUGAAGCCAACUCACUCAGAGCAAGGGUAGCCUUCGAGGUCUCGGCAUCCAAGGCCGCCGAAAGCACCCCAACCUGAGCCUUGAGAGCGGGAAGAGUGCCCACGGCCUCGACCAAGCCUCUCACCUGGAAAAGGAAGAGAAAUCAUGAGCGCUGACCGACAAAAUGGACCUAGCAAGAAGGGAGACGAGAAAAGCGGACUCACAAGCUCCAACGCCUCGAACGGGUCUCUCACUCCUCCCUCGGUCCUCGGAAGCACCUCUCCCUCCUCCGAAAUCGGGGGCUCGGCCUCGGGAGCAUCAGGCACCGCAGGCCCCGUACCUGAAACAAGACAAGAGAACCCCGUGAGAACAUUCCCGAAAGGGAAUUAAAACGCUCAACAUGCGCGCACUCACCGGUGGCGGGAAGCCCCUCCUCGACAGGCCCACGAGCCAAAGAGAACACCGGAACACCCGUGCCGCUGGCUUCCGAGGAGGUAUCCACCACAAGCUGAAGCCCGUUCCUCUGGGUAAAAACCGCACGCUCGUGAGGCGACGGAGGCAGGAUCUUCUCAACGUCGAUCUUCCUGGCUAGGUGCAUGUCCAUGGACUCUCUCAAGGGAGACCUCGACUCAGCCACAUCGGCUAGGUCAGGAGAAGGAGCCUUCCUCUUGCGUGAACUCGGAGGACGAGGGAUCUUGGGCAUUGGGGCCACUGGCACACCCAACCCAAGCGCAACCUGAGGCUUCACCUUCCCACAAGUAUCUCUGAGGUGAGAACCAACGACGAUCAUCGACGGAGUCGCAAGACGAGAGUACCGCUCGCCGGCCUUAAUGAGCUUCCCAAACUUGGGAUCCGGGCGCAUCGGUACCGAGUCGUCGAAGCACGUUGCCACGACGUUAUGGCAUCCCCCCUCGCUGAUGGUAUCGAUGUAGGCCCGAUGCUCCACCGAGUUGUACGGCCCAACAAUCUGGGAAGUCCACUCGGCCGCCUUCUCUCGGGAGAAAGCCGCUGAAAAACAGGCACAAGCAGCAACCAGGGUUAGUGUCAAGCAAACAAAAAUACUUGAAGCAACGACUCAAGUGUCACGAAACUCAUGCUUAGCCGCACGGCGUGGGUGACGAAAGGCCAAGGGGAUCCCCAACUCCGCCUGUGGUCGCACCCUCAUCAUGAAGCGGCCCGCCAUCACCAUCUCCUCGAGAAGGUCGGGGAAGCUAUGCUCCGAACGAGCCGACUUGAUGCCGGCAAGCUCCCACUCCUCGACCAAGGACGUGCCCAUGUGACGGACGACAUCCCGAAGCCCCCCAGGCCUAGAGUGUCGAGGGAGCCUACCGGAGUGACGCAAGCUCGCCUCUGAAACGUCGAGGAAGAACCACUGCGAGUCCCACCCGUCGAACAGACGCACCGCGCUCUUCGCCGGCAUCAGAGGGAACUCGUCGUGGAAGCCGGGACGGAGCCUCACGGCGACCGACCCAAAAGCACUCCAAGUGCUCUCGUCAGGGGUACGGCGCUCCUCCACGUGGACGAUGAACAGCAACAAGAACAACCUCAUGGUCGGAGGCUCCCACAAGGAGGUCUCACAAAGCCAUCUGAACACGUUCAGACGCAGGAUCGCCGAAGGAAGCAACUGCGCCAACUCGAUACCAUAGGUAUCGAGGAACUCCAGCAGGAACGGGUGGACGGGCAGGCACAAUCCGGCAUGAAACCAGCUGGUGAACACGACGAUGUGCCCUCAAUGCCUCUGUGACUCCAGUCGAAGCUCACCCUCGUUAGGAAGCGCAGCAAGGCCCUUGCCGAAGUAGCCCGCCUCCACAAGGUCCGACAAGUCCUUCUCGGUCGUCACUGAUGCCGGAAGGAUGUCGGGAAUCUGUCCCGGCAUGGCCGGAUGCGGCUCACGCCUAGGUCCUCUCUCCGGGCGCAUGACUUUCUUUGACCUUCGUGGCUUGCCCCCCGACGUCCGCACCUCGGCCCCGCUCCCAUGGGAGGCCUCUCUCUCGACGCUCCCGCCGGCGCCAUCGCGACGCUCCACGCCGUAUCCCGCCAUCUCGCCUACAAAAAGACGCCAAAGGAUUAGUACAAGUUGCAUAAAAUCCUAAGGAAGCAACUAGGGAAAAUCCACGUCGCAAGGCCAUACACGACCGCCAUCAAAACACAAAAAAAAUGGGGAGGAAUCCCCCUUGGAAACGGCCUAUGGCCCGGGUAUGCUACCGCCGGCCCAGCCCAACGCAAAAAAAGAGGGGAGGGGAGCGGAGGGCGAAAGCCUAGCUCCCCUCGCCGGCCUCCCACGCAUCGGCCCCGCAGCAUGAAUAGAAGGGCCGGCCCAAGACCGGCGCCCAGCCGCCGGACCGCAUCGCAGCAAGGGAGUGGGGGCCCAGCUUCCUCGGGCGGCUCAGACGCUCUCCAAGGCCUGUGGGCUACUUUCGGCCCGCCCGGCCGAAGAACGGAGGCCCAGCCCGCAACAAAAAAAAAGAAGAAGAGGAGAGGAGAAGGACGGAUGCACGCAGCGUGUUCGGCCAAAUGGCCGACGCUUCACCCCCGCUCCAAGCGUGCCCCCCGCGCGCGCAAGGAACGUCCAGACCGCGCCCACGCCAUGCGUGGCAUGCCGGCCGAACCCGCACGGUCAAGCUCGCCAGACGAGCCAUCAACGGAGUUCGGCGUGGCCACGCCCGUGUCGCCCCCGGCGCGCCAGGCCCGCCUCCCGCCGGCCCUGCGCGCGUCAAGGCCACGCCCGUGCUGCUCCCGACGCGUCACGGCUGCCGUCCCUCGACGCCAUGCGCAUCGUGGCCACGCCCGCACCCCCUCAUCCGCGCGACAGGGGAGUCUCCAUCCCAUGCCGACUGCAUUCCGACUGCGACACAGCAUGGGUAGACGGCGACCAUGGCUCACCUUGACAAGGGCAGUGGAGCUCCCGGGCGCCGCCUUUCCUUGGCUCGAAUUCAAGGCAAUGCCGACACCGUUCAAAGCCCGAAGCGCGCCGAAAUCGUGUCCCCCACGAAGACUCAAUCACCCUGAACACCUUCGGCGACGGAAUGGACUGGCUAAACGCCCUCACCGGGCACCUACGAGCCACCGGUCUCACCUCCGUCCUCGGGUGCCGCCGAAGCGCGUCUUCGGCACCGGAGGAGAGGAAAACGAGAGUGUGUUGUGCCCAUCUUGUGCUCCCUGGCCCCGUUUUUAUAGACCAAGGCUCGCCUCGACGUCCGGACCCAACGUCUCGCUGGUCAGCUCGGUCAUAGCAAGAAGACAAGGGUCAACCGACCAGGGAACAGGGGGCGCAGAGCUAAAGGGAAAAAGAAGGAAAAGAAGAGGCGCAAAGCAGGUGGUUCCGGGCAGGGACCCGGGUCCGAGCUGUUUUGGCCGCGCCGCGUGAACGCCAGCGUCACCCCGGUGACGGCGUCGUUGACCGAAGAGGAAAGGAGGACGAGCCCCUUUCUCCCUCCCGUACGAAGGAAGACGAUGAGCCGGCACCGUCGGAUGUAGGGUUCGGGGGAAACCCCGUCCGUCCGAUCGAUUAACUUAAGCCCCAAACGGUACGCCGGCUAGAUGGGCCAAGUGGAUCUCGGCCCAGUAAAAAAAAAGAGAGAAAACAAAAGAGGGAAGCCUCCCAGGCCCGGUCGGGCGCAGCCCGCACGCCCGGGAGGCCCAUGAAGCCGAGCGCGGCCCAGGAGCGCUCCUGUGCGCGUUGGGCGGCCUAGGGGGAGGAUUUUCUUGACAGAACCCCCCCCCCCCCGGAUGCGGAAAAUCUCAAGCUGCCCCCUGGCGGCUCGGGAAUUUCGCGCCGGGAACCUCGGAAGGCCAGAAAUUCACAAAAAAUCCCCUGCAGCUCCAUUAUCUUGCAAAAGGAGUCCCCUGAUCUCCAAAUUCUGCAAGAAAGACCUUCAUGGCCAUGACUUUUCAGAAGGAAGGUCCCGAAGGAAGAAUCCUAAGAGCCCUUGGGAUACGCCAAGCCCACCUAGUUCUAUCUUCCUCCUCGAGAAGGAUUACCUAGCCGGUGGCUCCCCCAACGCAACGUCUCGAAGGACACUCCCGAAACCACGAGUAUCUCACAAGGCAGCCCACCUAGGCCAGGUUUCCUCGCAAAACCUACCUAGCCGGUGGCUCGCCCCGAGGAGAGCUACCCUCGAGGCAUCGAAUGAAGCAUCACGGCACUCCGUCAACGUUGGAGUUGACCCGAAGGCAUUCCCAAUACCUCCGGUUCAAGGGGGCUACUGUUGUAAUAUAAUAAAAUCCUUACAUGGGCCGGGCCGUAAUCCUACGUGGCGGUGACCAAGUCAACAAAUCUCAAAGACCGGUCAAAUCGCCAACAAGGCAUAGCCAUGCCAACUAAGCGCCAGUCAAAGGAGUCAAAGGGUCAAGCCUCCCAUUUCAUGGUCAAAGGAGCUAGAGUAGGGGAAAGCUAUAGGGAUGAAUUAACCACUUUACCCUCAAUUUCCCUCUCCUUCAAGGGUAGCCAUGGUUUUUUGUCAUGGACCCUAUGCUAUAAAUUAUCCUUCCCAUGGGGGCAUGUAUCAUACACUCUCCAUUGGAAUAAGAUCAAAGGGGAGAGGGCUAGAGCAACCUAAGGAGCCUGCUCUCGAGUGCUUGGGUCGAGCUUAGUCUCGACUCAACCUCAGGGACGCGACUUAGGAAGCCUAGUUUCAAGGUUCCGAGCCGUCUAGUACGACCUCGACUCGAAGUAGAGGGAUCAGGUUAGAGUGUCAAGGGUAUCCCAACCUCGCUACUUGGGAAGACAAGUUUGGCCCAAGUCCGAGGCGGCCCCUAGAGAUCUCUCGCCAUAGGUGAUUUGGGAAGACGAGUUCGGCCCAAACACCCGACUAACGACCCCCUCGAAGCCUCUCCUAACAUAGGACUAAGUCGUGCCCGCAGGGUCGACUGAACCUAUUCAAAAAUAUCGACGUGUCAACUUGUCCAAGUGUAUGGCGACCUUCGCUAUAAGGCCGGUGUACACCCCCUACAUACUAUUCUCGCAUUUGUGCCAUCGAGCAUUGGCACCCCGUACUCCUGUUGUUUUCUAGAACAACAACAAUAAUAUUAUUUACAAUCUGCAUAUGGAUGGAGGGAGAUCAUAUAUCUCAUGUUGCUUGGCAAAUUAAUUAUGUCCCAUAAUAUUCUCUCUUUGUCGUUUUACUUGUACACCUUGAAGAAAAUGAAUGCAUCUAAAUUUCUUUUCUUCUAAUAUAUCUUUUUACUAAAAUUAUCAUAGUUUUUUUAUCUGCUAAUUCAAUGGGUUUUUAAUAAAAAUCCCGAGAUUUGUCUAUCUUGCCUGCAAUCCCGUUCUCCCAAACAGUUAUUUGGUUCCCGAAGGUCGGGAUUGAACGGGAUUAAUAAGGAUAGGGUGCUGAUUCAGGGAUUGAGAAGUCGGGGUUUAUUUCAGACUUGGUCUACAAGUUUAAGGUUUAAAAUUGAUUUUACUCGCCAAAAUAUGUCUUGCUUGUUAGUGAAACUUUGAAAGUCAAGAUACGUACUAUUAAACUCGGGUAAGAUUGUCAACUAAGCAUACCUUAGUGGUUGGUUCUUUGUGGUGUAACCAGCUCACGCAGGUUGAAGUCUUAGGCUUGGCAAUUGGUGUUCACGUUUAUCUGAAUUUAUUUCAGGGGUUUUAACCGACGAUGUUCUUUCGGUGAGAUUGACUCGCCCGUCAAUUACGAGACGUCUGUGGUGACUUCCUCAAUUUCAAGAUCUUGUCGGAGGUGUUGCUCGUAGGGGUGUGUGUUCUUGCGUAUUUGUAAGCGACUGCGUCUGUACUCUAUUUUAAAAAAAUUGGACCAAAAUAUGUUGUGUCAAUACCAGCUUGAGCGAUCAUUUGCCACGUGGUACAUAUACCAUACUGUGACAAUAGUCUCCCAGCUACUCCAACAGCUGACAGAUUUGUGUACUAAGAAGAAACUCCAACAACACGCACACACACACGCAGCUGAUUCAUGGCCUAACUAACCGGUAGGAAUUCCACAACGGGCGUGGCGCUCGUUGGUGCUGAAGAAUCCGGAAAGGGAAAAAGAGAGAGAUAAAACGGGUCGUGUCGCUGCCGCCGUGUAGAAUCGGGAUGACGACAUGGUGUCAACACCAUGCAAACAUGAUGAUGAUCAGGGGAAAAUGGCAACUUCUUCUCCACCCGUUCUGCUGCUUAAAUACGGUCUUAGCUAUGCAUGUUUUAUCCGGAAUUUAUCUGUAGACCGGCUGGGUGAUUAUGUCGCCAAUUCAUACUACUACCUGUUUGAACAUGGUUUGGUUAUCUCCACACCGAUUUGUGUCAGUUUUGGGGGUCUUCUUGCUCGACUUGUUCCUCUUCCCCGUGCCACUGUCCUUGUUGGCGAAGUUGUACCGCUUACAUGUUUUUGUGGUUGCUUUGUCUGUUGUCACGGUUGUCCUUGUUGACAAUCUACAAUGUCAUAAUUUUUUUUUGGAGCUGUGCAAAUGUCAAAACUUCAGCUUGACGAACCAGAAACUAACUGUGUUUGGCUAUCUGGCUUCUUCUGUUGAAUGAUCCGUUGCAUUGUGAAUUAACAUGGUUAUCUGGUGGCUAGCUGAGAGUUUCCUGCUUUACUUGCAUAGACGUUAUUGUUUCUGGAAAAUACGGUCAUCCGACUCAAACGGAAAAAGCAGAGUAUCCGGGAAAAUUCAGUACAAAACCGUGGAUGGGUGUCCGACUCCGACAACGCCAUUGCCGUGUCGGAUCAUUGCACGGAGCGCUUUCUGUCGAAUACCAAGCCAAAUCCGACGGCCAGGGAUGGCUCCCACGUCACGCUGGUGGCCAGUCAGUUCCUGCUUCCGGCACACGCAGCGAGAAAGGAUGAGCACACCAUGGCACACUCCUCGCGCCCGGCCAAAAACUCCUAUAAAGCCAGCGCCAGCGGCGCCGCCUCCCUUUCCCACGCCCAGAAGCAGCCCACCGCCAUGGCCACCUCCUCGCGAGCUCCUCCUCCUCUGCUGCUGCUCCUCUGUCUCGUGCUUCUUCUCGUCGUCGCGCCCGCUGCGGCGGCGGCGGCGGCGGGGUGCGACUGCGGCGCGAAUAAUGCGGGGGCGGAGCUGGCCGGAGAGGAGGAAGAAGGGACCGCGGCGGCGGCGGCGGCGCUGCGGCUGAAGUUCACCGCCAUCGCGUCGAUCCUGGCGUCGGGCGCGGCCGGGGUGCUGGUCCCGGUUCUGGGCCGGUCCUGGGCCUUGCUGCGGGCCGACGGGGACGUCUUCUUCGCCGUCAAGGCCUUCGCCGCGGGGGUCAUCCUCGCCACCGGCAUGGUCCACAUCCUGCCCGCCGCCUUCGACGCGCUCGCCUCGGCCUCCAGGUUCCCCUUCGCCGGCCUCGUCGCCAUGGCCGCCGCCAUGCUCACCAUGGUCGUCGACUCCCUCGCCGCCGGGUACUACCGCCGCUCCCACUUCAGGAAGCCCCGCCCCGUCGACGACGACGGCCGCGCCGCCGCCGGAGCCGGGGCAGGAGAAGACGAGGAGGAGCGCCACGCGGGGCACCUGCACGUGCACACGCACGCCACGCACGGCCACGCCCAUGGCCACGUGCACUCGCACGGCCAUGGCCACGGCGGUGCCGACUCGCCGGAGGAGGCUUCGGCGGCUGAAACCAUCCGCCACAGAGUGGUCUCUCAGGUGAGCACAUGCCCCUUACCAAUAUUUACUUACUCCGUAAUUCAAAUGAAUUUCUUGCAUGCCAGAAAUAAACACAGUUUAAAAAUGUCUGAAUUUGUUCGCUGGAACAGCACCUGGUAGUUCAAAUUGAUUUCAGACUCGUGAUGUUACCAAGAUAAAUUACAGUAUCUGAUACUUGAAAUUCGACAUCAGCGAGCUCAAAUUCCCCACUUCUUGAGUCAGUAAACAUCAACGAACUGAGAAAAUUUUAAGCUUUUUACGAGCUUCUCGCAGUGCUUAGACUGUUAGACAUAGACCCUCUUUUCACUUUCUAAAAGGCAGAGAAUCCAAAUAAGUUAAUAAGGACAAGACAACCGAUGCCCUACUAUGAUAUGAUGUGUCGCCCACUUUGCAUUUAAGAUGAAGCCUUUCUCUUCUUUUGUCCCAACCUCACAGAUUUAGGAAAUUAACACCAUUUGCAGAUUCUGCAACCAAGUUGGCAUUAUGCCAAGCUUGGCAUUGUCUAUAUACAAUAACCGGCAAAGGGUUGUGGUUCUGCAGGUGCUGGAGCUGGGAAUCUUGGUGCACUCAGUGAUCAUCGGUGUGUCCUUGGGCGCAUCGCUAAGGCCGACGACCAUCAGGCCGCUCGUCGGCGCCCUAAGCUUCCAUCAGUUCUUUGAGGGCAUUGGCCUUGGCGGUUGCAUUGUUCAGGUAAAGAUUCUGUAAACACUGAUUCCUUGAGGCUGUGAUGAACUCCCUGGUUGUGGUUUUCCUCUGUUUAGAUUUAGGCUGAAGAUUGAAAAAAACUAUCUAAAUGUUAAAUUCAAUUAGAUUAGAAGACACACAAGACUCAUUGUCGUAUUGAAGGGGACAGGGUGAAGAACGUACACACAGAUGGAUAUUUUUGUAGUUGAAAUGAUUGGACUUGUCACUGACCACAUUGUACCAGAGUCAGACAGUAGGGACCACCAAUAAUUGAUUCAUUUCUAUUUCCCGGAAGAUAUUAUGAAUCACAAUGAUAGAAUUGACUAUAAUGGGUGAACAGUAAGGAGAAAUAAUAGGUUUCAAACUUGUCCCAUAUACCAAGAACAACAAUGUAACACAGUUUGUGUCCUCAUUUUCUUGCUGCAGGCAAAAUUCAAGGCAAAAGCGACCGUGCUCAUGGCGACCUUCUUCUCCUUCACCGCUCCCAUCGGCAUCGCACUCGGUAUCGCGAUCACAUCCAGCUAUAGCAAGCACAGCUCCACCGCGCUAGUCGUCGAGGGGGUCUUCAACUCGGCCGCAGCAGGGAUCUUGAUCUACAUGUCCCUUGUUGAUCUCCUAGCCGCAGAUUUCAACAACCCGAAGCUGCAGACGAAUACAAAGCUUCAGCUCGCAACAUACCUCGCCCUUUUCCUCGGCGCGGGGCUGAUGUCGCUGCUCGCCAAAUGGGCAUGACAGCAUCAACAGAUAGCUGCCUUUCCUAAAGAUCCGGAACUUUGUUUAUCAUUGACAGGGUUCUUUGCAUCACUGCUUCAGUUUUCCAUCGAGCAGAGUUGAGGAGGGAAACGAAACCAGGAUGUGAACAAAGAUUGUUAUGAUUAAGGGCAUAGCUAAAAAAGCUGAAUAGUCAGGGGAUUGUCUGGAUUCCUUGAGCAAGUUCUUUGCUGUUCAUCCAUGGUGAUUGUGAUGGCACCAGAUGAGGUGAGCAAGACAGAAGCGGUAGUUGAGAGUUUGUAAAAUAGUUGGCUUCCUUUCGGAAAUAUCAGCGCCAAUGUACAGAUUGUCACUAGUAGCUAGAAGUCUUCUUCUUUUGCAGGAAAAGGCAUCCGUAGGCUGUAGCUUGUUAACUGAAGAAUCAAUCAAACCAGCUUUUGGUCCCGUUCUAUCUGACUAUCUGCACCUGCCACUUUCCCUAACAUCAAGAAACAUUUAAUUUCGGGAGGCUGUAAAUCUUGUCACAACUCACAAGCCUUUCAGUGAGUUUAUCAUGGUCUUUUUGCCAGAUUGCCAUGAUCACUGAAAAAAACAAGACAGUUUACUGCUGAAGUCAGAGAUAUGCCCUUUUUGCACUGCUCAAGCCUGAAAAAAAUAUUCCUGAGAGACCAUGACGAGGACAUUCAUAGUUCAGUUUAAGCCGUUAUUUUCCUCAAAAGAGAUACUACUACGGUAGUUUAAUAACCAUAAAAGAGAAAGAUUUGGGAUGUGAUUCUCCAUCUAGAGAAAAGCUACUACUAGCAAAGUGCUGAACAACGCGUAAACUACAGCAGUUGACAUGUAUCUCAUGGAAAGAAUUGGAGAAUAUAUGCACAGGAGCUGGAACCAGUAGUGGAGCGUGACGUCGAACGAGGAACGCCGACGACGAUACGACGACCAAAUCUUCGGACCGACGGUGUAGAUUUAAAUUGUAUCGUCGAAGCGGAUAUCACAAAUCUCUUAAAACAUUUUGCUAUUGAUGAGAACCAGCUCUUAUUUUUAUUUUUGAAAAAAUUUGUGGAGAAACAUUAGCGAGAUCAUAGGUUUAACUUCGGUGCCUAUCAAUUUUGACGUGUGGUAAAUCUUGAUGGUUAUAUGUGCACCAAGAUAAUAGGGAGAUUCACAGGUUUAAUUCCGGUAUCCACCAUUUCAGACGUCCGAUACAUCUUGAAUUCUUGCUAGACACUUAUUUAUGAUGGAUCAGACUGGAGUACCACAUUAGCGAGGUGAGGAAAUUGCACAUUUCAUCACUUACUGGGGACGUUGUUGCGCAAAACACCACUUUUAUGAUUUUUUUGCAAAUUUCAGCACAUAUUGGUCUAAUGAGUAGCAGAUAGGUCUUAAUAGCGUGUUAGAUGAGCUAACCACGUUUUGACCUGUGGGCCUCGCAUGUCAGUGCCAACGUGGACCGAGCCCCUUACCGCGGUGGACAGGGUCGGGUCUGAGCCAACCGAUUAAAAUGAAAUCAUGUCCGAUUCGGUGGAGGCAGACCCGAUCCGACCAUUUUUACCAUAUUUUGGAACGUAAUCAGACGUGAUUUCCUUUUAACCAGUUGGCUCCAAACCCGACCCGGUCCACUGGGACAAAGGGCUCGGUACACGUUGUCACUGACAUGCGGGACCCACAGGUCAGAAACGUGAUUAACUCGUCUAACACGCUAUUAGGACCUAUCUGCAACUCAUUAGACCAAUAUGUAGUGAAAUCUGCAAAAAAUUCGUAGAAGUGGUGUUUUGCGCAACAACAUUCCCAAUAGGUGGUGAAAUGUGCAAUUUCCUCUUAGCAAGGUUCACAAGUGUCUUGGUGAUGUGUAACAUUGGCAAGCAUUUUAGAUGAAACAUUGAUGUGGAUACUUUGGAUAAUAUGGAUAUUUAUGUGAUGACAUGUAUCUUGUUUGGACUUAGUGCUUUGCUAGUGGUGUGUUGAUCCAUUAGUUUUUUAUGUGAAAACAUGGCGUGAGUUGGGUUGAAACUUACCCUGAGUCAAGUCGUGGACUUGUGCUCGUACUGGUCAUUUGUGUGUUGCUUUCAGGUGUUGCUGGAGCUAGAGGAACGUGGUCGAUGACGGGAUUGAGGGAUGAAGUUUGGGAGAAGCUGAGGUCGAGGAUUGAAGUCAUGCGGGACGUUCGUGCGAAGGAAUAAUGGAAGUGAAGGCUACGAUGAUCCGGGAAGGCAUCAGUUUGCCGUACGUUGUUUAUACCAGAGAUGAACAGUAUUGGAGAUAUUCGACACGUGAUGGUCGAGUUUUGAAGACAUCAUAAGAAGAGUGGAUGGCACGGAGUGGCAUCGACGUGAAGACAUGUAGGUUCAGUCGUGGCUGGAUGAGAGCCGUUUAAAGAUUAAACAGCAACGUCAUCAAGAUGGCAUCUGAUGGAAAAGUAGUCCACAUGAAAGUUGUGAGCGUCGUCGAGACGGACAACUUUACUUUCGGAGUCAUCUCAAUCCGAGUUUCUAUGUGGGCUCCACGGGCAGAAUACCGACCAGGACAGAGGAGUUCGUGUUGGAUUCGGACUCGGUUUAGGGUCGCGAAUUUUCCCUUAUAAAUAGAGGGCGUCUAGGCUAGGGUUUUAGCAAAGACGGGAGGGAACUCAGAGCUUUGAAUCUAGAUCAAUCCUUGGAGAGUUCUUGGAUAUUGGAAAUAUGCCCUGAGGCAAUAAUAAAUAUGUUAUUAUCAUAUUUCCUUGUUCUUGAUAAAUGUUUAUUAUCCAUACUAUAAUUGUAUUAACAGGAAACUAAAUACAUGUGUGUGGAUAAAUAAACAAAUACCGUGUCCCUAAUACGCCUCUACUAGAUUAGCUCGUUGAUUAAAAGAUAGUAAAGGUUUCCUAACCAUAGACAUGUGUUGUCAUUUAAUAACGAGGUCAUAUCAUUAGGAGAAUGAUGUGAUGGACAGACCCAAACCUAAGCAUAGCUUUUGAUCGUGUCACUUAAGUUUAAAUUGUUAAUGCUUUUAUUAUGUCAACUAUCAUUUCCUUAGACCAUGAGAUCAUGCCACUCCCUAGAACCGGAAGAAUACUUUGUGAACAUCAACCGUCAUCUCGUAACUGGGUGAUCAUAAAGUUGUUCUUCAGAUAUCUCGGAAGGUGCUUGUUGGGUUGUAUGGAUCAAGACUGGGAUUUGUCACUCCAUGUGACAAAGAGAUAUCUCUGGGCCCUCUCGGUAAUAUAACAUCCUAAUGAGCUUGCGACCAUGUGACUAAUGUGUUUAGUCACGGGGAUAUUAUAUUGCGGUAUGAGUAAAGAGAACUUGCCGGUAACGAGAUUGAACUAGGUAUGGUGAUACCGACGAUCAAAUCUCGGGCAAGUAAUAUAUCGCGAGACAAAGGGAAUUGGAUACCGGAUUAAUUGAAUCCUCGACAUCGUGGUUCAACUGAUGAGAUCUUCGUGUAAUAUGUGGGAACCAUUAUGGACAUCCAGGUCUUGCUAUUGGUUAUUGAUCGGAGAGGUGUCUCGGUCAUGUCCACAUGUUCUCGAACCCGUAGAGUCACACACUUAACGCUUUAUGUCGCUAGGGUUCGAUGAGAUAAAUAGAUGGUGAUAUCGAAUAUUGUUUCGGAGUCUCGGAUGGGAUCCAGGACAUCACGAGGAGCUUCGGAAUGGUCCGGAGAUAAUGAUUUAUGUAUGGAAAAGCUGUUUCAGGGUUUCGGAAAAGUUCGGGAUAUUUUCUGGUAUUGACCGGGAAUAUUCUAGAAGGUUCCGCAGGUUCUCAGAAGGUUCUGAAAUGUUCCAAAAUAUUCCUGAGAAUUUAAUUGGGCCUCUAUAUGAAUUAAUUGGAGCAAUCGAAUUAAUUAUCCCCUAGGCCCAUUAGGGGAGAGGGAACCGUGGGGACUCCACCAUGAGGUGGAAACCACGUACGUGGGGAGACCACACGUGGGAAGGAGUCCCGAGACUCCUUUCCCUCCCCUGGCCGGCCCUAGACUCUCCUUGGAGGAGGGGCAAACCCUGGCCACCACCCCCCUAUAUAAAUAGAGGGGAGGGGCAGGGGGAGAGGACACACCAAGCUCUCGGCUGGAUCUCUCUUCCCUGAGCCCCUCUCCCCCUCCUCUCUAGCGCGCAGCGAAGCCCUGCCCGCGGAGCUCUCCACCAUAGUUACCACCACGCCGUCGUGCUGCCAGAAUCUCAUCGACCUCUUCCCCUCGCUUGCUGGAUCAAGAAGGAGGAGACGACAUGAAGCUGAACGUGUGGAUACCAAGGAGGUGCCGUCGUUUCUGCACUGAGAUUGAUCUCAUCGAAAGUUCCACUACGCCAACAACGAUCUCGUGAUCGUAACGUUUUGUGGUUUAUGAGGGUAAGAUGCUCAUUAUCCCUCUCGUUACUUACAUCUACUAGAUAUGAUCUUGGGUUUCUUCCGCACAUCUCGUAGGAAUUUUUUUGUUUUCCAUGCAACAAACCCAUCAUGAGAUGCAUGGUUGCAUCUUUUGUAAUCGAUCGACAUCGUUGCAAUAAAGAAAUUCGUUGGUGGUGUCAUCUCUGUUCUUCUCGGAUCUUCGUGGAUUCUUUGUGCUAGAUCUUUCUAACACUUUGCUGCAGGUUUAUCACGAGUUCAUAAUACUUUGCUGCAGGUUUACCACGAGAUCAAGGAAAGAUCGCGAUUACUUCAUCUUUCUUGUUAUUCCUCGAAAUCGAUUAUAGAUUAAUUCUCGUAACUUUCUAUCAGCUGUUAAUGUUUUGAUCAUAUCUUUUGAUUCGUAAGUCCAAUUGAGCUGAUUCGUGUUGCGUUGGUUAGAUAAUUUCAAUACCUUUCUUUUGCAUACUCGUACGUAUUUUUUGGUUCGUCCUAUCAAAAGUUACGACUGUUUUACUAUCACGGACAGAAACGUAAUUUAGAGUUUGAACUUUCGGAAAAAGUUUUAAUUUGCUUCUGCACAAUCAUUCACCCCCCCCCCACCCACCUCUGAUUGCCUAUCUCGAUCUCACCAUUGGUAUCAGAGCCAAGUCCUUCUAAUUUAUCUUAACCGGUUGAUUAGAUUUACUAGAUAUGGAUAGGUAUUUUACAAACCCUGUGUGUUCGAUGGUGUUGAUUUUCAGUUCUGGAAGGCCAAGAUGAAGGCAUACAUCAUGGCACAAAGUUACGCCAUAUGGGAGAAAGUCGCCAAGCCCUACGAGCUCCCCGCGGAUGAUGCGAUCACACCAACAAACUUGGUCCAUGUGGAGAACAACUACAAGGCGAGGAACUGCAUCAUCCAAGGUCUACAUCGAAGUGACUUCGACCGUGUCGCUCACCUUGCAUCCGCUCAUGAGGUAUGGAACGCACUUUGUGGUUAUCAUGAAGGAUCAAACUCUGUUAAGGAAGUGCGUCAGGACUUGUACAAAAAGGAGUACAUGAGAUUUGAGAUGAAUACAGGUGAAUUUUUGGAUAAAUUCUUUGCACGUUUUAAUAAGAUUCUCAGCAACUUACGUGCAUUAGGUGUUACUUAGUAUAAAUUUUGUACUAAAUGAUUUUGAUUUUGUAUAAACUUUGUAUAAAUCCAAGACAAUUAUUAUGAAUCGGAAAGAUUACUACAUUAGCCAGGUUCACAAGUUUAACUCACGCAUCCAUCAAUUCUGACGCAUGACUUGAAGGCACACUCGGGUUCAUGUGGUGUACGUUUGGUUUGUGUGCACCAUCCGUGUGUACACCGUAAACUAUUUGUAUAGGCAGGUACAAUGACAUCUCACUUUUUUUUGACCAAACAGUGACAUGCACUUGAUGCUAUGUUUCUCGUCGAUCCUUGCUCCUUGGCAUAGUGAUUGGACAAAAAGAAAAGGUGAGAGAACAGAUAAAUGACUGGGAAAAGACAUCGGCAUGACUGGGAACAGAUAAAAAGUGAGAGAACAGAUAAGUGGUCUAGAGGAACAUAGGCAGGAUCCCGUCUGCACUUGCAUCUCCUCUAGAGUUAGGAUCAAUCCAAUAGUGCAACUGUCCAAGAGCUAGUCCGCAGGGACACGGACCCUGCACCACAUCUGCUACCCUCGCGCUUGAAUAGAGAACUACACCCGUGCCCACACAGAAAAGAGAGCGGCGGGGGCCUCUGUCUGUUCAUCUCUUCCCCGGUCUCCCCCCCACCCACGAAAAAGGGAGCUCAGACCUUAUCGUGUUUCUGUGGUCUUAAACAGUGCUCCAUUUUUUCUUUAAAUAAAAGGAGCCAGGCUCCCGAUUCCAUUAAUGAAAUCAGCAAAUUGUUGUUUCUAGAGGUUCAUACAAGCCGAAGCAUAAACGAAAAGUGAACUCCAUCCAUAUGGUCCACACACAAUUUUGUAAUUCUGUUUCAAACUUUGGUCAACAAUUGGAUUAGCAGUACAAGAUUAUCGUGAAAUCAAGCAAUAUCAUUUGAUUCGUAUUUAAAAUAUUUUCUAAUGAUAUUAUUCUCUUGCAUACAUAUGUCAAAAUAUUAUUUGCCUACUUCUCGUUUAAAAUUUUGCAUGAAUUUUUGUUUGGGCCUUGUAUGCAUGGGUGGAGGCAUUUCAACAAUCUUGGAGUGACCGAGUGAGUGCCCAUCCAGAUGGCCCAAAUAUUCCUACAUGGUUCCUUCAAUCCAACGGGGGAAUUUUUAUUUUGGGAAUCCAGAAGGGGCCUCACCGUGGCACGAGACCUUUUCAGCCGAAGCCUGAGGCCCAAUCACUUCCCAUCUUCAUUCACAGAAAGAAGCCCAAGCCAACUUCCAGUGCCACAAGCCACAGACAGACUCACAGACCUCGUAUCGUUUCUCCCCCAUUCUCUCUCUCUCUCUCUCUAUCUCUCUGCGCGCAUUUCUCCAAAAAACGCCCUUAAACCCUCCGCCUCAGCCGCCGGCCGCCGCCGCCGCCAUGCGCCGCCUCGUCCAAGCUCUCCGCCCGCUCCAGACUCUAACCUCCUCUACGAUCCCCGUCCCUCUUCCCAUCCUCCGCCUCCUCUCCACCUCCUCCUCGUCCUCCUCCGCUGCCGCCUCCUCGGACUCCGAAUCCCCGGCCGCCGACUUCGACAGCGCCGACUUCUCCCUCACCACCCCGGACCCCACCCCCGUCCGCGCCCACACCCCCGUCUCCGCGCUGCGCAAGCUCCGGUUCGACCCCUCCCUCCGCGCGCGCGCCGACGAGGCGCUCUUCGGCGAGACGAAUGCGGUAGAUGCGGUGGAGGAGGAGCGGUCGCGGGAGGUGGCGCUCGCGCUGCUCGAGGCCGCGCUGGAGCCGCCCGACGAGGACGAGGAGGAGGGGCCCGGGGAGGUCAGGGAGGAGGACCAGAUGUCGCUCUCCGUCGGGAUCGUCGGCGCGCCAAACGCCGGCAAGUCGUCGCUCACCAACACCGUGGUAUGUGUGGCUUCUUUAAUUCCAAAAUGAAUAUUUUCUGCCCCCAUGUUAAUUGUGUGUUCCACCAAUGUCGUCAAUAACUAGGAGUAGUUGCUAGUAGUAACAAGCAAGAUCAUCUCUAUUCUCCAAUAGUACUUAGCUUGUUAGUAACGUUAGAGAAUGCCCCAAAACAAGGUCUCGAAUAGCUUGUUAGGGUACUUAAUUUGUGUCCAUGACCCGCAAAAUCUACAUAACAUUCUAGGACUAAGAUAAUAUGCAGUUCUGCACCAUUUAUUCCUCUUUAUACCCCUCGGUUCAGCUAUUCCUGAAUCCAGAUGCCAUGUAUUACCAUCUGAAGACCAUUAAGUGACCCAAAUAAAUGGAUAGUAUAUUUUCUAAAUACAAACUGGUUGUUGUGAAAGUUCUAGAGUGACAUCUAUUUCAGUGAGGGAGUAUCAAUACUGGAUGUCAAUUGCUGCUGCUGUUAUGAUGCCUUUUUCAAUGGUUUAAGUAUUUCUGCCAUAUUGAUAGUAAAAUCACCGGCUUUGUAGCUAAAUGUAUUGAUUCCUUACGUUUCCUUGGUUUAUAUUUGCUAUCAGGUUGGAUCAAAAGUGGCUGCAGUCUCCCGCAAGACAAAUACGACAACUCAUGAAAUUUUGGGGGUGCUGACAAAAGGGAAAACUCAGAUAGUAUGUUCUGUUAUCAAAUAUCUAUAUGUGCUAGAACAGGGGUCUGCAUUUUUCAUCUUUUGACCUUAGCAUGGUUCUCUAAAACACAUCAAUUAUGAGGCAAAUGGUAGUACCACCCUUGACACAUUAUUAAUAGCCAGGCGGGAUUCAAAACUGGGUUGCUUGGUAGCACAAUCUUUUUGAAAUGACUUGGUUGAAUAUUGUUUUCAAAUAAUUAGAAACUAGAAAUGCUGUGUAUAGUUUCUCAUGUCCUUCGGAACUUGUAUUUUUCUUCGUGAGUUUUGAUUGCAUUAACGCAUCUGAUUACUACAUCAGUAGUGCAUGCUAUCUAUUUUAUUCUUCGAAAUUAUGAAAAUUAUAUUUGCAAUGUAAAGCAUAUGUAUCUAAUUUACAUCAUAAUAUAAUACUAUCCAUAGAUACACCUCGUAAUUAAAGAUCUGCUGCGAAAAACAUGACUCUCAGAAUCCUGUUAAAAAUCUUCUUGAAGUUUUCAGCUGAUAAAAUUCUCUGCAGUGCUUUUUUGACACCCCAGGGCUCAUGUUAGGGCACCAUGGAUUUCCUCAUAGGGAUGUCACAGUUCGUGUGGAGAGUGCCUGGAGUUCAGUUAAUCUCUAUGAUUUACUAAUAGUCAUGUUUGACGUGAACAGGCAUCUUAAGAUGUAAAUUCUUUGUCUCACAUCUAUUUUUCAUCUUUAUUUUCCUGUCAGGAUCAGCAGUCAAGUUUCAGCCAGAAUUUUUCAAUAUAACUGGUGAUGGUGAACUAAACAUGUUUUCAUUUAUACAGGCCUGAUUCGAGAGUGAUAAAGUUAAUAAAACGAUUGGGUGCCGAAGUAAACCCAAACCAGAAACGCAUAUUAUGCAUGAAUAAGGUUGACCUAGUGGAAGACAAAAAGGACUUGCUUAAAGUUGCAAAGGAAUUUGAAGAUCUUCCUGGAUUUGAAAGGUGCUCCUUAGUUUGCAUGUGGGCUUACAUUGUCUUUCUAUUUUAUUUUUUUUAUCUGCCUGAUUGGAAUUUGCUUCGAAUGAUAGGUACUUCAUGGUAUCUGGACUAAAAGGCAAAGGAGUGAAAGACCUAGUACAGUACUUGAUGGACCAGGUAUUUAAACUUGUGCCCAACACUUGGUUUACCUUGAAUUUUAACUGGCUAUAUUCUCUGUACUUGUAAAUUGUACAGUGUUUGGGAUGAAAAUCCAGAAGAUUUAGGAACCUCAUGAAUUCAAUAUUCUUGUUUUGAUGCUUCUUUUAUUAUUUUGCUCCAAACUGAAAUGUCUUUGGUUGCUAACUAAUAACUAGGGCUUUUCAGUAGCAAAAUAACAUUAACGAGCCUUUAUGUGCUCCUUUUAGGUGCUUUUCAGUAGCAAAUUUGAUAUAUCUGAUGGGAUCAACUUUCUUCUGAUCAAUUUGCGAAACAAUAUCUCUUACCUAUAGGCAGUGAGAAGACCUUGGGACGAGGAACCAACCACAAUGACUGAAGAAGUAAUGAAAACCAUAUCACUGGAGGUCGUACGAGAGAAGAUGCUAGAUCAUAUUCACCAAGUAAUUUCUGUACAUAUUUCUGAUGUGGAACUUGGUGCUCCUUGAUUACGACGGAAUUAUUUGCUAAAUAUGACAUCUGCAGGAAAUACCAUAUGUAAUUGAGCAUCGGCUGAUGGAUUGGAAAGAGCUAAAAGAUGGUUCUCUUAGGGUAGAACAGCACUUCAUUGCACCUAAGCAAAGCCAACGUCAGAUUCUUGUCGGGAAAAAUGGCUCCAAGAUCGGGUAAUAUUCUCUUACUAAAACGUGCUCCUAUUGAAUGUGCUCGCGUGUUUGAUACUGAUGUGUUUGUUUGGGGCAAUUGUUCCAGGAGAAUCGGUAUUGAAGCCAAUGAAGAAUUGAGGUCCAUAUUCAAGAGAGAUGUCCAUUUGAUGCUCCAAGUUAGAGUUGCUAAGAAGAGAAGUUCUUGAAUGGAUGAUCACAAGGUGAGUAUAUUCAUUUCAUUCACUCUGUUAGAGUACCCUGUUUUGUCAGUCUGUUACCUGCUUUGAUAUAAAAACUAGAACUGUAAAAGUAGCUGCUAAUUUUCUGCAAAGUUUGGCCUCUAAAUUCUAAUUUUGUUUAGUCUCAUGAAUUCUGAUGCUUUGAUUAUCCAUCAACUUUUGAAGUAAAUCAUACAUUACCUUAUGCAGUUCUAGUGCAUGUAUAGACAGCAUCGGGACUGAGAUCUGCACCACGGUGAUGGCAAAAUAUCCAUUGGGAUUACGGCUUGAAUGAACUAACCUGUCACACGAGCCCGUGCGUGAAAGAAGGAAUUAACCUAUGUCUAUGCAUUCAAUCAUGAGCUGGUUAUUCCUGACGACAAGCCUCGCUAGAUAAUAUUUUGCACGGCGUAUGGAAAUGGCUUGUGAAGUGGUGGCCUGUGCACCCGGAGUAUGUUGUGUUUGCGAAAUACAGAUGUAUGAAUGGCUACAGAUUACUGAUAUUAUUAUAUAGUUCUUUGUGGUUCAAAUAAAUUGUUGAAAUAGCCUGUGAUCUGACGACAAUGAAGACACAGUUUUGUGCUCCUACUUGCUUUCAGAAUCUUGUUCAAACUAGCUUUCCAGAUUGUUCAAGACAUGUUGUGCUAUACUACAGAUAGCUUCUGUUAUUUCAGAUUGUUCUACCUUCAUCGAAGUUGCGUGUUCUUCCCUGCUUUGAUUCUAUUUUUGGUGUCAGAAGGAAUUAUUGCUGAUGAUGUUUCUGUUGUACUCUUUCAACGAAGAGGUAGAUUGAAACUUAAUUAUAAACCGGGGCAAUAGUGGAUCUCUUUCAACGAAGAUGUGGACUGGUCACUGGGGUAGGUAGUUUUCGUGGUGCACUCAAUAGCUAGAGAAGAUCUUUCAACGAAGACGUGGGUAGGAGCUUCGAGCUAUUGCGUGCAGAAGACUCCGGGCGCUUAGGCAAUUGGAUUUUUGCGCAAGAAAAUAAGAAAGAGAAAGAAAGAAGAGGAACUCUUGAAAGAUAGGAUGACCGCAAGAAGUAAAAUCCUCCCAUCAAUUCCCACAAAGAAAAGAACAAUGUCUACAACAUAUGACCACCCAUUAUGUUUCUACAUCAGCGUCACAGAUUUUCGUCUUACUCGCCGGCGUUCUAGACACAACCACAAAACACUACACUGCGACAUCACUGACAACAAUUUGGAGACUGUUUAUUCCUAUAGUUUGUAAGCAGAGACCAGCGAACGACGUUGGCAGGCAGGCAGGAGCAGCACUGGUAUCACUCUGCGGCGGCUCCGGCGACCUUGUCGAGGGUGUUGGCGAUGUCGAUGACGAAGCGGUACCUAACGUCGGCCUUGACGAGACGCUCCAGGGCCGUGUUCACGUAGUCCGCUCCCACCACCUCGAUCUCCGCCGUCACGCCGUGCUUCGCCGCAAUGUCCAGCAUCUCCUGCGUGUCGGCCAUGCCGCCGAUGCAGCUCCCGGCCAGGGUCUUGUUCUCUGCACAAAUGUUUACCAGAUUACUGGUUUCUUCCUACACCUGAGCCACGAGUAGGUAGAACGAUGAUUUAUGAGGAAAGACUUACUAGCAACGAGGGCGAAGGCAGGGACCUCGAUGGGCUUGUCAGGGAGGCCGACCAUGAUCAUCUUGCCGUUGGGCUUCAGCAGCCCAAACAGAGGGGCCAUGGGAACGUUUGCAGACACCGUGUUGAUGAUGCCAUCCAUGGUGCCCAUCGCUGCCUGCAGCCAAGGAAACCAAAACAUGAGAUCUUUUAAUUUCUCCCCUGGACAAACUAAUCUGUGACCAACCAUCAUCUUAAUUUCACCUUCAUCUCUUCGGGGUCUUUGCUGACGACGAAGGCGUCGGCGCCGAGCAGCCCGAGGGCCUCCUCCUUCUUCCCGGGCGACGAGCUGAUCACGGUCACCUUCAUCCCGAACGCCUUGCCGAACUUGACCGCCACGUGGCCGAGCCCGCCGAGGCCCAGGACCCCCAGGUGCAGCCCGGGCACGUUGAGGCCGUGGUACUUCAUGGGGCUGUACACGGUGAUGCCGGCGCACAGCAGCGGCGCUCCCUUGUCCAGCGGCAUGGCGUCGGGAAACCGGACCACGAACCGCUCGUGCACCACCACGGCGCUCGAGUAGCCGCCGUAGGUGCAGGUGCCGUCGCGGUCCGUGGAGUUGUAGGUGAAGAUCAUGCCCGGGCACUGGUUCUCGAAGCCGACGUCGCAGCUCUCGCAUGAUUGGCAUGAGUUCACCAUGCACCCGACGCCCACGCGGUCGCCGGCCUUGAACUUGGUCACGUUCUUGCCCACCUCUGUCACCUCGCCGGCGAUCUCGUGCCCUGGGAUCAUCGGGUACGUGGCGUUCGCCCACUCGUUCCUGAUGCUGUGCAGGUCCGAGUGGCAGAUCCCGCAGUACAGGAUCUUUAUCGCCACGUCAUCGUCCCCAGUGCUCCUGAAAGAUUACGAGAAGAAACAGGUUAAAAAGUGUGUCAAUCCAAACAAUAUAUACAGGCCAAGAUCAAACCAAAUUAAUGAUAUAGGUAACAGUGUUCACUAGUAGUAUUAGUCAACUCGUUAGGUGGUCACUCCUGCAAAUUGGUCCAGCUUGUCAUGCAUGCAAAUGACCAAAACUUGUUGUGAUGAACUUUUUUUAAUCAACUGCUGAUUUUUUUUUUGUUCAGACAAAUAGUUUUACUCAUCCAAGCAAGUGCAAACAAAAGAGAUAGCUCAGACCUUUUCAGGCAAAUAGACACUUACACAGAAUUUUACUAAAUUUAGCAAAGAAGACUGCAGAGCAUCGAUCCAUCUAUCAACCACCUUACACUAGUAUGUAUAGUAAGACCAUAAAAUUAUGUCAUCGUAUGAUUUCCUAUGAAAAUUCUAAUGGUGAACUUGUGAUAAGAGGUACCAUUUGCAUCUAAUGAACAUGAAAAAAAUUCUUCUAGCAAUCAAUCUGUCAAGACAUGGACGUUUUCUUUGCAGGGAAAAGACAAACAAGCUUGACUGCAUGCUGUAUGAUAAUCAACAUCAAUAUGUACUUUGAACUGGCCGAGGGUACUAUAUAGCUAAAAUUAAUUUUCUCAGAACCUUAAAUCGUCACAACAACCUCGGUUCCUACGGCAGUGGUGUCAGUUCCCACGGUUCAAUGCGUGCACUGCCUCUUUCCCUCAGAGAGAUACGUGCCGUUGAGAUUUGCCCACAUGAGCCAGUCGACUCAUACCACACACAGAAAGAGCUAAAGCGACGGGCGCACACAGCGGUACUACAAGGUGACUACAGGCAGUUGAGGGUGACUCAUGGCUUGACAGUGGCGUCAAUGUUCAUUUGCUUGAAUUGGUCAUGCACACAUAAUUCUGGCCUAGCUUCUGUUGCAUGGUACACAACCCUGAUAGUAUGUCACACUCGUUUACCGCAUCUAAAAUGAAGGCUUCAUUUGGAAAGACCAAAUUUCACAUAAGUGUGACAUUAGAAAUUCAAUCAUGUUAGCCAUAUCUUAAUCCAGAAAAACAAAAUCCACAUAGGAUCGAGUACCAAACGAACGAGAAUUAUCCACGCGGAUUCACAAUAAUCAUAAGGGCAUGUUGGGAACAUUGGAGGAUUCGCAGUCCAUAUCCCACUAUAAUCGAUCGAGAUAAGUAUCGCCAACACCAGUGUGAAAAGUUGCUACAGAAAACAAAAUUUCUAGCUAGCUGAAUAAUUUUGCGAGAAUUCCAGCAACAGUUCGCGUCUAAGAUGACCCCGCUAAGCGAUUAAUCAGGUCCAAUAUAAUUCAUCGUUAACCACCAUUAGCUAGACGACAAUCUUCCUGGAAUAAAUUAUUCCCCAGAAGCAUGCAGAGCUACUAGUACGUUCGCUGCCCGGGGAUUACCGGAAAAAAAACAAGCGCAAACCGGGCGAAUCGGACGGCGCACAGCGCCGCCAUAACCCUAGGGACCGGAUCCAACCCGUCCGCACGUCCCCGGUGGCGGCCCGGCUCAAACGACGAUCGAUGGCGGCGGCGCACGGACGAACAAAACAACGAACGGCAAAAUUAAAUCCUAGAUACACAGGGACAUUCUAUAGAAACCCCACGGGCUGAUCGAGAGAGGAAGAGAGGCGCGUGGGCUCGAUGGUACCUCCGGGUGAUGGCGAGCGGGGAGAGGUGGCCGGAGGCGUCGCGCGCGGCGAGCCCCACCGCCUUCUUCGUGUGCUGCGGGUGCCCGCCCUGCUCCGCCGCCGUGGGUGCCAUCGGUCUCUCUCCCUCCUCACGCUUCUAGAAGGAUCGAUCGAUGACGAGGGGACGAGAUUGGAAUGGAAUUAGGGAGCGCUCUCUCGUCUCUGAUAUGCCAGCUGGGGAAGCGAAGGGAGGAGGGGUGGCGUGCUUUAUAGCCGGCCUCCUAGUCACUGCCAGGUCGGGGCCACCUGCCCAGGGACGGGGUGAGCGGUGACGUCAGCGACCGCCGGGACUUGAAACGGGAAACGGGGCCGAGGACGAGGAGGAACUUUUAACUCCGGAACGGUCGCGACCGUUCUGGCUCGCUCCCGCAGUCCCGCGUCGGUAUGAACAGUCCGUGCCUACAGAAAGCAUUCCCCAGCCAGCCAGCCGGACACUUGUUGCGUCCGAUUUUUUUUAUUUUUUUUGCCCGCUGCCAACCAAGUGAAAACGAAAGCGACGGUGAUGCAAGAAAGAUGAAUGUGCCUGUCAGAAAAAGAAGAGGAAGAUGAAUGUGUACGGGAGUAUAAGAUAUGUUUUGACUUUUCCAAUGCACAUGCAAUUUCACUAUAACUUUGACUUAUAUAUAUAUAUGUUUAAAAAAUUAGUAAAAAAUAUGACGUACAAGUCUUUUGCAAAACACAUACUACAAUGAUAUUAUUAUUUGCAAAACGCAUACUCCUUCCAUCCCAAAAUAACUGACGUGAAUUUGUGUAGAUUUUUAUAAAUUCACUCCGGUUAAUUCAGGACGGAGGGAGUACAAUGUUGUGGAAUGGAGAGAGUACGUAGAACCCAAGUGCGGUUUUGGGCUCAUAGCGAUUGCACCACAUCACCUACAAAUAUUGCACGUGACACAAAUUUAAUUGGUGCCUUUUGACUGUCUCAUUAUGGACUCUUUUUUUAAGGAACAGUGACUACUUUUCACUCAUUGUGUACUUACUUUUGUAUUUGCAUGAAUCUCAGCCAGUGACUUAGAAGUAGAGUGGCAUACGCAUCACAUCCAUUUAUACAAAAAUCAUUUGUGAUAUCUAGAAGAUCGUAAUAAUAAGAAGCAAUUGUUCUCAAACCCUCGAUAAACAUCCUGCUCGAUCAGUUCGAGUCCCAACAAAUCUAGAAUCUCCUUUUCCGGUGCUCUCUCUUUCCCACAUCGAUCCACCGCGCGCACGGCCGGCCGGUCACUGAAGUCAACAGGGGCCCCGUGUGAUCGGAUCCAGUGCAUUGGCUGUCCCGUUCAGGAGGUUGUUCAGACUUGGUACAUCCAUCGGUGCUUUGGCUUUGGCUUUGGGAGGCCGACACGUUGUGCUACUACGUCCUUUUGAUUUGUCGGCCAGCCGGCCGGGUGUCGUCCGUGGUCCGUCACAUUGUUUGCACAUGCAGUUUCAUUUGGAAGGGAAGACAUAUAUAGAGCUGCAAAGCCUGCAACUAGGUGCUGCUGAAGCUGAAGAGCGUUUGCUAGUCCAACGGUUGUCCGAACCCACGUGCAUUGGGAGCUAGCCGGCCAUGCAUGCUUUCUGUAGCUCUCACUUGUGGGCGCGAUUGGAAUAUUACUCUUUUCGAUUCUUUCAUUUUCUUCUCUCAAAAGCGAUGGAGAUGUCUCGCUGUUUGCCGACGGUCGUCAGAAUUAAUCGGAGAGGUAUCCGUGCGUGCAGCCUCGCGGCGCCGUCGAUCGGCCAGCUAGCAGCCGUAAUCGAUCUGCGGCACCUUCUCGGCCCACACCGUACGUACCGUUCGGUGCUCGUUUCCUUUUUAUUCGGACUAUACUAUCCAACCAUCCUCUUCUAGUCUCGUGUGGGCUUUUAAACACUUGCUUCUACCUCUAAUUAAAGCGAUUUCGGUCCGUAUGUUUUCAGUGUCUUGUAGCAGUGACACGUACGUACCAUGCGAAGCUGAGCACACGAUCGAGCUCCAUCGAUGGAUCAGGUGUGUGGCGAUCCAAGGAUAUCGUAGAGGUUACCGAAUUUCCAGGAUUCGUGGCUGCCAUAUAGUAUUAGGAGUAUAUCCUGCUGACUGAGAUAGGGAGUUAAUGCUGGAUUCUUUUUUUUUGGAAGACAAGUCAAUCCGAUUGGCGCGCAACAUGUUGUCGGUGCACAAACAAAGACGUAUGUACUCUCGACCGGCCGGUUCUUUGUUAAUUGACGUUUUCCCCGCGCCGGUCUCUCUCAGAAAGGAACGGAAACAAAAUGAAAACGAUUUGUGUUUUUGGUACUCGUAGUAGUACCGUACGAGGCUAGCCGCUAGCGCUAGCGUGUGUGUACGUGUCUUCUGCGUGUGGCACGCGCGGUGCUCCAGCAGGGUCGGGGAGUCUGCACAUCCUGCGCGCUGCGGCCCGAAGGGGAUGACGAAAAGAAAAAGAAAGAGAAAAAGACAGAGAGGGAGAAGAUGCUGAUUUCUUUUUGGAAAGAGAUAUAUAUAUAUAUAUAUCUUACUAAUACAGAGGGUUACGGUACUCCCAUGAAGAGAGCAUAUGCAAGUGCAUUCUUGUAUAACUUGGUUACAAGAACAGCGGAAACAUCACGUCUAAGACGGGAAAGACUACAGCUUGAGUCUGAUGGCAGGUCAGUUGAGAAGACUGACACAAAGUCACAACUGAAGUCUACAACAUGCCUUGAAAGUGCGAGCUAGCCGUAGAGCCAGCGACUCUCCCAGCAAUCGAGCGGGCAAAUGCACACGAGGUUAGGAAUAUUGGGCUGUAGAUCUUGGAGGCGCUUCACCGAGCCCAAUAGGAAUCUUUCUCGAUCAUCAAAUUUAGGGAUCAACAACAAUGGCUCUCUCACCUGCCAUCUGCGAAUCAACCCGAAUGAUCGAGAAUCACCGUCUUCAGCAUGUUCAUUAGUUAGUCUUGUUUCCAGAAUGCAAAGGAUACACUCACACUUAAAGCUCUUAACACCCCUCAAGCCAAGCUUCAAAGCACAGCGCUGCUCAAGCAGGAUUUCAUGGAAUGAAGAUCUAAGAACCAUGAAGAAAUUGAUUUCAACCGUGACAAGGUUCAGAUUAGAAAUCUUCCACGAAUAGCUAACAUCAUCAAAUGAGCAGCGAAAAUGAAGCUCAGGCACCGAGCAUCAACCAUCAGGAUUCAUGACUCCUGAUCUCCUAAUCACCAACGGGCUCUGAUAUCUCAUAGCACCCUGUUCUCUGCUACUGACCACCAGGAGAGGAGAAAUAUGGUGGCUCACCGUGUAGAUUGCAGAGGAGAUGACGGCCUUGAAGCACAAGGGGUGAACAGAACCCUAAACCUGCAAUCUCCCCCACACAUCCAUCUUGAUUUCUCUGCACUUUUCAACGCCAAACACAUGCGCCGUGAAACCAGCACUCCAUGAGCAUGGGUUUUGCCGAACUAAUGCCCCGGGAUCCUCCUUGACCGGCACAGGCAAAGAUCCAACGAAGAAAUCAUCAGAUCUACUGCGAAAGCAGUUGGGCCACCUGCAAGAAAGGGAAAAAAGUUGGAUUUUCAGGAUCUCUGGAGAUGAAUCGAUGGGAUUAUUGGGGAUAGGAGGAGGAAAGGAGGCACUGGCCUGACCGGACCGCCGUGCCGCUCACCAGCCGCGCUCAACAGAGGCAACAGGGAGGACGCCAUGGCAGGACGGAGCAGGUUAGGGCCAAGGGGAACAACCUCCAAAGAGAUGGAGAUGAGGCAACUAGCUAAAAUAUACAAAGCACAUCCUCCCCUUCCCCUCCCACUCCGGCCGGCGGUGCCGGCGAAGGAGAGGGGAAGAGGAGUAGGCCGACCGAUGGGCUAAGAAGACCAGGGGCUGCUGGAGAGUUCGGGAGAGGAAAAGCGGUGGGAGAGAGGGGGCUGUGGUGAAGAUGCGGAUUCGGCAUCUGGUUCGUCCGAGGAGUUCUUAACCAAAGUAGCGUGUCUUGUAAAACGUACUAGAAAGUAGAGAAAAGUCUAUUUUAAGGGUCUGCCAGCAACAUGAAGAAUGGCGAGGAAGGAGAAGCAAGGAGCAGUCAGACCGUAAGAGGCAAGAGAAAAAACAAAAAGGACUACCCAGUCAUGAAUCUUGACAGAAAUCGCCUGUUUUUUCCACAAAUUUCAGGCGCCUGUCAAAUCGAGAGAGAAUUUGUCUAGAUGGUUUCUAACCACAGUUUUUGUACACAUGAUAGUAUAAUACAUAUCAAACCAAUUAUUCCUCUGAUUAAUUUUUGUAAUACCUAGCUGAAAUGCCCAUGCGUUGCAAGAGAACAACAAAAUAAAAUAUACAUUCAAAAACAUGCAUCAAAAUCUCUCUUUGCUCUUCUUUAACGAUCACCCAAUAUCCAUUUAAAAAAGUUUUCUUCUGAAGAUUGUGUCUCUAUACUCUAGUCUCUCAAAAUAAAACAAUACAUUUUCUUCUGAAAUUAUAACAUCACCCGGGCAAAUAAGUUUUGAGACGGAAUCACUUUUUUUUUAGUUCUCUCCACUAUUUCACUUCACCCGUUAAAACAAAGAGUUAGAAUGGGCAACAAAUUUAUGUUUUGCCAGCGUGAUAUUCUCUCUACUAUGCCCUAGGUGCUACCACCAUUCUCUUUCGCAGUCUGUCUUAUUAGCUUCUUCUAACAAUUCGCCAUCACCUCAUGUAAUUUAGCCCUAGGUGGAAACGGACGUGGCUGGGAAACGAAAGAGGGGACCAUCCGUGGCCGCGCCUGGGAGACAGAGGGGAUGGCCGUGGCCUUAGUUCCUUGCCUGAUAGGUGCCCGAUCGGGUCUCAUCUUCUGACUCCCCUAGUGUUUCGGCGGAGCGAUCUUUUUCUCGUCAGAUUCGGAGUUGUUGCCUGACUCUCGUAAUGAUCCCGCUGGUGAUGGAUUCCCUCGCGGAAUUCCAGUCCAAUUCGGUGCAGGUAACGAGCCAGCCGGUUUAUUAGCUCCAGUCCAAUUUGGUGUAGGUAACGGACCAGCCCGCUUAAUAGGCCUAAAAUACGUGCAAUUUUGAAGGGCCCAUAAUUUUUUUUGAAAAGUUUGACAGACGACAGUGAAUGUAUAGAAUAACUACGAAAUGUGUGGCCAGCUAGAACUAGCAAUAACAUCGAUCACCUGUGAAACUUGAUGAUACAAGUACAAGGGUCACCAGUUCGUGUGCGAAUUGAACCCGAUGGAGAAAAAACAUGACAUACAUGUGUAUGUGAUCGUUCGGGAGUCGGAACGAGACAUAUAUGUAUAUAUAUAUAUAUAUAUAUAUACACACACAUAUAUAUAUACACACACAUGUAUGUAUGUAUGUAUAUAUAUACAUAUAUCUAUAUAUACACACACAUCUAUAUACACACACAUAUAUAUAUAUACACACACGCAUAUAUAUAUAUAUAUAUGGACACACACAGUGGUCGACGAUGACAUACAGUGUAAAGGCGGUCCCGGGCUCCCGGCCGGAGACAUAGUUGUGGCUGUUCACACACUGCACAUCGUUAAUUUGAGUGGUACGUACUGCUUUGCGCGUUCGCGGGGGGUCGCCGUCGGCGCCCGUGACAUGCACACACACUGCACGGCUUAUAUAGCUUUGGAAUGUAGCCAGUGCGACGUGGGGUGGUGCUGAUGCAUGAGCAUGUUUUUUGUUGUUGAAAAACACAACUUUAAUACGUGCAUGUGUAUAUACAUGCUCACGUCAUUACACGCUCAAAUCCAUACAUGUACACUGCGUUUAAUUACUGGAAACUGAAGUCAUGCAUGGAAGAUCCGAGGGUAAAGCUGUUGAUGAGAUAACAAGAUACAAGAGUACGCAUUUUGGUGCCACACAAUAAUUUUGCGUAAUUAACCUUGCUGUGACACGUUCUGUGUUACGGGAAAAAAACUUAUACUCUCUCCGUCUCAUAUUAAAUGACUUAAAUUUGUGUAAAUAUGGAUGUAUUUAUGACUAAAAAACGUCUAGAUACAUGUAAUAAAAAAUUCACUUAAUAUGGAACUGACGGAGUACUAUAAGUGUGUCUAUGUCUUAGUCUCGUCUGAUUUUUAAGAAAAAAAAAUUAAAUUCAAGUCGAGGAAUCAGAGUCGUUGAAUUGGUAUCUAGAUGCCAUUUUAUCCUUCUUUCUUCAUCGUUCAUUUCGAAUCUCAAAGCACAAGCCAUAUACAAUGACCGAUCAAUCAACUUAAUUAUUUCUAACUAAAAUCCAGACGAUUUAGAUAUAGCUAGCAAAACCGAUAAUCUAAUAUGCACCUAGCUAGCUAGGUCCAUAUGUCUAUCCCGUCCGUGAGUUUGUACAAAUAAAAUUCAAGGGGAAAACCCAUAUAUGCUACUAGCUAUUAUAAAGUGGUAGGUUCAUGCAUAAAAAACCAUGAAACAAAUGAACAAAAAGCGUGCAGACAGAACUCGUGGUGUGACUGUUCCACAUGUGUGUAUAUAUGGACCAAACAAACUUCAUUUCAGCUAUAGCUACAGUAUGUGUGAGAGCCACAGGCGCCUUACGGUUGUGUGGCGAACGGCGACGACGGACAAAUGGAAAUGGAGCCUAGCUAGCUAGCCUGGUGAAGUCGCGAUUGAUCCCCACGUGAUGCACGACGGCAUCUGGACGACAGUCAUGUUUAGUUUCAAUCAUAAACUCGCGGAUUUGAAAAACGGUUUCUUAAACUUAACAAGUUGGGUCAUUUUAGUCCAAAAUGACAAUUUCAGACCAAAUUAGGCCACGUUGACAUCUGACGUGGCUCGGGGGGUUCUUUUUGCAGAAUUGCGGCUUCUGGAAUCUUGCGUUGGCCCUCUUGGAAAAAUAUGGGUUCUAACCCGCAGCUUAAAUCCCUAACCCUAGCCUCAGAAAUUCCCAAAUCUUCCCACUGCUCUCCUGAAGCAACCGCCGGCCGUGUCGCUGUUCCAGUAGUUGCCGCAGAAGCCAUCGACGUCAUUCGUGUGGACGUCGAUGGAGCCGCCGUUCAAGUCGUCGUCAUCUACGCGAUUCCAUCUGUGUGGGUGCCACCGGUUGUGCCGUCGGAGAUUGUUGACAAUCGCCUCCGGCAGUCCGGCCCUUCUGUUCCGUCGCUUCGUCUCCCUCGGACGAGGCAGUGUAACUGAGGAGGACAAAGGCCCAACGGUCUAACACGCAACGAGUGAGGUUUUUUUUAAUAAAUCAAACAUGCCACCUCUUUGUAGCGAUGCUGGACCGCGGGUUAUAGGCAAAAAAUACCUGGGGUUCAAUGAAAGAAAAACAACGGCCGCAAAUUUGCAAAGAAGACCCUCCCAGCCACGUAAGAUGACAGAGUAGCCUAAUUUAGCCCGAAUUCAUCAAUUUGGACUAUAAGUGAACCCACAUGCCAAGUUUAAGGGGAUGUUUUUCAAAUCAGUAAAUUUAGGAUGAAAAUAAACAUCCCUGCCAGGUUUAAGAGCAUGCAUGCAAUUUCCUCCAUCUGGAUCCAUCGCCACAUAUGUCGUCCUCGGGGGUUCAUCGUCUGUCUUUGGAGCACUUCCGGUUAAUUUGGAGGAUAUAUACCAGAGGUUUAAUUUCAGGGAUUAUAACUCGUGCAUGCAAUGCAUGGUUGCCAUCUGACCUGCUGUGCUGGCCGGCCGAGACGGAAGAGUACAGCACACGCUUCGGCUACUUUUGGUCGUUCCACGGUCGGUCGGUCGGUCGGUCAUUGUCGAGCGUCUCAUUUCGUUUUUCCUUUUUUUUCCAUUUAGUUUUUUCUUAAUUCGACGCAGGAAGAAAACAAUAUUUUCUCAACUUGCCGUUGCCGUAGGUUAAGAAGUUCAUGCACCGAACCGGUCAAACUGAGAGAAAAAAGACAAUUUAGCUGUAUACUUCAACACCCUUCAGUUGGCUCUCAUAGACCUAAAUGUGUAGGUCAAAAGUAUGGGUCUCGAACAAAACAUUUGAAGAGCUUCAUACACCAAACCAUUCACCCAAAAGGUCAACAACAACUUACUACUCACCUAUUUCUUCCGUUCCAUAAUUCUUGUCAAAAUAUUACAUGUAUCUGUACGUCUUUUACAAAUAAAUACAUUCAUAUUUGGACAAAUUUGGAACAAGAAUUAUGAAACGGAGAGAGUGACUUAUCUAUGCAUGCAGCUAACUACUUGUAUCAUUAGGCCCAAUCGCUCCGUGCCAUACUACCAUGCCUCACGGCAAUCACACAUGCACAUACGUGCUGGACUGCAACAUACAUUAGUUCGACCUGAUGAUGUCGAACAGGAUGAGUGGCGAAUGCGCGAUGAUGUCGUAAAGCGGCGAAAGAUAUAUAGAUCUAGGCUUGUGUUUAGAGGAUUAUCAUUGUAGGAAUGCUUUACAACAAGAGUUUAAUCACGUGGGGAGAGAAAAUGAGAUUAGAUGGAUGCAAAGGUCUAAGGAAAAAGACUUAUUGCAAGGAGAUAACAAUACUUCUUAUUUUAUGGUAAAAGCCAGUGGGAGAAAGAGAAAGAACAAAAUAUUUCAGUUAGAACAGGACGAAGGGGUGAUAAAAGGAGACCAGGAUAUUCUGCCAUAUGCUACUAACUUUUAUAAGGAUUUGUUUGGUCCAGUUAAAUUACUACAUAUCUCUUUGUUACAAUCGGUAGAGUGUGUGCUGAAUGACCAAGAUAGAAAAAUAUUAAGUUGUGAUUUUACUUUGGAGGAAAUUAAGAAGGUAGUUUUUGGUAUGGCCCAUAAUAAAGCGAGUGGGCCAGAUGGUUUCCCUAUAGAAUUUUAUCAGAAAUUUUGGCAGAUUGUUUGUCAUGAUUUGUUAAGAAUGUUUAAGGAUUUUUAGUAAAGGAAUGCUGGACAUUUCUAGAUUUAAUUAUGGGGUUAUUACCUUGUUGCCUAAGGGGGCUGGAGCAAAUAAGAUCCAAAUGUUUAGGCCUAUAUGCUUAUCGAAUGUAAUGUUCAAAAUUUUCACUAAAGCUGUGCAUAAUAGAACUGCCUUAGUGGCUGAUAAAGUGAUAGAUUAGAUUCAGGCUGCUUUCAUAAAAAGGAGAUACAUACUUGAUAACGUAGUUCUUUUGCAUGAAUGCCUAAAUGAUAUUCAUAGACAUAAGAAAUCUGGUGUCCUUUUCAAGGUAGACUUCGAGAAGACUUAUGAUAAAAUAAAUUGGACUUUCAUGUUUCAUGUUCUAGGCAUGAAGGGCUUUCCUUCUAAAUACAUAGACUGGGUAAUGAGCAUUGUUAGUGAUGGUAAAAUAGCUAUCAUGGUUAAUGACAUAAUUGGUCCUUAUUUUAAAACUAAAAAGGGAUUAAGGCAAGGGGAUCCUUUAUCCCCAAUUCUUUUUAACAUAGCUGCUGAUACUUUUGCAAUUCUAGUUAAAAGGGCCCAAGAACAAGGUUUAAUUCAGGAUCUUGCAUCUGAUUUAAUUGAUGAUGGUAUGAUUAUCUUACAGUAUGCUGAUGACACCAAUUUUUUGCUUUGAGGAUGAUCUAGAUAGUGCUAGGAAUUUAAAAUUCAUUUUAUGUAUUUUUGAACAUUUGACUGGCUUGAAAAUCAACUUCCAUAAAAGUGAAGUAUAUUGUUUAGGGGAAGCAAUGGUUAAUCAAGAAGAAUACUCUCUGAUUUUUACAUGUCAAAUAGGGAAAAUGCCUUUUAAAUAUUUGGGUAUUCCCAUUAAAGAUAAACGUCUUAGUAACGGUGAUUGGAAAAGUAUAGAGGAUAAAGUAGAAGGUAAAUUAAGUUGCUGGUAAGGAAAAAUUCUAUCACUAGGUUAGAGACUUACACUAGUGGAAGCUGGUUUAAGCAAUGCUCCCAGUUAUAUGCUCUCUUUGUUUAGGAUUCCAAAAGGUGUUAUGAAAAGAAUUGACUUUUUUAGAGCUAAACUCCUUUGGCAAGAGGAUCAAGGGAUUAAGAAGUACCAUAUGGUUAAUUGGCCUGAAAUCUGUCAACCUAGAGACCAAGGGGGUUUGGGUGUAACUGAUCUAAACAUUAAGAAUAUUAGCUUGUUAUGUAAAUGGUUGUGGAAGCUAGCUUGAAAAUGAAGACAGGGUUUGGCAGGAUAUGAUUAGAGUAAAUAUAUCAAGAAGCAGCUUUUAUUCACUUGUGAGUAGAAAAGAGGCCAAUCACACUUUUGGCAAGGGCUUAUGCAAGUAAAGAAUAUUUUCAUUAAUUGUUGUAGAAAACAAGUGGGUAAUGGAGAUAGAACUUGUUUUUGGGAAGAACAUUGGAUUGGGGAUGGUCCUCUGUGUUCAAAGUUCCCUAGACUUUAUAAUUUAACUAAUAAGCAAUUCAUCUCAGUUUCUGCAAUCUUUAAAUCUCAAUGGCAAUGCAUUAGCUUCAGGAGAUCCUUCUGUGAGGAAACAUUAGAAAUGUGGACACAACCGAGAAUGUUGUGUCUAGGUGUCUGUCUAAAUGAGGAACAAGAUAGAUGUGUUUGGAAACUAACUAGUUGUGGGCAGUUUUCUAUUAAAUCUCUUUAUAAUAUGCUUAAGGAUAAAUAGGUCAGAAUACCAUAUAUACAGUUGUGGAAAAUAAAGAUCCCUUUGAAAGUUAAAAAAAUUCUGUGGUUAAUAUGCAAGGAUAGCAUAUUGACAAGGGAUAAUUUAGCAAAACGGGGCUGAGUAGGCUCUGCAAAGUGUGAAUUUUGUGAUGCCCAAGAGAGUAUUGAUUAUCUUUUAUUUGAAUGCUCAGCAGCUAAGGUGUGUUGGAAGGUAAUGUGUUGCUCUUCUGACAUUGGUAGUACCCCUAGUUCAGUUAAGGACCUGUUGGAUGUCCGGAUGUUACAGUUUAGGGGGCGCCAGUGAGGGCUUGUGGCUGUUGGCGUCGCUGCACUCUGCUGGAGCAUCUGGAGAUGUCAGAAUGAUUCUUAUUUUAAGGGAUUAGUACUUAAAUAACCUACUAAUAUUCUGUUUUCUGUUUGUCACUGGAUUAAUUUCUGAGCUGGGCUACAAAAGGAAGCGGAUCGUGAUAAGCUCAGGGAUGGCGCAUCCAGGCUAUCCAAGGUCGCGUUUGAUGUGUCUCAUGUUCAUAGCGCUUGGAGGGAGGCGACGAUGAGAGAUACAAGCUGAUGCACAAUAUCAAAAGAAGUCAUCGAAGUGCCUGUAUUUGCAUGUCGUCGACCCAGUGCCUUUUAUAUUUCCUGUUAGAACCUUUUAUGGUUUCAUGGAGUAUUGGUUCAUAAUGCCCAGUUAUUGUAAUUUUUCUGUUGGACCUCUAUAUCACACAUACUAUUGCGGUUUCAUUAAGGAAAUCGGGAGCUGAGCUCCUUAGUUCUAAAAAAAAGAUAUAUAGAUCUGUAUGGAUCUGCUAAUUCCAACGAAAACACAGGGGCUAGCACCAGUCCGCGCAUGGCCGAUAUUUAGGUAUUUUCUCCGUUUCAUAAUUUUUGUCGAAAUCUUACAUGUAUCUAGAUACUUUUAAGAAUAGAUACAUCUAUUUUUGUUCAAAUUUGAGACAAGAAUUAUGAAACGGAGGGAGUACUUCUGUAUAUCAAACUUAUGUACGAACAUUGUUACGAUUAAAAGCCAUCAAAACUAAUAUCCAUAAAAAUCUACAAAUGCACGUACAAACUUGUAAAAAUAUGUUAUAAACUAUGUUCACGGCAACAACAACAAAAUAAAAAUAAAUCUGCGUUACAUGAAUCGCCCAAACAGACUUCAUUUUCAGCUACGUGCGGUCCACAGGCUGACAACUUGUGUUUUUUUUACACCCUCUCUUCCGUUUAAUUUAAUUUUUUUAGUGGAUUCCGUUUAAUUUAAUUUGCAGGUUAAUUCUGGACUGAAACAAACAUUGGUGGGCCGGAAAACGAGGCCCUCCUGAGACGAGAUCACGUGUGGUACCAAGCCCAUCUAUAGGCCCAGUGGCGGCCCGUGGCAAGUGCUUGGACAUCCGAUAAAUAAACUCCACGCCACUCUUCUCUCUCUCACUAUCCCGAACCGCCUCCUCUUCCUCUUCCUCCCAGUCCGCCAUUACUGCCCAUCUCCCAUGGCUCGCAAGCGCCGCCGCCGCCGGGAAACCAUCGCCGGAUCCGAGCACUCGCUAGACUCGGAGCCCCAAAUCACCAACCAACCGCCGCCGCCGCCGGCCGAGGACGAGGGUUCCCAGUCCGAGCAAGCCCGCGGGCAAAAGAGCUUUUUGGAAAUGUGCGAGAUGUAUCCUCUGCUCGCGCAAAAUAUGGAGCUUCUUGCGGAGGAGCAGCAAAACCCUUCCUUCAGAAACGCCUUCGUCCGAAUAGAUGCCGAGAUAGCGCGUUCGCUUGAGGAUCAGCUUGAGUCAGUCAGACAACAAGAGCUCAAGAUCCGGAUGGAAGUUGAGGGAGCGCUUUCCGAUGUUGUGGAAAGGUAUGGGAUGUGGUUUUUAUUAUUUUACUUUUUACUAUUAUUGUUCUGUCCAUAGAAUACAUGAGCGAAUUUAACUUUGUUACUCACUUGUGAAAUAUGAUCACUCUCAAAAUAGAAAACAAUAAUCCAUAAAUUUGGUAGUAAUAAAAAAUGAUUGGGUUCAUGUACAAACUCCAUUUGACCUACAGAUUUGUUGUACUACAUUAAAUUUGUGUUGAGAGAAGAUAGUUAAGCCUCAUCCGUAGCACUUCAAUAUUGGGGCCUUGAAUAGUCUAUGGUUGUUCCUUUUGGAAUUGAUACAGCAUGAAUUUUUGGAUGCAAAAUUUACUACUCCCUCCAUUCCAUAAAAGUUGGCACAGAUUUCAAUUAGAGCUAGUUUAAAGCCGCGCCAAUCUUUAUGAAACGGAGGGAGUAUGUCUUUAGUUUGUUAACUGUAUGAGAUUUAGGAGUUGCCUUAUGCCCGGUAUUGAUUAUUUGAUCCACUAAUUAUAUCGCUUGGGUGUCCUGGGACGAAAGUAUUCUGCAUUUUCAGUGGCAAACCAGGGAGUUUGGCUACAUCAGAGUACAAGAUUUAUUAUAGGAUGAUUGAAAGUAGGGGAUGGCUAGACAGUGCGCAGUUACAAUUUAGAGCUACGGGGUGCUCGCUUCCGAUAGUCGUAAUUAGGAAACCCUAUGUCUGACGCGUUUCCUACAAUUUAGAGCUACGGGGUGCUCGCUUCUGACAGCCCUAAUUCGGAAACCCUAUGUCUGACAUGUUUCCUGCAAUUUUAGAGCUACGGGGUGCUCGCUUCCGACGGCCGUAAUUAGAAAAUCGUAUGUCUGACACGUUUCUUUAAAGGAUAGGACUCCUUUCUGCUCGCGCUGGGCACUAACUAUCCAUGUCACUCCAUAAUUAUCACUAGCUGUGGGCAAAAUUUACACCACCUGCCCUCAAAUCUAAACCUACAUGUAUCCACCAUUCAAAAAAGAACUCUGCUUCUCACCACUGAAACUGGUACCCAAAUACACUGGAAAUCCUCAUGAUCAAUUUGAUGGACAUGUAGCGAGAGUUAUGCAGCAAGUAGUCAACUAAAAAGAUGACAAGUGUUAUAUUUCCAUCAUAAGCAAACUGUCAAACUUCUGCACAAAGCAGAGGGGCGAGCAUACUGAAAAGGUAAGAGGACGUAAAAAAGAACCCUAGUAAUCACGUACGGAACAAGAAUAUACCUAUGGUGGUCCUAUUGCUGAGUCAGAAGCUACAGGAAGUAAUUCUGGAGAAAUGCCCAGGAUAAACUUUGACAUGGAAACACCGAAUGCUUCAGCUUGAUCUACUGUUUUCCCUGUUAAUCCACUAUGUGCAUUGUAACUACAAUCAAGAAAACUGCUAUUGCUGGUGACACAUUUUUGGAUUGGCAAUUUUUUGCACGUUGCUAUAUCCUUAAAAGGUAGUCAUUAUUAACUUAUUUCAUAGUUAGAAGAACACAUGGUUAGUGACAUAAACUACUAGAUGCAAGUUUUCUGAUAUGCUUCUUUCCAUGAGAGCAUGUAGUUGACAUAAGGGAGUUGAUACUGGUAUGGGGCUUGGGGUGGCAGGCUGUCUUGCUUGAUCAAUCCAUCAGAGCGCAAACGCGCACUCGUUAAGAUCAGUACUGCCCGUGCAGAAAGUAGAUUUCACGUUGACAGUAUCGCAUUUUGUUUCAUUAAAAUAUUAAUUAAUCUAUGUUCUUUUAGUCCUGACUUUCUUGCUGUAAAUAUUUGCUGUGCACUGCUAUGGUCUUUUUCUUUAUCUCUGUGUAAACACUUUGUUUUUUACAUUGUUUUCCAAUCUUAAUGCUUCCCUUUCUCUUUCCAUAUAAGCAAAUGGUAGGCUGUGUGCAUUUUUGUUCUAGUUAUGGGAAAGACACUUAUGGUAGCUUAGGUUCUUACUUAAUCUCUCCUUUCUGUUCUAGUUGAUUGCUGGAUUUCUGGUAGCAUGAUUGUGUAAUUUGUUGCCUAUUAGGUUUAUUUUACAAGUCAUGGUAUUAUAACUAGAUACUAGAAGGCCAUUUUUUGUUCCAGUAAUGGGAAAGGAUUCCUGCUGCUCAUAUAUGCAACACGAUAAAAAUAAUUACAUUUCAACUUGCAGCUAUCAUAUUACUAGUCCAAAUACAGUUCUUUGUUACAUGAAUAUUGUUGUUGUUUAUUGGUUUGAAUUCCCUUUGCAACGCCCAGGGUAUUAUCUAGUUUCAUAGGGCAACAAGAUACCAAAAAGGCAAAGUAACUUGUCUUGCCAAAAGAUAAUCACCCUUUUUAUCGCUAAGUUGAUUUUUCAAUUUAUUUCAUUGCAGAUGUAAAGUUCGCCAUGGUUACUUGAGCUUUCACAACCUGCACAGACCAGUAAGUUCUGUUUAACAUGAUUUAUGUAAAAUUUGAUCAUUUUUAUUUGCAAACAAUAUUUAAUGUAAAGGAAGUAUAAUCUCUCUGAAGAUAUCUUAAAACCCAUCAAUUCCACAUGACCAUUGGAUGGUCAAGUGUCAUUUUGUGAUUUGUCUGUGUUCGAGAAAUUUUUUCUUUCACCCUAGAGUAUUAACCACACGAGUUUAGGAAUUUUAUUCAGUAUAAAAGCCUUGUUCUAUUUGUAUAAUCUGUGUUGGUUUAUUCCUCACAACUUUGUACUUUGUUUUUUUAAUCUAACAGCAAGUGAUGGCGAAGAAAAGGGGUCAUGGAACCAUGAAGGAUGCGCUCAUCAAUGUUGGAAGACAUGAUUAGUGGGCAAGGUAACGAGGACAUGGGUGAUGCCGUGAUGAAGUGGUCUGCAGCAAAUUGUGUUUUUGACUUCUUGCUGGCCAAUGGUUAGUUUGUAGUCCAGGCAACAUUGUCCGUAAUGACCUGAUGUCAUGUUGCAUUUGGAAUGGUCAAAUGUGUGCCAACUUCUCUGUACCGUUGCCUGCCUGGCCCUCUGGUCUUGACAUCAUGCUGCGUGGUCACUGGUUUGGACGAAUAAGUUAUUUUGUUAUGCUUUGCAUGUUAAAAAUGAGAUGACGGCGUCAAGAUUAGGAUUAGUGUGACCGCCAGCGGUUGCUAGCAACCACAUCAAGAAUCUAUUGCCAAAAGGCGCUUGUUCAGAGGUAUGCCGUCGGACAUGCACCUCCCUGUCUUACACUGCUUAAAUCAGAGCGUAGAUUCCCACUAGCAUUUGUAUAUGGGUUUUUUUAUUUCCUAAAAGAGUUUCGUUCUAACAGUUUUUUCUCGGAACAAGAAAAUACUAAUGAAAAGCGUCCAUUGUCUAAAAAUACUAAUGAAAAGCGUCCAUUGUCUAAUGGAUAGGACAGAGGUCUUCUAAACCUUUGGUAUAGGUUCAAAUCCUGUUGGACGCAAUCUUAUUUCUAUCUAUUCUUUAAAUAACUAUAUUGAAAACUAAGAAAAAAAAUUUUGAUGAUUUAAAUCAAAAAAAUUUCUCAACAAUUCCUCUUCUACUAACAAGAGUAGACAUGCUAAAUUUAUGUUUGUUCCUGAAGGGAAAACCGUUCGAGCUGUUCCUGAAUAGCUUCCUUCAAAAGGAUUUCCGCUUGCUCGGUGAAUGUCUUGCUAGAAGAUAUAAUUUCUUUGAAUUGAGGUUUAGUAUCUUUUAGGUUUUUACGUAACUUACCUAGAAAUUUAUUUACCUGUUCAAGAGAUAAGAGUGCGAGGUUCUGGACUUUGAUUAAUCGAUGGAGAUACGAGUAAAUUUAGUCAAAUCCUUAACUACCGCAGCUUACUUCGACGCGUCGUAAUGAUUCCGUCCAACUGAUGAACGACAUCGUCUUCCUUGGGGGAGUUAAAAAGCAGUCCGACAGAAAUACUGAGUAAGUAGGAAACAAUUAUCCUUUUUUAGAAUGAACAGAACAGAACAGAAUCAAGUAAAUUAGCAAGCACUCGCCAAUUUAUUUCCCCUAAUUUUGACCAUCUAAUAAUGCAACCAAACCAACCAAGGAGAUGAAUAGAAUGACACACAUGGACGGAAACAAAUCUGUUACAUGAGGCCCGGGCGAGAAUGGAAGGGGAAGUGCGGCGUCGUCAGGGCAGCCCGGUCAAGGUUGCUGCUCCUCUUCUUCUUCUCCUCCUUUACCACCGGUUGCUUCUUCCCCUGUUUCGCCGGCUGCUUCUUCUUGCUAUUGCCACCAGAAGAACCAUUCGCAGACGACGCUGAUGAAGAGACAGAGUUGUUCUUGGGGAGCACCUUGGGGACUGACGGCACGCAAAAGAAGCCCAUGGCUGCCACUACUCUGUUCUUCUUCUUCAACUAACAGCUUCUAUAAAGCUCUCUCUGUUUUUCUUCAGCUUAUAUAAAGCUCUGUUGUUCUUUCUGUUCUCUGUGUGUGUUGGUACUAAAGGAGAGGAUCAUGGCGACCCUUUUAUAGUGAACCAGUGCACUUGCUGCUGCUCCAAGCUUCCAGCGGAAGGUUGCUACUCAGAAACUGCUCCCUAAUUUUUCCGUUUAAUGUUGACACGUGCAUCUAUCUCGCUUUCCAUCGGCAGUGACGCACGCAUAUAGGCUAGGCGCGGGGUGCAAGCACCUUGUGGUGGCCAGCCUGAGGGACUGACAUUGGGGCAGGUAAAAUCCUAUGUCCCCACCUGUCAGUGAAAGAGGUACAUGGUGCGGCAUGUAUGUCUCGUUUCCUCGGGGACCGCUGAAUUUUUCCUUGGCGUUGCAGCUGGCAGUUGUCUUGGUCAGGUGCCGUUGAUGCGUUGACUGAAGCACGUGGGGUAAGAUGAGGUGAGCUUCCUUGGCAGUCAAGCUUCUCAGAUAGAACAGACAAAUUCUUUCUUUCACUCGUAGUAUUAUCCAAAGCGAUUUUGUUCAUUUGGAUUGGAAAUGACAACUCUGCCAGUCAUCUGUUCGGGUAGAAAGUGGGUGGAAGCCCUUUUGUUUUGACCAUGCAUCUUCUUCUCUCACAUUUUUUUUCUCCUGGGAUAGAAAGUGGGUGGAGGAACUCGUUUGCUUGAAUCUAAAGUUUAACGGACCAAGUAAAUAUUGUUAUUUUUAGAUUAGGUCAUACAAGUAAUGUACUAUUUGAAUUUUAUUCCUCACAACUUUGUACUUUGCUUUUUUAAUCUAACAGCAAUGAUGGCGAAGAAAAGGGGUCAUCUUAAAACCCAUCAAUCCCACAUCAAGUGUCAUGGAACCCUGAAGGAUGAUCCGUAAUGUUGGAAUAUAUGAUUAGUGGUCAAGGUAACGGGGACAUGUUAAACCUUUUGGCGUUAUGUUAGGAUUUCGCAGGCGCGGAAAAUGGUGAUGCCAUGGCCUUGGCCAUGUACGAGGUGUGCUUCUUGGCAGGCAGGCUUCUCAGAUAAAACAAACUUCUUUCUUUCAUUUUUCUAUAUUUUCCAGGAAAACGAUUUUGUUCAUGUGGACUGAAAAUCAAAGCUCGGCCAAUCAUCUCUUGGGAUAGAAACUGGGUGGAAGCCGUUUUCGUUUUGUUUUGACCAUGCAUUUUUCUCUUCUCUCGCAAUUUGGGCCAGAACUAUUGAGCGCACGUGCCCAUGGGAAAUAUUGCGUGCGGCGUCUCAUCUGCUAGCUAAAUCCAUGUGAUUUACUUCAUUAUUUUUUAAUAAUUUUUUAUCUCUUAAACCGUGCACAUGAUUGGCGAUCCGUUUUCACCCUUGGUUUGUGUCGAGAUCUACAAAGCUAUAUCCCGCUAUGUUUUGACAAAAAAAAAUUAAAACGUUAUCAGGUUAUGUUACUUGUUACCAGAUUAUGACCACGUAGUUACCAUGUUAAUAUCACCUGGUUACCAACCAUUUUGUGUGAGAUCGAGAUAGGCAAUCACACCGGGGGGGGGGGGGGGGGUUGAAUGAUUGCGCGGAAGCAAAUUAAAACUUUUCUCGAAAUUUCAAACCCUAAAUCACCUUUCUGUCCGUGAUAGUAAAACAGCCGUAACUUUUGAUUAGAUGAACCAAAAAAUAUGUACGAAUAUGAAAAAGAAAGGUAUUGAAAUUAUCUAACCAAUGCAAUAAGAAUCAGCUCAAUUGGACUUACCAAUAAAAAGAUAUGAUCAAAUCUGUAACAGCUGACAGAAAGUUACGAGAAUUAAUCUAUAAUCGAUUUCGAGAAAUAACAAGAAAGAUGAAGUAAUCGCGAUCUUUCUUGAUCUCGUGGUAAACGUGCAGCAAAGUAUUAUGAACUUGUGAUAAACCUGCAGCAAAGUGUUAGAAAGAUCUAGCACGAAGAAUCCACGAAGAUCCGAGAAGAACAGAGAUGACACCGCCAACGAAUCUCUUUAUUGCAACGAUGUCGAUCGAUUACAAAAGAUGCAACCAUGCAUCCAAGAACUCUCCAAAAAUUGAUCUAAAUCUAAAACUCUGAGUUUCUUCACGUCCUUGCUAAAAGUCUAGCUAGGACGUCCUUUAUUUCUAAGGGAAAAUCCGCGACCCUAAAACGAGUCCGAAUCCAACACGAACUCCUCUGUCCCGGUCGUUAUUCUGUCCGUGGGGCCCACAGACGAUCUCGGAUUGAGAUGACUCCAAAAGCAAAGUUGUUCGCCUCGACGACGCUCACAACUUUCAUGUGGACGACUUUUACAUCGGACGCCAUAUUGAUGACGCUACAGUUUAAUUUUAAACAGCUCUCAUCCAGCCACGACUAGACCUACAUGUUUUCUCCAUGCCAUCAACUCUUCUUGUGACGUCUUCAAAACUCGACCAUCACGUGUCGAAUAUCUCCAGUACCGUACAUCUUCGGUAUAAACAACGUCAACAAACCGGUGCCCUGCCGGAUCAUCGUAGUCUUCACUUACAUUGUUACUUCGCACGAACAUCCCGCAUGAUUUUGAUCCCUCGACCUCAGCUCCUCCCAAGUUUCAUCCCUCGAUCCCGUCAUCGACCACGUUCCUCUAGCUCCGGUAACUCCUGAAAGUGAACACACAAAUAAUCAGUACGAGCACAAAUUCGCGACUUGACUCAGGGUAAGUUUCACACAACUCACGCCAUAUUUUCACAUAAGAAACUAAUGGAUCAACACACCACUAGCAAAGCACUAAGUCCAAACAAGAUACAUGUCAUCACAUAAGUAUCCAUAUUAUCAAAGUAUCCACAUCAAUGUUUCACCUCAAACACUUGACAAUGUUACACAUCACAUAUGAUUUCACACUUUGUUACCAGUUUGGCUUAAGUAUCCACAUGCACCUAUGUAAAAGACUAAGAUCGUUGUAUUUCUAUGUUCCGAUGACAUCUUUUACUUGUCCAAACGUUUCAGUACUCAUUUUCUGAUGAUAACAUUGGUAUGAAUAAAUACAUGUUUUUUACUUGAUAGCCCGUGCGUUGCAAUGGAACAACAAAAUAAAAUGACUCACUUAAAGACAUGCAUCAAAACUUUCUCUCUCUCUCCCCCUCUCUCUUGUCUUCUUUGACGAUCAUUAAACAUCCCAUUAAAAAAAGUUCUCUUACGAAAAUUUGGUAUAUAUACUCUACUCUCAGAAGUAAUAGGCAACUACGGUCUCGAAAAAAAAGAAUAGACGACUAAUUAAAGUAAAUCACCUGGUCAAUAAAACUAAAAAUACAGUAAACCAUUAUCUCCCUGACACAUUCAAAGUUCAAACCACAUAUCUUCAUGGACAUUGCAUAUCUGAGGCUUUAACUUAUGAGAACUUUUCUUUCUCGAAACCUAAACCAGAAAUCACAACGUUCCACAAGACGGCAUCCAAUUUGAGUCAGUUGUAACUUGUAAGCAAAGUACCCAUAAGCCCUAGUAAGCAUUGCACACGGAUUUUUAAAGCUUUGAAGCUGGACGAGAUCGAUCUCAUCCACUCCGCUAUCAAGCCAAUGCUAGAACCAACGCCACCUCCAAGGGCCGAAACUUUGUGCCACCGGUAAACACCGCUCCAAAACCUCACCUUACGCCCCCGACCAAUCCCCACGCCUCAGCUUACAAAUCUCCAACCUCACACGAACAGAUUUUUGGAUAAGACUCACACGAACAGAUCAAACCACCAAAGCUGCCCGUAACAAAGCAGCAGCAUCUAGGUGCCUGGUCGGAGCCCUGGGGCAUGAACUCUGUACAUCCCCGGGGACACGCCGAGGUCGGCGGUGUUGAGCUGAGGAACCGCGUGGGCGUGGCGACGUCCACCAAGCGCACGAAGGCGCACGCGUCGAGGUCCGGCAUGAUCAGCGCAGCUAGCAGGCUGGGCUUUUCUCUCAGUGUGUGUAUGCGUUUCUUUGAGAUCACGAUAAAAUGGAUUGUUUUUUCUGCAGGUAAAAAGGAUCGUGUUGUAACUACAAGAACAUCAACUCGCAAAAUUUAGCGCACGACGUGGUAAAAUUCAUACGCAAAUGCCGAAGAAGAAUACUCUGCAACAAAUUGCGCCUGUAACUAUAAGGCAGAUUUUCACGUACCUAAUACUCCGUCUGCCCUUAAUGGAGUAUUAGAGAAGGGCAAUCCUUACUUUUCACAUUUUCAUACAUUAGUAAAAAAUAAAUUAGAGUUUCUCUCCUUCCUAAUCGAUUAGAGCGCCGCCGCCUGCUUCCUCGUCACAGAUCGCCGCCGUCCUCCACUCUCAUCACAGCGCGCCGCCGUUCUGCUCCCUCUCUCCGGCGACCGCUCGUCGUCACUAGCCUCCUGCCUGGGCGAGGUUAACGGACGCCUGAUCUGGGCACUGGGGAGUGGGGCUACCUCGCGACCGACUCGCCUUCGUGCUGCGCGCGGUGUGCCUCGCUGCCGGGUUUGUGUCCUUGGUGACGCUCUUCAGGCUCAACCGCAGGUCACCAUUCUGGAUGUUUCUAUUCUGCGCGGCGCUCCUGGUCGCCGUGGCGGUCGCCUACGACUAUCUCGAGGUCGUCUGCGCGGCGGUGCCUCCAGCGUCGGUCGGGAGACAGAGGCGCAGCGGGGUGCGCGUGACGGCAGGAAGACACAGUGGGCUCUCUGCGCGGCUGCGACGUGGGCACUGAGCGGUCGCACUGGCGAUGUGCACCUCACGACGAUGUGGUCUCCCGUGACCGUGGUGGUGUUUGUGGGGGGCGGGGCGUCUGCCGUUGCAUUGGCGGCUUGGUAGUGUCUGCAGUGGACGAGCUGAUAGGUGGAGACGACACGGGAGAAGGCGCGGCGGCCGUGGAGUACCCCAGCCCACCGUCGCCACCAGGCCCGGCGAGGCCGCCGCGACGACCCUCGUGCGAACCAUCUGCGACCAGCGAGGUCGCUCGUUCCAUCACCAUGCGCUGGCGUGUCCGGUGGACUCGACAGCUCCGCUACUUUGCUGCCUCCGCCGCCAUCGAGGAGGCCUGCAAUCGGGGCCACGGGGAUCGACGGGAUACAGUUUUACCCCUGUCUGCGGAAUACUCCGUCUCAUUUCCACCUGAUACUCCACACGCCCAAAUUAGAGUAUCAGGGAGUACUAACUCAUGUGAGCCCUUAGAUCAAAGUAAAUGGGCGGCUCAAAUUAAUCUUGGGGUACUGUAGAAUAGCCCAACUAUAAAAACAUCACGUUGCAAAAAUUAAGCUAAUUAUUAAUCUAAGUUGGAGUUGCAAAAAGUCAGCACACAAAUUUCACUCGUAAUUUAUGAAGAGACAUUAAGUUGCAACUGCAAAAAAGAAGCAAAAAAUUAAAUUUUUAAUUGCUAAACUAAGUUGUGGUUGAAAAAAGUCAGCACAGAAAUUUUGCUUGUAAUUUGUGAAAAGAUACUAAAGAUGCAACUGCAGAAAUGAAACUCAAAGUGUGCAUUUAUUAAAGAAAAAUAGAGACCUGAAAUAACACAUCAACUACUUCCGAUUAACAUAGCUAGAGAAACUAAAUCAAUGAAAUAUAAAGAAAAACAUACAUGGCAAAUAUUAAUUUAGAAGAUGCACUUACCCUAACUACAUACUCUUAACAUUGCAUAUAAAAAAAAGAGAAGAGGUAAUGAAAACAAAGAAAAGCGAAGAGAAACAAGAAUAAUAAUAAGAAAAGCGAAGAUAAACAAGAAUAAUAAUAAGAAAAGUGAAGCAAGUUAUAAAUAAGAAACCAAAAAUAGAAAGAAAAAACAGGAAAACAAAAAAAUACCCGGAAAAAAUGAAACACUGAGAACUCGAACAUCCAACUUUGGAAUGACCACACUAACCACCAGGCCAACAAGCUAAUGCUAUCCUAAUUCAGUAGUUCCGCUAUUCAAUCUGUAUUCGCACAACUUCAACACGGAUCUUGGCACAAGAUCGGACGGUCCACACCAUUGACUGAGAAAUAACAAUUCUCAGGCGACCGAGAAUUAGCAAAACCGAUUAAAUAACUAAUUGGCUUCAUCUUUUAAAUAUUGCUUAAUGUUUCAGAUUUAACAAGUUGGCCAAUCAAAUGUUGACACAUGUCACCCUUGCUUGGCUUGUCAGUUGUUGAUACGUGUUACCCUUACUUUUGUUAUUCCGUUGCAACACACGGGCAUUUCAGCUAGUUAUGUCAAAUAUCUACAUGAUCUUUUUAGGUCGUUAACUAUAUGGAGAUAUCUCUAGAAGUAUCAGUGUAACUAUAUAGCAACAUAUCAUUAGAUGUACUAUAUCAAACCGUACUGCAAAAAUGGCUACAACACCAACUAUACAAUGGUUUGUAACUGCACAUCAUUCAAGUUGUCUCUCAAACUCGGUGGUUAUAUAAAGGAGAAUAUUAGAGCGUCAAUAUAUAGCUAUUGUAUCAUUAUAUAUAUAGCCAACAAAUCAAUUGGAGUGUGCUACUUCGUAUAACUCCAAUAAUCUAUUAAAACAUGUUAUUUAAUGUGAUAAAGUACAGUCCAAUAUCUAGAAAAAAAUAAAUAUUUUUUAAAUUCAUUAAAAAAAUAUUUUGUAACCAUAAGAAAAUUUUGAACAUUACAUGUCUAUGUAUUUCGUUCUUAUUUAUUUUAUUUUAGUUUACUAAUAGACUCUCCUCUAAAAAUAAAAUUAGUGUCAUGAAUGUCAAAAUACUAUAUGAUACAAAUUGCGCUUGCAAGUGGUGUACUCGUAUAAAUAUUCAUCACAUGCUCAAAAUUACCUUUUUGUCAUUCAAUUAUUUACAGUGCAAAUUAGGCAUACACCCAUGCGGCAAUAUGCACUCGAUUUCAUUAUUUUUUUGCAUCUGUUGUGACAAAAAUAUGUAUUUCAUUGGAAGAUAGUGUUCGUGGAGAAGGUGGAUCUGGAUGUUCGGACAAACUGAUUUGAGGAGAAAGGAAGAAAAUUACCAGGAAUAUGAGUAGUUGCGCACGGCCAAUCAAUUAUAUUGAAUCAUGUAUUGUUUUUUUUCGAGCGGAGCAGACGCAGCGGAUUAUACCAGCGCAAGAUCUGAGGAUGUUGCGGGCACGACCUUGUCGUCGCUGGAGCCCUCGGAGUGUGGCAACGGCGGCGGAUGCGGAUGCCUUGUGCCGCGGCGAUUGUGUUGAUCGACUUGCGGCUCUCCCACUGGAUCACCUCCUCUGAGUUAAACAACAUCUCAUUGUGCUGUAGCGCGUACAAGAUCGAGUCCUGAUCCAUCGACCCAAAUUACAAGCCGAAGGAAUGAAUAGGACCAAAAAGGGGCCGAAAAAAAUCUUAAACAGAAAUUAAUUAAAAGCAAACAACAUGAUCGAGAUGCUUCUAGAAGGCACAUCAUGGCGGCGGCGCGGACGAAGAUGGACGUUGACAGCGAGCGGUGGGCGGAGGAGGAUGCUGGGGAGAAGGCUGCAGGGUGAAGCGGCGAGGCGGCGAGGAGAGACUCCAUGGUAACAUAUACGAUAGUUGGUGGGAGACGGGAAGAGGAGAAUCUAGGGAGAGAGAGAAUCUGGCCGGUGAGAGGUGGCGCGACAACAGAGUGCUUGUGCAUGCCUUGAUAUCUAAUUAGUUUCGGAUUUGUACCAAAGUCAGGUGUUUGUAAAUCCCUCUUGUUCUGUGUGGUCUUGUGCAGUAGAAUGUGUAAUAUAUACACACGUAUGUUAAAAGUUGUAAACUCAGAUUUGCGUGAUUGGUUUUGGAUAAAUCUAACAAAUCUGCUUCCCAUUUUGAUACUGCUUAUCAAAACCACGUAGUCGAUCAUUCGAUAAAAUAUGGUUCCAGCAUUGAUAACUUGAUCACAACUUUAUCAUUAUAUACCUACCCCCAAGCGUAUAAAGAAAAUCUCCCGGGUUCCGUAUGUGCAUCGACAUUGGACUGUUUACCUACCUCCCUUAUUAAGCUAGCGUGCGCUAUAUGAUAUGUGAUCUUCACGAUGCAUCGAGUCUCGUCUACAUGACUCCAUCCAUCUUGUUCUGAUACCGCAUAACCAAAGUUGGUACUGAAUGGUGCAAGUCGGUACCAAAUAGAUGUGGUCAUUUGGGAAGAUCGAGCACGAAGAAAAUCAAAAGAACUAUUAAGGAAUUAAAAAUAAAAUAUAAACUAUAAGUCUUGUUGAGGAGUUGCUUUGGUUGAACAUUGCUACAAAACAAGGGCCUUAUGAAAAAUAGAUAAAGAUAUGUCCAUAUUUUCAUUUAUUGGGCCACGAUUUACUUGUCAAUGGUGCAAAUUCCGCAACAAACUGAAGAUGGGUGGUGGUGGGGGGGGGGGGGGUUGACGAUUUUAGAUGAUAUACAUUGCGAAUUUGCGAUUUUCUGAAGACUCGUUGAUGCUUACUACUAUGCAAUAUUGGGAAAAUUAUGGGCAAACAGGACUAUUCGUUUAAGUGCCCUCGAAUGGGGAACAAAAGCCAAAAAAAAGUUGGAAAAUAUUCAAAGAAAUCUUCCCACUUCCCCAUAGAAGUGAACUAUCAGAACAUAAGAUACACACAAAUGUCAGCAUAAUCGAGGCGGAAAAUUGCUGACUUGACCUUGUUCAAGCUUGUCCUCGCCAUUCACUUUGUAAGACAUUUGAAUACGCAUUGCAAGGUUUCUGCAUGUUCAAAGAAAUAGAGAUAACAAGAUAAACUAGCUAUAACAAUGGGGCAAAAGAUAAGUCCAAAACACUGAAGAGAACCAUGUACUCAAUAAUCGUGGCAUUCCAGGAAUCAUGUUUAAGUAUCAUGCAAAAAGGUACUAUCAUGGUACGACAAGCUAGAUCCCAUGUUGAUAUGUUUUGACAACUUCUUUUUGUCAAAUGUUACCAAGUUAUGUUACUUGUUAUCAGAUUAUGACUACGUGGUUACCAUGUUAAUCACCUGGUUACCAACCACUUUGUUACCAGUUUGCUAAGUAUCCACAUGCACCUACGUAAAAGACUUAUUUCUAUGUCCCGAUGUCAUCUUUUACUUGUCCAAACCUUUCGGUACUCAUUUUCUGAUAAUAACAUUGCAAUGAAUAAAUAAAUGUUUUUUACUUGAUAGCCAUAUAUUAACAAUGGACCGAUUGUUAAUAUGCUAAUCUUUCUCAACUAAUAUGGUAACCAUGAUAGUAUAAUCUGUUAACCGAUGGCGUCGGAAAAAUAUCAUCAAAAUAUAAUAAAUCGGGAUCGGUUAGGGUUCGAAACUCAGGAAUUAAGAGGUUAAUUUCUAAUUCAUAUUUCGUCUAUGAGGUCAGGUUUUAAAAUGGACAUUUCUCUUCGUCUGAGGAGUUCUUUACCAAAAGUCCUGUCAGCAAAGUUUAACGUGUCUUAUAAGUAUAUAUUUAAAGCAUAGGAGUAUUGAUUAUCUGAGCAAACACCAAAAAAUCAAAUUCAUGUCUCCAAAGCUUUGGCUUUUGCACAUGGUUUGCUUGAAGUCCCAAACAAUGAUGUGUUAUUUCUUGUGUCUGUGCUAAAAGGCUAGCUAAUCACGUGGGAAGCUUAAUCGUUGGUUCAUUUGGACCAACAUCUCUUGUGGGCUCAACCUGAAUUGAACAAUAGAAGUCUGUUUUUUAAAUAAAGAAAUGCACGUAUGUCGGUGAGUAAAAAUGAAUUCGAAAUAUUUCAUGACGAAUUAAAUGGAAAUAUUUCCACCUGAUCAAUAAUCUAAACAACACUCUGUUUUUACUCUUGCAAGAUUAUUAGAUGCCUUGUUGUCUUUUUUUUUGGAGAAUUGAUGCCUUGUUGUCGUUCACUACGGGCCUCUUCGGGCCGUAAAAUUGGAAGGCGCAAGAGAGAUUUUGUGAAAUCAUAUGUGAUGUGUAACAUUGGCACGUGUUUUAGGUGAAACAUUGAUGUGAAUACUUUGUAUAAUAUAGAUACUUAUGUCAUGAGAUGUAUCUUGUUUGGACUUAGUGCUUUGCUAGUGGUGUGUUGAUCCAUUAGUUUCUUAUAUGAAAACAUGGUGUGAGUUGUGCGAAACUUACCCCCUCGAGUCAAGUCAUGGACUUGUGCUCGUACUGGUUAUUUGUGUGUUUGCUUUCAGGUGUUGCCGGAGCUAGAGGAACAUGGUCGAUGACGGGAUCGAGGGACGAAGCUUGGGAGGAGCUGAGGUCGAGGGAUCAAGGUCAUACGGGACGUUCGUGCGAAGUAACAAUGGAAGUGAAGCUUACGAUGAUCCGGGAGGGCACCAGUUUGUCGUACGUUGUUUAUACCAGAGAUGUAUGGUAUUUGAGAUAUUCGACACGUGAUGGUCGAGUUUUGAAGACAUCACAAGAAGAGUUGAUGGCAUGAAGUGGCAUCGACGUGAAGACAUGUGGGUCCAGCCGUGGUUGGAUGAGAGCUGUUUAAAGAUUAAACAGUAGCGUCAUCAAGAUGGCGUCCGAUGGAAAAGUGGUCUACAUGAAAUUUGUGCGGGUCGUCGAGGCAGAACAACUUUUCUUUUGGAGUCAUCUCAAUCCGAGAUCAUAUGCGGGCCCCAUGGGCAGAAUACCGACCGGGAUAGAGGAGUUCGUGUUGGAUUCGGACUCGAUUUAGGGUCGCGACUUUUCCCAAAUAAAUAGAAGGCGUCCUAGCUAGGGUUUUGGCAAGGACGUGAGGGAACUCAGAGCUUUGGAUCUAGAUCAAUUCUUGCAGAGUUCUUGGAUGCAUGGUUGCAUCUUUUGUAAUCGAUCGACAUUGUUGCAAUUAAGAGAUUUGUUGGCGGUGUCAUUUUUGUUCUUCUCUGAUCUUCGUGGAUUAUUCGUGCUAGAUCUUUCUAACACUUUGCUGCAGAUUUAUCACGAGUUCAUAAUACUUUGCUGCAGGUUUAUCACGAGAUCAAGGAAAGAUCGUGAUUACUUCAUCUUUCUUGUUAUUCCUCGAAAUUGAUUAUAGAUUAAUUCUCGUAACUUUCUGUCAGCCGUUACUGUUUUGAUCAUAUCUUUUGAUUGGUACAUACUAUUGAGCUGAUUUUUGUCGCGUUGGUUAGAUGAUUUCAAUACUUUUCUUUUGCAUACUCGUACGUACAGAAAGGUGAUUUAGGGUUUGAACUUUCGAGAAAAGUUUUAAUUUGCUUCCGCGCAAUCAUUCACCACCCCCCUCUGAUUGCCUAUCUUGAUCUCACAGAUUUGUCUAAUGCAUCAUGGGCCACUUAGAGCAACUAAUGGGCCGACUGGAACACAGUCAGAUCCAUGAGCGAUGGGCUGGUAUAAAUAUUGGCCUGCGAGCCGUAACGUAAGGUAUCACAUACCUUUCCAUCUGUCUCUCUCUCGCCCUCCCCUAAAAAAAAUCUGUCUCUCUCGCCCCAGCCACUGCCUCCUGCCGUUGAAAUGGUUCAGGGUUUUUAGGCCGCAUCAUCCGCACGGCCAACGCCAGAUCCAGCCAGAUCCAAAGGUUUUUUUUUUGUUUUUUCUCGCCCUGUGAUCUAUCCCUCCGAUCCUAAAUAUUUGUCGUUGUUUUAGUUCAAAUUUGAAAAAUUUAGGAUGGGAGGGAGUAUCCUCUUGCUUUUUAAAAAAAAAUCAUCAGAUGAGGAAACAUCGUCAUAUGGAUCUGCCGCAAAUCUCUGUUCUUAUUUUGGCAGAUACGGGAGCGUUCAAUUUUAUAAAAAAAAAACAUCAGACAGAAUGUGUGGUGUUUGCCUCUCAUUCUGGUCUUCUUUUUUAUUUGAUUAUAUAACAUGAGGUGAAUAGUAUAUUGCCCUAUACUUGCCAGCGCUCAGAUCCGCGGCAAGCUGGUUGCCCUAUACUUUUUUAUUUCACAAUCGCAUCACCACACAAUUUAUACUCAUUUCCUUGAUUUUGAUUCGGAAAAAAUGCAAGUCAUCGGAGGUAGUGACCCGUUGGGAUCCAUGCCUGUGACAAUUAUUAUUUUUGUAACGGUACUUCUGAUGCCCGACACGAAGAUAAAUCGAGCAGCUGCUCCACCCACAUGCAGCUGCAGGAUGGGGGACGUGCGGGAUGCGAAACGCCGCUGACACACACUACCAGGAUCACAGAAUUUAGUGUUUUCAUGGAGCUGAAAAAACGCUCUCUUGCAGUGGUCGCCGUCGCCCGUCACACGUACGGCUUAUAUAGCUUUGAAAAAUUGCCAGCAAGAGACCGUGGGUUGCUCAUGUAUGUAUGAGUAUGUUUUUUGUUGUUGAGAACACAAAUUAAUCAAUACACACUGCCCGCGUUUAUUGAAGACUGAAGUCAUGCAUGGAAGGUCCGAGCUAGAGUAAAACUGCUAAGCUACAAGAGUAUUUUUGUGCCACACAUAUAUUGAUUUUUGCCUAACGGGUAAUUAAUCUAGCUCGUUGCAGAAACCGCAGCCGUCAUGGAGAAGGGUUCCCCGUCCGAGCAAGCCCUCAGGCAAGAGAGGUUCGAGGAGAUGUGCGGCAUGUAUCCUUUGCUCGGGCACAGGAUGGAGCUCCUCGCGGAGCAAGACCCUUUCUUCAGAAGCGCCUUUGUUCUGCUAGAUGCCGAGACGGCGCGUACGCUCGAGGAUGAACUUGAGUCAUUGAAAGCCGAGGAAAUUGAGUCCGAAGCUCCGAAGGCAUAUGAAGAGUUUGCCAAUGAUAUGGAAAGGUAUGACAUGUGGUUUUUAUUAUUUUACUUCUUUUUUUAAUAUUAUUCUAUCUAUAGACUCAUGUGCAUAUUAUGGGAUCGGAGGGAGUAGUCAUUAUUAAGAUUUUUCAUAGUUAGAAGAACACAAGGUUAGUGACAUAAAGUACUAGAUGCAAGUUUUGUGAUAUGCUUCUUUCCUUUCCUUGAGAGUAUGUAGUUGACAUAAGGGAGUUGAUACUGGUGCGGAGCGCAAACGCGCACUUGUUUAAGACUGCCUGUGCAGAAAUUAGAUUUCAUGUUGAAAGUGUUGCAUUUUGUUUCGUUAAAAGAUUAAUUAAUCUAUGUUCUUCUAGUCCUGACUUUCUUGCUGUAAAUAUUUGCUGUGCACUGCUAUGGUCUUUUUCUUUGUCUUGCUUGAUAAAUGAUAAUACCUUAUGUCCUUAUCCCACUUGUUUCCUUAUCUCUGUAUAAACACUUUGUUCUUUGACAUUGUUUUCCAAUCUUAAUGCUUCCCUAUUCUCUUUCUAUAUAAGCAAAUGGUAAGCUGUGCAUUUUUGUUCUAGUUAUGGGAAAGACAAUUAUGGUAGCUUAGGUUCUUACUUAAUCUCUCAUUUCUGUGCUAAUUGAUUGCUUGAUUUCUCAGGUAGCAUGAUUGUGUAAUUUGUUGCCUAUUUGGUUUAUUUUGCAAGUCAUGGUAUUAUAACAAGAUACUAGAAGGCCAUUUUCUAGUUCCGGUAACGGGAAGGAUUCCUGCUGAUCAUAUAUGCAACACAGUAAAAAUAAUUACAUUACAACCUGCAGCUAAUACAUUACUAGUCAAAAUAUAGUUCUUCUUUGUUACAUGAAUAUUACGAAUGUUUAUUGCUUUGAAUCCCCUUUGCAACAUCCGGGAUAUUAUCUAGUUUCAUAGAGCAAUAAGAUACCAAAAAGGCAAAGUAAUUUACUUGUCUUUGCCAUAAAAAAUAAUUAUAGUACCUUUUUUCGUGCUAAGUUGAUUUUUCAAUUUAUUUCAUUGCAGAUGUAAAGUUCGCCAUGGUUACUUGAGCUUUCACAACCUGCAUAGACAUGUAAGUUCUAUUUAACAUGAUUUAUGUAAAAUUUGAUCAUUUAUCUUUGCAAACAAUAUUUAAUGUAAAGUAAGUAUAAUCUCUCUGAAGAUAUCUUAAAACCCAUCAAUUCCACAUGAGUAAAAAUGGUACUUUUAUGAUUUGUCUAUAGCUUUUCACUCCCCACAAUGACGCCUGUGUUCGAGAAAGAUUUUUCUCUCGCCCUAGAGUAUUAAGCACACAAGUUUAUGAAUUUUAUUCGCUAUAAAAGCCUUGUUCUAUUUGAAUACUGUGUGUUGGUUUGUUCCACACAACUUUAUACUCCGUACUUUGUUUUCUAAUCUAACAGCAAGUGAUGGCGAAGAAAAGGGGCCAUGGAACCCUGAAGGAUGCUCAGUAAUGUUGGAAGAUAUGAUUAGUGGUCAAGAUAACGGGGGGACAUAGUUAAAUCUUUUGGCGUUAGGAUUUCGCAGUUUAGCUUCUGGAGCAGAAAAUGGCGAUGCCGUGUUCUGCAGCAAAUUGUGUUUUGCCUCCUUGGUGGUCAAUGGUUAGUCAUGAGCGGUAAAUAGCAGAACUCUGGUGUGUCUCUAAUGACCUGAUGUCAUGUUUGUUUGACCAAAUGUGUGCCAACUUGUCUGUACUGUUGUCUGUUCAUCUGAUCUUGACAUAAUGCCUUGUGAUCAAUGGUUUUGUCGAAUCAAUUAUGUCGUUAUGCUUAGCAUGUUAGAAAUGAGAUGUUGUGCCAGCAACACACCAAGACACCAGAGGUUGGCAAUGCAAUAUAAAAGCAGGCGAAAACAGUUAUUAUCUUUUUUUUAGAAUGACCAGAAAGAAUCAUCUCUCAAGUAAAUUAAUAAUCACCCGCAAAUUGAUUUCCCCUGGUUUUGAUUAUAAAAAGCCCACGAGAUGAACAAAUACAAUUAUACAACACACAUUGACAGCCAGAAACAAAUCUCCGAGUCGGAAUUAAGCCGAGCUGAUCAGCUUUGUUGUUCCUACAAAGCUAGCUCGUUGAUUCUUCAAACCAAUAGCUUCUACAAAGCUCUCUCUGUUAUUCUGAGUAAAGCUCUGUUGUUUUUAAUUUGGGGUAGAUAUAAUCUAGAAAACAUCAAAAAAACCUAGUAUCAAACAAGGCCUUAAAAUAAUUUUCCAUUUGAUUCUAGAUUACGAGCACAAUGUUGACUCGUGCAUCUCGCUUUCCAUCGCACGCACGUAGUCUAGACGCCGUGUUGCACGCAUCUUGUGGUCAGCCAUGGCACUGACAUGUGGGCGAGGAAACACCUGUGGUCAGUCCGUCAGUGAGAUAAGGAGAGGGCGCGGCAGGUACGUCUCGUUUCCUCAGGGGCUGCUGGAAUUUUCCUUGGCGUUGCAGCUGGCUGGCGUCUUGGUCUGUUGGUCAGGUGUCAUUGAUGCGUUGACUGAUGCACGUGGGGUGAGAUGAGGAGAGCUUCCUCGGCAGGCAAGCUUUCUUUCGUUCUUUCUUCCACUCUUAUCUAAAACAAUUUUGUACAUACUGUUAUUUUGUUUUGACCAUGAGGAUGAAAGCUCUGCCAAUCAUCUGCUGGGAUAGAAAGUGGGUGGAAGCCCUUUUGUUUUGACCAUGCAUCUUCUUCUCCCAUGUGUACAUACUGUUAUUUUUAGAUUUGGUAUCAUGCAAGUAAUGUAAUGUACCGACCUAGUCUUGUUCCCAAUUUUAAAAAAUGACAGCACAGCACAUGUGUUCUAAUGCAAUAAAAAAUCCUGCAAGUUUGGCACGCAUGGUAAUUUCUGAAAAUUUCGAAAGACUUGUUUGGCAAGAGAGCAAAUUUUAGACAUAAUCUCCUUGAUGAACCUUGCUUGGGAAGAAUUGCACCACCUGCACUCGACCUCCUUAAGCCACCACAAGAAGAAACAACAAUUAUCUUCCUUUUCAAAAAAAAACAGCAACACGUGUUUACUCACUCACAUGCCUCGUCAUGUUUUGUGAAUCGAGCCGAUCCCGACACCUCAUGGUUUUGAAUUUUGCUAGUCAGGACGGUUUUGAAUCGUGCAAAGUCGACUCAGGUCCUAACCGAGUGGCUAUAUAAAAAGAGGUGUAUUGUCCAGAAUCUCAACCUUCAUGUCCUACCCAUCACUCUUCCACUCUUACUGUCCUACUUAUGCUUAUCACUCCUAAGACCACAUGCACGGUUGUUCAAGAGAGUUGACCUUUGCAACUGAGUCAUUCGAGAUUGUGCACCGGAGAUGACCGAUAAGGUUUUUGCGGACCGUCCUCACACCAUUACUCGCUUUUGAUCAACGAUAUCUUCAUCACCAUAGACGACAAACCAACAACGACGAUUCCACCAACACCGCGGCUUCGCCCACUGCUUCUGCUAAUGUCCCCCACUUGUUACUUGUCCUAUUGUUAAGUUUGACUUCCUAUUUUACCAAAACUUGGUAAAGUCAAAUCCUUUGCAUGUGUUGUCACAACUUAUUGAUUUCGUCCACCUGAUGAACUGACAUCAUGCAUCUUCCUUACAGAAGUUAAUCACAUGGAUGCAAUUAAGUGGGGGGGGGGGGGGGGUUGCUAGGGAGUGUGCGCGCACUUUUGGCAUAAAAAGUUGCCCCCGACCAGAUAACAGUCCUCCUGUGGUCCCCGUGCAUGUGACAGUGACAUUUGCUUCUCUCCUCCUGUUGUGGUCCCCGCGCUCCCCACGUGACGCCAAAACAAACAGUUCAGAUAUCAAAUGCUUCUUCCCCUCCUCUACACUGCCACACGUUUCUUCAUCUAAUCGAGAAAAAAAAAACCCACAAAUUACAUUCGACGCAAACAACUCUAUCAGAUCUCUCUCUUCUUCUGUUCUAUGAGAGCAUUACCGAAAGUUACUUUGUCAGGCUCUGGUCGAUGUAACUUUUAACGUCACGAUUACAUCUAAAAAAAAUCUAAAAAGUAACUUUAAGCAUCAAAACUACAUCUACUUGAUUCAUAAAAGUAACUUCAUGCACUGAAAUUACAUCCAACAGAAUAAGAAAGUAACUUUGAUCCAAAAUUUACAUGAAGCAGAAUCACAAAGUAACUCUGACACAUAAGUUGCAUCAAUUUACAUCAAGCACUGGACACAAUUCAGAUUAAGGGAGUAUGGACACACACAGGCACAUGAGCUAGGUUUGUACCUGGCGAUUAGAACCAAAGGUGAGCGAGUAUAUAUGCACCUCACCAUGAAGCAGAUCCAUUUGCACAUGGGAGGAGGGCAUGGCGGCAAAGGUCGUGAGGAAAGCCGGGUCGCAGAGGACGGAGCUCCAGCGACGUGAGCUGGAACGAAGGCAGAAGAGCAGGAAGGACGCGUGCAAGCACCUGGACGAGGAGGUCGUCUGGCGCCGCCCAGACGCGGCCCCCAUCCGGACGUCGGCGGCUGCCGAGGCGUGGCGUCCCCCCGCCUUGCUGUUGGGCAUUGCGGCACGGGUCUUCUCUUCCAGCCAUGAGCACGGCUGCGACGAGCUUGUGUGCGUGCUCGCCGACGCCGUUGUAUGUUCCAUCGCCGCUGAUUAGGUUUGGGAGGCCGGGGGUGUGGGCGCACGAGGCCGGGUUGGGAUUGGGGUUGGGGGCGCCCGGCGGAAGAGGGGGAGGCCGGGGCUAGGGGCGUGCCGGCGGUAGCGAGGGAGACUGAUCGAGGCUGGGGACGCCCCGGCGGCGGCGGGGGCAGGAAGGAGGCUGUGCGAGGUGAGGGAGGGACACGUGCGAAUCAGAGGAGACGAGGGGGAAGAGAGAGAGUGGGGGAACAUGUGGAUGUGUUUCGGUGGAUAAGGUUCACAGGGCGAGAGAGGCGAGAAGUGAGCACCGAACGUGAAUACAUCUUGCGCGGUCACAAGUUAGAUUCGGCGUUAAGUGGGACCCCACUUAUAUCCCAUUUUGAGGUCAUUACAAAUUUGUCAGUUCAAAAACUUGUUUAAAAUUUGAUUUUAGAAGGUAGCCUACAAGCAGGACAUAUGCGAGAUCACGCUUGCAUCCCUAGGCAGCAACAAUCCAACAAAAAGUAAAUACAAGCAGGACAUCUGCGAGUAGGAAACUUUUUAGAAUGUACUCCCUCCGUUUCAUAAUUCUUAUUGAAAUAUUACAUAUAUCUAAACACUUUUUAGAAAUAGAUACAUCCAUUUUUAGUCAAAUUUGAGACAAGAAUUGUGAAACGGAGGGAGUAUAUAUGGAACAGAAUCUCAAGCAAAUUAACUAGCAGUCGCAACUUAAUCUGACGAAACACACCCUAGUUUUGACCAUCUAAAUACAACCAAACCAACCCACGAGAUGAAUACACGAUCACACACAUGGACAGAGACAAAUCUGUCACAUGAGGCCCGGGCGAGAAUGGAAGGGGAAGUGCGGCGUCGUAAGGGCAGCCCGAUCAAGGUUGCUGCUCCUCUUCUUCUUCUUCACCUCCUCCGUCGUUACACCUUGCUGCUGCUUCUUCUUCCUGCCAUGGCCACCAGCACCAUUCACAGACGGCGAUGAGGAGGAGUUGCUCUUGGGGACUGACGGCACGCAACAACAGAACAACCCCAUUUAUAUAUAUAUCUAUAGCCUUCUUCCUUUUCCCCUUCGUUUACAAGCUCUCUCUUUCCUUCUGCAGCUUUAUAAACUCGAUCUGCUGUUCUUUCUACUCUCUGUCUGUGUGUUGGUAAAGCGGAGAGGUUCCUGGGCACCCUUUUAUACUGAACUCGAUCUCCAAACUUCCACCUGAAGGUUGCUCCUAUAGUUGCUCCUCUCCUGCUCCCGAUUUUCUUUUUAUUAUCCAACACAAUGUUGACUUGUGCACCUCGUAUUCCUUAGGCACCGUGAGCACGCAACUUUGUAGUAGCUGAAAGGGCUGACAUGUGGGCGAGAAGAACUUAGGGCCAUCUUGUCAGUGAGAGAAGUGGAUGGUGUGGCUGGUAACUAUCGUUUGCUCUGGGCCUCUUGGAUUUUUCUUAGGCCUUGGUCAUGUAGUAAACCGAAGCACCUGGAUGAGGUUAGGAGGCGAGCUUCCUUGGCAGGCAAGCCUCUCAGAUAAAACAGACUUCUUUCUUUUAUUUUUUCUAUAUUUUCCGGGAAAACGAUUUUGUGCAUGUGGAUUGAAAAUGAAAGCUCUGCCAAUCAUCGAUCUCUUGGGAUAGAAACUGGGUGGAAGCCCUUUUGUUUUGACCAUGCAUUUUGCUUCUCUCUUUUAAGAAUUGUUUGCUUGGAUCUAAGCUUAAUGGACCAAACAAUCUCACUCUACAUUUCUUUUUCUUGAAUUGAUCACGCAAGUAAUAUAAGCGUACCGAUCAUGUCUUACUCUCGGUUACACAUAUGUAGAUAACGCGCGUGUUUAGUGUAAAACAGGAAAUCAUACGAGUUUGGCCCAUACGGUAAUUUUCGGAACUCUGAGAGGCCGAUUAAAUCAAGUGAUAAGAGUUCAAAUUUCAGGUCCAUCUUGCUAAGGUUAGAAGAGUUGCACCACCUGCACUCUAUCCCCUUGGCACCACGCAAUAUGCUUGUGUCAUGUUUCGUGAAUCAAGUUGAUAUCAUUAGCUUACGUGGUUUUGACUUUUGCUAGCCAGAACCGUAUCACGUAAAUCGACUUGCAUUAUGACCGAGUUGCUAUACAAAGAGGCGCUCUACCGAGAAGAAUCUUGACGCAAACCCAUCUCCGGGCUUUGGUCAAAAAAAAAAACCAUCUCCGGGCCUCCAGGCCUCCAUAGCCCUCAAAGCUCGUCCACCGGGCCUCCUCCAGGCCCGCCACGAUCCAGCCCACCCACACAAACACUCCUCUAGAUCUAUUUAUCCUGUCCUGCCCUAUCUCUGCAUAGUUCCCCUUUCUCUUUUUUCCAUGCCACUUCGGGACUCCCCAGUCCCCACCCCACUGGCCCUGGCCUGCACUGCACUCUCACGCGCUGACACCCCGCAUCAGCUUUUGCAUCUGACACCCCUCUCUCUCCAGCCCCCACACCACCAAUGCAUCAGCCGCAGCAGAGCAGAGGGCGCCGCUGAACCCAUAGAGCUUCGCCCUCCCUCCCUACUGCGCCCCUCCCUCUCACAAUUUAUCCGCCCCCAAUUUGCUUCCUUUCUUUCUCCCAGUCCCAGGUUUCUGCUCCCUGGGCGUCCGUUUCGUUUCUUGGGGAGUUGUUUCCAAAGGUAGGGUUCUCGCCCCUCGUCUUGUGUCCGUUCUCGAUCCUUCGGUCCGGUUGUACAGGCAGCGCGUGGAAAAGCUGGUGAACGUCUGAUAUGUCUGGGCGUGUAGUGUAGUGUUCACAUCUAGGGUUGUUCUUGGCUUUGGGGAGCAAUGCUGUCCAACUUUUGCGAUUCCUUUGGUUCUUGUGGAUGAAUCUCCAGGCAAUGCUGCUCUUUUACGGCAAUUUCGUGUUUUUAUAGUCGUUGUUGGUCAAAUUUGUUUGAUUUAUACGCCUUGAUCUGUUUUUGGGGUUCAUAGCAUCCACAGGGGUCUGAUAUUGGAAGUAGACGCUGUUGGUGCUGCUGCGUAUUGUCGGUGUUAAUUUGUUUCGCCUCUAUGUUUGUGUGCUCUUUUGGGGGCAACUGAUGCUGGUUUGCCCUAAUUUAUCGUAUAGUCAACGAUACCGCCUUGAAGAGCCCUCCCCCCCCCCCCCCCCCCCCCCCCCCUUAUCUGAAUAUUCCUGCAUGGUCAGAGGGCAUAAUCUGUGCUUUUUGUUCCUGUAGAAACUUGGGGGCAACAAUUGACUGGAUUUCUUGAAGAAGAGCACCGUCGAAUCUGUUUCACAUGGUAGGGUCAUGUCUAUUUGGCUAUGUUAAUGAUUUUUAAUUGCCACUAUCUGUGAUAAAAUGAUAAUACGAAAUGUUUUGCAUUUUGUCCCAACACUUAUAUGGAUGAGUUUCCUGUUCAUGUAGAUGCCCAAUUUCAGCAAACAGUGACACCAUUGAUUGGUUUGGCUUUGGUAGCCUCUGCUUUCCUGGUAAAUUUCUUUCUCCCGAUGGAAAUGCUGUUAACUUCUCACCUAUUGCUAGAUCUUGUCAUCUGUUUGUAUUACUGACACUGCGUAACCAUGCCUAUUAGUUGAAGUGACUAGGUAAGGUAUUACCAAGUUUGUCAUACAACAUAAAUGUUCUCAAUUCUGAUAGUUUGGAUUUCCUCGACAUAAAUGAGUUGAUAUAAACAUGGAGCCUACUUUCUUAGGUAUCGUUUGGUAAUAUUGUGUGGAUAUGUGCUAUAUUUCCGAUGUGUCUCGUAGUUUUGGUUUAUUCUACACAUUCCUUUCAGUCCAGUAGAUUUCCAUGUUGUAGUGUUCAGAUUGUAGAACUCCUUGGUGGUACGGAAAUAUAGAAUUAUAAAUAUCGUUAAAUAGGAGAACUGGCACUAAAGGUGUUGACCACUGGGCCAGAUUUGGAUAGCUAAGCUCAUAUGUUAAAAGCAUUUUCUUUCAGAAGAUCGCUUGAAUUAUUCUACAAUUAAUCUCUGAUCAUUCCAUCUUCUAGUGCUAGUAGCAUGAGCAAUUCAGUGUAAUCUUCACCAUCAAGAUCUGACAUGACAGCUAAGGUUGAAGUUCGCAUGAUGCUACACAGGGAGGUUUCUGAAUUAGCUCUCCUACCAUAAUGGUAGCAUGAUAAUUAUUGGAUAAGGAUGCGUGCACUGAUAUGUAUCUGUGCCUAUCAGAAUAGUUUCUUUUUUAUAAAAUUCCGAUAGACCAAUUGGAUGACCAGUCUUGUUUUUACAACUACGGGAAAGAAAAACAAUCAAUCUGCAUUCUCGCACACAAACAGCAAAUUGAAGCCAUCUGCCCACACCAGCGACAAUCCAAUGCUCAGUUUAGGACUAGAUGGAUGGAACAGGCUGGCACGUCCUCUUUUUGCAUUUUUUUCCUUCAAAUUUGUAUGGAUGUAUCCUUAUUCUUUGGAUAACAUCAUAUCUCUAUCCAUAUGGUGUAUAGAGGCAACCAUGCCAAACUUGUCCAGAGCCGCUGAGAAUUGCUCCCUCUGAUCCGUAUUAGUUGUCGAAAUAUUACAUGUAUAUAGACGCUUUUUAGGCAUAGAUACAUCCAUAUUUGGGCAAAUUUGAGACAAUUAAUAUGGAUCGGAGGGAGUAGUAUUUUAUUGGUUGGGCAUAUGGAAUCUUGUCAUUGUAGAACGGUUAUGGAAAGUUUCUCAACUGGAAGUGAGCGAAAUUCAAUUUUAGUUAUAAGCAUGUCUGCAGUAUAAAUUAAACUAAAUUAUGGAAGCACGGAUUUGCAACAAUCUCUUCAGUGGUAAGAUUUGCAAAACUUGGUCAAAACGUGCAAAUCAAAUGUCUUACAAUGUCAUGAUCGUCUCGCUUCUUCCUUGCACUCAAGUUGCAUGUUCUGAACCACAAAAAAAGUUGCAUGUUCUCAUUGAAUCGAAGAUAUUUCCGUCUGGAAUUAUUAGUAUCAAGUAUAUGUACGUACUUUAGUACCUAGGUGCCGUGUACUGAGUACAGGUACGUUGUAUCGUAUGGUACUGUACCGGGAGUCAACGUACGGUACCUGUAAUAUAUGGAAGUCAGUGCAUGGCCAGAUUGAACCUUUUCAAAGAUCAGCGACAUUCCUCUAAACAUAGAGAAGGAAAACCAGAAAACAUAAUCAAAAAAAUUUGGGCUGUUGCAUAUCUUGUCAAAAGAUUACGUCAUUAUGGCGCUGAAGCAAUAAGUGUUGCUUUCUAUGUAGAACUUCUCAUGUUCUCCAAGAAGUAGCUUUCAGCACUAGUGCAUUGCUGAAUCCACCCCAUGGCAUUCUAGGCGAUGAAAAUACCUAACCCCAAAAAGGUGACGAAGGUGAUAAGAAUCUCUAAUUCGUUACCUUUCCCCUCUUUGUUUUUGUUUUGUUUCCAUCUGUGUUCUGCCACGAACAUUCGAUAUAUGAUGUUUGAGAUCUUGGAUAUGUUGGAAAAUUGGAUCCUUGAAAUCCAGAGAUGUUGCAGCUUCGGUUUGGACUUGUAAGCUGUGGUGCCAAUCAUGCAUUUUUAUGAGAAAUCCAACAUCGGUUCAGCUAAUUGAAGGUUUGGUGUAUUUAUGAGUCGACAAUGAUAGAUUGGUGUCCAAUUUAGGUAAUUCUAUCAUGUUUCGGGUUGUGUGAUAGGGGAUUGGCUACAAGUGAAUGGAUGACCAAUUAUAUCAGUGAAAUGGCGUCUUACCUGCCAUGUUCGUUUUAGAGUAUUAAGUUUGCAAUAAUUGAGCUCAUGGUGAAUUUGUAGAAAUGAGAAAAUGGAGCUAGUGUCCCUUUCAGGAAUUGUGGACUUGAAGAUCAGCUGUCUAGACAAUAAUGAUAUGCUGCAUAUAGAUAUUAGGGAGUCUAAAUUUGGCCAGAUGUUUGGUUCCUUGUGCUAGCAUGUAAGAGACAUAAUGUAUAGAGUUUCAUUAUGUUCUCAAGAUCCAAAGUUAGAUGAACAGGAGCAGUGAGAAUGCCAAGAUUCAUUGGAUUUUGUUGAUGUCCUUUCAGUUCUUUAGUUUUCUUUCCAAAAUAUGUCGAAUCAUUUUAGCUUCCCUCAAGGAAAGUUACACAAACCAUAGACAUUUUGGCACCCAUGAUAUGCAGACAUGCGUAAAGUCGGGUUCAAUUUACUUUCAGACACUUACUGGACCUGUAGCUCAGUGUGAGCAAAGGAGCAUGCAUUAUAUCUUUUGGUUAAUACUAACUCCUAGAUAUAGGGAAAAAGAGGCAAGUGCCAGUUUGUUUGUUUUUUCUCUGCCAGCUAGCUGUUUAAAUUUAUGAAAAAAAAGGUCCACCUUUUCACUUUUAACUAUGCCGCAUGAGUUCGAUUUUCAACCUGGAACUACAUAUCUGUCUACUACACAUCCUUCAACCAAUAAAAAAUCUAAUCCACAUUCUUCAACUAAUGAAACUCCACAUCCUUCAACUAAUAAAACUUGAUAAGAUGCCCUCUCCACCCGUUUUAUGUGUUUAAAUAUGCACAAACAAAGGGUGUCAAUCUCUCUAUGAAGCGUGUCAAUACACAGACAGUUAGCAUCAUCUAUAUCUAUACUACUACUAAAAGCUCGAGUUGUGGUGGAUCCAGAAGAUCUCUGCCAUCGAACCGUGCUAAUCCAAUGCCCCAAGUUGCUUCAAUGAUGUAUGUUGUGCAACACGUUUUAAUUACCCACCAAUGCGGCAAUGCCACACUGACCCAUUAAUUACGGAAACUUAACAAAUUACAAAUCUAUCUUUUAGUUUCAUGUCAGCAACUAACAGAAAGCUUUCAAUCAACUAUGGAAACCCUCAAUUAGUUACAAAUCAAUCCCAUCAAUUCAAAAUCACUACAAUUAUUGGAUAAUUUUUCCCACCAAUAGAUUCUCAUGUAUUAGUUGACACGUGCUUUGCACGUACACAGUUACUAGUUUUACUACAAUGUCUAUGAUUUUUAUAUUUAACUAUGCGCUUCAUUCUGUCGUUUUACAGCAUAUUUGUGUCUGUAUUUUUUAGCUCAAUUGAACCAUUGCUAAUUGCUGCAGUUCGUGGUUCUUUCAUGCAGGAUUUGUGAUGGAUUUACAAAAACGAAAUGAGAUGAGUCUGAAUGAGAAGAGAGAAUUAGUCUACGAAGUUUCGAGAUUUCCGCAAGGUGCUGCUGAGAUUCUUCAAUGCUGGACCCGUAGGGAUCUUCUCGAGCUUAUCUGUGCUGAGCUGGGCAAGGAGAGGAAGUACACCAAUGUUCCAAAAUCUAAGAUGAUUGCCUAUCUGUUAAAACUAGUUUCACGAAGGAAAGUUGAGCUGAAAAAUGAUAAGUCAGUUGCUUUAUUAUUGGGGCAGAAUAACCACAAUGAGAUGCAAAAGAAAGCAAAUGGGGAACAACCACAUCAUGUCACUAAAAGUGUGAACUCUGAUUUGUCAUUAUGCAGAGAGGUCCGAGCUGGUAGUUCAUUGAUAUGCAGAAAUAUUGCAUGUCAAGCCACCUUAAAUGAAGGAGAUGCAUACUGCAAGCGUUGCUCUUGCUGCAUUUGCCAUAAAUAUGAUGAAAACAAGGAUCCGAGCUUAUGGUUAGUUUGUAGCUCUGAUAAUCCAUAUAUUAGUGUUUCAUGUGGAUUGUCAUGUCAUUUAAGGUGUGCUUUAAAGAAUAAAAAAGCUGGCAUUCUCAAGAAUGUGUGCAACAAGUUAGAUGGCAGUUUCUACUGCAUUUCCUGUGGGAAGAUCAAUUGGCUCAUGAGGUAACCUCUCGAUUGUUUCCGUUUGACUAGUAAGCACAACGUGCUACUGGUUCUUGAUCAGUUGUAGUCAAUUGUGAUAUCCCUACUUCUUUUUGUGCCAAGUAAUUUUAAGGCCACAUUUCACCUGGAAAAUUUGAGACAGAAUUGUCUAUCUUUCUGUAAAGGAACCAUUGAUUGGAAUAUCCCCUACGUCUAGGCAUCUCUCUGAAAGUUUCGUUCUUAAACAAAAAUCUGUCAGUUAAUCUUUUGGUGUUGAAUUAAAAGAGUUAUGGUAGUCUAUUAGUACUUUCCUUUUACUAGUUAUCGUCAUGAUGAGACAGUCUUUACGCUUUUCAUCCGUCCGUUAACAAAUUUCCAUAAAUAGAGGGAAUGCCGGAAGGGGCAUAAGUUCGAUAAUUCCACACUAUCAAUAGUAAAUCCCUCUCAAGUUGCAAAUAUUGUUUCUUUUAUAUCUCUUCCCUGUCAAAAUUCUAACUGUGGUUUUUCACGUAUUACCUUUUCCAGGAACCUGAGGAAACAACUAGAAAUUGCAAGGCAAGCUAGAAGAGUUGACGUGCUAUGUGAGCGAUUAUCGUUGAGCCAUAAAAUGUUGAAAGGGUCUGAACACUACAAGGAACUUUCAAACAUAAUCAGCUCAGCUGUGAAAAUACUUGCGAAAGAAGUUGGCAGCGCAUUGGAUCAAGUGUCUGCUAUCAUUGGGCGGACCCUGGCUAACCGCCUUACUUGUGCUGCUGAUGUUCAGAAACUCUGUUUGUCUGCACUAGAAAUAGUAGCCUCUACAGUGGCAAGCACCUCAGUGCUUGAGGCAAACAAUAAUCUGGAACCCCUAGGUAAGUUCGUAUGGUAUUUGACUUACUAGAACAGCAGUUGCACUCUGAGAACUCAUCCUUCCAGAAACUAGUAUCAGUUACAUGUAUCUGAAAAAUGCAAUGUUGUAGACUACAACUGUGUAUUAAUAGGUGGUACUUAAUUUUGCAGGUUACCAACCCCAAAUUCUUUUUGAGGAGAUCACACCAUUUUCUUUAGUUAUUGUAUUGAAAUAUCAGGAUAAUAUCUAUAAGGAGGACAUUGACGGUUGCAGAGUUUGGCACCGAAAUGCCAAGGUGCUCAACUAUCCAGUGGAGCCCACAUGCCACAUACUGAGACCAAAUACUAGGAACCUUGUUUCGGGUUUAAGCCCUUCAACGGAAUAUUUCUUUAAGGUUUUGCCUUUUGGAAGCACACUGCGGUUCGGUGAAUGUGAGGCAAAAUGCUCUACACGGAGCCUUGACCGUGGCAGCAGCCAGUGUUCAACUCAAAAUUCUGAGAGCUUGUGCAUCAAAGAGGAUGUGUUGCGGUAUCAGAAAAAUGAGUUGAAUUUGCAGAAACAAGAAAGGGUCAUCCAAUAUGACUCGCCUAAGGCUUCUACAAACUCAAGUGAGAACAAUGAGUCCCCUGACAGGUAUUACAAGCGCACGAAGAUUGCAAGGUUGGAUGGCACAAGUGACAAUGAUGAAAGCCAGUUGCCACCGACAUCGGAAGUUCUACCAUUGGCUGGUUCAAACUCUUCUCCUUCAGAAGCUCCCAACAAACCCGACUGGCUUAGCAGCACCCCUGAUUCGGCAUGCAAAAACUAUGUGGAGCAGCAAUACGAGUACUGUGUGAAGGUGAUCAAAUGGCUGGAGCACGGAGGACACAUGGACAAGGAGUUCCGAGUGAAGUUCCUCACUUGGUUCAGCCUGAAGUCAUCGGCGAAGGACAGACGCGUUGUUAGUGCCUUCGUCCAUGCUCUCAUCAGCGACCCAGCUAACUUAGUCGCGCAACUGAUGGACGCAUUCAUGGAUGUCGUCUGUAGCAAGGAGAAGCCUGCUCAAUCCAAAUUUCCAUGCUACAAACUUUGGCAUUAAAGGUCUCCAUUUCCGCUGCGAUUCUCUUUAUUUUGAGAGCAACUGUAUGCUGAUUGGACAACGAACCAUUCUAGUUAUUGCUCUUUGUUGAUGAUUGUUCUGUUGUUUCUGAAUUGUGGUGGUUGGACCAUUGGGCAAUGUUAGGUGGAUAAACUAUGCUCCGAAGUUACUGGCAAGACAUGAAUAUCAGUAGUUAGGUUGAUUUUAGAUGCUUCAAUUUAGGUGAUCUGGCCCAAUUAAUGUCCCAUUCUAUUUUAUCAUAAGUUCUGUCAGUUGUAUGCAUAUCUGGAAUGGUACUGUGAAUCUUUUUUAUACCGCGAAUGGUAAUGUGACUUUGCCACCUUGGUAGCAUUAACUGUUGUGAAUUUCGUGAAAUCAUAUUCUGAUUAACGCAUGUUUUAUUGAUAAUUUUCUUUUCGAGUGAAAUGUUGAUGUGGAGUACGAGCAUGGACAGAAUACAUUUAGGUGAAAUGCACAGCAACAAAAUAGAGUAAAAUGCACCGGAGGUCCUAAUUCUUUCGCAAAUGUCCCAAGUUAGUCCCAAUUCUUUAAAUCUGCACAUUUUAGUCCUAAUACUUUGAUAAGUGGUUCAUCCCAGGUCCCUUACUCGCUCUGGCACGUGCCGCCUGCCUACGUGGCUGUUCGGGCCCACCGGUCAGGUGCCACGCGGACUGCGCUUUUGCACAUAACCCCCUCAUUUCUCUUCUUCUCUCCCAUGUGAGCCCAACCUCUUCUUCUUUGUUCCUCUUCUCUCUUCCUCUUCUCAGCGACACAGAGGCGACCCGACGUGCGACGGCGAAGAAACUGCCAUUGCCGGCGGCGGACGACGCAGGCCACUCCGCCGAGAUGGCCCCAGUCCGCCGGGAGCCAGGCGCCAGCCAAGCUAUGUACGGUACGUAAAACCCUAGCCUGGCGGAAACCCUAACCUAACCUCCAUUGCUGUUUUCGCGAUGUAUUAGUAUGAAUUAGUUGUAGCGGAUGAUAGGCAGAAGUAGUUUCGUAUGAAUUUGAGCACAAAUUUUGUCAUUUAUCUGCUUAGGACCCAGUGAUUCAUUGUUCUCUGUAAGCAUCAGUCAUGGGGGAUUCUUUUGUGGCUUCAGGGCAAACAGGUCUUAUGUAGAUGGUAGUGUUGCUUGGUUUGAUGGAUGAGAGGUUGAAACUUGGUCACCUCUUUGGAUUAAGGACUUCCUAAAACAGUUGGGCUACAUUCACAACAAGUGUAAGGUGUACUGGCUUCUUCCUGGGAAGAACAUGGGUGAUGUAUUACGCAUUGUUGACCGUGAUGCAGACACUUUAGCAAUGGCUUCGGUUGUUCCAAAGUUUAUGGUUUUCUCACUCUAUGUUGACCAUAAAGAUGAGCUUUAUAGCAACCUCUGUUUGGAUGAUGUUUGCAUUGUUGGCUCACCACCACUGCCUCCUGUCUUGAACCCAAGGAAACCAAGCAUGAACAAUGCACAGACUAGCCAAGCAGCUAAAGAGAAAGAGAGAUUGCCUGACCACAAUGUUAUGCACAGGAGUAGAAGGAAUGUUGAACCAGCAGAUGGAGAUGUAGAUGCUGAUGGAAGUAGUUCAGAUGACAUUGGUUCAGAGUGGGUAGACUCUGACAAUGAGAUAGGAAAUGAUGAUGAUGAUCUAUUUGAUGACUGGGUUGAUGAUGUGCAUGAUAAGAGUGCUGACAAAAAGAAGAAGGCUAAAGAAGAGUGUGACAGUGACUAUGAUUCUGAGGAAAUGGACUUGCCAGAAGAUGAUGAAUCCGAAAAUGAAAAAGUUAUAGUAGUGGAUGCAGCAGGAAACAGACAUAAAAAGAAGACGGAAGUUAAGCUGACAAAAUUCAAGCUUGAACAUAUGAAAGUUGUCAAUUUCCAUUUAGGCAUGGUGUUUCCAACUGUUGGGCAUCUAAGGCAGGCAAUACAAGAGUACAUCAUUCAGAACAAAAUCCCUAUCAAGUAUGCAAAGAAUGACAAGCAAAGGAUUAGGGCACAUUGUGAUGAAGAUUGCAGCUGGUUCUUGUUUGCUGCCCCUGACAGUAGGACUCAAAGCUGGGUUGUGAAGAACUUUGUUGGCCAGCACACAUGCUCAAGGGAGUGGGAAUUGAGGCAAUUCACUGCAAAGUACUUAGCUGCCAGGUAUACUGAGUUCUUUAGGGCAUAUGAUAAGAUGUCUCUUAAGAAUUCUGCAAGAAUAGUUCAGCUAGAAUACAACAUGACACCAUCCAGAAGCAAACUGCAAAGAGCUAGAAGGUUAGCAAUGAAGAAGAUCCAUGGAAAUGAGUUCAAGCAUUAGAACAUGUUGUGGGACUAUUCAGCUGAGGUAAGAAGAUCAAAUCCUGAAUCAACCAUGUUCCUUAGUCUAUUAGAUGGCAAGUUCAGUACCAUGUACAUGUCAUUAGAUGCUUGCAAGAGAGGGUUCUUGGCUGGCUGCAGGCCCAUCAUUUGCAUUGAUGGAUGCCACCUGAAGACAAAGUUGAAGGGAUAUGCCCUAGAGGCAAUAAUAUUGUAUCAUUAUAUUCCCAAGUUUGUUUAUUUCUAUGCUAUAAUUGCAAUGGUUCUUGAAUGUGAGAUUCGGAGGAAAACUCAUUUGCAUAUGUGGAAACAUAAACCCUAAUUUAAAGGUCUCUAGUCAUGCCUCUUUGACUAGCUUGUAUAUAAUUGAUGAUUCUAUUUUCCUGAUCAUGAGCAUAUGAUGCUGGUUAUAUAUGAGAGCACAUUGUUGGUUGAACAAUGGUGUUGGAUUGACCCAACUAAUAAUAUACCGAGAGAUCACAUUGAUUACUUGUUAUCGGUAUUAUUGUUAUUGUUGUAAUUAUCAUUAUCCUUAGACCAUGAGAAUAUCGUAUGAUAUUUAUAUCCGAAGGAUACUUUGGUGUUACCUAUUGUUUCCCGUAAUAGGGUUAUCAUGACGGAUACUUUGGUGUUACCUAUUGUUUCCCGUAAUAGGGUUAUCAUGACGGUGAUUUCCGGGUACUCCAGAAAGUAUGAAUUAACUCGAUAGUUGAAGAUUGGGAUUUGCUCCUCUAUCGGUGGAGAAAUACACUUAGGGCCCACUCGGUACGACGAUAUCUAUCACCGUCUGGCCAGACACAAGAAUGAUAUGAUCAUGGAGAUAUCGGAGUACGGAACGAGUUAAAAGUACAAAACCGGUAACGGGGAUAACUAGGUACAAGUGGAACAAGGGUUGGUUCACGGGCGUGCCGGAAGUCUCACCCCGGAUUUUGUAAACGUAUCGCGAAGCAAAAGAAAAUGGUUUUUAGUAACAAAUGGUUCGCUCGAAAGUCUUCGUGGAUGUGUAGUAAUUAUUGAGAGUGUCCAGGCUCUUUAAAUAAUUAUUUACCGGGUCACAGCUGCACAUUUCCGAACCUACGCGGUCACACGCUUAACAACGAAUGGUUAUUUCAAGGUCUAGAGUUUGGAAUUUGGUCGAGAGUUGAAUAACGAAGUUGUUCAGAAUGACGAGACAUAUUUUCUGGAGGUUUUAAAUGUGAUUUAGGAGUUCAGAAAUGUUCGGAGUAAUCACGAGUGCUUCCGGAAGGUUUUAGAAGCCUCUAGAAGGAUCCGAUGGAAAUUCCGGAAAGUCAAAUGGCAAAAGGUCAAAAGUCAAAGGUAGGUCAAACCCUGGUCAAAGGUUGACCAUGGGGGCCGGCCAUCUUGGUUUGGAGAAGGGGAUAUAAGACUCCUAUUAGGAGUCCAUAUCUAUUCCUAUUAGAGGUAGGAGUCCUACUCCUUUUGGAGGAGGACUCCUUUCCCCCUUUGGCCGGCCACCCUCCUAUAUAAGGAGGGGAGGGGCGGCCGGCUAUAGGGCACUCUCGCUAGUUGUCCUUUGCCCGUCAAGUCCGAGCUCUCUCCUCUAAAGUUUAGACGUCUAAUUAGUAGAUCAUCUACUUUCCGAUCUAGUUUCUUCCGGCGGUUCUUCGUACUGGACGUCGAAGUGCUGCUGAACUAUUCCUUCGAGACGUGUGGAUACGUGUGGAGAGAUCAUCCACUUCAAUCUUGCGAGCGGAUCGCUGUUCGGCUACUUCAAGCUUUCAGGCGCAGCAGAUCGUGCGAGGAAUACUCUCGCGGCUGGGAGGUAUAACCUAACUACGUGAAUCUGCUACAGGCUUCAACGACAAUCUACUUCCGCUACGGUUGUUGGUACGUGAUCAAUCUAUCGCAUCCGCAUAGUGAUCUUGGUUGGUUCGUUCGUAGGAAAAUUUUAAAUUUCUGCCUACGUUCCCCUUCAAAAGUUUGGUGGGCAGCUCUUGACAACAGUGGGCCUGGAUCCAAAUGACUGUAUUUUCCCUGUGGCCAUGGCUGUUGUUCAGGUGGAAGAUACUCCAACCUGGAAAUGGUUUCUAAGGACAUGGAUUGAGGAUCUUGGCAUAGAGAACACUAGCCAAUGGAUUAUCAUGAGUGAUAGGCAAAAGGGGUUGAUCAAUGCUGUGAAUGCUCUCUUCCAGAUUCACAUCAUAGGUUUUGUGUGAGGACUCUCCACCAGAACUUUGCCAAAAAAUGGAAAGGUGAUGUGUUCAAGAACAAACUUUGGGCCAUUGCAAGGUCAUACACUCAUGCUGACUGGAUGAGGAAUAUGGAGGAGAUGAAGCUGCUAGAUGAAGCUGCACAUGACUAUUUGGAGGCAAUUGAACCUAGUGCAUGGUGCAGAGCAUUUUAGUGAAUUCCCCAAGUCUAACAUGCUGCUGAAUAACAAUUGUGAAGUGUUCAACAAGUAGGUCUUAAUUAAUUUCUCUUUUACAUGCCCAUUUAAUUUAGUUAUCAUUACCUGCACCAUAUGCCCAUUUAAUUUACUUAUCAUUACUUGCACCUAGGUACAUACUUGAUGCUAGAGAACUUCCAAUACUUAGCAUGCUAGAGAAGAUAAAAAACAAGCUCAUGACAAGGUUUUACUCUAAGAACAAAGAGUGUGAGGAGUGGGCUGGCAACAUAUGCCCAAAUAUUAGAAAGAAGUUAGAUAAGCAGGCUGAUAUGGCAAAUAACUGUUUCUUCUUACUUGCUGGCAAAGGAGUGUUUCAAGUUACUGGCUUGAUUGGGCAAUAUACAGUGGACAUUAUGAAGGAGGAGUGCACAUGUAGGAGUUGGCAGCUGGCAGGGAUACCUUGUAGGCAUGGCAUUUCUUGUCUAAGGCAUGAAAGGAUCAAGCCUGAAACAAGGGUAUCACUAUGCUACCGGCUAGAUGCUUUUAAGCAGGCAUAUGGUGAGGUCAUAAUGCCAUGCAGAGAUCUCACAGAAUGGAAAAGUUUGAAUGGGGUUGAAGUUCUACCACCAAAAUAUGACAAAGUUGUUGGCAGACCAAGCCUGAAAAGGAGGAAAAAUCCUGUAGAGGAGGAGCAGGACACAAGGAUGAGCAGGCAUGGCAUUAUUGCACGCUGCAGUGCAUGCAACCAACCUGGACAUAACAAGAGGAGGUGCCAAGAAUUAGGAAGGGGUACUGCUGCUACUGCUGAUGCUGAGCAACCCCAAAAUGAUGUAGAUGCUUCAGCUCCUCAGCCUGCAAAUGCUCCAGCUGGUUCAAAGAAGAGGAAACUACCUGUCAAAAGACAUAUAAUUCCUGCAGAUGCUCCAGCUCCUCAGCCUGCAAAUGCUCCAGCUCCCAGGAAGAAGAAGCAGAUUCUCAAGAAAAACCUCAGUUCUAGCUGCCAGGUAAAAUGAUCUCCAUUUUCAUGUAUAUCAGUACUAAUUCUCUUGCAUAAACAUGACAAAUCAUUACUAUCUAACAUUUCUUGCAAGGCAUCAACAAGCCCCAAGUGUUGCUUUGUCUGGAACAACUGACUUCCAUGGAGUUCUCCCCCAGAACCUUUCAGUGCUACAAAUAUUGUCACAGGUAUGCAUUUCAAUAAACUCUUUCAGUAAACUCGAUCAAUAACAAGAUAUUAACUUUGACCAAAAUUUGCAGAAUGCUUCAACUCAGCAGUCCCAAGCACCAGGCCCUCUUCCGAGAGUACAUUCAUUGCAAACUACAAAGAAGCACUUCCUGUGCCAAGAUCCACCACUGCUACCAGGACACUUGGUCUAGCAGGACAGAAGAGAAGGAAACCAAAGCCAAAAGAAAACAACUGACCUUAGAAGAACCUCAAGAAGGGGAGUACAUUUUGGACAGGAAACUGCACAUUUUGGACGGACAGACUGAUAGUGCACAUUUUGGAUAGACAGUUGUUAGUUAUGGUUCUAUAGUUCUACUAAGUGAACUGUAAUGCAAAGUGAACUGUAUUGCAUUGCUACUUAUGUUCCUGUAGUUCUACCAAGUGAACCUGUGUUUUGGUUGUGACUACUCUUUGAUGUUUUGGUACUUACUCUUUACUUUGCUAUGUGAACUGAUGGAUGCUGAAGAAUGACUAUGGAUGUUCAUGAAAGUACUUUGCAUUGUGAAUUUUCUGCUGUGUUGUCUGUUUGAUACUGAAAUGUUGUCAAAAAUUCUUGUAAUUUUCAUUCAAAUACAAAUAGAACUCUGUCAAAAUUUUGAGUCAAUAUCAAAUAACAUAAUGCAAUGCCUCACAGUUUAGGGUUGGCUAGAAAUCUCUCUAAUUGAGACCAUUCAGCUGACAGAAAGGAGCCAAAUUUCAUUCAUUACAAACCAAAGUUCAUACAUUUGAAAUAGAUGCUCUCUCUUUGAAAACUCUUAUUUCUGAGCCACCACAUACAACGACAGUGCAACAAAGACUACAAAAGCACAUAAAGUCAUCCUACAGGUCACAACCAAAGCAUCCAUCUUCUCCACCAACAAUUUUAUCUCAGAAUUCUCCAUUUUCAUUUGCUGCUGCUUCUGCAUCUUCAGCUCAACCUUCUGCUCCUCAUGCAGCUCCUCCUUCUGCUCCUCUUCUUCAAUCUCUCCACCCCAAUAAGUGCUUGGAAUCAUCACACCAAUGCUUGACAAAUAAUCAAGAUAGGAAUCUUCACCAUCUUCCCAAUAGAAAAACUUGCAACCCCUAGUUCCAAUCUGCCCAAAUCAAAAGUUCAACAUGCUCAGAUGAGCCCCCUCCUCAAAUCGGCCGGCGGCACAAAGCAAACAAAUCCAAGCGAAAUUUGUGCAUAUUAUCAAAGAUUGACUUCUCUUACCAUGUGGUUAGGACACUUGUAGAACACCCUGCUCGGAUUUUGCUCUGAUUUUGAGACUAGGCGGACGACACCUCGGACACGGCAGCAGGGGCAAGUAUCCAGCGGCAAAACACAUGUAGGGAGCUCUGUAAAUGGCGCCGGCGCUGCUCCCUUCCUCCCUCUCUUCAUCGCCGACGAAUUUGAGCCGAACUCCACCCAACGUCGGUUAGGGUUCACGCGAGGGAGAGAGGAGAAGAGGGGAAUAAUGGGGUGGGCUCGCGGGGGAGAAGAAAGAAAGAGUGAGGGGGUUAUGUGCAAAAGCGCAGUCUGCGUGGUACCUGACUGGUGGGCCCGAACAGCCACGUAGGCAGGCGUGCGCCAGAGCGAGCAAGGGACCUGGAAUGAACCACUUAUGAAAGUAUUAGGACUAAAAUGUGCAGAUUUAAAGAAUUGGGACUAACUUGCGACAUAUGCGAAAGAAUUAUGACCUCCGGUGCAUUUUACUCAACAAAAUAUGCUAAUAAUGCGAAGAAGUGUUAUUGCUUAAAUUUUUAAGUGCGUUUGGCUUUAGUUUUGACGUAAUGACAUAAGAAAAAAAUCAAAUCAAAAAUAUUUUUUAGUAAAAACUAGAAAGCCACAAGUUUUUUUUUCAAGGAUCAAGUCUGAACACAUUACAGACUGACACGUCAGAGUACGGAUAGUAUACUACUAACUCCAAAGCGGCCCAAAUUCCAAAUUGGGAUUGCCCACCAUACACCAGACCCAGAAAAUAUAACCCAGCCCAACACGCAACAGCCAAAGCCUCCUCCACCAGAACCUCCAACCGGCUCCGAUUGCAAGAGAAAAAAAAAGGUCGACAGAACCGAGACGAAGAGGAAAGCUCCAGCGACCGCCGCCGCCGCCGCCAUCGAUGGAUCCGAAGCUCACGGAGGUCACCCAGCUGUUCGCCCGCUUCAAAGCGGCCUACUCCCGGAACGACCUCGACGUCUGCGCCAACCUCCUCUCGCAGCUGAAGGUGCGCCCCCGAACCCUUCCCUCCUCUAUCUUCUUCCCCCGCCGCCGCCGCCCCCUCUACCCCUUGCCUCCGCCGGCUUCCCUUGCCGGAGCUCGGGCCUCGUCCCUUCUCUAUAUAUAGUAGGUUUAGUGGUACUCGCAGAAAAAAGGGGGUAGGUUUGGUGGUGUCGACUUCGAGGCUGUUGGCUCUAUGCCUUCUGUGGUCAGCUCGCCGCCGGGAAGGAGUUCCCGCCGGAGUAGACAGAUGAUGCGCUCGGAUCCCGUCUCCCUCGUCGACCAGGUUGCCGCGGAAUUCCGUCGAUCCGGUGCAGAUUCGGCCGGAACCCCAUGAAAAGGCUCCUUCAGAUCUGCUGGACCGAUGCGCCGCCGCCUCGGUCCCUAACCCUGGUCCAUGGUGGAUCUGCCCAGUGAUGUCUCAGUUCCAUGUGUGGCCGAAAGACUCGAUUUCUACUUGGUUUGAGAGCAUUGUUGUGUUUGCCCAUGUGAUUUCCAUACAGGAGAUGUAGAAAUUUUUGUGAAUUGACAUGGCAAACUCCCUCCAUUUGCAGGUCCUCCUCACCAAGUUCCCCAGCCUUCCGCCAUCGUUCCAGCAGACACCGAACGCCGUGGAGGAGCUGAAACUUGCGAGUAAGAUAACUUCGCUUUAAUGUUUUUAUUGUUUAGCAAUCUAGUAUGUGGGUAAGUUCAUUUGUGGUUCAUAACGCCUGAACUGUGGGUUAGUAUUGCUCAUUUGGCUCAUGUCCUUAGAUGCUUAACUUUCUUAUGUGCGAGAGUGAUGUUUCAGUUUGAUGACAAGAUUCAUUGGAUGCCUAUUUUGUACUCCUGGGCGUAAAUGUGUUGUUUUUAGAAGAAAACAUGUGUCUAUAUUGUCAUGGUCAUGUAGUCUGGCAGCAAAUUUCUGUGGCCCCUCCAAUUAUUCAUACUUCAUAACAGAGCAAGUACUAAGAUCAAUCUGAAACCUUUCAGGGGACAUUUACGAGCAUGCAGUUGUUUUGAGUGUGAAGAUGGAAGACCAAGAUGCAUUUGAAAGGGACUUCUGCCAGCUCAAGCCGUAUUACAUGGACACAUGGUUAGUUCCUUUUUACCAUCAUGUACACUGUCAUUUCAGUUCAUAUAUUGUUCCCAGUUUUCUUCCAUCUUCCAUGGGAUUAUUAUUCAGUAAGGUCAAACUAAAGAAGUAUCCUGGCAUAAGUUGCUAAAUGAGUUAAACCCAACAUAGUUUAUUGGGUUAUUCUUGCUUGAGUUAUAUUGCAUUGUCAUCUUUACUGGGUUCAGUUGAGUAGUUGAAUAUGAAACAGGGCUGGGUUGGCAAUUUAUGUGUAAUUUAGUUAGUACUAAACUCUCUCCAUUGCCUGGGCUACUGGUGAGCUGUGAUACAGUGGCAGGCUAGCAAGUGUUUUGUUUCUUCUAUAUCCUAGUAGAGUUUUUUUGACAUCCGAUUUGCUUUUACAAAUUUGCUUCAUUAGACAACAGAACCUUUUCAUAGCUAGCUAUAAAAUUCAGUCCAUGAGUAUUUAUCCAGGAGCAUUUGGAUUUUUUGGCUUGCGUACAUUAUGCCGCGUCGCACUAAAUCAUGAUUAUGCAUGCAGUGGCAUAAUUCCCCCAUCACCGGAGGAGUACCCAAUUUUGGGGCUUAAUCUUCUGAGGCUGUUGGUCCAGAAUAGAAUUGCGGAGUUCCACACUGAGCUGGAGCUUCUGCCCGCCAAAGCACUAGAUAAUCUUUGCAUCAAGCACGCAGUCGAGCUUGAGCAGUCCUUUAUGGAGGGCGCCUACAACCGAGUCUUGAGUGCUCGACAGGCUGUGCCGCAUGAAACCUAUGUAUACUUCAUGGACCUUCUUGCUAAGACAGUUAGGUAAGUGUGUUUAUCAUUCCUGCUUCCUAUUAGAUCUCUUGGUGUACAAUGCAUGCAACCCCUUACUGUGAUUUUUGUUCUGCGUCAGAGAUGAAAUAGCUGGAUGCAGCGAGAAGGGAUAUGAUUAUUUGUCAAUAAGUGAUGCAAAGGAAAUGUUCAUGUUCAGCUCUGACCAAGAGCUGCAACAGUACAUCACCGAGGUAAAUUCCAUUUCCUUCCAACUUUGUUCCCAUACGUGUGAAUUACGCAAUACCACCAUAGGUUCUAACUAUUAUAUCGUUGACAGGAACACCCUGAGUGGGAUGUCAAGAAUGGCUCAGUCUUCUUCCAAAAGGCGAAGGAGUCCCAGCCCUGCAAGGAGAUACCGGCUGCACCGGUCAUCAACCAAACCCUCGGCUACGCGAGGGAAUUGGAAAGGAUUGUGUGAUCUGCUCCUGUGAUCUUUUGAUGUUUCUCUGUAACCGUUCAUGGUGCCCUGUAUUAUCAAUACGUUCGUGAUAUGCUCUGGUGGCAGGCAGCUUUGGACAGUGAAUUUCCAUGAAAAGGUCGAUUAUUGGAUUGUCUUGUUUACUCAGCUGUAUUUCGUUAAAAUCAUUUGUUUGACUUAACUGUUUCCAAACUGAUUUGCGGUACACACAAGUGCAGACUAUCGGCAAAAAUGGCAAACGUAACAUUGAAUUUACAUGUGGUGUAAUUCUUCUAGUUAGAUUUUGUUUCCCUACAAUUUUUUUGGAGAAAAAAAACCAUAAGCUUUGACAUUCUGGAAAAACAUUUUUUGCUAUGGUUUUUGAAGAAAACAAGUAUGGCUAACGUUUUGAAAACACAUCUCGAUGCAAACAGACACCAAAAAUCAAACACAUUUAACUAAAACGAGCAUGCCAAAGCUAAACUUCAGGGAUGGCAACUGUGUGGAUCUAUGUGCCUUGUCUAAUGCGUUCACCAUGAAAGAACCGUUUUCAUAGAAGUACUUCAUACAAAAAUAGCUUAUCAUGCAAGAAGUGUUUUCAUACAACUACUUCAUACAAAAGUAGUUUGAGGAAGGAUUAUAUGUGUGAGCCAGCAUUUCUUUUAACCAGACGCAAAAUAAGCUGCCCUUUAAAUAUAUCACCAUCAACCAUUAUAAUCGUGGAUUUCGAGAUGAAACUCAUUCGAGCAUUUCUUUCAACAUGGUAGCACUACUGAGAUAUUGGAAGAGAACAAAAGCAAAAUUUUAUUGGGUUUGGUAAGAAAGGUCUCUAACAGGAGAUGAGUAUGCAGAUCGGACAUUUCCUCAAAAAACAAGUGUCCGAGCCGCACAACAGAGAGCCCAUCACGGCAUAGGCAAUCUUCGACCUUGGAGUGGCAGAGGAAGGUCGAGUUUCAGAUCAAAGGCUCCACUUAUUCAAGAUCAAACACACCACUUAUUCAAGAUCAAAGGGACUGAGAUCCAGGCUGCACCUGAUCCCAGUCCAGAUCAAAGCCUCCAAUUCAUAUGGUAGUAGUAUUUUUGCCAAUUCUCAGAUAUUUGCCAAUUCUCAAAAAUGGAAGAUUUUCCUUACCAACGCUUCAAUACCUGACCACAUUCGAUACAUUUUUAUCUAUUUAUUAUGUAGGGGAUAUGUGUUAUAUUACAUUGAACAAAGGAAAUUAAUCAUAAAGAACGGUGUUGGGGUUUUUUUUUACAGCUAGCAAGGCUCAGAGAUCUAGCCAAACUUUACCACUACUUCAAAUUACUUACAACAACUUAAAAUUACUUACAACAAUGGAGCGUUGAUUGUCAAAAUAGCAUCGAAGUUCUGUUGAUAGUGUUCCCAGUGUAUUAGUCUGUCAACAACGGUGUUUCAGAAAAAAAAUGUAAGAGUGGAAAAGUGCUCUUUAAACUUUAAGGUUCAUUUAAAACAAAAACUAAAUUACUGCAUUUUAAUUUUCAAGGUGCUUGUUACUUUUGUAAUGCAUCGUAGGCAUCCGUAGGAUCAAAUUCAGUGGGAGCUUAGCCUACAAAUUCCAGAAAAAUGAAACAAGUUCAUCCGAGCAUGCCAAGAGUGGAACUUCUGUGGCCUGUUGGAUAUUGAUGCAUGUCUGUCUUUGUCUAGAUUCUCAUCAGUCAUAUGCUACCUCCCUCCUACUCCAAACCAUUUCGGUGUUUUUGUAGAUCAAAAUAAUAGCCUACCAAAGCAUUUUGUAUUUGGAACAUAAGUACUUCGUACAUUGUUUGCUAAAUUGGAGACGUGACUAGAGUUUCAUAAACCCAAGAGUUGCACACAUAAUUAUUUCGUUAGUACACAUCAUGUUCCUAUCUCUGAAAAUAAUCCGGCCUGAUGAUAACCACGUGGUACUCGCAUUAGUUUUUGAUUCGGUUGUCGAUUUUACUUACACAUGCAUAUUUUUCGGGUACAGAAACCAAAUGAUGCAUUACAAAUUACCGAUUUAUAUGCAAUACAUAAACGGAUAAAUAAAUUGGAGGUAUACUUGUUAUGAGUACGCAUGAGACAUUUGGAAACCAAACCAUUUCGAUUUUUUGUAUACCAACUAUGCUUUCAGAGACAAAAUAGCCCAUUGGGAAAGACCAAAAUCAAAACAUAUGGCACUAUCGCACAAAGGCACUUUGCCGAAUCGACAAAGCCCUUUUAGCCUUCAGCAAAGGCUGUUCAAGGCCUUUUUUGAUGGCCUCAUGUUGUUGCAUAGUUCGAUCGAUGCAACAUAGCCUAUUGGGAAAGACCAAGAUCAAAACAAUUACGGGUCAAUUUGAAAGCAAGUACAGUAGUGUAUUUUGCACCAGCCAUACCUAAGGUGCCAUCACACAAAAACUAUUUUCGUAGAAGUACAAUCACACACAAAUAAUUUGAGGAAGCACUUCUUUUUUUUCGUAGAAGUACAACCAACUCUGAGGUACCCUUCAAAUAGCAAAACCUAAAACCACAUAUCAUUGUUUUGAGGAUGAAAAGACUCGAUGCAUGUCUUUAGAAUUCACGACUACACUAAGAUAUUGGAGGAAAACAAAGAUUUGUUAUAACUCAGAACUUUUGGUUCUGUAGUUUGACAGAUCGAUGGCUGCUACUGCGCAUCACAAACUAGGAUGUGUGCGAGUGGCAACAGCCUAAUGCGCCGCGGCAGAUGAACCACGCCGGCAGGGCGAGGAAAGAAGGCCGGGAUGGGAAGCAUGCUUGGCUCCGGUGAAGCGACGAAGCUCGGUCUAGAGAAAGUACCGGAUGAGUGCGCGGCGCCAUCGUCGCAACCAUCACCGUCGACGUUGUACCGUCAUCCUGCCGAUGCUUGUACUCUGCUAUUCCUCAUAACCUUCAGCCAAUUUUGCCGCCGGGCGAGUCUUGUUGUGCGCGUCCCAGCGAUCGGCGGAGGACGUGCGGUCGGGAGGUGGACUUCUUGUGAUGGGUUCUUCUCCUCGAUGUGCCGAUGAUGCUGGGCUGAUGUCGUCGUUCUUGUGCACGUCCCACCCGUCAACGGAGUCGGCGCGUUGCCACUGGCGGGGUCGAGAGGAGACAUGAUCAAGCAAAACCUUCUUGAUCCAAAUAAAUGUACCAGCGAGCCAGGACCGGAAAGACAGGUGCUCAAAUCGAUCGAUGUAUCUUGGUGUGAACCGGUGAACUAAAGUAUUUUCUAGAGUACAAUGCAGAUCAUUUUUCACCAAAGCAAAACUAUUUGUCACUAUAAAUUAAUUUGCUAGUCACUCAACCAGCCCCGGAAGUAUUUUCGAUUUGUUCAGUAGUUUGUCUUUUGAGGUACUGGAGGCAAAUGUUAUCAUAGCUAGAGACUAAGACCAACAUGAAACUAUUUGGAUAAUUGGAUAUGGUUCAAUUUAAAGUCUAAGAACCUUCCCAUAGAGAGUGGAAACAACAGCUCAAACGAACAAUCGGCUUGUCCAUAGAGCGUCCAGACAGCAAUGACAAUAACGUCUCAGACACAUCACACGCUCUGUAGCUCAUCCUACCUUGUAUGUUUGGCAAAUAUAAUACGGAGUAUGUGUUUUGACAUGACUAAAAUCUGAAGAAAUAUUUUUCAAAUGAAAUUUCUUGGAACAUUCAACAGUACACAGUAACAGCGCAUCCCCAUGCCCUCGAAAUCAAGAAGGCCAGCAAAGAAAACUUAGCAUGCUAGAAUCAGAGUUUACAAGCCAACAAAAGCCAUAGCUUCUGCAAAAAAAUUUGGCUAUAACAAGAAGGGCCUUGAAUGACGGCAUUUUUUGACCGAAAACUGUGCUCCACUAGAAACUUUAAGCGAUCCAUCGUGUCAUUACAGGAAUUUACAACAGCCUGAACAUCUUCGGGCCAUUGUGGUAAUGUAAAAAAUUACACAAGCACACUGCACACCAAUUAAUGAUGUUGCAGAUGCUGUGUGCAACAUAGAGAGAAGAGAACAAGAAGCUCAGAACCACCAGUCAAACGGAAGGAAUUUAUCAUGUCGAAAUAAAAAAAGAAUUAAAAGCUUUAUUUUCCAGGAUAAGAUCCUAAGUUUCUGACAGUUGGAAUCCACAGAUUGCACUCGCUUUACAGCAGGGCAACAAACUAAUUAAAUUGAUGCCCUCAUGCUGUCGCCUGACGCUGAAUACACCGCUGCUCUGCUCCGCAAGCUGUUGAACGAUUAGGUGGAUGAAAUGGAUACCACAAAAUCGCACCUUCUUGUCCAGACUCGAAGAACAGCCUAGGAUUAGAUCAUUAGAGAGAUGUGUGGCGAUGGGCUCUGUUGGGUCCAAAUUGACCUUUGAGCUGCGGUAUUUUUUGCGGCCGCUUCCAGUUUAACCCUGGAACAGCUACUCCACUAGUUAAAAAAGAAAAAGAAGUUAGGUUUCGGGUACCAGCAUAGAUCUAGUGGCUCGUAAAGAAAGUUUGCAAGUUUGCACAAUGGUUUUCACUGGAUACUUCCCUUUCAUCAAAAUAGGCGCCUUAUGUAGAGUUGGGGAUAUCAAUGUGUCUUGAUAUAUACCACCACAAUCUUGGCGAUUUUGAAAAAUGCCAUUGCAAUUUUUAUCUUUUGGAAAAUACCAUUACAAAUUAGAAUAUUCUUCGAAAAAUGCCACUAGAAUGGGUCAAAAGAUAUGGCAUUUUCGAAGAAUGAAAAUUGCAGUGGCAUCCCUACCUGGAGCGCUCCUCAUGCAUAAACUGUUUUCAUACAAGUGGCUAGUACAAGGAGGAGGAAGGAUUAUAUGUGUUGAGCCAGCAUUCCUAUCUUAUUUGUACGUAGUCACGCAUUUGCUUUUGUGAGUACACAUUCAUGCUCCUAUCUCUGAAAACAGAUUUGGUUGUUGCAUACUUCGAGGCAAAAUAACCUAUUGGGAAGACCAAAAUCAAAACACUUACGUACGUGUCAAUUUGAAAGCAAGUAUGUUGUAUUUUGCGCCAGCCGUACGUAAGGUGCCAUAUCAUGCAAAAACUAUUUUCAUACAAGCACAAUCACACACAAAUAGUUUGAGAAAGCAUUUUUUUUGUGUGUAUGAAUCGGUGUUCCUUUCACCGUGUGAGCAAGAGAGACCAACUGUGAGGUGCCCUUCAAAUAGCAAAAACAAAAAUCACAAACCGUUGCUUCCAGCGAGAAUGAAGGUAUGCUUGAUGCAUUUUCUUCAGAAUUCACAACUACACUGAGAUAUUGGAGGAGAACAAAAAAACUGUUAUAACUCAGAACUGCAACUUCUGUGGUUUCACAGAUCGAUGACUGCUACAAGGCACUGUAAACUUAGUUUGGUGCGAGUGACCACAUCCUGCUACAACUUCUGUCGUUGCCGUCCCAGAUCGACGAGGACAUGGGUUCUCGGAAUUGAGAGGGGUGGUAGUGAGCUCUGACCUCACGAGGAGACGAAGAAAACAUUCUACCUGGGCCGGCGGAAACGAGCUGGGCGUCUCGAAUCGCCACUCCAUCGUCUCUCUGGCCGGUUCCCUCCCCUCGGCCAGGCCAAUCCAUCGUCUCCGGCAGGCCGGCUUGCCGCCCCCGCCCUGCAGGCUCCCCGUGCAGCUCGACCUCGUCCUUCUCCGCCGCGGCGCCGCCCCACGCUAGGCUACUCAGCUGCUGUGCUGCCCAGUGGCGAUUCUAGGAUGAAAAUAGAGGGUGGGCUCAAACAACAAAGUCCCAAGAUAAAUUUCAGCAUUCGAUUGAUACCAGAUUGUACUCGGAAAAUGUCUUUUUACUGAAAUUGUACUCCUGAAAUGUUAUCCAUAGCUACUGUGUACAUACAAAAAAAAAUUAGAACGGAGCAAAAUCGUAUCUUAAUUUACACGCUUCGAGAUAAAAAGUUUUUUCGAUGCAUGUCUCAGUAAAUGUGAGGAUAUAAAUUCACUUUACCGAGACAUCGAAACAACUUUUUAUUGAUGGAGGGACCACACAUGGGAGCGAUAUACAAGCCAAUGAUGCAUGGCAAGCAAAAGCUUGAUCCGAAAAUUGCGAGGAUUAGGUUCCGAGAGCACCUGAUGCUGUAACUUCAGAACUGUUGGAGGAAGGUUUUCAUAAAGUUUUUUUUUUUCAUCUCCUCAUCACCAGCAUCACACUGACAACCAUUUGUUUCUACGCCUUAAAUGUGACCAUUCGGUAGGUGAGUGAUUGCCUGGACAUGCUGCAUUAGAGAUAUGUGACCUCCACCAAAGUUGAUGGUUCCUUCCUCGGUAUCAACUAGUUGAAUUAAAUUAUAAUUCAAAGAUUUGUGGUUGCAUGUCAAUCAGCUCUCACAUCCCAUUCCUAUGACAUACCUUUGAGCAUCUCUACUCCGAGAUCAUGACGGCAUUGGGAUUUCACGUUAUUUCUAGAGGAUGAACCUCCAUGUUGCUUUUUGUUGCUAGCAGGGGUUGUACGUGAAUCAGACAUCCUUUUCAUGUAUUUCUCCUUAUAGUUUGACACAUUGUUAAUCACCCUAGCGCAAAAACCUUAAAGCAGCCAAAAACUAGAUGAAAGCAGAAAAUUGAAACCACCGGAGCCUACAACUGACAUUCUUCUUAACAGACUAUCUCAAUGUUUGACAUUGGUUAAUUAUGCUGGUUUAUUAAUAGGAAUUUUCUGGGCUUGAUGCAGAACAAGGAAAAUAAGAGUCUGUCUCUGUUCAUGAUAUUUUUCUUCGUUGAAUUUAUUAUUGAGAUAAAUCACAGAAGAAAUGCAAGCAAUACUUCUGUGAAAAAAAACUAGCAACAAUGAAUUAUUGUUUGAAAAAAAACUAGCAACAAUGAAUUAUUGUUUCUAAAUUAUUUGCGCUAGGGUGAUUAACAAUGAAUCAAUAUUUUGUUUUGUUAAAUCAAUGAAUCAGUUCAAUUUUUUUUUUGACGAAACGGUACGGCGUACCAUUAUAUAUCAAAGAAGGUCAAGGGGAACCUUAACCCGAGAGUACAAGAAAGAUCAAAACAAAAGCAAAAUAAAGAAAGCAAUGUACAAGGGGAUCAAAAGAGCUAAAAAGGUAUCAACGAACAUCAUCCGUUCCGGAGACCAGCUUUCCAAGUCCUGAAGUAUCCAUCAAUUCUGGACAGUAAAAAUACAAUUUAACUGACAUUGAAAGACCGGCCCAGAUUUCUCUGUGUUGCUGUCGUCCCAGAUGAAUGCCGGUGGUCAUGGGUUCUUCUUCUUGAUGUACCGAACAUGACGGCGCGAUGAUGAUGCAAGGCGUUAUCAUCGUGCUCCUCAGGGGAUUCGGGAGUAGGCACUCGAGUGAGAAACCCCGCGGCAGACAUGGUUAUCGCUCGCUCAACGGACGCCAUCGAUCAAAUCAUCAGAGGCGUUCAUACGGAGAAAUCUGUACUGUCGGCCCAAAGUUGCUAGUAACUGUUGGCUCAGAAUGGCAGAACUUAACACUGAAUUUACACCUACUAUUCUAAUUGUUCUAGUUAGACUUUGUUAUCCGACAAACUUAAUUUCUGAGAAAAUAAAACAGGAAGCUUUGACCUUAUGAAAAAGUACCUGCCCUGAGUACCUUUUCCCAAAGGUUUUUGAAGAAAAUCAAGCUUUUAGCUCGACGCGUUUAUAUCUAUGUCCCUUCUUUCUCUAAUCAAGUGCUAACGCAUUAUCUGAGUCCGAAAGAAAAAGAAGUCACCAAAAAGUAACACAUCGGGACGGGAGAUGGGACCGAGACGGCCUCUCUGCUCAGCUUCAUCGAUCUUGUUCUGUUCCGCUUUCCCCACCUCUGCUCCCGUCGCCAAUAGCGACUCCAAUAGCGACUGGAAGUGACGAUGGAAGAGUGGAUGGGAAGGCGGUCCGGCAAAGUGGGCGGCUCGCGGCUAAGGCAUCUAAGGGUCUCUCAUCCCUCGACAAGGCAAAGCUUGUUCUGAUGAAGAAGAGUGGAAUCUGUCCGGAGGAUGGGGCACAAGGAAAAGAGGCACUGGAGAAGUACCGCGGCCUAUUCAAGCAGGAACUCCCGACGAGCUUCAUGGAGGCUGUCUCCGCUCUACUGGACUCUUCCCGCCAGGGGGGAGGGCUGGUUCCAGGGGCAGGGACUGCCGUCUCCGCCUAGGGUUCUGACGGCAUUUCGCCGAUCCGUGGUUGCAGGUUCUUUAAUGAUUAGCUCAAAAUUAGGGGAUUGUUGCUAUGUGUCUUCUUGCCAUGAGGUACUGCUAGUUCGAGUUGUGGUUUGUGGCCAGUGUUCGUGCUGUCAGGUUGUAGGCUUGCUGUUCGUGGUUGUGGCAGUCUGUUGUCUUUUUCUGCUAAGCUUUUGCAAUUUCCUGAGUGAAGAAGAUGUUAAAUGAAUUGCUCGAUUUUAAGUUGGAAUGUCCGGGGGCUUAAUAACCCGGCAAAGAGGUGGGCUGUGUUCAAAUCUGUUACGGAGUUUGAUUGCAAAAUUGUGUGUCUGCAAGAGACUAAAUUGGCAGUCAUCAGUCGGAACAUUGUUGCUGAAAUUUUGGGAGGGAGAUUUGCUGACAAUUUUGUUUUCAAGCCGGCGUUUGGUACGCGAGGAGGUGUAUUGUUUGCUUGCACUGAGGAUUUUGCCUUCUGCUCUGAUUCCGUGGUGGAAACUGCAAAUGCCAUCACAGUCCUGGUUCGUGACAAGGCAACAGGAGACAGUUGGUUCAUGACUGGGGUGUACGGACCGCAGGAAGAUGCUGAGAAGAUCUUAUUUAUUCAGGAGCUUAGAGACCUAAAAGGCAUGGUGGGCAAUGAAUGGAUGAUUUUGGGAGACUUCAACAUGAUUAGCCGCACGGUGGAUAAGAGCAACACUAAUAUCAACCUUCAGAUGAUGGGCAGAUUUAGGUCUCUAAUCGAGGAUCUGGAGUUGAUUGAUUUUCCGUUGGUUGGGCGUAGGUUCACCUGGUGCAAUGAGAGGGAAGUGGCUACUCUCACGAGGAUCGACAGGGUGCUUGUCUCCAAAGAUUGGGACUUGAGGUUCCCACAAUUUCAGCUUGCACCUGCUUCUACUGCGGUUUCAGAUCAUUGUCCUUUGAUUCUGAGCAAAAUGGAGAGGAAACCAUUCCGUGGUUUCAGAUUUGAAUUGGUUUGGCUUAAUUGGCCAGGUUUUUUCCAGGUGGUUAAUCUUGCAUGGUGCAAACCAGUUAUUGCCAGCGAUCCGGUCAGGAUUUUGUUUAUAAAGCUUUCACGUGUUGGAAAGGCUCUGAAAUGCUGGAGUCGAAAGCGAUUGAAAGAGAUGAGGCUUGCUGUUGAUAUUGCAAAUGAGCUUAUAUUCCAGCUUGACUUGGCGCAGGAGGACAGAAGGCUUUCCCCGCUGGAGCUGGAUUUCAGAAAAUCAUUGAAGAGCAGACUUUUAGGCUACGCGGCUAUCGACAGAGCUAGAUGGCGGCAGAAAUCUAGAAUGAUUUGGAUCAAGGCUGGUGAUGCAAACACCAAGCUCUUUCACUUCAGAGCAAAUGGGCGGCGGCGUAAAAAUCAUAUGCCAUCUUUGCAGGGGGAGGCUGGUAUUGUCAAAGACCACUCCGGGAAGGAAAUUUUUUUGAAAGAUUUUUUUGUUCAGCUUCUUGGUGAAAGAAGGCGAAGGGAUUUGAGUUUGGAUUUUAAUUUUCUGGGAAUUCAAAGAAGGAAUCUUGAGCACCUGGACGCAAGAUUCUCGAUGGAGGAAAUUAAGACGGCGGUGUUUGAGUUGCAUGCAGAGAAGGCGCCUGGUCCUGAUGGGUUCGUGGGGGCUUUCUUCAAGAAGUGUUGGCAUAUAAUUGCAAGCGAUCUUGUGGCUGCGAUCAGAGGUUUUCAUGACCUUAGAGGAUGGAAUUGGCACCUCCUAAAUUCUGCUAACUUGGUGCUCCUCCCAAAGAAAGAUGCAGCGGCUGAAGCUAAGGAUUUUCGCCCCGUGAGCUUGAUGCAUGGCGUGGCGAAGAUUGUGUGUAAGAUUUUGGCUUCUAGGCUCGCUCCGGAGCUCCAGGACUUGAUUUCUAUAAGCCAAAGUGCGUUCAUCAAAAGGAGAUGUAUCCAUGAUAAUUUCCUUUUUGUGCAAAGUGUCAUCAAGAAUGCACAUGUCAAGAAGAAACCAAUGCUGUUUUUCAAGUUGGAUAUUGCAAAGGCUUUCGACUCGGUGCACUGGGAAUAUCUUUUAGAAGUUCUUGAGAAGUUUGGUUUCGGGGCUCGUUGGCAAGACAUGGUGGCGCUGAUGCUGAGCUCCUCUUCCUCUCGGGUUUUGCUGAAUGGAAUCCCUGGUGCUCCCUUUAAGCAUAUGAGGGGUCUAAGACAGGGCGACCCUCUUUCACCAAUGCUGUUUAUUCUUGCGAUGGAGCCGCUACAAGCGAUGUUUGCGAAGGCGACCGACUACGGCAUCCUCUCUCGCCUUGAGAACCAAGCGGCGAGGCUGCGGCUAAGUCUAUAUGCAGAUGACGUGGCCCUAUUUAUGAAUCCAGUGGAGAGAGAGAUUGAUGGGAUGAGGCAGAUCUUGCACUGUUUCGGGAGAGCAUCCGGGUUGUUGAUUAACUAUGCAAAAUGUUCAGUUUUCCCGAUUUCUUGCCACAAUGUGGAUUUGGAAAGUGUUUUACAUGAUUUUGGUGGAACCCGGGGACAGUUCCCAUGCUCUUACCUGGGGCUUCCUCUUGGUUUGCGCAAGCCAACGAGAAUUGAGGUGCAGCCUUUGAUUGACAAAAUGUCCGGGAAGCUCAAGACUUGGAAAGGAAAGCUGCUGUCUAGGCAGGGGAGAUUGACUUUGAUUAACUCGGUGCUCUCCGCAUCGACCACCUAUUUCUUGACUUGCUUUGCGCCCUCAGCCUGGAUUGUGAAGAAGAUUGAUCGUUUGCGAAGAGCUUUUCUUUGGAGUGGGGAGGAGGAGACAAAUGGGAGUAAAUGUUUAGUAAAUUGGAAAACAGUGUGUGCUCCAAAAAUCUGUGGGGGGCUGGGGGUAAAGGAUCUAAGGGCUUUUGGUAGGGCUUUGAGGCUGAGAUGGGCCUGGCAUGCUUGGGAUUCGGCUGAAAGGCCAUGGAAAGGAAUGAAAUUGCCUUGUGAGCCUACUGACAUGGCCUUAUUUGCAGCUUGCGCUGUUAUUUCAGUUGGCAACGGAGAGAGGAUCAGCUUUUGGCAUGACAACUGGACGCAUGACAGUGCGUUUAUGGACAUGGCUCCGGAGUUAUACAAAUUGGCUAGAUUCAAGAAAAUUUCGUUAAGCGAAGCUGUUGGCACGGGCAGAUGGAUUCGGGGGCUGCACAGGCUUGAUUCUUUAGAGAUGCUGCAACAUUUCAUUUCUUUUUGGGAAAAGGUACAGGGAACCACUCUGAAUGAGGAGGAAGACUCCAUUAGAUGGAAAUUCGAUGCCAGUGGUGUUUACACAGCCAAAUCAGCUUAUGAGGUGCAAUUUUUAGGGAGAACUUCAAAGGUGGCUCUAAACUCAGUUUGGAGUGUCAGAUGUGAGGGCAAAAUUCGGUUUUUCCUGUGGCUUUUGUUCCAGAACAGGCUGUGGACUGGGGAUCGGCUGGCUUCGAGGGGCUGGCCUCAUGGAGACAUUUGCUGCUUUUGCGAUCAGGUUUUGGAGACGGCACGGCACCUGAUUCUUGAUUGCCCUUUCUCCAAAGAGAUCUGGGCAUCUUUCUUAAGAGAGAGGCUGAGGAUGUGUAGGAUCGUUGAGCAAAGUACUUUGCUAAUUGGUUGGUGGAGCCGCCUGCUGAAACUUAACUCAAGGAAGAAAAAUCCGGACAUUGCGUGGGCUAGCAUGGUCGUGUGGCAUAUUUGGAAAGAAAGAAAUCAGCGAAUCUUCAAGGAUUGUAGAUCAUCGUCGCAAAGCGUGGCUUCGGUUAUUAGAUCUGAAUGCGCCCUCCUGUUGGAGGAGUGUUGGGAGUAGCUUAUUUCAUUUGAAACCAGCCAGUUGCUUGUAAUUGGCUUGGUUCUUUUUGUCAAUUCAUGUAUACUUUCUCGUCCACUUUAAUGAAAAAGCAGAGCUCCUGCUAAGUUCUUCAAAAAAAAAAAGUAACACAUCAUCAGAAGUUUUUGCAUUUUCUUUCUUUGCAUCACCAUUAUCGCUCAAAAGAAGCCAUGGCAUGUGUUUUUUUUUCCUGUUUCUGCGUUUUAAUGUUUGGUUACGAAUAGCACAUUUGCUCCUUCUGCAGCUUCAAAAUUUUGUCAAAAAGUUCUUGCUCAAAAUCUAGUCAGGAAAACAGAACACAAACGUGCAACUUGUAGCUCGUAUGCAUGUUUUUGGUCCGGAUGAUUUCUUCUACUGACGGAACCAAGAUCUGAACAUACCCUACACCCGCAUACAGAGAAUGUUUCAUGCCAACACAAUUUCAGAAAUGAGGUCGCAGAUCACAGACUAGCCCUUGCUGGCAUUAGCAGAUGCAGAUGCAACGAGACAAAUAUAAACUAUUAUAAGUAAGCGAUCCAUAACAAGUGUCUCAGAUUUUGUACUAACUUAAUACAAAGUUGUACAAGGUCUGAGACACGUAAUAUUGAUUGGAGGGAGUAGUUAAACACACGCUACUGGAAGACGUAACCUGGUGAAGCAACAGAAAGCUUGUCUUUCACACCAACUAUCCAGAAUACAUACAUGGGACCCCUACAUACAUACACACACACGAACUAUAUAUCCACAAAAGAUGGUAUUGGGGAGAAGAUCACAGAGAGUUGUGCUCAGUCAUCCCAGGCCACAUCGCUCAAGUCGGACAUCUGGGACGAGGAACCCGAGGAGUAUUCCCAGUAGUAGUUGUCAGCAUACUCACCAACAUACUCCACUGCUGCUUCGUUAUGAAGGACACGAGCCUCCAUUUCACGUAGAUCAUCCUGUUCGAAACAAAUGUUACGGAGAUCUGGGCAGUGGACACGAGGCCAGCGUCCAGGCAGCCAGACAUGCGUGAGCUUGGCGCAGCGAGCCAGGAGUUCAUCGUCCACUUGGAGGUGGCGGCACGCGGUGAGGUCGACGCACUCGAGGCGUGGGCAGCCGUCGAGGAUAGUGUAGACUCCUCCAUUGGUCAGGCUGUCAGCUGCCAGCUGAAGGAGUUGCAGCUCGUGCAGGUUUGCCGCGAUGGCAAACGCCACCCGGUUGUGCCUCGCCUCCCAGUCCCCGUAAGGGAAACCUGGGAAGAAAGGCCCAACCUCAUCAUCAGCAGCAGUAUCUCCGUUGUCGUCGUCCUCGUCGUGGUACUGUUCAGGGGACUGUGCUGUUCCAUGCUCAUCUCUGGGAUCGUUGCAUAGUACUGUUCCAUGGUCAUCUCUGGCGUCAUUGCUUCUGAGUUGAACCAUGGCACAUGGAUUCUUAGGCGUUUCAGCUGUGGGCGCGCUGCGCCAAGCUGCUUGAGAAAAUAUGCUGGAUGCUUCUGAUGCGAGCAUUCUAUCUCUUCCAGCAUUGGACAUUUAGCUGCAAGCCUGGCAACUCUGUCAUCCGGAAAGUAUCCCGAUGCGAUGAUUCGAAUGCUCUUCAACGAGUUUCCUCUGCAGAGUUAAGAAUCAAAAUAAACACGAUAUAUAAAAUCAACCUCAGACAAGAAAUACAACAGGACCGCAUAACAAGUUAACAGUAAGCAUACUUUCUCCUUAAAGCGAAGUGCUUGGAGCGAUCACAUAAUCACAUACUCCCUCUGAUCCUAAAUUCUUGACCCAAAUUUUCCCAAUAUGGAUGUAUCUAUUCUUAAAAAGCGUUUAGAUGCAUGUAAUAUUUCGACAACAAUUUAGGAUCGGAGGGAGUACCAUAAUAUCAAAAGAGAUAGCUCACUUACUAGGCAAUAAGCGAUCUGUCCUAAAUAGGCUCUCCUAAUUGCAGACAUAAAAGAGCUAGUAGGUAAAGUCAUAUUCGGUUUUAGUUUGCAAACUACUAAUCUCUAGAAUUUGGAGUGUCCUUUGAACACCUAACUAUACUAGACAUGUCAGAAUAAUACAUCAUAAAAAAACUGACCAAUUUUGACAAAAUUUCACCAAGCCGAUAUGACAUCACUUCACUGCCCAGGUUAAAUUCCUGCUUGGCAAAAACUAUUAAGGGAGGUAAAUAGUGUGACAGUGCUCAAGACUGAUAGGUAGUAUGUAGUAAAAGGUGCAGACAUUCAAGAGCAGAAAUUUGGGGCCCAAAGAAAAAUACCUGCUUGCAAUGUAAUCCAGGAGUUCGCUACUGACAAACUUCUGUGCCCAGAAUGACUCCAUCCGUCCGUCAGAACGAUCUACGGCCACCUUUGCCAUUUUGCACAUGACAUCUCCCGCCUUCGAGAACACCACGUUGUGCCGUGGACAUGACACGAAACGCCACAAGUCAGGCAACUUGGCGGCCUCCAACCAUGAGUGGCACACAAGCCCCGCACCCAUCAGGAUCUCAAUGGUCCCAAGCUUUGUGAAGAUAGCAGAAAGCGCAUCAACUGUGAGCUCAGACCAAUCCCUAACUUCAGGCACAGGCAAAGGUUUUGGCUCCGCCUCCAUUGUGCGAGGUAGUACCUAAAAAUGAGGGUAUCAUCAAAAAGAGAACAAGGAUGACUAACUCUAAUUUGCAUGAUGCCAUGCUAAAUCACAGGUUGCACACAACAUAGAAGAAUUUAAUGUAAUGUAGUUAGAAGUAGCUUCUCUGUACAAGGUAAAUGUAACUUUUAGGAUUAAACCUAUGGAUUAUAGAAUGGUUAAAUGGUUUAGACUGAAGAAACUUCAGAUCUCUAAGUCUUAUAUAUGUCCAUUUACUCUAAUCAACAUUCCAACUAAUGUACUGAUAGAUGAAACAUGUAAAACUCUCUGCCCCAAUGCUCAAUGUGUUAAGAGCAUCCCCAAGAGUUUCCCUAUCUCAUACACAGUCCUAUUUGGGCAAUAUGUGUUGGAAAUAAUCUUUCCUUAAUUCACGUUAGUCUGUCUGAGUACUAUUUGAGUUAGUAUUAGGAAUCCGCGUGUUACUUUCCUAGAGAGAGGAGAGAUUUACGGGGAUGAAUCGUUUAUAGGGACCCAUAGGGAACCAAAUUUUGAGGAAGCUGCUGGAGAUGCUCUAAGAGACCCACACACACAAUAGAAAAGAAACCAAAAGGGAGUGGUUAUCUCCCUCUCUGACAUUGGGUACCAAUUAACUGUCAGAAACCAACUACUUAACUUGGUGACUAGCAACAAUGAAAUAAUUUACUUGGCAGGAAGAAACUUCUUGUCAAGUUUGUUAUAAAAACAAAUACUUCUUGGCAAUUACUGCUAGAUUGAAAUGAUAACUCCACACCUCAGAUGGAAUCGAAAUGAAGAACCUCUGACAUAGUUACCAUUGUGGAGGGAAGCGGCAGAGUCUUCAUUUCAGGGCAUUUUUUAUGGACAAUGAUAUCCGAGGGUCUGAGGUUUCCGUUGGGAAGCUGAUCUUUCCCGUCUUCAUGUUCCAUUAUCAUUCCCUCCUCAGAUUGAUCAUGCUGCUCCAUUCUCAUUCCCUCCUCAGAUGGCUGAUCCAUCGCAACACCAGUCUAAUAAAAAAAAUACGCUUAAGUAGUUUAUAUAAAUAUCAGGUGCAUCAAAUAGUUUUUUAAGAAGAUACUAAGAAUUUGAAACUACUCCUAAUAAAUUAUUAGCUUCCCUUCCAUGAUGGGCUAAAUGCUUUUAAGCUAUGAACAUGGUUUAGCUAAGUUGUAAGUACAGAGCUAAAAUCACAAAGCCAUGCUCGAAUAAUCAUUUUUCUAGCUAGGUUGAUUUAAUAUCCCACUAAGAUUUCACGUUGAUAAAAAUUUAUAUCCCAAUGCUUAAGGUCGCAUGGAGAAUUAUAGGAAGGAAUCAAUAAUGAAGGAAACAUACCAGCUUAUAAAAUCAGAACACAAAGACAAUAGUUAAAUGCCACAUACCUCUAUCUACAAUCAGAAUAGCCAUGCCCCAAACAAAAACAAACAAGGGAAACCAUUUCAGAUAGAUAAACCAAAAAAACGAGCCAACACAAAUCAUACAUGCGUUAAGUAGUAUACACAAGUAUGAACCAUGAACUGAAGUUUCAGUUGGGUGGUGCCACAAGCAGUGUGAGUCAUCCACUGUGUCGGGGGGAUGACCCCGGGUAGGGUCAUGACGACACAUGUUAGCCGGGAUAGCAAGAGCAAAGCCGGUGCAAGCAAGUACGCCGGCAUCCUUAAGCCGACUUAAUAACAGGCCGGCAUACCAAAGGUAUGCCGGCAUAUCUAUCUUGUCUUAUGUGAUUGCAGGAUAAGCACGAGCUAUCUGAUCUCGGCUAUGGCCGGGAUGCGCCAACGGUCUUAUCCUGGGCACAUGGUGCAAAGUAAAGCAGCGCUUCCUUUAUGAUGGAAAAGCAGUCGUUGCUCACGUCGCUGUGCCAGGCAACUGCACGGUGACGCGCCGUAGAAGGACUGAUGACGAAGGCCGGGGCAUGGCUACAAUGCGCGCCGCCUGGCAGUACGAAAAGCACAAAGCUGCAUUGUCCCCUCCUGGACAAUUUGGAAGGGACCAUGGGGCGUACCCGGCGGGCCCGGAGGUAGCUAGGGUUUGCUUUUGGUCCACAUGUCAGUGUGACACCAUUGGCCUAUAGAUAGGAGCACCACCCCUCCCGUGAGAGGGGUUCCUCACUUAGCCAUUUAGAAGUUCUCCUUCUCAUUCUUCCUCCUCAAGAAACAGCUUAAGGAGCACCAUUGUAGCCCUUGUUAUCUCGGAUAAUACAACAAAGCAUGAGUAGGAGCUUUACCUCACCAAGAGGGCUCCGAACCUGGGUAAACACCAUGUGUUCUUGUACUGUGCGUGGUUCACAUCACGCCCUCCCUCCUCCGGUUCCUCCUUCGUCCAUCGGCCCCAUCUUAAGCCAUCAUAUGGCAUCUGCCGUGACGCCACCACGACACACUGAUCCCCAAUCUGAACAGAACUAUUUAAAAUUGCCGGUUAAGGCCAACCCGGCCAGACAGAAGCUAGUUAGCCUAGAGAUCUAAAGCUAGAAAAGAAGCACUUUGGCUAGAACUCUUGAUACACAAUAAUCCAACUCAAUUGCUUCGGAAUGACCGGAUUAUAUCUCAGAAACUGAAGAGGAUCGAUUGCCUGAGGCGGAUUGAAGUACACACGUAUAUACAAGCUCUUAACUAUAUCUCAGGAUUCAGAAUCAGCUCAAUUUUGGUGGAUUUACCAAAACAUCGACAUUUUCAGCACGCACGCACGCACGCACCUCUCUGUACUUGUGCAGGUAGAGCUGGAGAGGCUCGAUGUAGUCCCGAAACCCCAGCGAGGCCAUCGCCGACAACAGGUGGUCUCCGGUCACGGCCUCCUGCUUCCCCUCCCUGCACUUGCCAUUCGCCCUGCAACGCAGUAAAGCGCACAAGUGAACCGGCGAAACCAAAAGGUAAAACAGACUAAAGCGCCCCAUUUUAUUAAGCUCUGGUGACGGAGGCGAUGAACUCGGAGACGGAAGCCUGCACGGCUUCCUCGGCGUCCUUGCCGAUGUCGCCGUCGGGCGGGAUGGCCUUCCGCAUGAUGCGGCCGAUGUCGGCGAUGGGCAGGAGCUGGCCGCCCUGCUGCUCCCUGCUGCCGCCGCCGCCGCCGCCAAAUCGUGGGCUCGCCGCCGGCGCGUCCUCCAUGUGUCCCACAAACCGAAACACUACCAAACCCUAACCCCUGGAAGGCUCGAGAAUCGCUCGGAGGCCGGAGCGAAGAGGAGAGAUUGUCAGCUUAUGGAGGCGCGCGACGUGGCGGGAGCUGGGGAAGCCAGAGAGGCUCAGGGGGGGAGUGAGGUGGCGACUGGUGGAAGAACCGAAGAAGACGAAGAGACGAGGUCGGUUCGUCGACAUUUGUCAAGACAUUCGGCGGUUGGUUUGGGCUUUGGGCUGGCCUUUUUUCGACAGGGUCUUAAUGGGCUUGCUACCAUCACGUGGCCUGCUAGUGCUAGGGAUUCCAUCGUUUCUUCGUUCCUCCGCAGAGAAAACCAACCUCGCUCAGAAAAAAAAGAUGUUGCUCUCAAAAAAAAAAAGAUGUCAGACUAAAAUGAGCACGCCAAAAAUGAAAUGGUAACUAAUUUCUUCUAUUUAUGCUUGCGUACGUACAUACUCGGAGCAAAGCGUCCAUAUUGUUGAUUUAUGUGCCAUACCAAAUGCGCUCAUCAUGCGAGAACUGUUGAGGAAGGAUUACAUGUGUGAGCCAGCGUUCCUUUUAACGUGAGACUAAGAGAAGCAAAAUAAGCUGCCCUUUAAAUAUACCAUCACUAUCAACUAUCACAACGGUUGAUUUCGGGAUGAAACUCCUCGUAACAUUUGGUCUAGAAUGGUAGAAGUGCUGAGAUAUUGGAAGAGAACAAAAUCAAAGUUUUAUUCGGUGCGGUAAGAGAGGUCGCUGGUAGGAUAUGAGUAUGCAGCUCGGACGUUCCUGUCAAAAUUAGUGCCCGAGCCUCGGCGAGCUUCGACAUUGGAGUUGCAGAGGAAGGUCACAUUUCAGAUGAAGACCUCCACUUAUCCCAAAGGGCGGUGGAAUAUUGACAUGCAGCUACGCUCCAAGGCUGCAUGGUAUCAGUACCUUUUUAUUAUAUAUGUGACUCAGUGGCACACAUAAUUGAUGUUUGCCAAUUCUCAAAAAGUGACGACUUUCUCUACUUGUAAUUACGAAAAUACAUUAUCAUUUUUUUCAUGUGAAUUGUGCUCUUAUAUUAUAGUGCAUAGUCAUUCUAUAUAUCUCUUUUCAAAAAAAUAGAAAGGAAGACCAAAAAUGUGUGUCGAUCGAUUUUAAAGUAAAUAUGCUUGACUUUGCACACUCGGGCCUAAGAUAUCCAUCAUGCGAAAACUACUUCCAGAGUAGUUCUAUAACAUUCCCACGGAAAUAGUUCAAGGAAGGAACGCUUUACGUGUGAGGCCGCAUUCCUUUUUUGUGCUAUCACUAAGAGAGGCCAAAUGUUUGAUGCUGUUUAAAUAGCAAUUAAAUAUCACAAACUGUUCAUCUCAGGACCGGAAAGCUUCGAAGCAGUUCCCCUAAAUUAGAGACAUGGGAGGAGAACAAAAGCAAGAGUUUACCAAGGCUGCUAAAAAUGUUCAGUAGUAAUAGUAGAUGAGUGUCCAACAAGGCCAAUCACUCCGAAAUAGGUAGUCCAGAAACUCAACCAGCUGGGCCUUUUCAUGGCGAUGCAUCUCUUCGGGGCUAUAGCGAGAGAUGGAUGUUUAGCAAGUUCCUUAGGUGUACCAGUAGCAUGUCAAAGCAGAUAAUGGAAUCCAUUCGAAAGCGCGACCGAACAGUGAUGAGCGGUGCUUACAAUCGAGUCAUCACUACUAAAAAAACUCAUUAGUGACGGUUGAAAAAGUGUAUCAGUAACGGACGGACCACCCGUCACUGACUUCCUGUUACUGAUGUGCUUAACAUCAGUAACGGGCGGUCCACCCGUUACUGAUGAGGUCCCUCAUCAGUAACGGUCAAGCUACAAGCCCGACACUGAUAUGGAUUAGAAGAAAAAAUAAACGAGGCCGGCUCCAAGCCCGCCCCGAAUCCACACAGCAGCCUGUUGAAUGUUAACAAAUCAAAAGAAAAAUAUCGCCGGCUUCUCAAGGACACGGUGCCGCUGCCCGCCGCCGCCGGUGCUCCAGGCCCCGCGCGCUAAUGCUCCUCUGCAUGCCGGUGGAAGAGGGUCACCGGAUCCGGUGCCGACGAGGAGAGAGCGAGAGAGAGUGAGAAAUAAGAGGAAUAGAGAACUGAGAGCGAGGGAGGGGGCAUACCUGCGAGAGCCAUGGCCGAGAACUGAGAGAGAGGGUCGCCGGAUCCACCGUCGUGGAGGCCGUGGCGGCCGAAUCCUGGCCCGCGGCGACCGAAUCUGCCGGCGAGAUAGAGAGAGGGCAAGAGGCGGCGACGAGCUCAGGGGCGGCGGUGAUGGAGCUCCAUGGCGGCGGAGAGAAGAGGGGAGGCGUCCAUGGCGGCCGCCGUUAGUCACCGCAGGCGCGGGCGGCACCGGUGUGGGUGUGGCCGUCUUGUCGCUCGGGGAGAGAAUCGGGGAGGGAGACAGAGAAAUCGGGGAGGAAGAGGAGGGGGACUGGUGGGGCACGCGAGGAGACAGAGGGAGAUUGGAGAGAUAGAGGGAGGGAAGGGAGGCUGGCGGCGCGGAGGAUUGGAGGAAGGAGUUAGGGUUAGUUGUCCUUUAUAUAGGAAGAAUUGGGUCGGGCCUAAAAUGGCUUGGCCCUAUCAGUGGCGGGCCUAACUUUAUAACCCGUUAGUGAUGAGUCCAGUCACUUUUUUUUUGUAUUUUUCAUACUUCUUGUAAUAUGAAGUAUUUCAUAUAAUUAAAUUGGCCUAUAAAUUUUCAAUAUGGUUUAAUUUUUGUGAAAAAUGGAUAGAUUUCAUUUUGAACAAUAUUAAUUGUAGUUGCUUCACAAAAAUAUCUCAUUUUUUGCAUUUGGAAAUUGGAAAAUCACUUUUUAUAACCAAAACAUGGUAAACCUCUUUGGCAAUAUGGUUUUCAUUACAAGAUUCACCUUUGUGCAAAAAUGGAUACAUUAUCAUAAAAUGUGGCAUAUAAAUUGACAAAACUUUGGCCAUUUGGGUUAAAACCUAAAGUUCAACUAUGGGAAAAUAACAAGAUUGUACUACACAUGUCAUUUUUUCAAAUGUUACCAUAUGAUAUUAUUAUUCCACUAUGUUAAACAAGAAAAAAUAAGACUUCAGCAAAAAGAAUUACAUUUUUCUGAUUUUUUAUGAAUUAGUUAUGAUUUUUCCAAUCUCCCAAGGUCUCCAAGAGUCAUCAGUGGCGGGCCUGGAUGUAAAGCCCGCCACUGAUGCGUGCUUUUCUGAAUUUUGUUAUUUUUCAGAUUGAACCAUUAGUAAUGGGCCUCUGGGGCCCGUCACUGAUGAGGCGUCAUCAGUGACAGGCGUGAACGCGACCGUCACUGAUGAGAGGUCAUCAGUGACGGGCACGAAAGGCCCGUGACGGAUGAUGGUCAUCAGUGACGGGCUCGAAAGGUCCGUCACUGAUGUCUCGUCACAUAUGCACCGUUUUGUAGUAGUGCAGACAUAGGAUCGGACUGGGACUACAAAUUAGUAUCUGUUCAACGAUUAUGUUAGUGUUGGAAAUUUAACUAUUCAAUAAUUCAUGUAAAUACCAAAGUCUCAUGUGAACGAUUAUUUAGAAGCCGAAACGUUUUCUAUUAGUGUACCAUGAAUACGUACAAAUAAUUGGUGCAUGAAUGGACCACGAAUACGUGCAGCUUAAUGGUUACACUAGUGAUCCAUGAAUACAUGCAAACUAAUUGUUGCACCAGUGGACAAUGAAUACGUGUGAUUCAUGGCUCUGGGCAAUGUUCUUGGCUCUGAUCUGGACAACGAAUACGAUUCAUGAUUCAUGGUUCUUGACAUAGCGGCGCAGGGGUGGGCCGUGUGUGUGGUGUCACAUCGACCUGGCCGACGACAAUUCGGUACAAGAUGCGAGGCCGUGGACCGGCGGACCGCAGUGUCGCCUUACCUCGUGCGUCUUCUCCCGCCGAGAUGGAAGAGUCGGAGCAAAAUGCGUGGAUCUGAACCAUCGGUGCCAGCAGAGACAUCUCCCAUGGCCGACAUGGGCCAAGAAAUGCCGGAAAUAUCUCAGGAUCUGGUGGAAGGGAGAGCAAGAGGAAGGGGAGCUCCGGCCUCAGCAGAUGCAGCGCGGAGAUCGACAUGGCUAGACGGGCCCAAGGAAACAACCUCCAAAAAGGUGGAGAGGAGGCUGCUGGCCAUAAGGCAUCUUCAAUAAGGUAACUUAGUUGUUACUUAGACGAUGACAUGUCAGAUUUUGAUGAUGUCAAAGCAAAAAGAAGAGAGAAGAUGAAGUAGUGGUUUCUUCCUAAAAAAACUGCUACUACACGCAUACCAAAAACUAAGUAACAACUAAGUCACUAUUGAAGCAAGAGUUGUUACUUGCAUCCUACCUUUGUGAGACCAACUAUAAUAAAUUAUAAAUAUUUUUAGAGUACCAGUUACAAGAUGAAAAAAUCACCUGAUGGAAGGGUUGAUACUUUGUGUUACAUUGUUUAUCUCUCUCCUUUUAGUAAGAACCUAAGUAACGGCUUGUUGGAGAUGCCCUAAUAUAAUUUGCUUUCCAACUUCAGAAAAUAAUUAGUUGCCUUUCUCUUCAAAACUUUGAUCUAAAUUUUAUUAUUGCUCUGUUAAUUUUAAUUUUUUUUCUUCUAAUCAAAUGUCAUGUUGUCUUGGGGCGUGUGGAUGACGGCCAAAUUUAUGUUGCUUUGUUAACUUUGUUUCUAUUGAAUUAUCCAUGUUGCUUUGUUAAAAAAUUCCUAUCGAAAUAUUCUUGUUUCCAACUCGCUCAAUUCAAUAACUUUUUUUUUUGAAAUGGCAAUUCAAAAACUUGAACAUGGCAGAAAAAUCUAAGAAAGGUACGCAGUUGAAUUUGAACAAAAUAGCAAAAGGAAUUCCAACAUUCCAUCAAAUUUCGUACAUUCUUCCACCAAACCUCCUACGUCCGAUCUAAAGUAGAACCUGGAGCAAAAUAAAUUUAAAAUAGGACGCAGCGCCGUGACGAGCUCGCCGUCUCAGUCUGACUCAGAGUCGGGCUCGGAAUGUUGCGGAGAACAUAGCCUCCAUUUCAUACACAUCGUCCUGUUUGAUCGCAAUGGUAUGGAGAUCUGGGCAGUGCACACGAGGCCAGCGUCCAGGCAGCCAGACAUGCCUGAUCUUGGCGCAGCGAGCUAGGAGUUCAUCGUUGACUUCAAGGUAGGGGCAUGCGGUGAGGUCAAGGCACUCGAGGUGCGGGCAGCCUUCGAGGAUGGCAUGGACUCCUUUGGUCAGGUUGUCGCAUGCCAGCUGGAGGAGUCGCAGUUCGUGCAGGUUUGCUGCGAUAGCGAAGGCCACCCGAUUGUGCCCUGCCUCCCAGACCAUGGCCAUGUAGUGGUCGUUGUCAUCAUCAGUAUCAUCAUGGAUGAGGAUGCGUUGUUCCAAGCUCAUCUCUCACAUCAUUGCAUCUGAGUUGAACCAAGGCACACGAUUCUUAGGCGUUUCAGCUCUGGGCGCACUGCGCCAAGCUGCUUGUAAAAAUAUGCUGGCUGCUUCUGAUGCGAGCACUCUAUCUCUUCUAGCAUUGGACAUUUAGCUGCAAGCCUAGCAACUUUGUCAUCCUGAAAGCAUCCAGAGGAGAUGAUUUGAAUGCUCUUUAACGAGUUGCCUCUGCAGAGUUAAAGAGUCAGAAUAAACAUGAUAUAUAAAAUAAACUUCAGACAAGAAAUAAAACAGGACUGCAUAACAAGUUUGCAGUAAGCAUAAUUUCUCCUUAAAGCCAAGUAGUUGGAGAGAUCACAUAAUCGCGUGCCAUAAAUAUCAAAUUAGAGGUCAAAGUUUAGGGCCCAAGUGAAAUUCAUGCUUCGCAAAAACUAUUAAGGCGUGACAGUGCUCAAGACUGAUAGGUCAUACAUAGUGAAAAGGAAGUGCAGACAUGCAAGAGCAGAAACUUAGGGCCCAAAGAAAAAUACCUGCUUGCAAUGUAAUCCAGGAGUUCGCUACUGACAAACUUCUCUGCCCAGAAUGACUCCAUACGUCCGUCAGAACGAUCUAUGGCCACCUUCGCCAUUUUGCACAUGACAUUUCCCGCCUUCGAGAAAACCACGUUGUGCCCCGUCAUGUCCUCGAAUCGCCACAACUCAGUCAACUUGGCGGCCUCCAACCAUGAGUGGCACACAAGCCCUGCGCCCAUCAGGAUCUCAAUGGUCCCAAGCUUUGUGAAGAUAGCAGAAAGCGCAUCAACUGUGAGCUCAGACCAAUCCCUAACUUCAGGCACAGGCAGAGGGUUUGGUUCUGCCACCAUUUUGCGAGGAAGUACCUAAAAAUAAGGGUAUCAUAAAAAAGAGAACAAGGAUGACCAACUUUAAUUUGUAUGAUGCCAUGCUAAAUUACAGUUUGCACACAAGAUAGAAGAAUCAAAUUCAAUGUAGUUAGGAGCAGCUUCUCUGUACCAUUGUAAUUUGUAAACCCAACUAUUAGGAUUAAACUUAUGGAUUAUAAAUGGUUUAGACUGAAGAAACUUCAGAUCUCUAAGUCUUUUUAUAUAUGUCCAUUACUCUAAUCAACAUUCCAACUAACAAAACCUCAUAUUUACUAAUAGAUGAAACAUGUAAAACUCUCCGUCCCAAUGCAUAAUGUGUGAAGAGCACCUCCAAGGUCUCCCCUAUCUUAUAGUCAUAUUUGGGGAAUUAAUACAUCCAAAAAAUUGUGUCCAGCAGAUUCCCAAUCCAUUUCCCAUUCCUAGCCAUCCCCCAUAUACUACUCACAGAUCUUGUAUGUUAAUUAGUGAUAAGUGAUGCUGAUAAUUGUUAUGUGGUUAUCACAUGGAAUUUGAUGCUAAUUUUUUUCUCAAGUCUUAACUUAGAUGUAAUUACUCCCUCCUUUUCACAAAGGUUGGAGUAUUUUGUUUCGUAAAACAAGACUUUGAACAAGAAUUACACUAUUAAUAUGUAAUCUAUAUGAUACAAAAUCAUGAUUAUUAGAAAGAACUUUUAAAGACGAAUCUAUUGAUAUAAAUUUCAUGUAUGUAAAAACACAUAUUAAUAGAGUUAUUGACCGGAUUAUAUCUCAUAAAGUGAAGCGGAUUGAAGUACACCCAUAUAUACAAGCUCUUAAACAUUUCUCAGAAAUCAGAGUCUUCCCAAUUUUGGUCGAUUUACCAAAAACAUCCCACAUUCAGUACGCACGCACCCCUCUGUACUUCUGGAGGUAGAGUUUCAGAGGUUGGAUGUAGUCCUGAAACCCCAGCGUGGCCAUCGCCCACAGCAGGUGGUCUCCGGUGAUGGCCUCCUGCUUCUCCUUCCUGCACUUGCCACUCGCCCUGCAUUGCAGAAAGCACAUACACAAGUCAGCCGGCAAAACCGAAAGCUACAAAAGGGAAAAAGAAAAGAAGGCAAAACAGAGUAAAGCGUCCCGUUUUAUUUAUUACUCUCUGGUGACGAAGGCGAUGAACUCGGAGACGAACGCCUGCACGGCCUCCUUGGCAUCCUUGCCGAUCUUGCCGUUGGGAGCGAUGACCUUCCGCAUGAUGCUGCUGAUGUUGGCGAUGGGCAGGAGCUGGCCGUCCUGCUGCUCCCUGCCGCCGCCGCUACCGUCGGCCCCGCCACCGCCCACCGCAUCCUGGGCUCGCCGCCGGCGCGUCCCUCAUGUGUGCUCCGCCGCCCCAACCGAAACACAAGUCGAUUAAUCAGAUCGGCCACCAAACCCUAACCCCCGGAAGGCUCGAGAAUCGCUCGGAGGACGGAGCGAAGAGGGGUUUGCAUAAAGAGGGAGAGAGAGCGAGCGAGCGAGCGAGCGAGAUGUUCCCUCGGCGCGCGACGUGGCAACUGGUGAAAGAAAAACAGAGAAGACGAGGCGGCGAACAUUUUGGUGCAAGAAAAGCUGUUUACCACCCCACGCCCUGCCAAAUUUUGGUGCGCCCACGACUCUUCGGGCUGUGAUUUGGUUAGCUGCGGCUAGAAUAAGAAUAAAAGCUGGUUAUAGGGAUUUAAAUAUCAUAUUUGUGUUUAGUUGGAUGAGUUAGAAAAGGAAGUGGACUGAUAGCUAACAGCCAGCUGCAGCACAAGCUCCUAGGUUAUUUGUGAGAGUGAAAUGUGGAUCCAGAUUUAAUAAAAUACAACAUCUUAUAGCUCACUAUUGUACAUGUUAGUUAUUAGAUGGGCUUAUAGCGAGGUGCUGGCUACUACUAUUGCUCUUGCUCUUAGCGAGGCUCGCCAACGCUACUCACCUGAAAAUUCGUUCACACUAGUUCAAUCAUGUGCCCACGCGCGGGCGAGUCGUUGGAGGCCAAAUCGCUCGUCAAAUCCUGGACGAGCCAAUUGUUGGCGUUGUGCGCUGGGGCUUAAAACAAACAACGGAAAUUCUAAGUGGGGCACGUGCCCCACUUGAUCGAUCUUACUGUGCGGCGUUCCCCUUCUCAUUGUCUUAUCCGCUCUCUCUCUCUCUUUUCUUUUUCUCCUCUUGAUCUUGUCCUCUCACUAGCCUUUCUCCUCUCGAUCUCAUCCCCUGGGUUUUCUCCCGAUGGUAGGACCUCACGGCGGACGCAAGAGGCGGCAUCAUAGUUUUAAAUAGCGGGCUAAGCCAUUUAGCGGCAGCCUGCUCCAGAAGCUAUACGUGCUAUAGCGAUGCUAUAAUGGCGCUAAGACAUUUAGCGGAUUUUUAAAAAAUCAUACAAAAGUAUCAAUAAAUGAGGCAUCAUAUGAUAAAUAAAAAAUCUUCCCCUUGACAUCACUAGGAACUACUUGACACUUAGAAACACCACUUGUAAUGCCAGCAAGGUGGUACCUAACUCUAGUAAUGCCAACAAUGCACAUAUUGGGACAAUAGCACCAUUUAAUAUGAUGUUUUUGCUCAAAUUUAAAAAACUACAAUGAGCUGAGACACUGCUUGAGAUGUGAUGGGAUUUAGGCCACCCCUAUGCCAGAAGCCCAAAAAAUAAUUAUCACAGGGUUAGCUUAGCGCGCUAACGAUCCCAAAAUAUAGCACUAUAGCGUGAUUAGCGGAGCUAAUAGCGUUUUUUCUCAGGUUAGCAUUAAAACUACAUAGCUUUAGCGCGAUCCCUCUCCAAACGCUAUAGCGCCGCUAUAGCGAUGCUAGAGCGCGCUAUUUAAAACUUUGGGCGGCAGUGGCGGCGACGACAAAGCAGAGCGUUGCAGCGGCGACGGCGGAGCAGGGACGGCCACGGAGCAGCUUGCAGCGGCGCACUACGGGAAAACCGGGCGUUGCCGGCGGCAAGGCACUUUGCCGGAGGCUUACAUCGGGCCGCCGGCAAAGAGGCGCUAUGCCGUGGGCCGGCAGAAAAGCCCACGGCAUAGGGUCGGCCGCCAGCAAAUCUUCCGAAAGGCCGGCGGCAAAGGACGGCCGCCGACAAAGAGACCCUGCACAUGGGCCCGCGUGCGAGGUUAACGACGGGCGAAACGGCCGGCGGGGAGGGAAAAAAACUAUCUUUGCCGACGGCCACCAAAAAAAAGCUGCCGGCAAAGUGAUUCGUUUUUCCCACGACAUUCCGUUCAAAUUUGGACGCGCGCGCACGAAUUAAAAAAAAAAAGAAAUAACCCUUUGCCGGCGGCCCCGAGAAAAGGCCGCCGGCAAAGGCCAUUUCUUUUUUAUUUUUUCCCACGUGUCCCCCGUCCGAAUUGAACCGAACAAAAAAAAAGAAAUUAACCCUUUGCCAUUGGCCCCGAUAAACAGCCGCCGGCAAAGGAGAAUUUUCUUUUUUCUUUUUGUCCAAAGUCCCCCGUUUGAAUUGAAACGGACGAAAAAAAAACCCUUUGCCGGUGGCCCCGAUAAAUAGCCGCCGGCAAAGGCUGCUUUGCCGAAGGCCCACAUAAUAGCCGCCGGCAAAGCAUUUUUUUUCCUUUUUUUGUUUGUUUGUGAUGUAAAUCAACCAUAUUGUAAACACAUAGAGAAAUAUAUAUUGUUGUUUAGAUUGAACCCAAUUUACACUUAUAAAAUAAAGAAAACUAAUUACUCUUUGCCGGCGGCAGUGAGUUAAUUGGUUACGAUCGGUUCAUCGACGCAUGAAAUGACGAAACAAAUGGUUUCCCGGCUUUCCCCUUGUGCAUGGUGUGCCAUGUAUAAGUAAAUGAAGGGUGUGUUAAUGGUAAAAUCCAAUCGAUAGCCCUGAUGUGACACUUCCUUUGCAAACAAUACUAGCGAAUGGGCAUGAAUGUUCCACACUUGAGGGGAAAAGUCUCAAUUCAGACCGACGGGACAUAAUUUAGUCGGUCCAUGGGAUAGAUGUUUGCUUUUUCAUGUUAACAUGUCGUAAUACAACAAUAUGAUAUAGUAAAGUGACAUGAAAACCCAAGUUUUGGUGAAAAGCUAGUAAGAAAACACUAAGAAACAUUCAAACCCAAGCCCUAGAGUGAGGAAAACACGCAAUUCAGACCGAGGGAGAAGAAUUCUGUGAGGGCUUGGGGUAGAUUUGUUGUUUUACAUGUGCCCAUGCGGCAAUAGAACACCAAGUAAUAGCAAAACAUCAGGAAAACCAAUGUUUUGGUGAAAAGCUACCCCGUAGAUGCCACGAGGCCCGCAGGAGGGGGCGAUGCCUCAAAUCACACGACGGAUGGUCUCUAGAGAACUUGAAAUCUUGGAUGAUGUCAACAAAUGGGUACAUAGAGAUGGUGUUAAUCUGAGGUUGCACUUCCUUCACAAACUAGACUAACCCGCACGAACGUUCCAGACUUGGGGGGGGGGGGGGGGGGGAGUCGCAAUUCGGACGGACGGAGCAGAAUCCUUUGAGGACUUGGGUAGCUUUUUGGUUUUUCAUGUCCCCAUGUGCUAGUACAACACAAAGGUAUAGAGUAAAGUGACUUGAGAACACAAGUUUUGGUGAAAAGCUAGCCCGGAGACGCCACGAGGCCCGCAGGAGAGGGCAAUGCCUGAAAUCACACGACGAAUGAUCCAGAGAACUUGAAAUCUUGGAUGAUGUCAUCAAAUGGGUUCAUAAAGAUGGUGUUAAGAGGAAAACACAAUCCAAGUAUCUGAGGUUGCACUUCCUUCACAAACUAGACUAACCCGCACGGAAGUUCCGGACUUAAGGGGGAAAAGUCGCAAUCCGGACGGACGGAGCAGAAUUCUUUAAGAAAUUGGGUAGAUUUUUGGUUUUCAUGUUCAAAUGUCCUAAUAGAACAAAAAGGAAGUCUAAAGUGACAGAAAACCCCAGUGUUUAGUGAAUAAUUAAAGUAAAAAACUGGAAAAAAAUUUGGAAAAAGUCUUUGCCGGCGGCUUUUUGUGGGUCCGCCGUCAAAGGUUUCUUUGCCUGCGGCUUUUUGUCGGGCCACCGGCAAAGCGCGCUUAAAAAAAACAAAAACCCUCCCCCCCCUCUCUCUCUCUCUCUCUCUCGCGUUCCCUUCUCUCUCGCGCGCCCGCGCCCGACCGCCGCCUCUGCCGCCCCCGUCCCUUGCCCCCCGGCCGGAUCCGCCCAGAUCCGGCCUCCCCCUCCCUCUCCCUGCCGGCCCAUGCCACCCCGACCCCCCUCUCCCCCGCCGCCCCUGCCUCCUCGGCACCCCGCCCCACCGCGCCGCCUCCCCUCCACUCCUUCGCCACCCCACCCCGCCGCCUACCCUCCUCUCCUCCCGCCACCCCGCCCCACCCCGUCGCCGCCCCCGCCUCCCUCCUUCCUCCCCCACCGCCGGCCUCCCCUCCUCCCCUCUCAGCCCCCUCCGACCACCUUCCGGCCCCCUCUGGUGAGCAUUUUUUUCUUUUUUUUUGCAUAUGAAAUGUACAAUUAUAUGGUAGCUUGUAGUUAGCUUAAUUAUAGUAGCUUAAUUGUUUGCAUAUAGUAGCUUAAUUUAUAUGCUAGCUUGUAGUUAGCUUAAUUAUAGUAGCGUAACUUGUAUGCAUAUACUAGCUUUAUUUAUAUGCAUAUUGUAGCUUAAUUUGUAUGCAUAAUUGUAAUUAAGUUUGUAUAACUGUUACUUAGGGUUUAGGAUUUAGGGUUAGGGUUUAAGGGUUGGGUUAGGGUUUAGGGUUUAGAGGGUUAGGGUUUAGGGUUUGUAUAACUGUUACUUAGGGUUUAACAUUAUAGAAGAUUGUUGCAAUAUCUGUGAUAAACAUUGUUAAAUGAUGGAUGUGGCAAUAUGCUUCGAUAUGUAUGCUUACGGAAGAUAUGAUUCGUACAAAGUUAUUUCUUUUGCAUGUAUGAUUAUUAGUUGCAUGUUGGAUGGAUGUGUGUAUUCAUGAUUCUUAUAUAACUUUAUGGUUCAUGUAGGAGUGACACCAACCUCGCCGCCAUCCAUCUACUUCGACUACUUCGUCUACGGUGAGCAUCUCCCUCUAUCUCGCCUUCCCCUUUUGCUCUGUCCCGGCCAUCGAGCCGAUGACACUUGUAAUUUAAAUGUCAAAGUCGCGUAACCCUGUUCGUCUCCCGUCCGAAAGGGUUACGUAUAUAGAUAUGCAAGUCUUUGCAUAUCUAUAAGGGUAACUCUUUCGGAUUGUCCACGUUUUUUGGAUAGCCCGAGGGUGUGUAGAUUGGGUUCGUUUCUGUGCUCUAGUCCGGUCUGAGACGUGAUUUCGACAGCAUCUCACCUUUGUUCUCCGGAUGCACAUUCUCUUGGUUUGUUGUCGAGACGUGUAUUUGGAGAACAGCGGGGAGGUGCUGCCGAAAUUUCGUUUCGGACCGGACUGGAGCACGGAAACGGCCCAAUCUACACACCUUCGGGUGGGAUUAGGACCUAUCCUUACCUAUUAGUGGAAUAGUUCAGCACAUGCCCUUUUCAAUGAAAAAAUAAAAUAUGUGAUGUAAUUAAUUUGACGAAACUAAUUACUUGUGUUAUUAAACCGUGUAUCCUUUUGGUGUCAUGUGGUAUCCCAAAAUAGCAGAGAAUGGCUGAUCGUCGAUGGAUGUACAAUGGCCGUGGUAGUCGGACAGACCGGGAUGAUGAUUGGAUGAAAAACACGGCAGAUUUUUUGGAGGUUGCAUUUGCUAGAGGAGAAGGGCGUGCUUGGUGCCCUUGCAGUCGUUGCAAUAACAAGACACGACACACAAAGGAUGAGAUGGGCAAUCACUUGCUGCUGUACGGGUACACGCCAAACUAUACCUGAUGGGGCUAACAUGGUGAGCAAGAGGAUAGAGGAAGAGAGGAGGUCGUGCGAAGGCGCACGGACGACUAUGAUACGGGGUUCCAGGACAUGCUGGAUGACUUGGAGGAAGCACACGUUCCAACGGAGGAAGAACCGGAGGCAAUCUCUAAGGCCUAUCUUGAUAUGCUGGCGGAGGCAAGCACAGAUCUACAUGCUCACAGAAAGGUCAAUAAGCUAGAUGCCGUUGCUAGAAUAAUGGCUGUGAAGACCCAAUUCAACUUGAGUAGAGAAUAGUUUGAUGUGAUGAUGGCAGUUAUCGAUAGUCUCCUCCCGGAAGGCCACCUUUUGCCUAAAAGCAUGUACGAGGCGAACAAAAUGCUUAGUGUACUUAAGUUGUCGGCUCAGUGCAUACAUUCAUGUAAAAAUGGAUGAACGGUGUUUGACAGAGAAUACGCGGAUGCCAAGCAUUGUCCGAAGUGCAAUUUCUCUCGGUAUGUCGAGGUAGACCAUGGGAAGGGUCUGGUGCAGUCAAAAAUACCCCAUAAAGUUCUUAGGAUGCUUCCAUUCUCAGAAAGAAUUGGCCGGAUGAUGCUAUCUGACGUGCCUGGCAAAGCUGUGACGCAUCACAAACUGGGGAAGAAAUACAAAUACGACAAGGAUCAUAGGCCGAUGUUGACACAUUCGUCGGAUGGCGAAGCAUGGAAGGAUUUUGAUCGGAAGUAUACGGAGAAAGCCGCGGAGCCUCGGAAUGUUCGAGUUGCCAUCGCAACUGAUGGGUUCAAUCCAUUUGGCAUGACGAGUGCCCCAUACAGCUGCUGGCCAGUGUUUGUUAUUCCGCUCAAUCUCCCUCCCGGAAUGAUAAUGCAACGGAAGUACAUGUUCUUGGCGCUGAUAAUUCCAGGACUAGAAUAUCCAGGGAAGAACAUUAAUGUGUAUAUUCGGCCCCUGAUGGAGGAGUUUAAAAGAGGUUGGGAGGAAAGGAUCAUGGUGUACGACAAAGCUACCAAGACAAACUUUAGGAUGCAUAUCUGGUUCCAGUUCUCCGUUCAUGACCACCCGGGGGGAUCUAUACUCUCCGGUAAAGGCUUGCAGGGGAAGUUCAUGUGCCCACACUGCGGGACUGAUCUGGAGUUCUAUCGGCUCGCUCAUGGUCGCAAGUAUUGUUGCUUCGAUCCGCAUAUGCGAUUCCUCCCGCCUAACCAUCCGUUCAGACAAGACAAGAAGAACUUCAGGAAAGGUGUGGUCGUCGAAGAGGGGCCACCCCGUUAUCGCACCGGUUCUGAGCUUCUUGCUGAGCUGGAUGCUCUUGUGCCUGACCCGACACAACCUGACAAGUUCCUGGGGUAUGGUGAUACACACAACUGGACUCACAAGUCAUGCUUCUGGGAGCUCCCCUACUUCAAAGACAUUCUUCUUCCACAUUGUAUUGAUGUGAUGCACACCGAAAAGAAUGUCGCCGAAGCCUUUUUCAACACAAUUCUCACCAUUAUUGACAAGACGAAAGAUAAUCCGAAGGCUAGAAAAGAUCAAGAAGAACUUUGCGAUAGACCGCAACUAAGCAUUAAAAAGGUGCCAGGCAGGUCAGAUAUCAGGCCAAAGGCCCCGUUUGCUCUCGACAGGGACCAAAAGAUGAAAGUAUUCCUGUGGUUCAAAGAGUUGAAGUUUCCUGAUGGGUAUGCAGCUAAUCUAAAGAGGGGAGUUAAUCUUGGCACCAUGCGAAUCAACAGCCUCAAGAGUCAUGACUCUCACACAUGGCUUGAGCGUUUGCUGCCGGUGAUGCUUCGAGGCUAUGUGUCGGAGGAUAUUUGGCGGGUGUUGGCAGAGUUGAGCAAUUUCUUCCGCCGGCUUUGUGCUAAAGAACUAUCCCCCACCUUGCUAGAAGAAAUGGAAAAACAAGCCCCCAUGUUGCUCUGCAAGCUAGAGAGGAUCUUUCCGCCGGGCAUGUUCGUGACGAUGCAACAUCUAAUUAUCCACCUCCCGUACGAGACUCGGAUGUGGGGCCCUGUGCAGCAUCGUUGGAUGUAUGCCAUCGAGAGACUUAUGAAGACCCUUCGAGCUAAAGUAAAAAACAAAGCUAAAGUUGAAGCAUGCAUAUGGGAGGCAAGCCGUCUCGAGGAAGUGUCAAACGCAACGGCGAGUUACUAUAGCUCCGAUAUUGCCACGCUGCAUAAUCCAGUAUCCCCCUACAAUCUUGGCAACCCUGAAGAUGAGUCCAAGCUGAGCCUAUUCAGAGGGCAACUUGGAACUUCUAAAGCCGAGAAAAUAGUCACCCUGUCCUACCAAGAGUGUCGAUCCCUUACGUUAUAUAUCUUGAACAACCUCGACGAAGUCCAGCCGUACAUCAAGUAAGUGCCCAGUAAGUAAUUCCUCUUUGCAAUUGAUCACAAGUUUGUCUCUAACUCAUCUCGUUCUCAUCGCGUCAGCACAUUCACUCAACUCAACUGGAAGCGAAUAAGAAAACCCGAUCCUCUAGAACAUGAUGCCCUUCUUAGAGAUGGUCCAAAUGGCCCUGGAUCUGGUUUCAUUGAGUGGUUCCAAAAUCAAGUACUUUCUUUCUUAGCUCCUAGUUGUUUCAACACCUAGAGGCCUUGCGUGCGACUAAUACAUGAUGCUUUUCUGCUUAAACCGGUAGGCUAACAACAAUGUGUCUAUGAGCUCCCAAUUGAGACAAAUUGCCAAUGGUUUUGAUGUCAAGGUCGGUUCAUUCAAAUCCUACGACGUCAAUGGAUAUCGAUUCCAUACAACAUGGUAAGAGCUCAGUCGGCCCAAUCGAACCUCAACAAAUUCCGGGGUGUUUGUAGAAUGCGGUGGAGAUGACUUCUACGGAAGGGUUGAGGAGAUAUACGAACUACAAUACCGCGGGCCCAAACCUCCAAAGGUCAUUGUAUUCAAAUGCCGUUGGAUCGAUCCGAAACACGUUAACAAGGAUGACACAAUUGGCCUAGUCGAAGUAAAACGAGACAGUGUCUUCGAAUGCGAGGAUGUAUAUAUUGUAGCUCAACAAGCCACACAAGUUUAUUUCCUCCCGUACCCGUGCACUAAAGUGGCUCGCCUUUAGGUUUUGGAUGUCGUGUAACACGUGCAGCCACAUGGUAAACUACCAGAACCAAACGACCAAGAUUAUCUGCCGCAACGAGAGCCUGGCGACGAGUUUUUCCAAGAAGCCGGCGGGGACACAAGUGAUUUCAUGGUACGGUAUACCGAUUCUCCGGGCACGGAAGUAGACAAUGACGGUGAAGGUGACGAGGUUGAUGGUGAUGGUGACGACGACGAUGAGGAACAGGCUAAUGUUGAUAGUGAUGUUGAGAGUGAUCUUGAUGCGGCUCUUCUAGUUGAUCCCGAUGACGAAGACUACAAUUCACAUGCCCAUACUUAGUUGUUUCAUUUGUUUACAUCAAGUUGUAAUCCGUCCUACUUAAUUAGUUAGUUCGUUGAAUCCCAACUUUACUAUAUUGUACAUCAAGUUGUUGUUUCAUUUAUUUACAUUUAGUUGGUGUUUCUUUUAUUUACAUCAAGAUGUUGUUUCAUUUGUUUACAUCUACUUGUAUAAUCCAUCCUACUUAAUUAGUUAGUUCGUUGAAUCUCAACUUUACUUGUAUUGUACAUCAAGUUGUUUCAUUUGUUUACAUCAAAUUGUUGUUUCAUUUAUUCACAUCUACUUGUAUAAUCCGUACUAACUUGUUCACUUUUCCUCAUGGCAGGUGAUUGAACCAUGGUGGGCGGGCGUAGUACCUCUCAGAGACGUGUCGAAGAGCUAUACCCUCUGCCUAAAGUGAAGGCCAAACCCCCGAAGAAAACCCUUGCACGUAAAGCAAAGGGCAAAGCUAGGAGGGAGCCCUCUCCCUCGCCGCCGCCACUCGAUUGAGGAGAUUUGGGAGAAGGUGAGGGAGAUGGAGAUGGAGGCGGGGGACUUUGGUGAGGACGAGCUGCAGGAUCACUCUGCUGGUACCUCCACGGGAGCCUCGGCGGGGGCUGCCUCCAGCUCUGGUAAAGACAAAGUGUACCAUGAUGAUCCUACUCGUCUCCCCACCAAGCGGCCCUCUUGUGAAGAUGAGAAGCCAGUCAUUCGUCCAAUAGCCAAGAUGUACCUUUCUUGAUCCUAGAAUUUAGUUUACAUCAAAUUGUUGUUUCAUUUAUUAACUGCAAUUGACUUGUCUUAUCCUUGUGUAGGGGCUGGGUGGUUGUUGCACCCGGGUGUUUUACGAUGCAACCCAAGGCUUUUCUUGGGGUCCUCCUCAAGGACCACUUCACUGGCAUGGUUCUUGUUGAAGGAAAGGAGGAGCCAAAGGUAGCCCGGACAUGGGCACACUACGUGGCCCAACCGGACUUUCAAGAUAGAGAGAAUGUGAUGUAUGCGAACAAAGCCGAGCGGGUGAAGGGCGAAUUUUGGGUAAGUCGCCUUCGCACAAUGCAUACAUUAGUCAAAACAAUUGUAAUGCAAAAUAUAUAACUCAUGAAUGGAUCCGUUUUGUCUAAUUGCAGCGGUUCUUCAAGCUGGCGGAAGGCUAUGAUGAUGCAACAAUUGAACGGCACUUCGAGGCAAGUGUGAAGAAGGCAUUGUCCGAGAUGUUCUAUCACGCGCGUGUCUACGCCGUGAGGAAGUACUAUGCCGAAGUGAAGAAACAGAGAUUGGAGAAAGCACAAUGUAUCGUGACGCAUCUCGAGCACGAACAGUACAUGCAGGUAAAGUAAAAGAAAGUGCAUUUCCUUGCUUAAUAAGGGCUAACGCUUAACUUCUUCGUGUCUGGGCUUGUACUUGUUCAUUUAGGUUCCUCUGCACUGGUGCAUCUCGCACUUAAAUGCCUGGAAGGCGCUGGUGGACUCGUGGUGCUGCUCGGAGUACGUGGAGACGCGCGGGCUCCUUAGGGAGAGGAGGUUGGCCAUCCCAAGCGGAAUGCACCAUCAAGGGAGCGUGAACCUGCAGGGCUACACCAACAACUAUGUAUGUGUUUUUCUCCCAAAAAGAUCUUCAUGUGCGAGCCUCACCCCUAACUAUCUUGUUGUUGCUUGUUGUUUCAGGCGAAGGCUCAUCCGGAUAAAGAACGCCUCACCAGUUUCACGGCUGUUGACUGCGCCCUCAGGGGAAAGGCGAGCACCGUGUCGGAGUACAGUGCGAACGCCCCGCCCGAAGCCUACGCCACCCCAGCUGACCAUGCCAAGGUCACAGGCUACGCGGAGGUGUUUGAGGAGGUGCACGGCCCCGGGGCUGAUCCUAGCCGGCACGACCUUGAUGUGGAAGUGGUCGUGAGGGUGGGAAGAGGCAAGAAGCACGGUAGGCUGGUCUUCAGGAACGGAACCAUUGAUUCGAGCACCAUUCCCAGCCUACCUCACCUAAAGGCUACUUCCACGAGCUCGAGUGCUAGUAUACGCAGUCGUCCAGGUGCACGGCAGUUCUCACAGCAGGUUAGUUGUUCUUCAUUCACCAUCUCGUGUCUUUUUGCAUUUCAUUGUAACGACAAUGAACUUGCAAUGGCAUUGCAGGAGAUGGAGGAUAUGGUGGCGGCUCAGGUGCAGGCUCAGAUGGAGGCUCAGAGGCAGGCUCAGGAUGCUCAGAUCCAGGCUCAGGUGGCGGCUCAGGUCUAGGCCGCACCGAGGGCUCAGUACGACCACCUUAGGGUAUGUUUACUGCACAUAAUAGCCAAGAAAGCGUGGUAUUAGUUCCGUAACUGCAACUCUUUGUCUUUUCAAUAUGCAGCCGUACCUCGCCGCCACCUCUCAAGAGCCGCCUACAGCACCACCGCUGUUCGACUUGGCGUUUGUCAAUCUCCAGAUUGAGCAUGCUCCACAGCCUUCUCCACAGACUCUGGUGAGUUCACUCGAAACAUUUCAAUCUCCAUUCAUGACUUUUUUUGCUUUCAUUGAGGGUUGGGCUCAAUGCCUAAUCAUCUGUGCAACAACAUCAAUCCGGCCGUGGCUCGUACGACCCUUCUUCACACGCAAGCCUUGCUGGAGGCAACCCUCUUGGCCAGUCACCUGCUCCUAGACACUGACUUGGGUAUGUUGCCACAAACUUGUCUCAUCUCGAGGUCUGUUGUUUUGAAAACUUACUUUCUUGUCUCCACACGUAGAAACAUAACCUAGCAUCACAUAGUGACAUAGAUCCCAUUUUAGAGCCAAGAGGGCUCACUUGGCUCCAAAAUGGUGCCUUGGUGGCAUUUUUGGGCAUUUGGCUCAUUUAUGCCACCAGGGCACCAAUUUGGAGCCAAAUGAGCCAUAUUGGCUCUAAAAUGGUGCCUUGGUGGCAUUUUUGGGCAUUUAGCUCAUUUAUGCCACAAGAGCACCAUUUUGGAGCCAAUAUGGCUCAUUUGGCUCCAAAAUGGUGCCUUGGUGGCAUUUUGGAGCCAAAUGAGCCAUAUUAGCUCCAAAAUCGUGCCUUGGUGUCAUUUUGGCCAUUUGGCUCCAAAAUGGUGCCCAGGCACCAUUUUGGAGCCAAAUGAGCCAUGUUGGUUCCAGAAUGGAGCCAUGGUGGCAUAAUGGAGCGAAAUGGCUCGUUUUGGAGCCAAAAUGGUGCCUUGGUGGCAUUUUUGUGCCAUUUGGCACAUUUAUGCGACCAAGGCACCAUCUUGGAGCCAAAUGAGCCAUAUUCACUCCAAGAUGGUGCCAUCGUGCCAUUUUAGAGCAUUUAGGGGUCAUUUGGUUUUAAAAUGGUGCCCUGGUGGCAUUUUUGGAGCCAAAUGAGUCAUAUUUGCUCAAAAAUGAUUCCAUGGUUGCAUAAUGUAGCCAAAUGUCUCGUUUUCGAGCCAAGAUGGUGCAUUGGUGGCAUUUUUGGGUCAUUUGGCUCAUUUAUGCGACCAUGGCACCAUCUUGGAGUCAAAUGAGCCAUAAAUGGCUCUUUGGAGCCAUUUAUUGGAGCCAUUUAUGGCUCAUUUGGCGUCAAAAUGGUGCCUUGGUGGCAUUUCUGUCGCCAUUUGGCUCAUUUAUGUGACCAUUGCACCAUUUUUGAGCCAAAUGGCUAAGUUUCGCUUCAAAUGCUACAAUUGUCACUUCAAUGCCUUUAUUUAUAUCUAAUUAUGCUAUUCCAACUCCAUUUCAUAGGUUUCUACUGGUGCAAUGGGUGGUGGAUGUUGAAGGUGCCCGAGUCACCUUCUUGUCAUGUAUGAACACUAGCUUGUAAUAUGUUGCUACCAUGUGAUGAACACUUGUAAUAUUUUUGUUGUGAGAUAUGUGAUGUUUUCGAACUUUCAUCAGAUGUUUAUAUGCUUGUGAUGUGAAUGCGUUAUGUGGGCGUCUAUGAUUUUCUGUGGAUGUAUUGUUGUGAUGUGGAUGAACAUAUAUCUGUAUAUAUGUGCUGUGAAAAUAUUUCACAUUGCUGCGAUAAAAAAAAAUACCCUUUGCCGACGGCCACAGUCUUGGCCGCCGGCAAAGGCGGAGCGCAGGCACGCACCAGAUCGUGCCACGUGCCCGCCCUUUGCCGGCGGCUUUUUCCCUGGCUGCCGGCAAAGGCCCGACAUGUGGGCCCAGCCGUUAACGGCACCGCAUGCCGUGAUCUCUUUUUCUUUGUCGGAGGUCGUCGUUUCGGUGCCGGCAAAGGCUUCGCCGACGGACCCGUGAGAAAGCCGCCGGCAAAGAAUCCUUUGCCGGUGGAUCUCCGUGCCGACGGGCUUUGCCGACGGCCCCGAAAAAAACCCGCCGGCAAAGGCUUUGCCUGAGGCAAAGGUGCCUUUGCUGGCGGCCCCUGGCCCCCCCGCAAAGCCGGUUUCUCCAGUAGUGGCGACGAACAAGCAGGCGCGGCGGCGGAGCAGAUCAGCAGCGGCCACGAAGCAUCUCACAGCGGCCGCGAAGGAGCAGGCGCGGCGGCGGACGAGCAGCAGGUCGCCCACCAGUUCAGUACACCACCAUACGCGGGCGCCCAUGCCCCUGCCCGGCCGACGCCCUCAUUCCUCCUGCUCCUCCUCCACCCUCCGUCUCAGCCUCCCAGCAACCCCCAGUCCCAGUCUCCCUUCGAUGAUGCAUCAUGCAUGUGUUUGUGUGGCUGGGCAGUGUGCUACGGGCUGCUGUUGUGCCGUGCUAACAUGGUAAGGCUGCUGACAUGCUAAUACUAUGCUACUAAGACACUAAGCAUUAAGCAAGUUUCUUGAGGCUUCAUCGAUGUCGGCUAUUGAAAGUAGUUUGAAACCUGAAUGUGUGUUGUGUGACUUCUGAAGUUGGGAUGCACCGAUUGCUUCAAUUUUGUCUCUCUUUACCUGAAUGUGUUAUGUAAUCUAUGUACUGAUAUAUCUUCUAUGUUGUCAAAAAGUUCCCCAAAGAAAAUAGGCCAUGGCAAAAAAGUUAGUUAAUAACUGGAUUAUAGAUCAACUUAUCAGCUACUCACUCCGAUUCUAAAUUGUUGUCGAAAUAUUACAUGUAUCUAGACAUUUUUGAAGAAUAUAUACAUCUAUAUUUGGACAAAUUUGAGUCAAGAAUUUAGGAUCAGAGUGAGUAUUUAUGUUACCGAUUUUCCUUGACAAGUAGGUGUAGUUAACAUGGCAAGUACGUGUAGAUAAUCUGGCAAGUAGGCACAGUUAGACCGGCAAGGAGGUGAAGGUAACCUGACAAGCAGGUGCAGGUAAUCUGGCAAGUAGGUGUAGCUAAUCUGGCAAGUAGACACAGUUAAAUCGGCAAGUAGGUGAAGCUAACCUGGCAAGUAGGUGUAGAUAAUCUGGCAGGUAAGCACACUUAAACCGACAAGUAUAGGUAAUCUGGCAAAGAGGCACAGUUAAACCGGCAAGUAGCUAAAGAUAACCUGGCAAGUACGUGUAGAUAAUCUGACAGGUAAACAACCGGCAAGUGUAGGUAACCUGACAAGUAUGCAUAGUUAAACCGGCAAGUUGGUGGAGGUAACCUGGCAAUUAGGUCUAGUUGACCGGCAAGUAGACACAGUUAAACCGGCAAGUACGUGAAGAUAACAUGGCAAGUAAACAUAUUUAAACCGGCAAGUAGGUGAAGGUAACCCGACAAGUAGGUGUGGAUGAACUGCCAAAUAGGUGUUGAUGAACCGGCAAGUAGGUGAAAGUAACCUGGCAAGUAGGUAUUUUUAAACCGGCAAGUAGGUGAAGGUAAACUGGCAAAUAGGUAGGCACAGUUAAACCGGCACAUAUGUGUAGUUAACUUGGUAAGUAGGUGUAGUUAAUCUGACAAGUAGGCACAGUUAAACCGGCAGGUAUGUGGAGGUAACCUGGAAAGUAGGUAUAGUUGACCGGCAAAUAAACACAGUUAAAUCUGCAAGUAGGCACAAUUAAACCGGCUAAUAUGCGAAGGUAAUCCGGGAAGCAGGUGAAAGUGAUGCUGCUUUCCGGGACUGAUGUCUAUCCAUGAAUUUCCAAUACUAUUAGAUUCGAUCAAAUUUUAUAAUGCGAUGCAAAAUAGAUGCAAUUUAAUGAGAAAAAAGGCUAAAGCAAAUUCGGCCUAAGGCCUAGAAAGAUAGGCAUCACGUGCUGGACUAAAUCGGUUGUGCUGCUUGUGGGCUUGUAGGGAUUGGGCUCCUGGGUUGUGUGGGCUGCGCUGCGAACGGCCAGGGAGCGCGCGUGCUAACGAACAGGCAUCGAGCGAGAAGACCACGCGGGGAUUGUAGGGAUUGGGCUCCUGGGGAGGGUUACGUGGGGCACGCCGCUGGAUAGUACGCUCCAACAACAAUGCAAAUCGAAUUUUCAGCUCUCGGUGGCAAUUCUGUUUCUUAGGGUGGUACAAUGCAAAUCAAAUUUUCAUUUUCAAUACCAUUAAGUAGUAGGAGUAUGAGAAUUUUCUGAAGUGCAUGCAUGCAGCCCAGCUCAGACGGCCCUGAUUAUCUACCAUUCUACCCGUCAGUGAUAGGUGACGUUUGUACGCACCGGCCCAAAGAUUAUUCAUGUUUAAUUGAAAUAAAAUAUGGAGUUGAAUAAUGAAAUAUCACAAAUUUUAAACAUAUAGCUCUCGGUUACUAGCCCCCGUGCAUAUUAUAUGCACGGUUGAUGACUAGUUUGGAUAGAAAAUAAAAAUAGCCAAACGAAUUUGCUUCAGCUUUCAAGGUAGCUCUGUUUCUUGCCUACAAUGCUUUUACUAUGACUGAGAAGCAUCAAUAAUAUUUUGUCCUUUAAAUAGCAACGUCGAAUAUGACAGAUGGUUUGCUUCCAAAUUGAGAAAGCUCGAUCGAUGCACGGCUACAGAAUUCAGAACAAUAUUUGGAGAUAUUGGAGGCGAACAAAAGCAUCCGGUUUCACAAUAUUGUACUCCCUCCAUCUCAACAUUUCAAAAUAAGUGACGCGGAUUUACAUAAGAAUUUAUACAAAUACACAUACUUAUUUUGAGACGGAGGAAGUAGAUAUAUAUGAACACAUGUUCUGUGGGAGAGAAAACGCGACUCUGUCUUUGCUUGAUCAGCCACGAACUAGAUCCUUGGAGGUGUCACAGAGUAACUAGAGUACGUAGAUCCUUUCGUGCAUUUCGUUAGUGUUAAUUACUCCCUCUGAUUCUAAAUUAUUGUCGAAAUAUUACAUGUAUCUAGACGUUUUUUAAGAAUAGAUACAUCCAUAUUUAGGCAAAUUUAAGUCAAGAAUUUAGAAUCAGAGGGAGUAGCUGUGUAGGUGGCUGCUAUGCAGAGAGCAUUGACUUCAUAACGUACUGUACGAUAACAGAUAAGUCUACAUUACCUCUGAAUUCAGGGGUGGUUCAGAUUAACCUAUGAAUUCGAAAACUGUUUUGAAUAUCCCCUCAACUCUUAAUUAAUACCGUUUAGAUUACCCUCUUCCCCAUCUCUGGCUGGUUUGACCGGUUUUGAUUGUCACGUAGCUCGCUGGUGCAUGGCAACUUGGCAUCUCGCCACAGCUCGCUGAAUCUCCAGCCAAAACUUUAUUGGUUUCACAUACCAUUAGAAUCAACAAUAAUGCUAACAUAGUAAUUCAAUCAGUUCAAGUCCCAUGCUCAGGAAACCGAGAGUUAAGUGCAUGCACGCAUGCUACUGCCAGUAGCAGCUAGCGUCUCUGCUUGCAUCUCUCCUCGCCGAUCGAACCGAGAGUAGUUGGGGGUUGUUUGUUGUGGUUCUCGGAUUCUUCCGUUUCUUCUUAAUGAUGAAAGCGACGAUUCUAAAGAAAGAGAGUAUUGCAAGAGUUUCCAUAUCGACCGGCUUCAUCUCUAUAAAUUCAAGAAUCUCACAUGCACCUCUCUUCAAUUCAUGUCCACUACUUCUGCACGCCCAGUAACAAUGGCAUUCUUAUUCUUGCCAGGGCAACUCAUCUCCACGCUUGCGCUACUACUCCUAGUUCUAGCUUUGUACAUCAUCAAGUGUAGUCGACCAAAGGAUCCAUUACAGCCGACGAACUGGCCAAUAAUCGGCGGUCUCCCUUUCAUCGUCCACAACCUCCACGGAUUGCACGACCAUGUGACCGACGUCCUAGCUUCCUCAGGGUACAGUUUCAAGGUGACCAUAGCCAGCAUGGGGACCUUGGUAACCUGUGACCCAGCCAAUGUGCGGCACAUCUUCACCUCAAACCAUGCAAACUACCCCAAGGGCGAGGGCUUCGCCGACAUCUUCGACGUGGUGAAUGGCUCUCUGUUCACCGUCGACGGCGAAUCCUGCCUCCGGCAACGUGCAACGUCCAACCGUGCUUUGAGCAGCCCGGGGUUUGUUGCCUUCACGACAAACUACUGCUGCGACAAGGUGGGGAAAGGCCUCCUACCCUUCUUGACCCGUGUGGCGAGAACCGGGAAUCCGCUUGACAUUAAUGAUCUCAUGGGGAGGCUUGUUUUCGACUUGUACGCCACGUCCGUCUUCGGCGUGGACCCUGGUCUCCUAUCCCUCGAUAUGCCUUCGGUGCACCUUGCGGCCAUGGACACGGUCAUGGAGGUGGGCUUCUUCCGGACAAUUGUUCCGGCAUUUUGCUGGAAAUCGAUGAGGCGCCUAAACAUCGGUCCCGAGAGGAAGCUCGCCUCGGCGCAAGCGGUGCUUCGUAACUUCGCCAUGGAAAUGAUUGAAAGGAGGAAGACCAGCGGUGCCCAUAUUGCUCCCCAAGAACAAGCGACGGCUUCAUCUGUGGACAUCCUGUCAAACUUUAUCCAUGACCUCGACUACAAUAAUGAUGAUCUGCUCCAGGCAACACUCAUCUUACAUAUGAUUGCCGGUAGGGACACCAUCGGCACAACCUUGCCAUGGAUCUUCUACAACCUUGCCAAGAACCCACAUGUUGUGUCAAAGAUACGCAAUGAAUUGGCGCCCAUCGUGUCACGCAAACAAACCACUAUUGCUAACGACCCUAUGACGUUUGAGCCAGAGGAGGUCAAAGCCCUAGUCUAUCUGCAAGCAAGCUUGUUGGAGACACUAAGGUUGUACCCUCCCAUCCCUUUCGAGCGAAAGGAGGUGGCCGCCAGCGAUGUGAUGCCAAGUGGCCAUGAGGUGUGUGCCAGGGACAUCAUCAUCGUUUCCCUCUACUCCAUGGGUAGAAUGGAGGAUGUGUGGGGGGCUGACUGCCGAGAAUAUAAGCCAGAGAGGUGGUUCUUAAAGGAUGGAGCCAUGCUUAGACAUGUUCCCUCUCACAAGUUCUUGGCGUUCAACUCGGGGCCAAGGCUGUGCCUCGGUAAGAACAUUGCUAUCACACAGAUGAAGACCAUUGUCGCUUCGGUCGUGUGGAGUUUUGACAUGGAGGUGUUAGGUGCUCAGGUGAUCGUCGAGCCAAAGCUAUCGUGUCUUCUGCAAAUGAAAAAUGGGCUCAAGGUGAAAGUGAAGAAGCGAGAAAUCUAAUAUCUAGGGAUCUAUGUUGGGCGUCCCAAAGAAUAAUGCAAGCGGUAUAUGUGCGCUUGUGGUGUUUCUCAUGUAUCUCACAAAUAUCUUGGGGUAAUUGUAAUACUGCAUUCGCACAAUAAAAAUUUCAUUUGUAUAUCUCGUUAAAAAGUAUUCAUAGAUAAAACAGAAGUUUGACAACUUGCCAUGGGUAUUUCAAAAGUACAAACUGCGCCAGAAAUGAAAUCGAUCCCGUUAAUAUCUCUAGAGGAACUCGGUCGAUCUUCAACACUAACCGAGAACAACCCUUGGGCAGCUAGUCCAACAACGGUGUUUGACACAUCAACACCUAGCUUCAACGUUUGGACGGAUCAAUUAAUCGUCAGGGGAGAGGAGACUUGAAGAAGAAACUGAGGUGGGGAAGACAUAUGGUUGGCAUGGACCCGAUCUGUCAUAAUUUGGGGAAAACCGGAGGAAAACACUAGACGGGGCAAUUUAUGUCAUAAAUUUGAUUAAACUGGGUAAGCUUAUAGAACUUCUGUUAAACGGGGUAUACUGUGUCACAAAAGUGAAAUUAGGAUGUAGAAAAUGGAAUUCUCUUUUAAAAUAAAUAUUUGCUAUGGUUAGCACCAGCCACAUCUCAAGGUAUCAAUCAUACAUAAAAACUCAAGUUAUCAGAAAGUCGCUUUUAACUUCAGGGGUGUAAGUGCAAAAAAAACUCAACUAACAGGUGGGCAAAGUUUUAACUUAGAAACGUGGGGGCCGUCUUCUUCUUCCUCCUCCGGCCGCUGUCUCGUCUCGCGCCCCUCGCUGCCUCCUCGCGGAACAAAAUCCUAUUCACUCCGUUUCAUAAUUCUUGUCGAAAUAUUACAUGCAUCUAAAUGCUUUUUAGGAAUAGAUACAUCCAUUACAUCCAUUUUUAGUCAAAUUUAAGACAAGAACUAUUAUAGAACAGAGGCAGUACGCGUUAAGAGGCCUUCCAUCUUCACCUAAAAAGAUUGCCAAGUCUCUUGUCCCGUGCACAUAUGUCAGUGUGGACUGCACCGCGCACUAGUUCUGCCAAGUACGACGUGCGCUCCAACGCCUUCCGCCGGCUCUCCGUCUUCACCGUCGACACGUGGUGCUCGUCCGGCACCGUGGCGCGCGAUGGCACCGUCGUCCGGCCAGACCGGCGGCUGGAACGGCGGCUACCGCAAUGCGCGGACCAUGCGCGCCUGCGUCGACGACACCUGCGACUGGAACGAGACGCAGGACGCGCUCGCCGUGAACCGAUGGUACGCCACCAACCAGAUCCUCCCAGACGGCCGCGCCUUCAUUGUCGGCGACCGGAGGCACUUCAGGUACGAGUUCUUGCCAGAGCAAACUCAUCUACACGCAUGUGCUUCUUCUAGUUCUAGCUUACAGCAGAUCAAAGAAUCCAGUGCUGCCAACGGGCUGGCCAAUAAUCGGUACUAUUGGACAUGUCAGGAUCAGGACGUACUCGAAACAGCGGGAACACGUACGUGCUCCUAGAUGUUAGGCAUGUGCGAAGUAAAUUUCAUGACAAUGUGGUUAUGUCUAAGGUCAACAAGGGCCGUUAGACUUAGACCAUGAGAGAAGCUCAUGUUUAAGGGAAGGGUUUUUUAUUUCUGUGUCCCUCGUCCCUUAGCUGUACUCAGAAAUACACAGGUUUCAUAAUUGUGCUCGCUUCUAGACUUGUUCGCUUUCUGCUUCCUCGCAAAUGCCCUAACGGAGCAACUGCUAACGGUCAAGCCCCUUUGACCGUUUGCUUCCGACGGGUGGGCCGCCGGUAGUGCUGACAGGUGGGGCCGGAGCCACGUUUCUGGCGUGUGGGGCUGCAAGGAGACCGUGCAAGCGGGCAGGACUUAACGGGUCUGGUUACCUUACAUGCGGGCCACGUCCGUGCGUCCUGAUAGGUGGGGCGGUCAUCGUUAAUUAAUGACAGGUGGGCUGAGGAAAGGGGGACCGCUGGGGCCGAGCCAGAGGAUGACAGGUGGGCCGAGCCAAAGGAUGACAGGUAGGACAAGACUUCAGAUGACAGGCGGGGCUAGUGUCAUCUUUUCUUACAUGUGGAGCCUACUUGCUCUCCUUUACUCUCAUCCAAAUCCCGACCAGAACCCUAAAUUGGCGGAGGAUGGCGGCGGCGCUGAGGCUAGUAGGUGUGUAGAAAUGAACGGGAGGCGGCGAUGGCGAGCACUAACCCACCUCCGUACCACAACGUCGGUAGCUGCCGCCGAUUUGAGGAGGAGAUAUUUUGCCGCGGGGAGUCUGAUAUCUGGCCCGAUGUGGCCGAGAUAGUGAUUUCCCGCACCUCAAGAAUGGAAGAGAAGGCGGCGAGGCUGCGAGGUAAAGCCGUCAUUCCUACCAUCCAUACAGGAUCAACGCUCAAUCUGCCGGCCACUUCGGGUGAAGAGGUCAUGGCAGCUCUGAACUAGCGCCGCAACUUCAAAAGGGGAGUGCGCAUCAUGGUAUGUCUUGCGCCCGGCAAGUUUUUGAUUCGCUUUGAUUCGAGUGAUGAUUGCACGGCAGCGGUGAUGCAAUCGAUGCGCAUCAGGUGCCCUGCCAGCGACAUCUCGUUUCGCCCCUGGACCUCCAUCUUCCGUGGAGAGGAAUCAAAACUGCCUUUUAGCUGUGUUCUUAGCUUGGAUGGACUGAUGGAGGAUGCGCAAGAGCUGGAAUUUGUGAAGAAUUUGAUUAAUCAGCUAGGAGAUGAGUUCGUGGCAAUUCUGCGUAGGACUGAUCCACGCUGCGUGAAGCUCAGGCAUGAAUGCGUGAUCCUUGUGCCAUCCCGAAGCGGUUGCUGAUGAGAGUGCCUACUUCGGCCACACAACCAGCUCCUGAAUGUGCUGAUGAGCUCAUUGAUGACUCAAUUGCAGCGGGGACAGAACCAGAAACCAGACGUGCUGUGUCGUUCGGGGUCAUCGUCCACGUCCAUGAAGUGGUCGAUAGGUUUCAUCUUCUUACUGAUGGUUCAGACCACAACAACAGGGACUACUCUGAUUCUUUUUCAAAUGAUGAAGCUUAUCUGGACUAUGGUGGUUCUGGGAAUACCGCGAGGAGAUCUCACUCGCCUCCAUGAGUUCCCCUGUUUUGCUGGCGCUGUAGAUGGCUCAGGUCCUCCAAAAGGAGGGGUUAAUCCAUGUUGAUGUUGUCUUCUGUUUAAUCCAUGUUGAUUUUGAUGUAUGUUGUCUAUGUAUUAGUUUGUUGUUCGAAGACUACCUAUUUGUACUGAUCAAGAGCAGGUUGUUGCUGUUUAUCUGAACCUGGGCAUGUAUAGUUAUCAGCACUUAUCAUUUCCUAUGAAUGUCUUUCGCAAUUUAACUUCCUCCAAAUUGAUUUCUGACUGCACAAAUGAAUAGCAAAUGGAAAGUUAUGCAAAAUUACAAAAUUUCAAUAUGUUUUCAGAAGGUUGACUUUUGUUGACCAAGGAAUUUAUAGUGACAUUUGGCUGUCACAGCCCACCCAAAUGGACAAUUUUGGAGAAAACUUAGAAAGUGAACUUGUUCCAAAUUGAUUUUAGAUUGCACAAAUGGAAUCCGAAUGGAAAUUUAUGCAAGAUGACCAAAUUUCAACUUGUUUCGUGAAGGUUGACUUUAGUUGACCAGGGAAAAAAUAGCCACAUUUGGUUGUCCCAGCACACCAAAAUGGCUGCAGUUGGAAGAACCCUCAAGAUUCGACCUUCUCCAAAUUAUUUUUUGAUUGCACCAAUAGAAAGUACAUCAAAGUUAUGAACACUACUGAAAUUUCAAACCCAUUUGAGAAAGUUGACUUCGCGUUGACCAGGAUUAAUUUAAAUCCACUCAAAUCCAUUCAAAUCUGCAAAACUAAAGAGUUUUUUUGAACUUUUCUUCGAGGAGUCAAGUACUAACAAUGUUUGUAUACUUCCAAUAGUUGUUCCACAACUUCAAAUCAUGUAUGUCGUAUCAUUUUGGCCCAAACACAACAAAUUUAACUGGAUUUGAAAUUCAAAAAAUAUGAAAAAACGUCCAAAUUGAAAAUGCUUUUGCAUACAUGCAAUACAUAUCCAAAUGUUAUUAGUGUGCCAAAUUUUACAAGAUUUGGACAAAGUUUUAAAUUCAAAUGUCAAAAUGAGUUCAUUUCUCCAACAUCCCCCUAUGUGGUGCAAUGUACAUGAAGUACAUUGUGAAAUUUAGAUAAUGCUCUGAUAUUUUUUAUGUGAUGAAGUAUCACUAAAAAUUGACAAUUGCAUAAAAUCAUAAUUUUCGGACAACUUUUUCAUGUUAUUAACAUUUUUAUACUUUUGAGUUAAGUGUAAAUCACAGUAAUGAAGUUAUAGAACAUUUAAUUUUCAUUUCUGAAAUGGUUUGCUAAUUUUUGAAUAUCAAAUUAACUAAAAUUUGCUUGUUUUCACAUUUUUGAUGUCAAACGUGUGCAAUACUAAUCCUAGAAGAUUUAGACAGCUUUGUGAGUGUAUCACAAGUGUUUCCACCAAAUAUGAGAUUUUUUGGACUUGGGAUACUAUAUCUUCGUACAUUCUUUGAAUUUUUGAGUUUAUUUUAAAAAAAUACAUAAACCCAUCGAACUCAACGGAAUGAUGAGAAAAUCGAUGAUGAAAAGUUAUGUCUGCACCAUACAAGUCGAGCAAAAUUGGAUUCCAUCCGGUUCAGUCCAAUUUCAAACCUAUUUGUGCAUGAAAACAUGAAUUUCAGCAAACCAAAAUGGCCGUAGGUGGAAGAACCCCCAAGAUUCGACCAUCUCCAAAUUAUUUUCUGAUUGCACCAAUAGAAAGUACAUCAAAAGUUAAAAACACAGUUAAAAUUUCAAACCCAUUUGAGAAAGUUGACUUCGCGUUGAGCAGGAUUUAAAUCCAUUCAAAUCUGCAAAAGUAAAGAGUUUUUUUGAACUUUUCUUUGAGGAGUCAAGUACUAACAAUGUUUGCGUACUUCCAAUAGCUAUUCCACAACUUCAAAUCAUGUAUGUCGUAUCAUUUUGGCACAAACACAACAAAUUUAAAUGAAUUUGAAAUUCAAAAAAAUAUGAAAACACGUCCAAAUUGAAAAUGCUUUUGCAUACAUGCAAUACAUACCAAAUGUGCUUAGUGUGCCAAAUUUUACAAGAUUUGGACAAAGUUUUAAAUCCAAAUGUCAGAAUGAGUUCAUUUCUCCAACAUCUCCGUGAGGUGUUUCAGAAACACCUUAGGGAGAUGUGGUGCAAUGUACAUGAAGUAAAUUCUGAAAUUUAGAUAAUGUUCUGAUUUUUUUACGUGAUGAAUGUAUCACUAAAUAUUGACACUUGCAGGAAAUCGUAAUUUUCGGACAAAUAUUUCAUAUUAUUAACAUUAUUAUACUAUUGAGUUAACUGCAAAUCAUAGUAAUCAAGGUAUAAAACAUUUAAUUUUUAUUGAAACCUAUGUGUUUGCGUUCUAAUAGGUUACAAUGGGUCCAAUGGACCUUUCUUAAAUUAAUUUCUUGUCGUAAAUGUAUUGAAAAAAGUGAUUUUUCAUUUAAUGCCGAAAUGUGCUGAAAAUCCAAAAUAUGUACGAAAUAUAGUAAAAUUGCUCUAGAAAUUCUGAAAUUCUUUGAGAAGAACAAGUAACAUGUAAGGUUAUCAAACAAAAUUCUUAUAUGUUCUAAACCUUUAUUUACAAACGCUUUGGACCCAACACUUGAAAAUUGGAUGAAACUCUAUCAGUGGCGGGAAAAGCCCGCCACAGAUGUAAGCCUGCCACCCGACACUGAUAAUUAUGGCCGGUUCGGACAUGGAUCCCCUGACGUACGUUACCCUGCAGUUUGGUCACUGGCAGGUGAGCCUCAUGCCUGACAACCCCACAUGUCAGUGACUCUAUGUCACGGGACGCUACGUCAGAGGAUCUCCUUCCGGUUCUAGGCCUAUCUGACAAGCUACUGCUCAUUUUUUUUCAAACUCUUUACAGUGACUUGUAAUCAAACUCACUUUUUUUAGUGUUUGUUGCAUUAUUAUUUUCAGUGUUUGUUGCAUUAUUAUUUUUAGUAUUUUUGCAUUAUCAACGAUUCUUGCGGGUCAUAUAGAAAUUCGAAUGGAUCUUGAAAAUACACACACACACACACAUAUUAUAGUUCAUCUCUCCAGCAUCACAUAUAGAAAUAUAUAAAAAAGGAAAAAUACAUAUGGAAUUUUAUUCCACGCUCCUGGCCGGUGAUGUUCUCCAAGGCCUUGGUACAUGUCUCCAGUAUACCGAUCAACGAUCGGAGCACUUCCACAGAGACUUGUACCGUCGGCGGCGGCGGCGGAGGCGGCAAGGGUGGCGGUGGCGUUGGCAACAAAGGUGGCGGCGACGCACGGCGUGACGGUGGGGCCAUAGGAGCUGCUGGAGGCGCCGUCGGUGGAGGAGGUGGUGGCGGUGGUGCAGGUUGCGGGGCCGGUUGACGUACCACCGGCGGAGGAGUAGGCUGGGCCGACGAUGGAGACACGGCCUUCUUUGUACGGCCGCCUCGCUUGACGCCAAACAUUGGCAGAGACGGAGGUGGUGUCGGAGUUCGACGCCGUGGUGGAGACCGGCGGCGUCCACGACCACGGCGGCCACUGCAGCGCCGCCUACUAUGGACUUCAUCUUCGUCCGAUGAAGUCAAGAAUGCCGUCCGUCGGUACGGACUCUCUCCGUCGAGCUCCCUAUUCUCCGCUUGAAUGGAGGAGCACGGGAAGGAGUCCCCAGACCACCGCGCCAUGUCGAAGGAUCUUUGGUAUCAGGGAAGAAGGCUAGAUGGAAAGGUCGAAUGAUGACACGGAAUAUAUAGGCACAUAGCUCUUUCGAGAGACUUCUGCACACCUCCGCAAGUCAAGCUCCCUAUUAAUUAUGGAAUAUUUAAGGCCAGAGGGCGUGCGGGAACACAUCAGUUUCCCAUGCAAGUCCCUGCAACUGCCCACGCACGCCGGUUUCCCAUGCAAGGCCGCCACGCACCCCUCCGCAAGUCAAACCGCUCUGGCGUAGAGUCCCCGAGCAUUCAUGCAAACCGCUUUCAAAGCCCACCAACAAACACUCAUCACCGGAAACCACUCCCCUUCCCCUUACCAUCGCUAUUUAACCCGGCGCCAUGGAACUACUUCUUUCUAUUCUUCUCCUUCUUCUACACAUCUUCACCUCUCUCUACUUCUUCUGUGCGGUUAACCGACGGGCAAUGCCAUUCCAAGGCCACACCUUCAACCCGCCGCCCUCACGGAGGAGCGGUUGUACCCACCGGGCGUGCUUGUGGAGUGUACGCUCCAAGUGGGGGCGAUGUCGCGCAGCAGGAGCCCGAUGGCGCUGGUCAGGGACUUCCUCCACACCGGUUUCUUACACCGGGAGGCCGUAGGCCCUCCAAUGUACCGCGUGGAGCACCAACACGGCACCGCCUAGUGCCGUGUAUGGCGUCGACACGGCCAUCCUAGUGCACCUCACCAACAGCCACGACGCUGAGUACCUCCUUGGCCGCGUGUACUGGUGUGGAUGCGAGUUUAUCGCAUUCACGAUGUACACCGUGUACACCAACACGGCAAACACGUUCCCCCACGCCGGCCAGAUGCACGGCCUCCCGUACGUCGUGCCGGAGGUGGCGCCUGUGGAUGGGCCUGCCGAGUCGGGCGUGGCAGCGCGGGAGGAAGCCGGCGCCCAGGAGUGAUCGGCCGCGUCGUUUUAUAUGAAUGCCGUUAAUUAUAAAGUUUUAUAUGAAUGCGUUAAUUGUUAGAAUUUGCACUUCAUGUUUUAUGACGAUGAACCGCUUUAUUGAACUGCGUGUGAUGUGAUUGCUUCCAUAAUUGUGAUUGUAAAGUUUAUUUCUGUGUAAAACAAACAAGUGUAGCCUCGGGUAGAAUUUGCUUUCUUCGAUUAGGCUAUGUAGACGCCGCUUCCCUUCGCAAGUCUCGCCGGCGAGCCCACGGAGGCGUAUCUGGCGGGCCCGUUGCCAGGGCGAGCACGGAGGCGUAUUUGGCGGGGGCGGGGCGUAUUUGGGAAAGGGAUGAGAGAGAUAGGCGACGGACCCACCUGUCACUUUUUUUCGUCGCCCCACAUGUAAGUUAAUUCGACCGACCCCACCUGUCAGGACAUGGCCCGCAUGUAAGGUAACCAGACCCGUUAAGACCUGUCUGCUUGCACUGUCUCCUCGCAGCCCCACACGCCAGAAACGCAGCUCUGGGCCCACCUGUCAGCACUCCCCACGGCCCACCCGUCAGAACCAAACGAUCACAGGGGCUUGAUCGUUAGCAGGUGCUCCGUGAGGGCAUUUGCGAGGAAUCGCGAAACGAACAAGUGUAGCAGCGAGCACUGUUUCUGGCCUCGGGUAUAACUGAGUACAGCUAUGGAAAGAGGGGCGCAGAAAUAAAAAACCCUUAAGGGAAAUAGGGCAAAGAACAAUUUGUACAAGGGUUUUUUACUUCUGUGCCCUUGAUUCCUUAGUUCUAUUCAGUUUUGCCCAAGCCUUAGAACACUGCUCGCUUCUACCCUCCUCCUUUGCGCAAAUGCUCGCUUUUACCAUCACGGAGCACCUCCUCAUGGUCAACUCGGUCAAGGCGUUAGCUACUGACGGGUGGGACCGGGCAUAAGCCUGACGGGUGGGACCAAUGCACGCUGCUGACUAUGGGCCAGGCCAGGCUUCGGCGAGCUUGACUCCGGCCACCGCGACGACGUCCGAUGCGGCGUGGGGAUCGGCGCGAGCACGAGGACAAGGACCGGGACAGGGAAGGGGACGCAAGGACCGCCGCUAGGAUGCUGUCGGUCGGCACGACGGACGCUAGGAUGCGCCGCGGACACAGCACAACACAACCAUCGAAGAAAGAACCUAGUUCAUAUAUUCCAACAAGGGCUUACAUUAACGACAUUAAUUUUGAAAAAAAAUGCCGAUCGAUCGCUCACUCCUCGGCUUCGUCUUCAGAUUCCUCCAUAGGCGGCGCAGGCCCCUCGACAACCACCUCCAAAGGCGUCUCCGCCUCCUUCAUGUAGUGUUGGUGUACACGUUGUACAACGUGAAUGCGAUGAACUCGCAUCCACACCAAUACACACGGCCAAGGAGGUAAUCGGCGUCAUGGCUGUUGGUGAGGUGCACCAGGAGGGCGGUUUUGACGCCGUGCUCGCGGAGCCUCUCCAGGCGGUACAUUGGAGGGCCACGGACAAGGAGCUAGUAGACGGUACCGAGAGCUCGGCCGGCGGCGGCCAUGGGUGUGAGCGGGCCACCACUCCGCCAUUUUCCAGCCGCCGACAUGCGUCGGUGGAAUUGUCCCAUGCAUUGAGCAUGGACGCCGCCGCUCGCUGCCGCCAAAGCGUGCCCGCAUCGAUGUGGACGUCCCGUGCUCGUCCUGCGGACGACUCCCCCUCAACGACGACGACGACGACGAUGAUGACGACGUUCGACGAUGACGAGGAUGAGGAGGAGGCCGAGUGCGAGAUCAAUCGGCGCCAUGCCGAGCUCCUGCACACGUACCAGCAACAUGUGCGGGAAGCCGACCGGCAGCACAUGGCUGUCGCGAAGGUGGCUUCCGUAGCGGAAGAUUUCUCCAACGAGUGCGGCCGGGAGGCGGCGGAGGCGAGGGAGCGGUACGAGUUUGAGCUCGCGACGCUAAACUCGGAGAGGAGCAACCUUCUCGAGGAGCGGGGGAGGAAGAACGUCCGGGAAAUCCGGGCGGAGCGCGAUGCCAUCUUGGCCACGACGACGGCGACGGCAACGACACUGCAUAAUGUUAUCCGUUAUUUAUCUCUAGCUGCAUAAUGUUGCUACGUAUCUUUAUUUUUAUUCCUAUUUUGUAAUCGACCUUGCGUACCCAUCGAUCUAUAUAUAUAUAUGGAAUGUUAUCCGUUUUUCUAUUAUAUAUAUGGGUAUGGUAACGGCAUAAGGUUGUAGUAUUUUGAAUGAAACACGUUGGUAAAGUAAGGCCGGUCACAAAUUGAUUUUGGUCUGAAUUUUUUUUUUCAAUUGGCAGAAUAGGCAAAAACAGUAGUUUAGGUGCAAAAAGGAUUCAAAUGCGUUUGGACCUGGUGCAUUCCAAGUUUUUUGGAAUUGCAUGGCAAAACCAUGACUUUCUUAUAUUGGUCCCACAUCGAUUUGUGCGAAUUUUCAUUGAAUUUUGAAUUAUGAGCCGAAAAGGCUGGAAAUUCAAAGAAUGCACGAACUAUCGUUCCUAAACGCCAGAAAAUCUGAAAUUUGGAGAGAACAUCAAGGAUGAACACUAAAUGCUAUGAAAAUCUUCUUUGAUGAAAAUCGCGAAUCUUAGUGGUGAUUGAGGUAAAGUUCCCUAGAUUUGUUUGAAUUUCAAAUUCAAAAAAAUAGGUAAACAAUUCAGAUUUGAACAAGCUUUGAGAUAAUGACAUUAAUAGGCAUAUGUGACUACUGUGCAAAGUUUGAGUUCAUUUGGAGAAAGUUUGUGAUUCAAUUCCAAAAUUUACAUCAAAUUUGUAACAUCUCCUUUAGAGAUUUAAAACAUCCCAGAGAGAUGUGUUACUUUGAACAUCAUGCAUGUGUUCACAAAUUGAUUUUGGUCUGAAUUUUUUUUUGGUGACGGGUAUUGACAAAUAAAGAGCCCACGCAGGUUUUCAGAUUUUUCCGGAUAAAAUUUCCUAUUAUUAUAUAUUUUUUCCAAUUGACAGAAUAGGCAAAAAAGUAGUUUAUGUGCAAACAGGAUUCAAAUGCGUUUGGACCCGGUGCAUUCGAAGUUUUUUGGAAUACCAUGGCACAACCAUGACUUUGUUAUAUAGGUUCCACAUCGAUCUGUGCGAAGUUUCAUUGAAUUUUGAAUUAUGAGCUGAAAAGGCUGGAAAUUCAAAGAAUGCACGAAAUAUCGUUCCUGAACUCCAGAAAAUCUAAAAUUUGGAGAGAACAUUAAGGAUGAACACUAAACGCUAUGAAAAUCUUCUGGGACAGAACUUGUGAAUCUAAGCGAUGAUUGAGGUAACCGUUCCCCCAUAUUUGUUUGAAUUUGAAAUUCAAAAAAUAGGCAAACAAUUCAGAUUUGAACAAGCUUUGAGAAAAUGACAUUAAUAGGCAUAUGUGACUAGUGUGCAAAGUUUGAGUUCAUUUGGAGAAAGUUUUGUGAUUUAAUUCCAAAAUUUAUAUUAAAUUGGCCAAAUAGUGGGUCUGGUCAGCAAAAGUCAACUUUCUCAAAACAAUUUGAAAUUUCGUCAUCUUUAAUAACUUUCCGUUCAGAUUGCAUCUGUGCUAUCAGAGAUCAAUUUGGAGGAAGUCUGAUUUCCAAGCUUCCUACAAAAUUGUCCAUUCCAGUGGGCUCAAAGGGCAAAAAGUGGCUCUUUUUCUUCCCCCCGGUGAACAAAAGCAGCUCAUCUUCCUGGCCGCUCUUUCUGCCGUCCAUCGCGGCACCGUCGCUUCUCAACUCGGUCGCUAAACCUUGCCGCCAUGACCUUGUAGACAUGCCGAAGCUAUAUCCGCAAGUCGCGCAUCCUCUCGUGCUCUAUUCUGGCCGGAACGCGAACGGCCAGAGCACGCUCGCGCGCCGCUGCUUUGCGCCAUCAUGGCCAGCGUCCUCCACGAGCCUCGCCACCUUGCCCAAGAGACCUGCAUCGGCCAAGGAGACCAGAGGUGCCUCCAAUCGCUGCGUCACCAUCUUCUUCCUCAUCUCCUACCGGUUGCUGCCGCCGAACAGAUCUCCUUCUCUGGCGACCUCCGGACUCGACCGCCGCCUCCCUCAGAUCCACCUGAUCACUCUGAACCUUCUGGUGAUUCUCAUCAAGCCUCGCGUGAUCUGAGUCAUCCCCGUGUCGCUGCUCCUCUCUGCCUGCCACCUGCCGGCGUCGAGGUUCUCGCGCCGUGCUCCUCCACCCCUUCCAAUGCCUCCGUCAGAUUUGUGAUGACUUACUCAUUCUUUUGCCCCUCUUUCCUGCCUCUCCCGUGCUCUGUAUCGCCCCGCCUCCUAGCGGAGCCCUCCGCCACCGCAGACCGCACGAGCCCGCGGCCAGCAAGAUUUCAGCAAUGAGAAGCUCCAGCGCCACCUCAGGGUGAAGCAGCCUUGCGCCUGCUAGACACCCCAUGCACCCCCUGCCUGGCCUAUGUUGCGCAGGAGAGCAACUCCGGCGACAGCAAAGCGUCGGCGAGGCAGUGGCCAGAAGCCGCCUGAUUUUUCCUUCCGAAGGUGGACCCACUUGCAAAUUAAUCAUUUCUUCUACAGUCAAACGGAUCAUUUUCCUGUUGCUUCAGCCCCACAUGUCAGUAGCUAGGUUGGCCCCACUCGGCAGGAUUUAACCUAGCCCCACCCAUCAGGAGGUAACAGUCAAAGGACUUGAAUGUUAACAUGUCCGCCGUGAGGACAUUUACGAGCAUUUGCCAAAGAACGAAGUGUAGAAACGAGCAACGUUUUAAGCCUUGGGCAAAACUAAGUACAACUAAGGAACCGAGGGCACGGAAAUAAAAAAAACCCUUAGUACAAUGUGCGAGUGUGCAUUCUUGCAGCUGUGGAGAAGAUAGAGCUGAGGGGGAAUAAGCUAGACGUGGUGAGUUUCAUAGUGUUGGCUAAGGCGUCCGAGGAGGGCUAGGUCGCAUGCUCAAGAAUUUGAGCAAAGGAGGCCUAAUCCAAUAGUGCAUGGAGGUUAGCGCUAGACAACUUCAGGAUAACGACAAUAUUCGCUAAAGUGGACUUUGUCAUAGUCGUGUUAAAUAUUGUUUGUACGUAGAGUUAAAGUUGGACGGACUACUCACAUGUAACGUGGACUCCCUUACAUAAGAAGGGAUACUAUAUAAGAAUCGAUGUAGCUCAGACAGUCAUCUCACAAUUAGUGAGGGAUGCCCGUAGUCAAAGCAUCCGGAUGUAACCGCAAGGUGAAUGCCGAAGGUGCCAAAGUCUUUUCUAGCGGGCUGGCUAGCUACCGGCACGGGAUCAGCCAAUCCCUCGCUACCAGCCUGCACGAUGUAUCCGAACGCCGCAUGUGUAUUCUUCGUAUUGAUCCUUUCUCCCAUUUAUUGGACACAGUAUUCUCAAGUCUGGGUCCAAACAUGUGAUGUGAUAAGAAGAACGGAAUUUAUAUCGGGAGAACGUUCUCCCCAGUGCUUCCUGGCGCGACGCGCUUGCGUGCGUUCGAUCGAGACGGGGAGCUCGUCCUCGUCGCGUGCUGGUCCCGCUUGAAGUCCACGUUAGCGCUAGCUUGGUGUUGCAUGGUGCAGUGGUUCAAUUGUUUUGGGAAUCACGCCCACUUCUGUUCCCCUUAACGUCUACUGUUAAUGAGCCUAUCAUUUAAUCUUUCUGAACUGCUCUCGUAUGCCCCUUUUCUCCAUUCCACCGCGCGCUUUGCUUUCUCCUAUCUUUUGCUUGCUCUCUGCUAAUCCGCUUUCGGCCUUCCGCCGCGUUCGUGUUCGUCUACGAUUGGUGUUCGGUUCCUGUCAAAUCUCGCGACUCCUAGGAAGGGAACCAUCCUCCUCUGUUUUCUUGGGUUUUGAGGUGGGAAUUAUUGGUUGGGAGUGUGUCAGGGUGUUGUUGAUCGCAUCGGGUUCGGGAUUCCAGGUGAGUUUGUCUGCGGCAUUGCUUGGAUUGCUGCCGCGAGUUCGACCACAGUUGUUUUGUGUGCGGAUUCCAAAUGAUUUGGUUGAUUUUUUCGUGUUCUCGGAUGAUUUUUGGGUUUGUGUGUGUCGGGGUUUUCAGUGGAUAGAAUAUGUUCGACAGAUUUUGGGCACGGGUGGUUCAAAAUGAAUCCGGUUGGUCGAUUUUGCUCCCCAUUUUGAAACAUUUGAACCAACCGCCCCCAUUUUUGUGUGGAUUUGGUACUUCUACCCUUCAGUGUAUUAUGGGCGCGUGUUGGGAGGUUUUGGGGGGCGGAUUCGCAAGAUGUCUCUGCAGGAUGGUGGUGUUAGAUGUUUCAGUCGAUUUUUUGGUUGCGUCUGUCCCUUCUAUUCAGUGUAUUUAUGGCAGCGUGCUGGAUGGUUUUCACUGGUGGAUUCAUGAUAUGUUUUUGCGGGAUGGGUGCUGUUAGAAUGGGGACCAGGGAUUGUCCCUUUUUGCUCAUGUUUAGAUUUUGGUUUUUGAAUUUUAAAAUAGUAGAAGAGACUUAAUUGUGGGAUUAGGGAUGUUAGAUUCAUUAGUUGGAAUGUUUUUUAAUCAGAGAUUAGGGGAGUUUGAAGAGGCUUAAUGUGCAUGUGGUUUUUACAAUAACAUGGCAAUUUGUUACCUACUGUGGUGGCAACUAUAGGGGUCCACUCAUGGCAACUUAGUGUGCAUUGGAUUUGUUUGGAUCAAAUGUGACAGAAUAUGACAACUUAUGUACCUUUUAUAUGGCAAGUUUAUGUGUGUAGGGGUGACAAUUUUACUUAUGGUCAAGAUUACUUAUGCACUUAGUAGUGGAAUUAGGGAUGUUAGAUUUUUCAAUUGUAACAUUUUGAAUCAGAUAUUUAGGUUGUUUGGUAAUGGAGACAUUGCAAUUUUAAACCAACCACAAAUGUAGGUGAUUUUGAUUCGGUCUUAUUUUUGCAGGGUAAUUUGUAGCGUGCAUGUUGUUUUUUACAUUAACAUUCGAUUUCUUACCUAGUGUGGUGGCAACUACAAGGAGCCAGUCGUGGCAACUUAGUGUGCAUUGGGUUUGAUUGGGUGAAAUAUGACAGAAUAAGGCCACUUUUAUAUGGCAAAGUUUAAUUGGCAGUUUUGGGAUGGAUUGGAAUCGAAAUUUUGUGUUUAAUUGUGUUUGUCGUAAAUUAUCACAUAUGCUUAGGUGGGAGUUUGUGGAUGGAUUGGCUCAAUUUUUGGUUAUCCUCCUUUCGUUGCAUAGUGCAAUCAUAUUUUUGUUCUUUUACAUGGCAACUUAUGUAUUCUUAGUUGGUAGUUAUAUAUGUCCAAAUAGUGAUUUUUGCACAAAUGUAGCAGUGUGGGGCUUGGAUUGGCUCAAAUAUGACAUAAUAUGGCAACUUAUUCACUUGUUAUGUGGCAAGUUCAUGUGCAAAGGGGUGGUAAUUUCCUGCAUGUUCAACUUUAGUUAGCGGGAAGUUUGGGAAUUUAUUUGGAUCAAGAUUUGGGUCAAUUUGUUUUUUGUUGUAGCACAAAUCAGAUAUGGCGUUUUAUGUCCUUGUUAGGCGGCAAUUUAUGUGCAAGUUGACGGGGGAGGGGGAUAAAUUAUUGCUUAUUUGUCAUUAUUUAGGUGAGAGUUUGGGAUGGAUUGGCUCUUUUUUUGGUUAUCUGGUCUUUCGUAGCAUAGUCCAAACAGAUGUGGUCAUUAUGUCCAAAUAGAUGUCAACUAUGUUCAAAUAGAUAUGGCAAUUAUUUCCAUUUACAUAAUGAGUUUUCUUAGGCGGGUUGUUUUAUCGAUUUAUGCCUUGCUUUCUUCAUUUUUUUUCAAAAUAGGUGCAUAUUUUUUUUUUUCAUUUUUAUUUGGUUUUUACAUCUCAGAGGGAAAUAGCGACGGUUAAGAAACGGAAGGCUACUAGUUUGGUGACUGAAGAUAGAAAACGUAAUUAUGUUCACUUUUGAUAUAUUUUUGCAUGGCUAGUUCUGCACAUUUCAUAUGGCAACUUGUAUUGGACUGCCAUUUUCUUAACUGACAUGUUUUAUCUACUUGCUGCGGUAGGUCAUGGUCGCCGCUGAAUUCAAUAUGUCAAUAAGCUUGAGGCUGCCCCAUAGUGUCUUAACCUACAUGUAUCAAUUUGAAAUGAAAUAUGAUCAAAAGUGUGCAAACAACAUGGUCUGCAGAUGAUGCCACGCACCCUUUGGUAACUCUCUGGCCACUUCAAAUAUUUUCUGGUCGAAACUACACAUGUCCAAGCAUGGCAACUCCAGUAGGCAUAGCAUGGCAACUUUUAAUAGGUAGAGCAUGACAACUUAUUAUAGCACAUUGUUCAUAUUGUUGUUUUACCUUCCAAUAUUACUUGGUGUAGUAGUGGCAGUAGUGGAUAAGAGGGAUGCAAACCAUGAAAAUUUCCAAACAAUACAUCAUUGGUUGGCGUCAAUAACGGGAAGGCCCAUGAACCAAAUAUUUUGUCCAUUCCCCCCUUCCCCCUUUUUUUUAUACUUCUUCCUGCGAGAAUAAGAGGCAUAGUCUAGUGCAAAAAUUUGCAGUUUUACAUCUAUCUAGUCAUGUGUUUGCAGCUAAUAUUUUUUAAAACAUUUUUGUACAGGGGGACACAGUAUGUUUUGUUUCUUCACGAUCAAAAUGGAGAACUACAUCAUGGCCAGAUAUAUCUGCACAUAUUAAAUACCUUUGAGUAUUUCUGUAAUGUAGGCAGCUACAUGAAUGCUUGAAAAUUGCAACGUGCUGCAAUAGUGUUUUCAAGUUCAGGUUGUAAGAUGUUUGAAAACAAUAUAUGGUUGUUUCUUGAUUUCCUUCCAUAGGCAAAAUAUUUUCAUAGACCGUGGCAGCUUUAGAUGUAUUAUCGUGGCAGUUUAUUCAUCGGUGCAGUGGCAACUUUUUGGGCACAGUAAACUAGGGAAGGAAGUGCACCUAGGAUUUCUAACCCUUCAGUUUUUUAGGCACCCAAUUAGUUUUCAUUUGGAACAUUGUAGGGACAAUUCAUGAUUUAAUAGGUUUUUCAGAUAAUUAUGCAAUUUGUCCACUUGAUAGAGAAUGGCAACUUUCAGGUAGGCACCCCGGCAGUUUUAAUGGGUGUCACCUGGUUUUUUACUCAUGACUAGGGUGGCAACUUUGUGCAGUUUUGCAUGAAAAGCAUCCCACAUUGACGAGAGUACUUUCAAACAUUACAAUCAGAUGGCAACUUGUUUUAGACAGAUCAUAAAUCUAGAUUUGCAAGACAUGACAACUUCUUUAGGGGAAAAUUGAUACAAGAUUCAUAAGAGUUCCAGAUUGCUAUUUCUAGGUUUUGAAUUUGUGAAAAACCAGUAUACGAUCAUAAGAUGCUUGGAAGUUGGAAUCAGAUCACAUACACGUACAUGAGAGAAUAAGAGAUUGCUGGCAAUUCUUCUUUGUUAUUGAACCAGUAGAAGAAAAUGACCUAGAGUUAUGGACUAAAAGAGGGAGAGGGGUAUAAGAGUUCUAGAUUGCUAUUUCUAGGUUUUGAAUUUGUGAAAAAACCGGUAUACGAUCGUAGGAUGCUUGGAAGUUGGAAUCAGAUCACAUACACGUAGAUGAGAAUAAGAGAUUGCUGACAAUUCUUCUUCAUUAUUGAACCGGUAGAAGAAAAUGACCUAGAGUUAUGGGCUAAAAGAGGGAAAGGGGUAGAUGGGCCUGACAACUUUGUUUGAUCUAGAUUAGAAUUUAGGUCGGCCUUGUUUGGACUUGACGGCUAGAAACGCGUGCACGAUCUAGUUCUGGAGUAGGGCUGGAGUAGAACCUGGCAACUUUGCCAUCUUCCGUGUCGCUGGUGUGUCGCUGGUGUGGUGGUGCCCUUCUGCACGCACGAUCUGGGCUCGUCCAGACGCCGACGGCUCACGCUGGCGCCGCAGCAUGGCGUCGCGCUGGUGCUCUUCCGACCGAACGACCUGCACUCGGUUUCGGCGCGCGGGAGAAAAUGCACUCGGUUUCGGCUCGCGCUCCCGCGCGCACGCGCCCUUGCGUGGCAACUCUGACGUGGCCGCCGACGUGCCAACCUAGCUUUGUGUUCGACGUCGCACGCUGGGACUACGGCGCGACUGUCGCGCCGUAUUCGCUCCCUGAGAAGAAAAGGCUGGCACGGAAGGAACCCUUGGUCCCUCCCUCGUUAACUCCUGCGCCUCUCGAUCGUUCCCCAGACGCCGCCGCCAGAUCCCGACGGCCUCCUCCCUACCGGCGGCCUGAUCCCACCGCUCCGAUUCUCUGUCCACCGCCUCCUCCUCCGGCUCCGGCGAUCCCCUCCCUUCCUGCCCCCUACCUCCUGGCAAGCCCCCCUGGCUGGGCACGGCGCGGCCUCCUGCCCUCGUCCUCCGACCGGGCAAGGCACGGCCUCACGCCCUCCUCCUCCGGCUGGGAACGGCGCGACCUGCCGCCUUCCUCCUCCGGCUGGGCACGGCGCGCGCGGCCUGCCGCCCUCCUCCUCCGGCAGGGCACCUCCACCCCAAGGAGCAGCGUCGCCUGCUGGGUGGGAGCCGAAGGCCGAGUGCUUCUGCUGCUAACAGUACCACCGGAUCCGGCUUCCGCAGCCUCGAUGCCGCCGGAAUCGGGCUCCCCCGACCCUGCUGUGGCCGGAUACAGGCUUCCCCGACCCCUCGCCCCCCGUCUCCGCUAGCUCUCGGAAAGUUUUCUUCUCUUUCUCUCUCUUCUUUCAUGCUCUCUCUCUCUCUAACCUGGUGGCGACCCCCUGGUCCUAAGUCCUAACUCGCACGGUGACCCUGCUUCCUCCUCGCCUCCCUGCCUCAACCUGCGCACGGUGACCCCCUGGACCCAGCCGCCAUCGGUCCUGUCAAGUUAUAUUUGUGUUGUGGAAUUUUGCUCAUAAAAUUGUAUUCUCGUUGAUAUCUCAUCGAUGUACCAUUGAUAUCUCGCCAUGUAUCAUUGAUUUUGUCCCAUGCCUUUCGAAUUUCGAACAGAUUUCAUUGAUAUCUCGUUCAUGUAUCACUGCUUUUGUCCCAUACCAUCCGAAUUUUGAACAGAUUUCAUUGAUAUGUCACUGUUUUUUGUGUAUGCCAUUGAAGUUUCAUUGAUCUAUCGUAAUGAUAUUGUCCCAUACCAUCUAAAUUUUGAACAGAUUUCAUUGAUAUGUCACUGUUUUUUGUGUAUGCCAUUGAAGUUUCAUUGAUCUAUCGUCCAGAUUUGGUUGCCAGGAAUUAUUUCAAUGGUAUAAAUAUCAUUGCAAUAUACCAUUGGAUUGGUACGAGAAAAAAAAUUCUAAACCUUAGUUUUAUCAAUACCAAUUCAUUUUCAAAUUAGUGAAGAAACUGUGUCCAUCCAACAAUGAAACCAAUGGAUAUCAUUUUAAAUUUCAUAGUUUUUCAUUGAGAUAUCAUUUGAAAUUUAUGUCUAUCAUUGAACUUUUGUCAUGGAAAUGUGCAUUAAUGGAAUUUCUGUGAAAUACCAAUGUAUUAAUGGAAAUGUGUAUUAAUGGAAUUUUAUUAACAUAUAUUAUUUAGUUGAUAUGUUGCUGAAUUUUUCAAUACCAUUGAUAUAGUACACGUCAGUUAAUAUAAGUACUAAUGAAAUUUAAGUGAAAUAUCAAUGAAGUUUAAUGAAAUAGAAACGAUAUGCACAAUUGAUAUAAAAUGAGAACCACGAGCACUGUGGUCAGGCUUGGAGGGACCCUACAUUGCUCUACUCCAAGCAGCGCACGUGGGCGGGGCCCUGCUUAGGGAAUACAAAAGAAUACAUAGUGAAUACAUGGGAGAGGGCGUUCUACUUUAUUGCGUGUCAGAGGCUGAUUGGUGGAUGGCGUGUCGGUAGGUAGCUGGCCCGCUAGAAUCGCCCCUCUCUGCCGAAGGUGCGUUCUCCUUAAUUUUCGAGAAAAAAAAACACAAGGUGAAUCGGAUGAACAAAUGGCAUGUCCCAUUUGUGUGAUUCUCUGUUUGUGUUCUUUGUAGAUCAAGACUUAAUCUUGGUGUGAUUAUCUAUGAUCUUUAUAAAGUUGAUCCCUACUAAGAGUCACAUUUUAUGUUUGCAAGCUCAACAUGUCAAGUGUCAACAUUAUCAAGUUGAUUUCCACUAAUCUUAACAUGCAAAGUGCCAUGUCAUCAAGUUGAUUUUUCUAUAAAGUUGAUCCCCUAAGAGUCAUUUAAUUAAUGUUUGCAAGCACAACAUGCAAAGUGUACACAUCAUCAAGUUGAUUUCCAAUCUUAACAUGCAAAGUGCCAUGUCAUCAAGUUGAUUUCCACUUAGAUUCAUUUAAUAAUGUUUGCAAGCUCAACAUGAAGUGUCCACAUCAUUAAAUUGAUCACUAAGCUCAACAUACAGAGUGUCCACGUCAUCAAGUUGAUUCCCACUAAAGAUCGGUUUGAUGUUCACAAGCUCAACAUGCAGAUUGUCCUCCAUGCGUGACAAAAGCAUAACUUAUUUAUUUUAUCUCAAAGCACUCUCAUCAUAAUUUUUUACCUUAGACAUCCCAAUUCAUCAAAUCAUGUCCUCUCUACUCUCAUCAUUCCAACAUUAUAAGAAAUGUACAUAUGUAAUUCAAAAGCUGAGCCAUACUAAACCACCACCGGUGUUUCUAACUUUUAAAACCAUGUCUUCUCAUGCUCACAUCUCAGACCAACUGCCGUGUGAUCAUUCAGUUGUGAACACUGAUUACAUGAAAAAUUGAAUGCCACAUUUACAAGUUAUUCUUAUCGAACUCAGAGAAACAACAACAUGUAGUUUCAAUACUCCUAUAUAGUUGAUUUUGCUUCAUUGCAAUCCAUUUUUCUUUCACGUAGGACAAAUGUAUUGUUUUUAGACCCGCAGCAACACACGGGGUAUCCACUAGUUCUAACGAUAAUUGUGCCCUUGUGGAAAGCAAUAUUUAAGUAAAAAAAAAAGAUUAUUCUAGCAACUUGAUGUGUGUCCCCAGUUUAAAGCAAUAUUAGUCCGGGGUUUAAAUAAAUUGAGACGCCAAGUUAAAAUCAUCUCACAUAGUUUUAGUAAAAAGAGCCGAAUAGUAUGUUGAAGCUGCAACUUGCAGCUCCUGCUUCCUUGGGCUGCCUCACGCAACACACGCAAGAACACAAGAUACACAGUGGUUUGCGUCGGGCUACCUUACACAACACAACUUUUGUUCCUUGUUUGUGUUCUCUCAACAAAAACAAACAUCACACGCACAUCUGGCUGAGCAAACUAACUUGUGCUAGUCUUGUGCCACUCACUGCACGCAAUUAGGAACCACACACUACGCCACUCAACCAUGACCUCUUCUUCCACACUAGGAAAUAGGAACAACAUUCAGGCCACACAUGCACAUGCAGCAGCAAGCUGGAUGGAUCAGCCGAUGGACUAGCUUGCUCGUAGCUUCACCUGGCCAGCGGCAUUGCACGGCACGACGGUAUCUCAGCAUAUACACCGCGUCACAUUGGCAACUCGGCAUCUCGCCAGCACGCUCUCUAGCCGAAAUUUUUUCAGCUCUGUACGUCUCACACUUGCAUCAUAUGGCAACCCUCCAUGCAUCUGACUACUACUCUCUCUGAUCCAUAUUAAUUAUCGAAAUAUCAUGUAUCUAGACGUUUUUUAGGCAUAGAUACAUUCAUAUUUAGACAAAUUUGAGACAAUUAAUAUGGAUCGGAGGGAGUAUUAGAAAAUCAAAAAUAAUAUGCUAACACAGUAAUUCAAUCAGUUCAAGUCCCCCAUGCUCAGGACUCAGGAGACCGAGAGUUAAGUGCAUGCACGCAUGCUACUAGCUAGUAGCAGCGAACGUCUCUGCUUGCAUAUGCAUCUCCUCGCGCGCCGAUCGAACCGAUCGAGAGUUACGUGCAUACACCGUUGUAUUUCGGUGGGGGUUGUUAGUUGAGGUUCCCGUGGAUUCUUUCGUUUAAUUCUCAAAGAAAGCGACAAUUCUAAAAAAAAAAAGGAGUAUUGCAAGAGUUUUCAAAUCGACGGGCUCCAUCGUUCUCUAUAAAUCAAGAAUCUCACAUGCAUCUCUCUUCAAUUCAUCUCCACGCCCAGUAAGAAUGGCAUUCUUGUUCUUGCCCGAGCAUCUCAUCUCCACGCUUGUGCUACUCCUAGUUCCAGCUUUGUACAUCAAGUGUAGUCGAUCAAAGAAUCCAUUGCAGCCGAGGAACUGGCCAAUAAUCGGCAUUCUUCCUUCCCUCGUUCAAAACUUCCACCGAUUCCACGACUAUGCCACUGACCUCCUAGCUUCCUCAGGGCACAGCUUCAAGUUGACCAUAGCCAGCAUGGGGUUCACUGCUACGGAAUUGGUUAGCAGUGGCGGGCCAAUUUCAACACCGGUGGCGGUGGACCGGCCCGCCACUAAGCCUGCGCCACUAGUGCUGACGAGCACCGGUGGCCGGUACGACCACUGCCACUGCUAAUACCUUUUUCCUGUGGCGGUCAAGAACCACUAGUUCUAUUUCUCUAGCGGCGGUGAAAAAUCAACGCCCCUGGUAAGAUUUAGAUGAAUUAAAAAAAAAGCAGACCCGUGCCUGCACUGCAUCGUCACUGAUGACGUUGGAGAAAAAACACAGAUUCAAUUCCGAUACAAACACACAGAUACAAAUCAGACCCAGGCCGUGUGGCUCCAACAACAAGAAUCAAUCAAAACUAUAGAAAACAUUUCAGAUCUAAGCACUAAGACCAGUUCGGAGUAAGUGUGCUUGAACACCUUUGGAUCUAGAAAAAAAAGAAUAAAAGAAGAGAGGAGUUGCAGCCGCCCUCCUCUCCAUGCCAGCGGCGGCACGGACUGGACGUGGAGGUGAAGCCGGCGAGUUGCAGCCGCCCUCCCACCUGCAAGUGGCGCCGUCCUUCUCUCCUCGCUCGUCUGCAACGGAGUUAAGAGAGGGAGGGUGUGUGAGAGGGAGAGAGAACUCACCCGGAUCCGCGGCGCCAGGACCAAGAAACGCCGGAUCCAGAGGCGGCGGGGCCGAGCGCAGCCAGACCAGGCCCCAUCCGGCCAUGGCGCAGGAGGAGGGGAGACCUCGGGAGCGCCAUAGCAGCAGCCACGCGCGUCGGCGGAGUCAGGGGUGGGUGCCUUGUCGGCGGAGUCCACCUACCGCGGGGAGUAGGGAGGAGAGCGGCGGCCGAGUGCGCCGAGGAGCUAAGGAGGAGGGCGGCGGCGUGGAUCUGCAGAGGGCAGAGGAUGAGGGAGGCCGCUGGGAGCAGAGAGAGAAAAGGGAGAGAGGCCCACGUUUGGAAAAAGAGAG
rnacentral:lncRNA from 1 species